GGAGGAGGUUGCAUUUCAGAAUGAAUAGUGUCUUCUGGUGAGCUCGUAGAGAUGAAUCUUAACAUAUUACUGCAACAACCAAUCAUGAGGUUUAGCAAAGAAGGGAAUUCAACAACUAAAUCUGAAUGAAUAUGUCCCAUAUUGGCAAAACCUUUAAUUCAAUCAACUUUCCUUCAUCUCUUUCUGACCAUCCCGUGGUGUCGACUACCCCUUCCAUUGACUCACAAUAGCUUAUCUCAAGAUGUUGGAGUUGCAAAAGGCUAUUAACCAUAGAAUAUGAAAACAGAUACUUUAGACGAUAACACCUUUCCACAGUCACUUUUGUUAAAUUUUGACGAAAGUACAUUCCUUGAUUAUGAUCGGCCCAUAAUUUUUUCAUGUUUCUUAAGUCCCUGAGAUUCAAUUCCUCUAAGCUCGGAAGAAUAACCUGCAAAGAAAACCCGUACAUUUUUGUUCCUUCAAGUACAACCGUCUAGUAUAAUAUUCUUUUGAUGAUCAAAGAUUAAUUGUGAUAAUAAAUUAAUCAAUUAAUUAUUGAACAGAAAAUUAUCACCUUUGGAGCAGGAUCAUCAUCAGCAAUGAUUUCGUUGAAUCCCAAAGAAGUUGUUGGUUUGCUAAUUGUUGCACCAAAGAAGUAAGAUUUGAAACUUGUUUUUCUAGAGAAGUAGUACUUACCUCAUUGACUCGCUUAGGUGGCGGCAGUAGAUCGUUCCUAGUGUUGAACUGUUGGGAAUUAGCAGCCAUGUUAGCAAUGAGAUUUCGGGCUGCUUCUGGUGUCUUAUCCACGAGUGCUCCUCCACUAGCGGCAUCAAUCAUACUCCUAUCCAUAGGUAGUAGAACCUCAUAAAAGUAUUGAAUAAGAAGUUGAUCACUUAUCUGAUGGUGAGGGCAACUAGCACAUAGCUUUUUGAAUCGUUCCCAAUAGUCGUAGAGCGACUCUCCAUUAUACUGUCGGAUUCCACAAAUUUCUUUUCGAAUGCUGCCAGCUUUUGAUGCUGGGAAAUAUUUCUCCAAAAAUAGCUGACGCAUCUCAUUCCAUGUAGUGACAGUACCGGAGGGAAGAUAGUACAACCAUUCCUUGGCUGAAUCCGCCAAAGAGAAUGGGAAGGCCAUUAGCUUAACUUGCUCUUCAGAAACUCCGGCUGGUUUCAUUGUGGAGCAGACCACAUGGAACUCCUUCAAGUGGUUAUUUGGAUCCUCUCCUGCAAGACCAUGAAAAGUAGGAAGAAGAUGAAUCAUCCCAGAUUUGAGUUCAAAGUUUACUUGAGGGUUUGGAUUCUCAAUGCAUAAGGGUUGUUGGUCCAAGUUAGGAGCUGCCAACUCUUUAAGUGUUCGGUUGUUAUUCUGAGCCAUUGGUUGGGGUUCUGGGCUGCUUGGNNNNNNNNNNNNNNNNNNNNNNNNNNNNNNNNNNNNNNNNNNNNNNNNNNNNNNNNNNNNNNNNNNNNNNNNNNNNNNNNNNNNNNNNNNNNNNNNNNNNNNNNNNNNNNNNNNNNNNNNNNNNNNNNNNNNNNNNNNNNNNNNNNNNNNNNNNNNNNNNNNNNNNNNNNNNNNNNNNNNNNNNNNNNNNNNNNNNNNNNNNNNNNNNNNNNNNNNNNNNNNNNNNNNNNNNNNNNNNNNNNNNNNNNNNNNNNNNNNNNNNNNNNNNNNNNNNNNNNNNNNNNNNNNNNNNNNNNNNNNNNNNNNNNNNNNNNNNNNNNNNNNNNNNNNNNNNNNNNNNNNNNNNNNNNNNNNNNNNNNNNNNNNNNNNNNNNNNNNNNNNNNNNNNNNNNNNNNNNNNNNNNNNNNNNNNNNNNNNNNGCUAGUCCCCGGCAACGGCGCCAAAAAUUUGGUAGUGUCGUUAAGGUGCACCAAAUUUAAAACCUUACCACUAAUAUAAAUAAUUAGUACAGAGCGAGUAAGGAUCGAUCCCAUAGAGACUAUGCUAGUUAUAUUUAUUAUUAACUCCAAAGCAAGAUUUAAAAUAAAAUAAUAGUAAUAGUAAUAAUAAUAUAAAUUAAUCUAACUAAAGAAAAUGCCAAUUAAAAAUAAAAGGGGGGUUUAUGAAUUUUUAACUAAAUAGUAAGAAAUAAAGAAAUUAAAAUUACGAACAAGAAUUUAAUAAAAACUCUAAUUAAAGGAGAAAGAAAUAAUAAUGAUGAAAACUUUGGUUAAAGGAUCAUUCGCCACCACCAAACAUGCACAUAAUAAAUCAAUUCUAUUAUCAAUUUAUAUUGAAACUAUCAACCAUAGACAACAAUAAGCUCUGUUAGUCUCAAUCUUUCCUUAGUGUGUCGUUAGGUAAAAUAAGCUCUUCACCUAAUCUAUAACCAUUAAAUAAUUUAAAACAAGCUCUUUAAAUUUAAGAUAAUGGAAGCAUUAAACAAAGAAAGAAAUUAGGUUGAUCUAGGCAAUAAACACACAAGCUCAGAUUAUUUAACCUAGGUUAUGUUCUCCAAUUGAAAUCAUUAAUUCCAACCUGCUACUAAUGAUUAAAAUAUCAAGACAAUUACGGAUCAAGAAUUUUAAUCUAGCAAUAAAAUUUAUUCAAGUCCUAUCUAAUUGGCCACUCAAACAAAACAAGAAUAAACCAUGAACAUUAAUUAUAGAAGAACAUAAACAAUCUCAAUUAAAUAAAUUGAAUGAUAGAAUUUAAAUUUAAUUGCAUAGCAUGUUUAGGGUUUUGAAUUCACCCUCAACCAAAUAAAAAUCUAGCCUAACAUAAUUGAAUUGGGAAUAAGAGAAUUGACAAAACCAAUCAUAGAGAUUAAUUCAAGCGGCUGCCUUUUUCUUCAAUUGAAUUCCGGCUGCUGAUUUUUUCUUCUUCUUGCGGCUAUUGAUUUUCCUCUUGCUGCCGAAUUGGAUUUGCCCUCCCAAAGUCUCUUGCUGCCCGAAUUCUUUUCCCUCUAUUGCUUCCGCUUGAUCCUAUUUAUAAUGCUUCAAUUGUGGCUUUUUUUAAAUCCUUGCCUGGAAAGAAUUAAAUUCAAAGCUCAAAACCGCCACCUCAUGCUUCAAUUAAUAAGCCAAUAAUGAUUUCCUAAAGCCAAAAGGCUUUAUUCUCUUUCCUUUCACGUGGCAACUUUUGGUUUGCAUCUUUGUUUUCCAAUUUUGCUUUCAUGUGAUGGCUUGGCUUGUUAAUUGGCUUGGCUUCCUUUUUGACUUCCAUUUUCUAAUUUUAGCUCCAUGUGCAACAUUAAUUUUGCUCGGCCCAUACAAGCUUUAAUUAAAUUUAUUUUCUAAUUCCUUCCAAUUCUUGAUCUCUUGUGCACUUUUGUCUCUCAAUCUUCAAUCAAAUUUUUUUUCUUGAAUGCUCCGAUUUAAUUUCUCUUUAAUUCCAGAAUAUACCUAAAAUAACAAAAUAAAUAAAACUAAGAUAAAAAUUAACAAAAUAAAAUAUAAUUUACUAAAUUAAAAAUUAACUAAAAUAACUAGAAUAUUUAAGACCAAAACAAGAAAAAGAUAGAGAAAUUAAUAGCAAAAUAUAUGAAAAAUAUGCACUUAUCACAAGCCUCUCAUUUUUCAAAGCUUUUGCAAGGGUAAUAAGUGCAACAGGCAAUCCUCCGCAUUUUUCAACGAUCUCAUCUGCUAAAGGUUGAAAAGCAGAUGCUUUUGCAGAAUUACACACUAUCUUUCCAAACAAUUGCAAUGCUUCUUCCUUUGAUAAAACUUCAAUUGAGAAAUCCUUCUGAGAUUUCAUAUCAUUGCGCAAUAAAUCUCGACUUCUAGACGUCAAUAUUAUUGUGCGUCUUCUCCGAUCGUCCUCUCUAUCUUUCUCAUCAACAUCCCCAUAAGGAAUUCCAACUGUAUCGAACUCAAGUUUUGUCCAAAUAUUAUCCAGUAUAAUGAGGAGCCGCUUCUCUUGCUUCAACCUUUGACACAGUCGAGAAGCUCUUUGAAAUUCAUUCUCAUUCAAGUCAAAUUCCAUGCCUAAAUCAAAAGCAAGUUUGUCUUGAAUUUUAUGAUGAUCUGGGGUCUGUGUUAUCUCAGCCAUAACGAACUUAUCGAACAACUUAUCUUCCAUCACUUGGUUUGCAACUUGUUUGACCAGCGUGGUUUUGCCCACGCCGCCCAUCCCAUAGACCCCAAUUAUGUUGACCUUGUCAUCCUUCACCGCCUCCAUAACAUCUUGAAAUACUUUCAUUCUUGAAUCAAACGCCUCGAAAUCUUUCACUUGCAUAUGUUCUGCCCGCUUUGGAGCAGGACUGUAGGAAACAUUGGAGAAGUUGCCUUUUCCCACGAGACUAGCGGCAGCUUCUGCCGCCUUUGCUGCUUGUUUACUAAGCUUGUAACGAGAAAUCAAGUUUGGGCAUAAUCCUUUGAAGCAGGACUUCUUAGCUCUAUCUUCAUCAUCAAUGAUGGAUUUUGCAACCCCUUCACUGAUGAAUUCAUCAACGCUAUGUAGCCAGUCUGUGACACCCUCAUAAAGCUCAUCCCCUUGUAGCCUAGCAUGAUUAACUGGUUGCUGCACCAUUUCUCUCUUAUAUCCCAGCUGCUUCACUUGAUCUUUUAGCUCAUCUAUGUAGCUCUGGUACUUGAACACAUAAGAUAUCUGCCGUGUAAUCGGGUUGAACAGUGACUUUGCACCUUCUGAUACACAGUUGGUUAAAAAAGCCAGACACGCUUCUAUAGCCAUUGCCGGUUGCUUAACAAUAUAUAUCUAGUUUUUGGCUGUUGAAAAAAAAAAUGGAUUCAAAUAAAUUAAAUGAACUAGCGGGGAAGAAAAAGAAAGAAACGACAACAAACAACUUUUUAGAAAAAGGUUUCAGGGGCCUGAAUGGAAAACCAACAAUUUUUUGAAGAAAGAAAACUUUUUUGGAAGAUGGAUGCAAAUUAACCAUUAAUAAUACUGCAUAAGAACACAGAAGUUAACAAUAAACAGUAACUUAAAACUCAAGAAAAUUAAAUGACAAGAUUAAGACAAACAAGAGAUAGUUUUUGUUGGACAUUAAGAAACAUCUGCUAUCAAGAUCAAAGAUUAGAAAUUAUGCUAUUGAAAGAAAUUAUUAAAGUAUUUAGAACAAACGCACCUCUUCAAUUAUCGAGGAUCACAGAGUUUAUGAGCUUCACUCUUGGCCUUCGAUUUAUAAGAAAAAUUUUAAUGAGCAAAAGAUCACUGUUAACUGCAGAAGAAUGUGAGUAAAGAGUUUAUGGGAGUAAGCAAUACAAUUGAAUUGUAAAAGAACAAGACUUAAAGCGUGCACCCCGUGUUCAUAUAAACAGAACACAUGUUCAUUUUUAACAAAGUGAUCAAUAACUCUAUUCGUUAUUUAAUUGAUAUUGUAACCAAUUCUAAGAGAAUAUAAUAAUAAUCAUUCAAUCCAUAAAUUUAGAAUUAGAUUUUUUUAACUCUUUAUUUAAAUAUAAACCUUAAUGGAAAAUUAUAAAAGUUUAGAGAUAAAAUUUUUCAAUCACCAAACGAAAAAAACAGGGGAAUGAAAACAGAGGAAUCUUGUUUUAACUAUUUUUUUCCUCAACUCUCGUUCUUAUAUUAAUAAUCUUGUUUUGAUGAUAGUGCUCGUGACUGCGGGAAAAUUUCUACUGGAAACAACUCAAUUUCGGAAGAAAACUUAAUUUUGCAAGUGAUGAAUUUGAACUCGUUGGAUUGGUUGAUUUAUGAUUGACUGAAUUUCACUUUUGCCCAAAAGAUCUUUAACCAAAGUUUAAUAGCCAUCAUGUACUCCUUAAAAGCAAUUUUUUUUUUUAGAUUUGACUGAAUUUGAACUUGUUGGAUUGGUUGUUUUUAGAUUAUUAAUAUGAGAUAUUACAACGUAAAUAUUUUCAUGUGGUUGAGCCCUAUUCUAAAAUCUGUAUAGUUAGCUUUAGAAAAAGGGCUUUUCCUGCUGAUCUGUAAUCUUCAAAUAAACUUAGAUACAAAUAAUGAAAUAAAAGACAACAAACAAGCAAUACUGAUACAAAGCCAACAGAUCAGAGUUUUUUCUUGCCUUCUUUUGUUGAAGGAUUAGAGUUUUUGGUAUUAUCAGUAAAGGUUUCAAGGAGUAAAGCCUAUAAACUUUUUUUUUGGGGGGGGCGCCGCCGCGGGGAGGGGGGGGGGGGGGAGAGCAUGCAAAUUAACCAAAAGAAAUAAUAAGAGCACAGGCUUUAACAAUGAAUACUGACUUAAAACUCAUGCAAAAUAAGUUACAAUAUUAAAACAAACCAGAGAAAAUUUUUUCUUGGAAAGUAGAUGGAACUUAUGAAAGAGCAGAUGUCAAGGAUUUAGAAAACGCGCACCUCUUUAAUUAUCUGGGAUUAGAGAGUUGGUGAGCUUCUCUAUUUAAGAACAAGUUGAAAGAGGAAAAAGAUCACUGGUAACUGCUGAGGAAUGUGUGAGAAAAGAGUUGAUGAGAGCAAUAACAAAGACCUGCAAAAGAAAAAGAAUUAGUCAUGCACCGCUUUUCUAUAUCAUGUAUUUGGUUAUUGUUGCCCUGUUGACGCAUGUUGAAGAAGAAAGCACUAGUUCACAACUCUACGUUUUCAUAUAUUCUAAAGAAAUAAUUAAGUUUUCAUAGAAUGAUACCUGUUGUGUUUGAGUAAUUUUGGUAUAUACAUUGCUUGUGUACUGUGAAAUUGAAAUGAAUAUUGAUGGAAUGACUGAAUUUCACUUUUGCCCAAAAGAUCUUUAACCAAAGUUUAAUAGCUAUCAUGUACUCCUUAAAAGCAAUUUUUUUUUUUAGAUUUGACUGAAUUUGAACUUGUUGGAUUGGUUGUUUUUAGAUUAUUAAUAUGAGAUAUUACAACGUAAAUAUUUUCAUGUGGUUGAGCCCUAUUCUAAAAUCUGUAUAGUUAGCUUUAGAAAAAGGGCUUUUCCUGCUGAUCUGUAAUCUUCAAAUAAACUUAGAUACAAAUAAUGAAAUAAAAGACAACAAACAAGCAAUACUGAUGCAAAGCCAACAGAUCAGAGUUUUUGGUACAAAGCCAAUAAAAGACAAUAAACUUAGGACCUUUUUUUCUUGCUUUCUUUUGUUGCAGGAUUAGAGUUUUUGGUAUUAUCAGUAAAGGUUUCAAGGGUCUGAGUAAAAGCCUAUAAUCUUUUUAUAAACUUUUUUUUUUGGGGGGGGGGGGGGGGGGGGAGCAUGCAAAUUAACCAAAAGAAAUAAUAAGAGCACAGGCUUUAACAAUGAAUAGUAACUUAAAACUCAUGCAAAAUAAGUUACAAUAUUAAAACAAACCAGAGAAAAUUUUUUCUUGGAAAGUAGAUGGAACUUAAGAAAGAGCAGAUGUCAAGAUCAAGGAUCAGGGAUUCUACUAUCAAAAAAAAAAAAAUUAUUCAAGGAUUUAGAAAUCGUGCACCUCUUUAAUUAUCUGGGAUUAGAGAGUUGGUGAGCUUCUCUAUUUGGCCUUCAAUAUUUAAGAACAAGUUGAAAGAGGAAAAAGAUCACAGGUAACUGCUGAGGAAUGUGUGAGAAAAGAGUUGAUGAGAGCAAUAACAAAGACCUGCAAAAGAAAAAGAAUUAGUCAUGCACCGCUUUUCUAUAUCAUGUAUUUGGUUAUUGUUGCCCUGUUGACGCAUGUUGAAGAAGAAAGCACUAGUUCACAACUCUACGUUUUCAUAUAUUCUAAAGAAAUAAUUAAGUUUUCAUAGAAUAAUUUUGGUAUAUACAUUGCUUGUGUACUGUGAAAUUGAAAUGAAUAUUGAUGGACAGAGCAAUGCAUAUGCCUAAAAAAACAUAAAGCAAAUCCUUGAACGAAUGAUUCAGGACUAAAACUUUUAUAAAAGCAAAUACCGGAAACACACAAAAAGCAUUUAAGAGAGAAACUAAACCGCAAAUAAUCGAAGUAAGAUCAAUAAUAUAUGAUUUGAUUUAUGCAUAUUCAAAAACCAAAAUAUAAAAUAAAAUACAAAAUUAAAGUUUGGUUUAUUCUUUCCACAAAAAACAGGGGAAUGAAAACAGAGGCAACUUGUUUUACCAAUUUUUUCUUCUUAAUUUCCGGCAAAAAAAAUCAAUAAACAGGGGAAUGAAAACAAAGGAACGAAAACAGAGGAAACUUGCUUUUCAGGCUAUCUUGUGACAUGAUGAUAUUGCUCGUGAAUGCAUGAAAAUUUCUAAUGCAAACAGCUCAAUUUGGGAUGAUAAGCUUAAGUUUGCAAGUGAUGCAUGAUAAUCAGAUAUUUGUGGCUUUUAAAACUCAAGAAAACUCAAGAAAAUUAAAUGACAAGAUUAAGACAAACAAGAGAUAGUUUUUGUUGGACAUUAAGAAACAACUACUAUCAAGAUCAAAGAUUAGAAAUUAUGCUAUUGAAAGAAAUUAUUAAAGUAUUUAGAACAAACGCACCUCUUCAAUUAUCGAGGAUCACAGAGUUUAUGAGCUUCACUCUUGGCCUUCGAUUUAUAAGAAAAAUUUUAAUGAGCAAAAGAUCGCUGUUAACUGCAGAAGAAUGUGAGUAAAGAGUUUAUGGGAGUAAGCAAUACAAUUGAAUUGUAAAAGAACAAGACUUAAAGCGUGCACCCCGUGUUCAUAUAAACAGAACACAUGUUCAUUUUUAACAAAGUGAUCAAUAACUCUAUUCGUUAUUUAAUUGAUAUUGUAACCAAGAUCAAGGAUCAGGGAUUCUUAUGCCUACUGAUAUUUAAACAGAGAAUUCUUUCUUCUUUUUCUCUUCAUGGAUUAGAGUUUUUGCUAGUAACAGAAAGGUUUCAAGGGUCUGAAUAAAAUCCCAGAUUUUUUUUUAACUUUGUUUUUUGUGGGAAAAUGGAUUCAAAUUAACCAAAGCCAAUAAUAAGAUCACAGACUUUAACAAUGAACAAUAACUUAAGCAAAACCAAUGACAAGAUUAAAACAAACCACAGAAAUUUUUUCUCGGAAAGUAGAUGAAAAGCAAGUAAGAACUGCUAUUAAAGGAUAUUAUUAAAGGAUUUAGAACAUGUAUACCUCUUUAUUUAUAUGGGAUCAGAGAAUCGAUGACCUCCUCUAUUCGCUUCAGAUAUUAAGUAAGAACUGCUAUUAAAAGAAUGAAUUGAUGAGAGUAAUAACAAUGAUUGCAAAAUAGGAAGACUCAAUCAUGCACCCCUUUUAUACCUGAUCAUAUUAAGAAGUCGUUAAAGAAUAACGACUAAAUUAGGAAUUAAUUCUGAAGUUCAGAAUCAAGAACAAAGACGAAGCUUUAAUAACGCAUGCAGUGAGAUACAAGAAAUGGAUCUGGUAAAAUACAUUAAAAAAAUUUGUUCAACUUCAACCUAGUUAAGCUGAUGAAAGCACUAGUUGUUGGCUCUACGUUUCAUAUGUUCUAAUGAAAUAAUUAAGUUGAAGUUUUCAACGAAUAAAUACCUGUUUCGCUUGAAUAGCUUUGGCAUAUACAUUACUUGUGUCCUGUGAAAUUGAAAAGGUUAUUGAUUUACAAAGCUUAUUAGUAGAGAAAAGCUACGUAAGAUGCCUGAUAAAAGAUAAAGCAAGAGCUUGAAUGAAGAAUGACAUUUUAGAAAGAAACUAAAGUGUAAUCAUCAAAGUAGGAUCAAUAAUGUACCACUUUCCUUGCAAAUCUGGUGGGUUUUCUGAAUAGAUUUUUACAUUAUUCUAUUUAACCAUUUUGGGUUUACCCUAAGCAUUCUUGGUUGGCAUUGUCCUGUAAUCUGCGUGCCCUGGAUACGUGUGAGGGAAAGAUGAGGGUAGAUAUGCAAUUUCAAGAAGCGAUUUGCUUGCAUAAUUCAAUGCAUGGAAAGAGAUGUACCUGACCAGAAAAAAAAGGGCACCAUCCAUAUCUGAGCUUGACUUUUUAGAUGGAUAAAUAUUCUUAUUACUGUUGAUAAUGGAGAAGGGUUCUACUUUUACUUUGCCAUCUUUGAUAUAAAACAGCAUGAUUCCUUUUUAUCAAACACUUGCCUAAGUCUAUUUUUUAUUUUUCUUAUUUUCAGAAAGAGAUUAGCUUAAUUUAAAUUAUAUUCAAGUACAAAGUGUUAUACACUCAUAAAACGAGAAAUAGGCAUGUAUUGAUCACGCGCAAUCUAGUUUUUUUUUUUUUUCUUUUUUUUUAAUCCAGUCUUCUUAUUAAAAAAAAAAGAAUUUAUUUGCUUUAUUUUAAAUUAUUUUUUCAUGCGGUAAAUGCAAUACUGAGUAAUGGGUGAGCAAAAUAUUUACAGGCACACCCCCUUUUAAUGAUUUCGUACUAAAAUUAAAAAUUGACGAUUCCAUGAUAAAGUUCAAAGAGUAAAUGAAGACCCAUAAAUGUUUUUUGGUCAUGAGCAAUUUUUGAGUUGGGACAGCACUCGUAUGAAAAAAAAUAGUUUUUUUUUUUCUUUAAGCAUGAGGAUAUUAAUUCUUUUUUUAUAAAUCAGCGUGAAUAUAAAAUUAAAAAAAUAGUUUUGAAUAACUUCUUUUCUUUUUUCAUAAAUAUAGAUAAAAAAUUUUAAAGUCACCAAACACAAAACCAGGAAAAUGGAAAGGAAGCCCCUGUUUCUCCGCUGCUGCAAGCACAAAUUCGGUUUCUACAGGAGUACCUUCUAAAUGCACCAUUUGUAUUGCUUUGUUUCCACGUAAGCUAACGGAAUUUGAUGAAGACAAAAUAGAUAUGAGUCGUGCUAUUCACACCCCUCGAUAAUUCUCUCAAAAUCCCCUUUCUAAUUAUACCGCCUUGAAUAAUUUCAAAACUGACUUUUCCUCUUAUAAUACCACCUUCAAUUCCCUUAAUACCCUUGUUCGCUAUGAAAAUAAGGAAAAUGCCUACAUAAAAAGCUGGCUCUGAUAAUCUACCUGAAUUUACAUUAGAAAAGAGUGGACUUUGAGAAAUAAGAAGACAAUAUAGGGAAUUUUACCAAAAUAAUCCAUUUUUAUAUACAGGGAAUGGUAUUUUCUAAUAUAAGGAGGAGUGGAGAAAUUAAAUUUAGCAAAAUAAAGAACCUCCAUCGAGAAGCAAAAAUGAUGAUAUCUUUGUCGUGAAGAGAUUUCAAUUCAAUUGCAUACAUUGACGAAACAUUAAAUACGGAAAAAACAAAAAAGAAAUAAUAGAACAUGGGGAUUUCGAGAACUUCUAAAGAGAGAAAUGUAUUUAUAAGCAUUGAAAAUUAGCUCAUUAAAUUUGACAGAAUAAUAUACAAUCUCACUGUUGGCCAGAAAAUAAUAGUAAGAACUUGUGAACAUAUAUAAUCAAUUGCUUAUUACUUAAGCUUUUUCUCCGUUAUUUUGAAUGGGUGCAAAGAGGAGAAGUUUUGUACCCAAAUUCCAACUCGAAUUGUGUAGGCUGCUUGCAAGAGCUUCAUUAGAUUUUUAUUUGUCUUUUAAUAGUGCUACUCGAUAAAUACAGCUAGCUAUCUGUCCUUUUUGUUACUGGACUAUAGAUCAAUUGACAGUUGAAGUUAUAUUAAUUUGUUGUACUGGAAUUGAAGCUUGUAUCUUAGCCAUUUCGUGAAGUGUCAAAUAUAUUUUUAAUUUCCUUAAAAUUGUUCAAAAUAUGUUUACACUUUUAAAGUCACUAUUAUACAUGAGUGCCCUAAAAUCAUUUCCUUAAAAUUGUUCAAGUGGGAUCCUAGUUCUCUAUGGCAGUUGAAGAGGUAAAUGCGCAUAGAGCUAUGCUCUAUCAUAGGCCUCGGCCACUAUAAGAAAUUUGAUUUUUUAAGACGAUAUUUUUUACAACAACUUUAAAUUUGGUCACAAAAUGGUAUUUAUUGUGACAAAUUUUUUAAAUCGUAGCUAAUAAUCUUGUCCUAACUUAUAUUUUUUUUUGUAACCAAUUAUUUUUAUUUUGAGACUUGUUCAUUGGUCAUUAAUUAAAUUUUUUUAUACCAAAAAUUAUUUUAGUCACCAAAAGAUAUAUUUUUUUGGCGCAAAAUCUUCCCUCCAAAAGUGAUUAUUUUGAGACAAUAUUUCACUAUUUAUGACAAAAUAAAUAGUCAUGAAAUAUAAUUAUAGGCGACCAAAUUAUUUGGUAACUAAAAGAGGGGUGUAAAAUUAACUAAACAAUCUAUGACACAAAAUAUUAGUAGCCAAAAUUAUUGUUCUUUUGGCAUAUUUUAAGACCAUUUUUUUGGUCAUAUAUAAUUACCUACAGUGACAAAAUUAAAAAAUAGUCGUUGAAUGUUUUAUCUUGAAUAAUUUUAUAUUUGAUAACCAAUUUUUUUUUCUUUUUGAGACAUAUUACUUGGUCCCUAUUUCAACUUCUUUUUGACUAACUUUAUAAUAGUCACAAAAGACAUUUUUUUUUUUUUUGGCAUAAAAAGUCUGUCCAAAGUUAGCUCUUUUGGGACAAUAUAUAAUCUUUUAUGACAAAAUAUAUAGUGGCGAAAUAUAAUUAUUUUUUACAAAGUUAUUUCGUAGCUGAAAAAGAGGUGUAAAUUUAGUUAACCUAUUUGUGACAUAAAAUAUUAGUCUCCAAAACUAUUAUGCUUUUAGCCAAUUUUAAGACCCGAUUUUGUUGUCAUGGAUAAUUACCUAUUUUCAAAAAACUAAGAGAUAGUAAUCAAAAGUUUGUCUUGAUUGACAUUGUAUUUUAUGAGCAAAAUAUUUUGUUUCAGUGACACUUUACUUGGUCUCUGAUUAGACUUGUUUGUGAUGAUCAAUAGAAAUAUAUAAUAACCACUAAAUUUUUUUGGAUUAAAUUUUAUAGAUACUAUUAAUUAAGUUGUUGACGAAAAUGAUCGAACCAAUACUAAUAUGGGAUACCAUCAACAGCCGUAAUACUUAUGAACCGAGAAAUUAUAAUAUGUAGUGAAAAAGUUUUAACAGUAGUCCCUAGUAUUUAGAAUUAUUUUGACUACUUUAUUUAUUUCCAAAACAUAAAAUUCUCAACCCAAAAUUCCCCGCAUUGUGUUUUAUUUUGUCUCCUCACUCAGUUACUCUUAUUAACUCACGGCUUGACAAAAAAAAGAAAAAAAUUCUCACAGCUUGAUGUUCUCCUCUCUUUAAAAAUAAAAAUCCCCAGUUACUCUGCUCAAACUCGUUAAUAUUUGUUUCCACCACCAAAGCAGCCACUCGUAUCUUUUAUUAAGCAUAACGUUUUUCUUAAAACCUAAUUGAUCAUUCUUUAACGUCUCCAGGAUUAUAUUUGGCACGCUAUUUUUCUCCUUCAAUUGAAUAGAAGUCUAGAACCUUUUUUUUUUCGCAAUUCACUUUUGCUGUGUUUCGUGGUUUGGACUAAGAUCAUGACAAUUAUUGAACGAUGGGGAUAAAUAUCAAAGAAGGAGCUUACAUGCCCUAUAUAUCUCUCUUUGGAUGAAUAACGAAUGUGAGCUUUCAAAGUACAGAGAUUUACAUGUUUUAAUUGUCAUUUACAUUGCUGCAUGCCAAUUGCUUGAUAAAAUACUGCAACAAAUACGCAUUCUCGAUUUUCUUAUAAAUUUAUUUUCUUAAUCUGAAAAAAAUUGAAUGUUCAGAGAAUUUUGAAGGUUUUGGUGUAUGCAUUAAUAUUUCGAUUCUAUUUAUGUUGUUUAACUAAUGAAGAUGAUACAUCUAGCCUCUUUUUGCCCCUUGUUGUUUUUAUUCUUGUGCUUUAUAUACGGUUCAAGUGUGAUACACUUUAGUUUUUCUCAAGUGUUUGUUAGUAUUUCCCGAAGCAAAAUUUGUCACAGACUUUGAGUUCAAAAGUUGAAAUCAUAACUAACAUACUUCGAUUUUUUAUUUUCCUUUUUUCUUCGGUAUCCUUCUAUAUGGCAUUGGUUGAGAAAUUGGUGUACUUAGAUCGUAAUAUUCUGUAGAAAUAAGCCAAUAUUUCAUUACGUACAUUGUUUAAUAUGAUGAGUAUUGUAUAGAAGUUUUACAUAUAAGCUCCUUAUAUAUUAUGCAUUAUGUUUUUAUCAUAUUGUUGCUUGGAACUUUGAAGGAUUGGCCACAGGGCUUUAGUCCUACAUGGACAUUUUAUAUUUAAUAGCUGGUUAGGCAUUUUAUUUGAUGUUAUUUGGACUUGUAGGUGUUAAAAGUUUUGUUCAGUAAUUUUAUAAUUCAGAUUCCCAUUGUGAUAAGAUAGCAAUUUUUUGUGUGUCAGAUUCUGUCAACUGAUAUUUAGCUAAAAUAUCUCACUAACCCCUAUUGGUUAGGUAUUAUUUUAAAUCACAUACUUGAUUUUUAUUUUCUUUUUAUCUGUGGAAUCCCAUGUAUCAUUCAUAAGAAACAAGCUAUUAUAUAAUCUAUUCUUUAGAUCCAUUUAUAUGUAGUGAGCACUCUGAUUUCUAUUAUUUGAAUUUUUUGCUACUGUUACUACUCUUUCGGCCCUUCAAAUAGGGGUUAACAGAAAUGGUGAGUAUAUUAAUACAAAUUCAAACUUUCUUUUUCUAAUUUUAUCCAAAAUAACCUACUAUUUUAUUUUAAUUUCAAACUUUUGUCAUAGUCUAAUGGGCAGUUGUCUUGUCAUUAUUUGGUUUCAAGUAAGAAGAGAGAAAGUUAGUGAGAGGAUGAAAAUUUUGCAAAAACUUGUUCAUAGCUAUGGUAAUUAAGUAGUUUGAGUUCUUUUUUUUGUUGUUUUCUAUGUUGGUUUUGGAUCAUUGUAGUUGCUGAUUGUGAUUUAUUGUCGCCUAUGGUUGCUGACUUUUGUUUACUGUGGCUACUUUAUUAAAGCAAUUUUGGAUAUUGAAGUUUAUGGCCAACUUUUAUUAGACACUUCUGACCUUUAUCGAUAUAUUUUCUGAACCUUUACACUUAAGAUGUGUGUGUGUGUUUUUAAAAAAUACAUGUGAAUGAAAUAGUACUUGAAAUAAUAUAUUUUCUCAACUUUUAUUAGAUAUAGUGAAAUAGUACUUGAAAUAAUAUAUUUUCUCAACUUUUAUUAGAUAAUUCAAAGUAUAUCCCACUUAUUAUCGAUAUAUUUGCUCAAGUCUCAUGUGCAACAUGUGAAUGAAAUAGUACUUGAAAUAAUAGAGACUUUGUUUUAUGACUCAUAUUUUUACAUUUCUUUGCAAGGAACCAUACUUAAUUGUACCUAAUAGAAGAGAUAUCUUUUCACUAUAUAGUCUUAGUAUAAAAAGAUACAUCUUCUAUAUAAGGCACAAUUGAUGGGACAUAUCUUUAUACUAAGACAUCAUUCAUAUUUAUCACACAAUAAUAGAAACUGCAAUGGUAGGUGGAAUAUUAUGAAGUCAAAAUUGAGAACGACAUUAAAUCAUGAAUUCUUUAUGUGUUUACUCGAAUGCCUGACAGUAUUUAGUUCAAUUAACACAGAUUGGAAAUCCAAAUGAUUGAAGAGUUGUAUGAGUUCAAGUUCAGUAUUUAAUUACUAUAUAAUUAUACAUAAAUGUGGAUUUUGCAAGCUUGAACCCAUGUGUGUUAGCCCAUUUCGGCCCAAUAAACAUAUUGUUCUGGAUAAAAAAUAUCAGGGGAUCUCUGAUGUUUCUUUGGUUUAACAUAAAUUUAUUCCUAACUCUAUAACCAUGCAUUAUUUAGACAAAAAUUUUUGCAAUCACCAAACAGUAAAACAGAGAAAUAAAAACGGAGGAGCUCUUUUCUAAAACAGAAGUAGGUGUUUUGUCUGAACGUACCACUUUCUGUUUAAUUAUUAUGUUUACGGAAUAGAUUUUUUUUUAUUAUUCUGUUUUAUGUUUCCGUCUUUACCCUAAGCAUUCUUGGUUGGCAUCGCUGCAUUGUCCUGUAAUCUGUGUGCCUUGGUGAGGAGGGGAAUGGAUAACUGUGGUGCUGGAUACGUGAGAGACAAUGAUGAGGGUAGAUUUGUAAUUGCCAGAAGCGAUUUGCUUGCAAUAAUUCAAUGCAUGGAAAGAGAUGCCUCUAACAAAAAAUGGGACUAUCCAUAUCUGAGCAUUAGAGCUCUACGUCUUAGAUAAAUAAAUAUACUUAUUAGUAUUGUUUUUGCAUAUAUCUUUCACAAAAUUAUUGUAUUCGCUUAUAUAGAGAGGACGAUUUAGAUAAGUUUCAACUAAAAAUUGACAAUUCCAUGAUAAAGUUAAAAAUCACCGAAUAAAAAACUGGAAAAUCCCCUGUUUCUCCUCUGCUUUCUUUUGAUUAUUAUUAAAAAGGGGAAUUAAAAAAUGAGUUGCAAGCACAAAUUUUAUUUCUACAGUAGUACCUUCUAAAUGCACCAUUGUUUGAUACAUUAAAAUUAAACAUUACUUAUGCUAGUAUAUCGGUACUUCACAUGUCCGUUCUUCAUUAAUGUAUAUUCAUUUACACCCAAGCUACCUGUCAGUUUUGCGAAAACUGAAUUUAAAGGUGUGGCUUAAAUUAAAAUAAUAAUCAGCCUCAUAGAAUACAGAGAAAAAAGAUAAUUUAUCACAAUCAUAUCCUAAUGCAUCAUAAAUUUAGAUUAUUUAAUUACUGUUAGGAAAUCUGCUUAGAUAAGGCGCACACUACAAAUUCUAAAUUAAAUUCCUAAUUAACAAUAAAAGAUAGACCCUAUUAAUCGUCCACCAGGUACCUUGUAGCCUGCAUCAUAAGUUUAGAUUUAAAUUUUUGCAAUUACCAAACGGAGAAACAGGGGAAUGAAAACAAAGGAGCCCUAUUUUUUCCAUUUUUGUCCCCCUUAACUCUUGUCCUUAUACAAAUAUUUUUCCUUGGAAUUUCAGGCAUACGAAAAAAUAUUGAAAAUUAUUUAAAGCAAACAGGUGGAUGAUAACAAAAAUAUAUUUAAUUAACCAAAUCAAGACACUAUAUUGGUCGUCAAUGUUUCGGCAUCACUGUCUUCUUCAGAUGUUACUUGUUUUUCACAUUUAUUUUGCGCUGUUGUGGAUUAAUAUGGUUCUGCUGGGUGCACAUUUUUACGUGCUACUGUAUUUUCUCUCAGUCCUUUUUAAAAGAACAUACACCCACAUACUAUGUAGAGUGACCUUUUUUAAUGAGGAAUCUGUCAUUUUAAUAAAAUGAAGAAUAAACUAAAAGGUAGAAGUACACGAACUCUAAUGCAAUAUACCUUUUCUUUUCUUUUACCUUUACUAUAAGAUAGGGAAUGAUAUAAUUGAUAAUGGAACUUGGGGUCAGAGCAGCGGUGUAAUUUUGAGAGGAUUUACAAGAUGGUAAGUGCAAUAAUUAACAGGCUCAUUUAAUAUAUCAAACUGCUAGAUAAUUGUACUAGUUAAACAUAAUUUUCAGAGAAUCUUUUUAAGGGUUUAUUUAUUAAUAUUUUGUUUCUUUCCAGCAUGAACACUUUGUUUUGACACGUGCUUAACAACCUUCAACGAACUGGAACAACCUUCAUCACAUGCUUCCUCACGUGAUUACUUAAAUUGAUAUGUAAAACGUGCUCCAUCCAUGUCGUUUCCACUAAAUCGUUUUUUGUUAAGAAUCAGCUGAGCAGCACGUGAGCUAAUGAAGCUUUUACGGCUUCAAAACGCAGCCGUUUCUGGGAACCAAACUUGAUUCAUCAUCUCACAACUACAGAUGAAUUAUCGAAGUGGCUGAUUGGUGCUGUACGUGUUUUUCGUAUUGAACUCAACUCUGCUAUAAUACAUGCGUGCAUCUGAUACAUGCACAAAAACCACCACUCCCACUCCCACUCCCACUCCCACGCCCUCGCGUCACGCGCCUUACCACUCCCUCGCCUCACCUCACCUCUCUUCUUGUUCCACGGCCAUCAACGGCGGCACGAGUCGGCAACGAUCAACUGCGGCUGUAAAUUGACCACAAUCAUCUCUCUCUCUCGGCUUUGCUCAAAUUUGGCCGAUCUAUGCGCUUGCUUAAGCUUGGCCGAUCUAUGCUUGCUCAAUUACUCUUCCUAUAUUCAGUCGGAGUCAACUGUUUGACAAGAGUCGAAGUCCAAGGUUCUUUUUUACAGGAUUUGAGCUACUUCUUUUAUUCUUCUUCCAUGUUCACUGAUACGAAGCUUUGAUGUGGUGUUCUGAGAGCGGGUGGAAUUUGAGAUUCUCCUUUCUUCUCUAUAUGAAGGUGCUUGUCAUGUGUCAAGAAAAAUAAAAUUAUUUACAAAAGAUUAUUUUAAGGAGAUUUAUUAUUAUUCGUGGAUCGGGAAGCUCAAAAAAUUUUCUUAUGUAGACUCAAAUCAUUUCUAUAGGGCGAAGCAUAUGAAUGAUACAUAUUAUCUUUUUUUGGCCUUAUGUAUUGUUAUUUGCAGUGUGAUUUGGUCUAGCUUAAGAGCUUAAGCUUGCAGGCUGGAUUUGUCUGACAUGGAACAAUUUAAUUUGUUCAUCGUGAUGUUUAUAUCCAUUUUGUACUACUAUCAAUUUCAAUCAUGGCUAAUUUUUAUAUGUAUUUCUCGUGGACUCUCAGGUUCAGUGCACAAGAGGAUGAAGACGAUGGACACCCAAAUUUGAUGUGGAGAACAACUAUUGCAAAUGGUCCUUGAUUUACUUCUCCAAUUGACUUGAAUUGGUUUGACGCAAUUUAUAGUGUAUUUUUGUCAUCUUUGUAUGACUGGCAGGUCGUCCUGAUUUGGUACAUGACUGGACACAGGAAUUGGACUCAUAUUUUUCAAACCAGAAUGCCAACAAUCAAGCAUUUUCUUUUGAAAGCACUGGCGUCUUCUUCAGUGCCAAAAAGGUUAGAGAUUUUCUGUAUCCUGUUUUGUAUUUGAUCAGUUUAGCAUGUGGGUGGCAAUCAAGAAAAGUUAUUAUAACAUUUUUGUGUUCCCGAAAAACUGCUGCUGAUGUGUAGUGCAGGAAAUGAAUUGUUUGUGACUUCUUUUUAUUUGUAUUCUUUCUUUUUUCUUUUCUCCCCAACAGAAUUACGUAUUUCUGAAGAGCUUCUUGAAGUUGAUUACCAUGUAUGCCACUUUCUUUACUCUAUGCUCAGGAUGUGAUUUUGUUUAGGUCAGAACCAUCAUCUAAAGUUUACUUAAUGCUGCCGAGAAGCUGUAGUAGAGCAAUGAAGGCUGUUGGUGUUAUGAAGGCCAGCUGUGAAGAAAUAUUUGAACUUGUAAUGAGCAUGGAUGGGACACGAUACGAGUAUGCUUCUUUUCUAUUUUUUAUUUUUAGUUACUUUAACAUAAUCAAGACUAUAUUGGCUGUCUGUGUAAGCUGAGUAUUAUAUUUCCUCUUGUAUGCUGUGAAAUUCACAUUGUCUCCAGUCCCGAUUCUGUAUGUGCCUUUUUGAAUAUAUUUAAUUAAUCUGCAUGGUGCUUUCUAAAGAUUAUUACAAACUUUUGUUGCUUAAGUAUAUGAAGAAUGUGGAAAUGAAAAUAGCUUUUGAAGUUUGAUGGAUUGCUUCAUUAAUAAAGAAAGACUAGGACUCAUUUUUAUAACUUUUCUCCACUUAGCUAAUGGUAUUUGAUGAAGACAAAAUAGAUGUAGCUAUCUAUAUUUUUUGUUGCUGAACUAUAGAUCAAUUGAUGGUUGAAGUUAGUUAUAUUAAUUUGUUGUACUAGAUUAAAGCUUGUAUCUUAGCCAUUUCAUGAAGUGUCAAAUACGUUCUUUCCUCUUUUUUUUUUUUUUCGAAACAUGUUACACUUUUGAAGUCACUAUUACAUAAAAGAGUGUUCUAAAACAGGAGAAGGCGUGCUGCCUGAAAUUACCUGUUUCCUAGCAAAUCUAGCUGGUUUGCGAAUUAGAUUUUAACAAGUCUCUUGGCAAGGUUUGCUAGUAAUGUGUUCAAAUUAUUCUAUUUAAUUUUACUGUCUGUACCCUAAUAAUUCUUGGUUUGCACCAUUGCAUUGUUCCAUAAUCUCUGUGCGUUGGCUUAUAAAGGCCAGCAAGGCUGAUCAUUUGUCGAAUAGUUAUUUCCAUGAAAUUCCUAUCAAUUUGACUCAGUAUUUAGAGGUCUUGAAGAGGGCAGUGUACUAGACAUGGAUUUCUACCUCUUUUGGUUGUACAAUUGUUGUAUUUCUUGGCCAUCAGAUCUUUUUUAUGUACCUUUCUCAAAGUUCUUGCCGCACGUACACCGUUUUUCAUGUUUUGUGCAGGUGGGAUUGUAGUCUUCUGUAUCGCAGCUUAGUUGAAGAGGUAGAUGGUCAUACGGCUAUUCUCUAUCAUAGGCUUCAGCUGGACUGGCUUCCAAUGUAAUAGUCUCUUGAUUCAAUCAUCUCAUUUAUGCUUUGGUCAGAAUAGAACAUUUAUUGUUCUUCUUUCCCCUUUCCUCUCUUCUGAUGUAAUAUGUGAGGAAAUUACCUAAAAUUUCUGUAUCCCAAUGUAAUUGUUGGCAUUCAGAAAUAAAAUAAAUACACCGUCUUGUUUUUCCCUCGGUUCAGUCCUAAGUUCUCUUUGGGCCUUCUGCAAGUUUUUAAACAUACUGUGACAGUAAAAAAUCUAGUGAUUGAGAUCAUUUUGAUGAAUUUAAUUUUAAUUCUUAGCUGAUACUUUUUCUGGAAUUUUUUUCUUAUGUUUCCUCAAUAUGACUUAAAUAUAGGGCUUAGUCAUGGAUCAUGCACCAGAGUGAUGGAAGCACCCCUUGUUUAUUAGGAAAAGCAGUUGAUUGUAACUAUAUCCGCGGUCCUAAGUAGUUAGAAGUAAAUGCUCUUCGAAUUCCUAUAGUACAUGGGAUGUGUUCCCUUUCAAAUAGCUUGUUCAAUACCAUUAACAUGGUUUAACAUUGUUCAUCUUUCUGUAGAUUGAUGUUGACGUGUUCUUCUAGAGUUGCUAAUGGAGUUUUGGGCCUUGUAAUUGGUGUAAUUACGGCAUUGGUGGUUGACAUGGCUUUCCUUGUGCAGGUAUGUAUGAUUGUUUUUUUCCCCCACUUCUAAAUGACACGAGGGAAGAGACAUGAUUUUGAGAUAUUGUACUGCAAUUUGCAUAUUUGCAUACUUGAAUAGUAACUCAAGAAUCAUUUUCAGAAUGGUAUAAUGCUUCGUGUAUGCAGGCAAAUACUACAGAUGAAUUACCGGAGCGGCUGAUUGGAGCUGUACGUGUUUCUUAUAUAGAACUCAAGUCUGCUAUUGUCCCAAAGUUGGAACCAGAGACAUCAUGACUCUGGUUUCAUUUCACCUCAACUGUUUUUUUUUUAAUUGAAAAAAAAAAUCAUUUGUUUUAGGUAUGCAUACAUGUAUUUUGAUCCCGUUUUCAUUGUAAUUUCUCAUUUACUUUGAAAGAAAGUCACUGGUGUUUUCGAAUAGGAAUUUUGCAUUAAAAAAUAAAGAAUACUUAAUAGGAAACUUAAUAAUUCUUUAGUUACUAUUUUUGGAAUGAGUGUAAUAGUAUUGAAGUUGGUUUCUACUCGCAAUCAAGUGAACUACUCGAUCCCCAACUGCGACCGCACUAAUUGUCAUUGUUUAAUAGCCUACUACUUUUAAAACUCAACAACUAAAAAAAUGAUUUUCUUAUGAUGCUGUGAAAACAUUUAUGGGUUCACUUAUUUCCACAAGAUCUAUAACAUGGUCUUGACUUCACGAAAUUCUUUUAACUUAAAGGGUUCUGGUCUGAGAAAGUUAAUUUGACGGAUUAAUUCCUUUUAAUAAUGGUCGAGUUAAUUUUACUAUACUCGUAAAACUAUUAUUAUUCUGAUAAUGCCACAAAUGUUAUGAUGUUUUCUUCAGCCAAUAAUCUUCUAUUAGGACUAGUUAGAAAUCAAAUGCUUAAAACACCAAUUGAAUGAAUAAUGCAGAAGUUUAAACAGUAUCUAAUUGAAAAUUACAUGAAGCAUGAAACAUCAAUUCAAGUCCUUCCUUAAACAGAGAAUGCAUCAAACAAAUCCAAAGUGUCUUGCAUGUCUGUAAAUAAUUGUAAAUGCGUUUAGAUUAUUCAAGUACAGGAGAACAAGCAAGUUGAAUCAUGUACAAGAGGUUGGCCUGGUUCGAGAUAGCUUCUUCACAGUACCUGAAGGGUUGGCUCAAUCUUUUCUUUAGAAUUCUGCACAUUUUGUAAUUACUCGUGUAAGCAAGCAUACAUUACAACCAUAAUAAUAAUAAGGCAAGAGUAAUGAUACGACCACAGCCUCUUGUGCACAAAUAAUAUUGUACAAACUAAUAUGACAUAAUAUGAUUGAUUAAACAAAAACAUAACAUGACCCUCAUAAUUUAUUUAUUAUUAUUUUAUAUUUUCAGUCAAGCAAUCAUAUUAUGCCACAUUAAAUAGAAAUAAUUUACUAGAUAGUGCCAACACUUCAUUGAUACUCACCAUUUCAUUGAACAAUUUUUUUAUAGUGUCAUUGAGGUUGCCUUCCCAACAUCCUUCAUCAUCACCAUCUUCAUCUUCGGUGGGUUUCACUUUGUUUAGCUUUGGUGCGUCUACGACUCCUGGAGAGAAAAUCUUCAUCGUUGGGCAUUGUCUCACAACUACGUGUGCCAAGGACGGGAACUCAAGAGCGUAAUUACCCAAACUAAAGCUUGUUAGGCUUGGCAAACAAUCAAUUCCCAAGUACUCCAAUUUCCUGAAAACAAUGCAAUCUUCCGCUUCUUCUCCAACCUGCGACUGUAUAAUUUCUUCCAUCAUUUUGCAAUCAGUUAUCUUCAUUCUUUCAAGAUUCACUAGACUUUCAGAUGUUGAGAGUGUCAAUAAAUUUAUCAACCCAUGACACUUCGAUACUUCCAGAGUCGCAAGAUUUUCCAAAUGCCACAAAGCUGGUACUAAUUUCUGCAACUUACUACAUUCAAAUAUUUCUAGACUUUUCAAGUUUGCAAACACUUUGUUGGAUUCGGCAUUUUCCUUCCAGAGAUGCUGCACUUUGUGUAAUCCAGAUAGCUUUAACUUCAUCAAUUGAGGGAAUGCAACCUGAAAAUCAACAAAAUUAAGUUGUAAAUGAAAAUAUGUAUCCAAUCUCUACAGUCUUCCCCUACAUAUUUUAUGGACAAGAUUAAUCACGGCAUUUUAUAUUUUAUUUCCAAAUUAGUAUGCUUUGCAGUAGGAUCCCAAAUAUAAGUAUCAAAUCGAUUACCCUUUGAAACACAUAAAUGAAAUCUGAUCAUAAAUCCAAUAUGAAUUAGCUAGGAAAACAAAGAUCUAACACGCAUAAUUUAUGCGAUAUAGUUCAUCACCUCCUGUCACUAGGCAUCUAAUUAAUUUGAGACAUUUUUUUAAUUCAUACUAUAAAGUUAGUUAAUAACUACAAUUAUAUUGUUAAAUCAGAUAUAAAUUAAGACGACGUGCAAAAAGAUAAGUCAUUAAAUUUGAUUUGAUUCUAAUGAAAUUACAUCUAUGCGAAUGAAAGUGAAGGGAAAAAUAAUAAUAAUGAUUACCUUUUUAUCGAAGAGAUGUUGUAUUUGAUUAGCUACCAAGAGGUUCUCUUCUGAUUUUAAUUUUUGAGCUUCCUUAUUAUCUGCUGUCAUGUGCAAUACAGAUGUAGAAUUGGAUAUGAAUGUUUCCAUGUCAGGGCAAUUCUCAAUAGUUAGAUAUCUCAACUCAGGCAGUUCAAUUAUAUUCCCAGUGAAGUUGCAGAAUCUUUUGAGUUUUGGAAGAUCAAUGAGCCUUAGAUUGGAAAGCUUAGGAAACAUGGGGCCUAUAUGUUCUUUGUCAGCAUUUAGCUCUUCCAAACGAAGCACCUCUUCUAGUGAAUCACAAUUCCUCACUUCCAGCCGUCGCAAAUUGUUCAAGCAUCGUAGCAGAUUGGCAGGAAUAGCACUCGACAUAUUCGUGCAGUCAUCCACCACCAGCCGUGCUAAAUUGUUGAAGAAGCUGACAGGCAGUGCUUGGCCAUGCCAUAUUUCUUUCAAACGUGGAAAAUGUGAGAGUUGCAAAUACCAUAUGUCACGGAAUCCAAUCUGCACAAACCAAAACAAUUGCACCGGAUAUAUACAAUUUUUUUUUUGAAAGGCAUUAUAUAUAUACACAUUAAACUUACAUGUUUUGUGUUUUAACUUCUAAAAAUAUAUAUACAAGACCGGGGUAUAUGCUUAAAUGUGCAAUUGCAGGGGAGAUGCAUAAACAAUUUGGGUGAAUCGAUUAACACAUACCAUUUCUUUGUAAUACUUUUGCAUAAUGGAAUUAAGGUUAUUGCCUUCCCAAUGGUGCAGUUCACCCUCUUCCUUUUCAGUCACUUGCACUUUGCAUGGCUUUGGAAUGGAUAAGAUUCCCUGAGAAAAAGUCUUCAUAUUUGGACAACGUAUCAUAGAAACUCGUUCCAGUGAUGGGAAUUCAAGAGUGUAAUUCUCCAAACAAAAGCUGGUAAGCCUUGAUAAAUAAUUAAGUAUCAAAACUUUUAAUUCGCUGAAAGCAAUACGAUUCUCCUUCACUUCUUCUCCAACAUGUCCUACGAUUUCUUCUAUUUUUUGGCACUUCGAUACUUUAAGAUUCACCAAACUACUAGGAAUUCCAACCUGAAAAUAAGCAAAAGUGUGUGUAUAUUAAAAAAGUAAAAAUGUAAGAAUAUCAUUCAACUAGGUUCAAAGUAUGUUUAAUCAUACAAUUAUACGUUUUAUAAAGAUAACAAACCAUGAAAUGUCUACAAGAUAAUUUUUUGUUAAACAAAAAAAGCAACAAGAUAAAUAAAUAAAUAAAAGCCAGAUAAACAAAGAUAUUAAAUGCAUUUACACUAUUUAGUAUUAGGAACGUACGAAGAAUUUAAGGCAAUUUCUAAAUAUUUUAGACUUAUUUUGCAUCUUGAUGCCAGUUUUUAAACAAAAUUUGCAAAUUUCAACUAUUCCUUUUGGGAAAAAAAAAUCAACCAAAAUGCCGCUUUUUCCCUUUUCCCUUGGUCCCUUUUUUUUAUGUAUAUUUAAUUUUGGAAACAAAAUUAAAGUGGAUCUUUAUUAAGUACUUCCAGACUCGAGGAAAUUUCUUUACAAUCAAGGAUCAGUUGUAAAUAAUCGUGAAUUUGUGGUUAAUUAAUGGCAUAAUCAGUUCGUAACUAAACAAGAGAUAUUAAUUAAAUUUGAAGACUUUUCUUUUCUUUUUUUCUUUUUCCAAUCGAAAUGUGAAGAAUUAAGGAAAAGAGAAAUAUAUAGAUGAAUUUGUGAACCUAUAAGAUGAGUGACUAUCCUUUAAUUUUUGAAAAUUGUACUUAUUAAGAUAUGAGCAGAAACAAUUAAAUUGAAUUAUAUUAUGAUGUUGAAUCGUGAUUAAAAAAAUUAUAUUGUUGAUUCUAAUGCUGGCGAACCUAAAAAAUGGACUUAAAAUGUAGAUUUGAGAGUGGUGGUUCGAAAUACAAUACUUGAAAUAAAUAAUCAGUGGCUGAAUAUCAUUUGUAAACCCAAAAAUGGUUAAAAUAUUGUUGGAUGUAAUUUAAAAAAAAAAAGAUUCGAAAUGAAUACAACGACCUUACCAAUGGAGGAAAAAUAUUCAUUAGGUUAUGACACUUAUAUAUCUCCAAAUUCUUCAAUUUGCUGAAAGACUCCGAAGGAAGCUGGUGGUGCCAUAUUUUUCUCAAAUUAUUCAUCCAGCUAAUAUCUAAUACCUCCAACCUAGGAAGUCGUACCUGGAAGUUAAAGAUUAAAUAACUAAUUAAUCAAUUAAUGGCAUAAUCAAUUGAUAACUAAAUUAGAGGCGGAUAUUAACUAAAUUUGAAGACUCAAGGAAAAGACAAAUUAAGUAUUGUGACUAAAAUUAAUUUUAUUUAUUAAAAAAAAAACCUUUUCGUCAAAGAGAGGAGGAGGUUGCAUUUCAGAAUGAUUGGUGUCUUCUGGUGAGCUCGUAGAGAUGAAUCUUAACAUAUUACUGCAAUUACCAAUCUCGAGGUUUAGCAAAGAAGGGAAUUCAACAACUAAAUCUGAAUGAAUAUGUCCUGUAUUGGCGAAGCUUGUCAGUUCUGUAAGCCAAUAGAGCUGCAGGGAGUGUAGUUUAGGAAAAACCUUUAAUUCAAUCAACUUUCCUUCAUCUCUUUCUGACCACCCCGUGGUGUCGACUACCCCUUCCAUUGACUCACAAGACCAUAUUUCAAGAUGUUGGAGUUGCAAAAGACUAUUAACCAUAGAAUACGAAAACAGAUACUUCAUACGAUCACAACUUCUCACGUACAGCUUUGUUAAAUUUUGACAACAGUACAUUCCUUGAUUAUGAUCGGCCCAUAAUUUUUUGAUGUUUCUUAAUUCCGUGAGAUUCAAUUCCUCUAAGCUCGGAAGAAGAACCUGCAAAGAAAAGCCGUACAUUUUUGUUCCUUCAAGUACAACCGUCUAGUAUAAUAUUCUGUUGAUGAUCGAAGAUUAAUCGUGAUAAUAAAUUAAUCAAUUAAUUAUUGAACAGAAAAUUAUCACCUUUGGAGCAGUAUCAUCAUCAGCAAUGAUUUCGUUGAAUCCCAAAGAAGUUGUUGGUUUCUCCCUGUCGGGUCCUGUAAACAAACAAAAACAAUAUACAUAAUUAAUCUUUGUCGUUGUCUUUUUUUUUUCAAAAUAAUUGAGGCGAAGUCCAUAAAUCCACCAACACUUAAUUUCAACACUUACCAACAGUCAUUUCCAGUUUAUUGCAGGAAGCCACUUUGACCUUUUGAAGCCGCAGUAGGUUUCUGGCUAUGGAAAAUGAGAAAAGAUGCUUCAAUUUAUCACAGGAUUCUACUUCUAUAAUCUUUAAGUUGCUGAAAAAUUGAUCUUCUCUGAGUUGGCUGUGGCAUAUGGCCUCCAAAUUGAUCAAUUUAUAGAGAGACAAUGACUCCAGCAAGGGGAAGACUUUGCGAUGAACCCGUCCAACUGAACCGACAAUGUGUAAAAUCUCAGAACACCUUUCUACCCAAAGAUGCUUCAAUCGUGGAAAACCUUCCCCAUCAUCUAAUUCAUGAACAACAUUCUGAACACCCGUCAGUUCCUCUAGACGGAUAUCUUCAGUUAACUUCAGCAACAUUUUCAUCCCAUAAUUCUCCAAAAGAGUGCUAACAUUUUCUAACCCAUGGAGCUGCACCAAUCUUGAUGUUUCAGAAUUAGCGCGCCAGAUGCCCCACGCUUCUCCUAUACAUAUCCUAUAUCUUGGCAAUUCGACAAAGACCAAAUCCUGCGGCAGCAUUUGGGCAUCCUGAACUUGUAUCUCCAAAGUAGUUAGCUUUGACAGCCCCUUCAAUUCAGCAAGACUGGCGUUACUUCCUCCUUCAACCUUAUCCCACUGCGGAAAGCUGUCACCCAUAUAUAGUUCUUCCAAUCGAGAAAAUUUUGAUAUGACAUUUGGUGCUAUCACUACAAGGCUGCUACAAUUGCUCAAAUCUAGCAAUUGUAACUGCGCCAAUUGACCAAUUUCAAGUGGCAACUGCUUAAUGUCGGAAUAUCGAAAGCUAAGAAUCUCUAAUUUCUUUAGCUGUCCAAUUGCCGCUACAUCUUCUAGUUGGCACCAGUCUAAACACAAUGUUUGAAGGUUAAUGAGGUGACCAAGUGAUGAAGAUAAUGAAGAGAAAUGAAUUCCGCUAAGACUUAAAACUUUGAGAUCUUCCGUCCCUUCAAAAAAGAGGUGUGAAAUUUCCAAAUAGCUAUCACCAUUUGCAAGCAACAGUAAUAACUUGAGUUGGGGACAUUCCAACCUUUCGGGAAGCUCUUGAAUAUCUCCAUAAGGUAUAGAAAUAGCAAUUGCACCUUUCUGUAUGAUCUUUUCUAUCUCUUCCUUCAAGUUGGUAACAUUUGGGAUACUAAACAUGAGCUUCUCUGAGGCAAUUGAUACGGCAACAACAUGAAUGACGUCAUGCAUUUUAACUUCAUCUUCAGCAUCGCCGUCCAACAAUAAGCAUGAAGCUUUGAGAUUGUCGAUCAAUGCGUCCACUCUAUUCCUUGCAUUUUCCAAUGUGCGAACAUUUUUAAACAAACCCUUACCAUAUCUCAACAAGGAAGCAACUUGUAUAGGAGUACCUUCACCAAAUAGAGUACAAAGAAGGAACAAAGAUUUUGCUUCAUCACUUUCCAAGAAGUUGUAACUCAAUUCUAUGGAAGAGCAGACAUUUGCAUCCAUUCCAUGAAUUUCUCUUGGAUUAGAAUUUCGCAGCUGAGUCAACGCAUCCUUCCAAACGGGAAGCUUCUUAUUUUUCAGAGCAUUUGCAACUGUACUCAGUGCAACAGGCAAUCCUCCACAUUUUCCAACAAUCUCAUCUGCUAAAGGUUGAAAAGCAGAUGCUUUUGCGGAAUUGCCCACGAUCUUUUCAAAAAAUUGCAAUGCUUCUUCCUUUGAUAAAACUUCAAUUAGGAAAAUCUUCUGAGAAUUCAUAUCAUUGGUCAAUAAAUGUUUACUUCUAGACGUCAAUAUUAUCGUGCGUCUCCUUAGAUCUUGCUUUCUAUCUUUCUCAUCAACAUCCCCAAAAGGAAUUCCAAUUUCUUCCAACCCAAGUUUUUUCCAAAUAUUAUCUAAUAUAAUGAGGACUCGCUUCUCUUUCGUCAAUCUUUGACAAAGUUGUUUUGCUCUGUGGGGUUUGCUAUCAUUCAAGUCAAAGUUCAAGUCUAAAUCGGAAGCGAGCUUGUCUUGAAUUUUCUGAACAUCUGGGUUCUCUGUUACCUCAGCCAUAACGACCUUAUCGAACACCUUAUCUUCCAUAACUUGCUUUGCAAUUUGCUUGACUAGCGUGGUUUUACCCACGCCGCCCAUACCGUGGACCCCAAUUAUGUUGAGCUUAUCAUUCCUCAAUGCCUCCACAACAUCUUGAAAUAAUUUCAUUCUUGAAUCAAAGGCCUCGAAAUCUUUCGCUUGCAUAUGUUCUGUACUCUCUGGAGCAGGACGGUGGGAAACACUAGAGAAGUUGCCUUUUCCCACGAGACUAGCGGCAGCUUCUGCGGCCUUUGCUGCUUGUUUACUAAGUUUAUAACGAGAAAUCAAGUUGGGGCAAAAUCCUUUGAAGCAGGACUUCUUAGCUCUAUCUUCAUCAUCAAUGAUGGAUUUUGCAACCCCUUCACUGAUGAAUUCAUCAACGUUAUUAAGCCAGUCUGCAACAUCCUUGUAAAUCUCAUCUCUUUGUUGAGUAGCCUCACGAACGGGUAUUCCCACCCUUUCUCUUUUAUAUUCUAGCUCCUUCACUUGAACUUUUAGCUCAGCUAUGUAGCUCUGGUACUUGAACACAUAAGAGAUCUGCCGCAUAAUCGGUUCGAACAAUGCCUUUGCACCUUCUGUUACAAUGCCGGAAAAAGUAGUGGAAACCAGGUCUGCAGCCAUUGCCUAGCCUGUUGCUUUCAUACAUACAUACAUACAUAUAUAUAUAUAUAUAUUAGCUGUUGGAAAAAUUAGAUUCAAAUAAAUUAAAAUGAACUAGGGGAAAGACGGAGAAAGAAAUGACAACCAACAACUUUUUAAAAAAAGGUUUCAAGGGCCUGAAUGGAAAACCAACAAUUUAAAAAAAAAAUUGUAAGAUGGAUGCAGAUUAACCAUUGCUAAUAUUACAUAAGAACACAGAAGUUAACAAUGAACAGUACGUAGAAAAUUAAAUGACAAGAUUAAAACAAACAAGGGCUAUUUUUUCUUGGACAAUUGUACCUAUUUAAUUAUUAAAGAGUUAAUGACCUUCACUGCUGGCCUUGAAUAUAUAAGAACGACCAGAAGAUGAAUAUUAACUGCAGACGAAUGUAAGUAAAGAGUUCAUGAGAGUGAGUAAUACAAAUGAAUUGUAAAAGAACAAGACUUAAGUGUGACCCCAUCUUUUGUUUUAUUAUAUAAAUAGAACACAUGAUCAUUUUUAACAAAGUGAUCAAUAACUCUAUGCGUUAUUUAAUUGAUAUUGUAACCAAUUUUAAGGGAAUUUAAUAAUAAUCAUUCAAUGCAUAAAUUUAAAAUUAGAUUUUUUUAAUUCUUUAUUUAAAUAUAAAUCUUAAUGGAAAAUUAUAAAAAUUUAGAGAUAAAAUUUUUCAAUCACCAAGGAAAAAAAAUGGGAAUGAAAACAGAGGAAUCUUGUUUUACCUUUUUUUUUUUUUCCUUAACUCUUGUUCCUAUACAAAUAAUCUUGUUUUGAUGAUAGUGCUCGUGACUAUGGGAAAAUUUCUAAUGGAAACAACUCAAUUUCGGAAGAUAAGCUUAAUUCUGCAAGUGAUGAAUUUGUUCAAUUGACUCUGUACUUGAACUCGUUGGAUUGGUUGAUUUACGAUUGACUGCAUUUCAAUUCUGCCUAAAAGAUCUUUUUAAUAGCUAUCAUGUACUCCUUAAAAGCAAUCAUUUUUAGAUUUGACUGAAUUUGAACUUGUUGGAUUGGCUGUUUUUAGAUUAUUGAUAUGAGAUACUACAAUGUAAACAUUUUCAUGUGGCUGAGCCCUAUUCUAAAAUCUGUAUGUUGCUUUAGAAAAAGGGCUUUUCCUACUGAUAUUUAAUCUUCAAGUAAACUUAGAUAUAAAGUAAAUCAAAUAAAAUGACAAACAAGCAAUAUAAUAAAAGACAACAAACUGGCAAUAUUGAUACAAAGGCAACAGAUAUUAAACUUUAGGACAUUUUUUUCCUAGCUUUCAUUUGUUGGAGGAUUAGAGAUUUUGGUAUUACCGGAAAGCUAAAAGGUUUCAAGGGUCUGAGUAGAAACCUAUAAUCUUUUUAAAAACUUUCUUUUUCUUUUUUCUUUUUUCUUUUUUUGGGGGGGGGGGGGGGGGGGGGGGGGGAAGAAUGCAAGUUAACCAAACGAAAUAAUAAGAGCACAGGCUUUAACAAUGAACAAUAACUUAAAACUCAUGCAAAGUAAAUUCAAUAUUAAAACAAACCAGAGAAAUUUUUUUUCUUGGAAAAUAGAUGGAAAUUAUGAAAGAACAGAUGUCAAGAUCAAAGAUCUACUAUACACAAACACACACAUUAGAGGAUUUGGAAAAUGUGCACCUCUUUAAUUAUCUGGGAUUAGAGAGUUGGUGAGAUUCUCCAUUUGGCCUUGAAUAUUUAAGAACAACCUCAAAGAGCAAAAAGAUCACCGGUAACUGCCGAGGAAUGUGUAAGAAAAGGGUUGAUGAGAAUAAUAACAUUGACUUGCAGAAGAAAAAGCAUUAAUCAAGCACCCCUUUUUUAUAUCAUGUAUUUGGUUAUUGUUGCCCUGUUUACGCACGUAUAGGAUAAUUAUAUGCAAUCUUUUUUUAAAAAUCCACAUGCACUUUAGGGCUUCUUUCAUAAAAGCAGAUACCGGAAACACACAAAAAUCAUUUGAGAGAGAAACCGAACAGCAAAUCAUCAAAGUAAGAUCAACAAUAUAUGAUUUGAUUAAUGCAUAUUCAAGAACAAAACAAAAAUAAAUAAAUNNNNNNNNNNNNNNNNNNNNNNNNNNNNNNNNNNNNNNNNNNNNNNNNNNNNNNNNNNNNNNNNNNNNNNNNNNNNNNNNNNNNNNNNNNNNNNNNNNNNNNNNNNNNNNNNNNNNNNNNNNNNNNNNNNNNNNNNNNNNNNNNNNNNNNNNNNNNNNNNNNNNNNNNNNNNNNNNNNNNNNNNNNNNNNNNNNNNNNNNNNNNNNNNNNNNNNNNNNNNNNNNNNNNNNNNNNNNNNNNNNNNNNNNNNNNNNNNNNNNNNNNNNNNNNNNNNNNNNNNNNNNNNNNNNNNNNNNNNNNNNNNNNNNNNNNNNNNNNNNNNNNNNNNNNNNNNNNNNNNNNNNNNNNNNNNNNNNNNNNNNNNNNNNNNNNNNNNNNNNNNNNNNNNNNNNNNNNNNNNNNNNNNNNNNNNNNNNNNNNNNNNNNNNNNNNNNNNNNNNNNNNNNNNNNNNNNNNNNNNNNNNNNNNCCCCAGGGGAAAAUCUGGAAUUCCUUUUUUUAAUUUUUUUUUUUUUAAAAAAACCCCACCGGAAAUUCUUAAAAUUUGGAAAAAAAAAUUUUGAGUCCCUUAUUCUGGGGGGGGGGGGGGGGGGGACGAAAACAGAGGAAACUUGUUUUACAUUUUUUUGAUCUUAACUCUUGUUCUUAUAUAAUAUUUUCCCUGGGAUUUCAGGCAAACCAAACAAAAAAAAAAAAAUUCAAUAAAGAGCAAGUUGCUCUAAUUGAUUUAUCUUGUUUUUCAGGCUAUUUUGUGACAUGAUGAUAUGUAAUGCUCUUGAAUGCUAGAAAAAUUCUAAUGCAAACAUUUUUGCAAAUGACGAAUGUAAAUAACUUUUUUUGAUUAAUUGAAUCUCUAAUACUCUUACCCUAUUCUAAAAUUUGUAGGUUGCUUCAGAAAAAAAGGGUAUUUCUCACUCAUCUUCAAUCCUCAAGCACAAUUAGAUUAAAAGCAAAUCUAAUAAAAUAACAAACAAAUUAACAAAAAAAAGAAAAAGAAAAAAAACAAUGUUGAUCUUGAGACAAUUGAUACUUAAACAGAGAAUUCUUUGUUCUUUUUUUACUCCCCCUGGCUCGAGGAUUAGAGUCUUUCUUUGCUAUUAACAGAGAGGUUUUAAGGGUCCGAAUAAAAACCCGCGCUUUUUUUAAAAACUUCUUUUUUUUUUUUUAUUGGGGAAGAUAGAUUCAAAUUAACCAAAGCUAGUAAUAAGAACACAGGCCUUACAAAUGAACAAUAACUUACAACUCAAGCAACAUAAAUAAUAAGAUUAAGACAAACAUGAGAUUUUUUUCUUCGAAAGUAGAUGGAAAUCAAGUAAGAACAGCUAUUAAAAGAAAUUACUAGAGAAUUUAGAACAUGUGUACCUCUUUAAUUAUUUGGGAUCAGAGAGUUGAUGAGCUCUCUAUUCGCCUUGAAUAUUAAGAACUGGUAUUAAAAGAAAUUAUGAAGAACAAUUUUAGUGAGCGAUAGAUCACUGUUAACUUCAGAGGAAUUUGUGAGUAAAAAGCUGAAAAGAGCCGUAAUAAUGAAUUACAAAAGAAGAAGACUUAAUCAAGCACCCCUUUUAUACCCGAUUUUUAAGAUUUAGUCUUGAAGUUCACAAUCAAGAACAAAGACGAAGCUUUAAUAAAGCAUGCAGUGAGAUACAAGAAAUGGAUCGGGCAAAAUACCUUACGAAGCGUUUCAUAUUUUCUAAUGAAAUAAUUAAGUUGAAGUUUUCGACGAAUAAAUACUUGUUGUGCUUGAAUAAUUUUGGCAUAUACGUUACUUGUAUCCUGCGAAAUUGAAAAGCACAUUGGUUUAUUAGAGCUUAUUAGGAGGGAAAAGCUUUGUAAGAUACCUGAUAAAAGAUAAAGUAAAAGCUUGAAUGAAGAAUGACAUUUUAGAAAGAAACUAAAGUGCAAUCAUCAAAGUGGGAUCAAUAGUGACUUGAUAUUUCAAUUGUUCUGUCCACAAAUGAUGCUUCGUUAUUACUAAUUCCAGAUGGACAUUAUUAGAAAAUGAUCUUAUGUUUAACAGAAAAAUAAAAACUCGUCAUCAUACAAAACAGCGUGAAGAAAUCUUCAAUUUGAUUAUUAUAAAAUAAUAAGUUUCAUUACUAGAUUAUGCGGACAUUAAUGUUAGAGAUUUGAUCAGAUUAUCAUAUAAUUUACUAAACGCUUUGAGAAGAACAAUAAUUAAUUUUUAAAAAAUUGAAAAAUAAAUUAAAUAAAGAGUACACGCAAAUAAUGUUACUUCCAAUCACCAAACUGAAAAACAGGGGAAUGAUAACAGACGAGUCCCUGAUUAUCCUCUCUCUCUCUCUCUCUUUUUCAAUCUCUCUCUUUGAUAUCCAUAUCUGAGCAUCAGAGCUUGACAUCUUUGAUAAAUAAAUAUGCUUACUGGUACUGUUUUUGCAUAUGUCUUUCACAAAAUCAUUGUAUACGCUUACAUAGAGAAGAAGAUUCAGAUAACUUUCAAAAUCUGAAUCCGCCUGAUGGACAGGCUUGACCACACAGCCCCGAGACAAGGAAGUCCAAGCAACUAAUCUAAACCGUUCUCCUUUAUUAGCUAGAUUUAGUAUUUGGGUUCUUUAUGUAAAACGACACUAUGAUCUUGAAAUUUUGAUUUAAUUAAUAAAUAGUUAAAUUCUUAAUGUUUCAGGAGUAGAUACAUAGACUCUCUUCUAAUUUUAGUCAUUACAAACAAUGCCAUUGUGCGGUUAUACUAUUGCUUCUUUUAUGAAACCAUUCUCACCAUCACAUAGAUCUUGGCAUAUAGAGUCUCAUAAUGUCAUCAAAUAAUUUUUUUUUUUUUUAAAAACAUAAAAUAUGAUACAUGUAUUCAUUUUUUUUCAAAUUAGGGUGUAUUAUUCUUAAAACUUAAGUGUUCUACUUAUAAAUAUCUUGAAGGUGUGAGUGUUUUCUUUUCGUAAACAAACCGUAAAAGAAAAAGAGGAACAAUAAUUUUUUACUUAUCCUUAGAGAUAAGAUUCAAUCGGGAUGUGAGUAAGUGUGUUUUUCUUUUUUUAUUAUGCUAAAUUAUCGAGUCACAAAGCAUAUUGAUUCAAAAGUAUAACUUUAUACUGAUGAUAGAUAAUUUCAAAACAAUGGAAUGAAAACAGAGGAGCUCCCCCCUCCCCCACCCCAAUCCCCGCCCCCCCCCCCCCCCCCCCCCAAAAAAAAGUUCUUCUUCUUUUAUAUAUUUUUCUUGGAAUUUUAGGUAAAAGAAAAAAAAAACUGAGAUUGAUUUCAAGGGAACAGGUGGAUAAUAACUAAAAUACUUAUUUUUAUAUAUUUGAUAUGUGCGCUCACUAUUAAUAGAACUUAUUAGAUACUACAACUUAAAUAACUUCCCAUGGUUGAUUGAGGGUAUGUUUGAGAUUUCCUUUACUUUCCAAGAAUUAAUUUCUACCUUGAUUCUGAACAAAAAAAUAAUUUUACAAAUAAUCUAUUAGGGUGUUUGGUAAAUGAUGAUUAUUUGACAAUCAAUUUUUAAACGGUUUACUAUACAAAUCUGGUAAAUGAAAAUUAAAAGUGUAAAAUGUUCAUGUACAAUGACAAAAAUGUACUUGUUUACUUGUUUGUAAUUUAUUUAGAAUAUUAUUAUUUAAAUCUUUUUUUAUUUACAAGAUUUUUUAAGAGCAUAUUCUAUUUUCUUUAUUACAUAUUUAAAUAAUUUUUUAUUAACUAUUUUAAUUUGCAAUAAAAUUAACUUCAAUAUCUUUUUAACUAAAAAAUUUGUUAUGUAGUUCGUGAUAUAACAAAUACUAACAUAUCAUUAGUUUGAUUAAUAAAUUAAGUGCAAAAAAGAAAAUGCAAAAAUUUAAUCUUUAUAUAAACUUUUAUGUACAUAAAAUCAUUGUAAUCAAACUAGUUCAUAGAAAUAUAAUAUUAUAUACAUGUGUGUAAAAAAAAAAAACAUAUGACCAUAAUAUUAUCCACUCAUUAAACUUGCUGCACUAUUAUUUCUCAAUCUCUCCAUCUCUCGACCUUCAAGAACAUUACUACCAUAAUCUUCUUCUUCUUGAAUCCAACCUCUAUUUCCUCAUCAUCAACAAUGCGACCAAUUUGCCUUGAUAGCCUUUCAACUAGAAUAGAGUUGGCAGUAGAUAUUUUAGUACUCUCAAACUAUGCCCAAACAGGGUCACCAGUGAUUGUUGUAUUAAAAGACAUUCUAUUUAAUUUUCCUCUGACUCUGGGUCGAUACCUUUUAUGCAAAAUCUAUUUACUUAAGGAAUUUUCUACACAUGUCGAUAUCAUAUUAAAGUGAAUUCAGAUCCUAUAUUAUUGACAUUAAAAUUUAGCCGAAUAGUAAAAAAUUUCCCUUUUUGUUUGUCACACAACCAUAUAGUCCCAUUUUUGGUUAUAAGCUCACAAUAUGUAAGGGAAAUGAAGAUCUAUUAAAACUUUCCCAUAAUAUUAAACAUUAAACAAUAUCAACAUUUUGUGCAUAUGGUGCCUCAUCAACAAUUUGAUGUUCAUUUUGUUGCUCGGAGGAAUAUGACUACCUAUUAAUUAAUUAGCAAGAAUUGCGUUGCGAGUCCAUGUUUUUGUCGUUUGGAUGGAGGAUGUGCCAUCUUUUUAUUGUAGAUGCUUUGUAAGGCUUUUGAUUUAAUGAUUUAAUGCAGUCAAUUAACAAAAGCUUACAUAUAUUAUUAUGUAGUUGCUGAGAUGUCUGUUCUUGAUAAAGUCGAUUUAUUUACACCCAAGCCAACGGAAUCAAAGCCUUUUCGUUAAUAAUAUACACGGUAAUUGUUUUUGUUAAAUUGAUUUCUGGCUAACAAGAUAUUUGAAAGCAUUUAGGUAGCGUUUACAUUUUGCGUUGGAGUGAGAAUCGUGAGAAAUGAGAAUCCUGGGAUUAGGAGUGUGGAGUGGGAGUCGAAGUAUGUUGUUUACUUACACUGAAAUGGAAGUAUGGAAUUGAAAUCAGAAUCCAAUUUAUUUGUUUACAUUGUCUUAGAUUGUGAGUAAUGAUUUUAAAUUACAGCUUUACUCUUAAAGAAUUAUAGUUAUUAAUUACAAAAUUAAUAAAAAUUAUAUUUUUAAAUUAAUAAUAAUUAUUAAUAUUCUUAACUAUGUAAAUCACAAUUAUUUUAUUAAUUUUAAUUUUAAUUAUAUAAAUAAAAAAUUAUUAAUAACAACAAUACAAAUGAAACAUUAUUAUUGAUAAUAUAGUACAAAAUUAAUUUUUUUAGAAUAAAAUAUUUAUUAUUAUUAAUUACUAAUAUUAAAUAAAUAUAAUAGUAUUAUUUUUAAAUAAGUAUAAUAAUAUUAUAUUUUCAAAUAAAAAUAGAAUAUAGUAAUAUUAUUAAUUCUUUAUGAAUAUAAUGAUAUUAUUUUUAAGUAAUUUUAACUUAGAAUCAAUGUAAAUUAUUAUUUUUAACCAAAAAAUUAAUAUUAUUUUAAAUAUGUUUAAUAUUAUUAUUUUUAAUAAAUUUAAUUUAUAAAAUAAUAAAAUAUUAUUAUUUAAAUAAAUAUGAUUUUACUUAUUUUAUUAAAUUUAAUAAAAUAAAUAUGUUUAAUAUUAUUAUUUUUAAUAAAUGUAAUUUAUAAAAUAAAAUAAUAAUAUAAGUUAAAUAAAUAUGAUAUUAUUUAUUUUAUUUUAUUAAAUAUAAGGGUGAAAAAGGAAGAGAGGCGAGUGAAUUUCCACUCCCACCUUCCUCCAUGGGAGUGGGAAUCUCACUCCCCCACUCCAAAAUUAGGUGGGAUCCACGGAGUGGAAUUCUCACUUCCCCUUUGAAAAUUGUAAGUAAACACUGGAGUAAGAGGAAUCCACACUCCUCACUCUCACUCCAAAAAGUAAACACUAUAUUAAAGAAGUCAUUGACUUAUAAGAAAGCCAUGAUUAAAUACACGGCGAAGCAUGUGAGCUCGUUUUUCAAUUUCUUUGAUCACUCAUAAGUAGGGGUGGGCAAAAUCGGAUUCGGAUUGGGUUCGGGUUGAUUUGAUCAAUUUCGGAUCAAUCGGGUUGGGGAAAAAAUCAUCCGAACUCAAUCCGAAUUAUUAACCCGAUCCAAUCCGAUCCGAAUAUAAUUCGGAUCGGAUUGGAUCGAAAAUUCGGAUUAAUUCGGAUUAGAUUCAGAUUUAAAAGCAUUCGGGUUAUAUAUCCAUUCUAUAUUUCUGGGUUAAUUUCAGAAGCAAUCAAGUAAAACAAUCAACCUUUUCUCAAGAUAUAGUUUUGUUUUAAGCUUUUUAAAUUAAAUUAUUUAAAACAAUAUAGUCAAUACCACCAAAAACUUGGUGACAGUGAAUGUGGAGGUGAAUUUAGUUGUAGCAGUUGUGGUAACCGGUGAAGCUAGUGGCAGCAAGCGGUAGCAGUCGAGGUGUAGUAGAUUCCAUCGGCACGUUGCGGUUGCAGCGAUGGCUUAGCUUUGAACGAUCGCGUCGGUGACUGAUGGCUGCUGGUUCACGCAGUUGCAUCUCCGAUUUGCUGGCUGCUGCUUCUUGCGGUUGCAUCUCCGAUCUGCUCGCCGCUGCUUCGCUGACAUCUCCGAUCUCCGAUGGUUUGGCUUCGCACGAUCACAUCGGUGAUUGCUGGCUGCUGGUUCGCGGCUUCGCGCGGCCGCAUCUCCGGUCUGCUGGUUGCUGCUUCUUGCGGUUGUAUCUCCAAUCUGUUGGCUGCUGCUUCGUUGUUUGGCAUCUCAACAUUUCCGAUCUCCGAGGCCAAACCUCUAUUUGUGUGUGACCGUGUGUGAUGUGAGUGUGUGUGUGUGCACUUACAGAUUAUUUUAAUUUAGAUCUAAGAUUUGCUUUUUGUGUGGUGUGAAUCCGAUUUUGUUGUGUUUGCCACUUUGUUAGUUUGUUACACAGUUUUUUUUUUAAGCCAACCCGAUCGGGUUUUCGGAUCGGAUCGGGUUUCAUCCGAUCCGAUCAUGAUCCGAUCGGGUUGGCAAAGUUACAUCCGAUUGGAUUUUGUUAACAAUCCGAUCCGAUCUGAACCCGAUAUUUUUUGGGUCAGAUCGGAUCGGAUCGGGUCGGAUAUUUUGCCCAACCCUACUCAUAAGCUUUUCUAUACCACUCACUAUAUCAUCCUUUUAAGUCAAUUUCGACUGAUCAUCAGAGAUCAUGCACCCCACCUUGAGAUGAUUGAUCACCAAUUUGGCAUUGUAACGUUGAUCACCUCUAAUUGCCCAUGCUAAAAUUGAGACCCCACAGCCAAUUGCUUCUACAGUUGAAUUUUAUCCACAGUGAGAUAAAAAUCCACCUAUUAAUUGAUAACUCGGCAUCAAUAAUUGUGGUGCCAUUCCAUCUAUUAUCAAACCCUUUUUACCGGCUUUACUAUCUAAACCACUAUGAAAAUAAGCUGGUUAAAUGACGUGGAGGAUCCAAUCUAUUUACAUCAGUUUGAAUUACCUAAAUAAUCGGUGGAUUUGAUGCUUCUAAAUCAUUGGCUAAUGUUGAAUAAUCAUUUAAGGUGGGACCCAUUUCGGUACCAAAUGACAUGUAUAACACUGAUCCACAUGAUUUCAAAUCUAACCAUUGAAUGAUCUCAUCUUUGGUCAUGUUAGAACUCCGCCGGUUGGUUCUCAUCUCACAAUCACGAAGCACUGAACCGGUCGAUUUGUAAAAUUGUUCAGGUAACAAUGGGCCCACUCCCCACACUAGCAUCAACACCAUCGAUCCCUCCACUUGCUUCAUCCAGUGUGGUUGAUCACUCGGUUCUGAUGGACCUAUUUUCUCUGAACCGGGUGCACCUCACAAAGGUUGUGGGCCACCAGGAAGGGACCCGUGAGGCCUGCGUUUAAGAUCUGAUUGGAAUAAAGCAACAUCCUUGGGUAACCCAAGAAGUAAAUGGGCCUCUCCCGGUUUGGCAUCCUGGAUGCGAGCCUGCCACAUGGCACACUCCACAGCUGCUGAGCAAGCAUCAGAAGUGAAGAACCCAACAAUGGGAACUUCAAAAUUCUUGAAAACAUCAGCCGUCCAGCCCAUCAUAACGCCGAUGACUACGCAAACAGGUCGGCUUUCGGGUUCCGGGUUGAAAGGAGGUUUCGAAGACCCUGAAGCAUUUGGUUGUGCAUGACAACAUGGAGGUAAGAAGGAGGCGAUGGUAGUAGUGGAGAUGAGGAGGGUAUUUCGGUAAUUUCACAUAGAGGGUAUUGGUGAAGAGAGGAAGGGGUGAUGCUGGUGGUGGAAACGUGAGAGGGAAUAAUGAGGGUAGAUUUGUAAUUACGAGAAGCAAUUUGCUUGCAUAAUUCAAUGCAUGGAAACAGAUGUCCCUGACCGAAGAACGGGACAAUCCAAAUCUCAGCCUCAGCAGCAUUCGCAACAGAGCUUGACAUCUUUUAUGAAUUAUUUGAGACUUAAUUGUUAUUGACUGCUUUUGCCAUCUUUCAUAAAACAUUCUUUGUUAUAUAUUCAAGUAAAUAAAUUUAUCGUUUAAAAUUAAUUUUUCAUGUGGUAAAAGCAAUACUAAAUAUGGGGUGGAGAGAAUAAUUUGUAGGGCAUACCCCCACCAUUUAUUUAAUUUCAUUAAAAAAGAAAGAAAAGAAAUAAAGGCUUGUUCAACAUUCAAUUAAAAUUAACAAUUCCAUGAUAAAAUUACUUGAGAAUAAAAAUUUUUAAAAAAAAAGUAACUCAAAAACGAGGAAUUUUUGAGUAACUGAAGAACCAUAGAUGUUUUUUGGUCAUGAGCAAUUUUUGAGUUGACACAGAACUUGUAUAAAAAAAAUAGUUUUGAAAACUUCUUUUCUUUUUUCGUAAAUAUAGAUAUAAAAUUUUAAAAUCACCAAACACAAAACCAGGAAAAUGGAAGGAGAGCCCCUGUUUCUCCUAUGUUGCAAGCACAAAUUCGGUUUCUAAAGUUGUACCUUCUAAAUGCACCAUUUGUAUUGCUUUGUCUCCACUUGAGCUAACGGAAUUUGAUGAAAACAAAAUAAUUGAACGAUAGGGAUAAAUAUCAAAGAAGGAGCUUACAUGCCCUAUAUAUUCUCUUUGGAUGAAUAACGAAGGUGAGCUUUCAAAGUACAGAGAUUUACAUGUUUUAAUUGUCAUUUACAUUGCUGCAUGCUAAUUGCUUGAUAAAAUACCGCAACAAAUACGCAUUCUCGAUUUCUUAUAAAUUUAUUUUCUUACUCUGAAAAAAAUUGAAUGUUUAGAGAAUUUUGAAGGUUUUGGUGUAUGCAUUAAUAUUUUGAUUCUAUUUAUGUUGUUUAACUAAUGAAGAUGAUACAUCUAGCCUCUUUUUGCCCCUUGUUGUUUUUAUUCUUGUGCUUUAUAUACGGUUCAAGUGUGAUACACUUUAGUUUUUCUCAAGUGUUUGUUAGUAUUUCCCGAAGCAAAAUUUGUCACAGACUUUUAGUUCAAAAGUUGAAAUCAUAACUAACAUACUUCGAUUUUUUAUUUUCCUUUUUUCUUCGGUAUCUUUCUAUAUGGCAUUGCUUGAGAAAUUGGUGUACUUAGAUCGUAAUAUUCUGUAGAAAUAAGCCAAUAUUUCAUUAUGUACAUUGUUUAAUAUGAUAAGUAUUGUAUGGAAGUUUUACAGAUAAGCUCCUUAUAUAUUAUGCAUUAUGUUUUUAUCAUAUUGUUGCUUGGAACUUUGAAGGAUUAGCCACAGGGCUUUAGUCCUACAUGGACAUUUUAUAUUUAACAGCUGGUUAGGCAUUUUAUUUGAUGUUAUUUGGACUUGUAGGUGUUAAAAGUUUUGUUCAGUAAUUUUAUAAUUCAGAUUCCCAUUGUGAAAAGAUAGCAAUUUUUAUUGUGGGUCAGAUUCUGUCAACUGAUAUUUAGCUAAAAUAUCUCACUAACCCCUAUUGGUUAGGUGUUUUUUUUAAUUCACAUACUUGAUUUUUAUUUUCUUUUUAUCUGUGGAAUCACAUGUAUCAUUCAUAAGAAACAAGCUAUUAUAUAAUCUAUUCUUUAGAUCCAUUUAUAUGUAGUGGGCACUCUGAUUUCUAUUAUUUGAAUUUUUUGCUACUGUUACUACUCUUUCGGCCCUUCAAAUAGGGGUUAACAGAAAGGGUGAGUAUAUUAAUACAAAUUCAAACUUUCUUUUUCUAAUUUUAUCCAAAAUAACCUACUAUAUUAUUUUAAUUUCCAACUUUUGUCAUAGUCUAAUGGGCAGUUGUCUUGUCAUUAUUUGGUUUUAGGUAAGAAGAGAGAAAGUUAGUGAGAGGAUGAAAAUUUUGCAAAAACUUGUUCAUAGCUAUGGUAAUUAAGUAAUUUGAGUUCUUUUUUUUUGUUAUUGUUUUUUAUUCACUUUUUCCUGUCUUAAAACAAAUAACGAGUUUUUGUGUUUUUAAUAUUUCUUAUAAACUUCAUGUUGUUUGGUAUAAAAUUAGGUAAUUGGAAAGGUCUCAUGUUGGAUGAAAUUAUCAAUUAUGUGCAGUCCCUACAAAAUCAAGUGGUCGUCAAUGUGUCAGCAUCACUUUCUUCUUCAGAUGUUACUUGUUUUUCACAUUUAUUUUUCUCUCAGUCCUUUUUAAAAGAACAUACACACACAUACUAUGUAGAGUGACCUUUUUUAAUGAGGAAUCUGUCAUUUUAAUAAAAUGAAGAAUAAACUAAAAGGUAGAAGUACACGAACUCUAAUGCAAUAUACCUUUUCUGUUCUUUUACCUUUACUAUAAGAUAGGGAAUGAUAUAAAACUGUUCGAUAAUAGUAAGUGAAAUAAUUAAAAGGCUACUGUUCUAGCUCAUUUAAUAUAUCAAACUUUUCUAGCUCAUUUAAUAUAUCAAACUGCUCGAUAAUUGAAUUGGCCUAGUUAAACAUAAUUUUCAGAUAAUCUUUUUAAUGGUUUAUUUAUUAAUAUUUUGUUUCUUUCCAGUAUGAACACUUUGUUUUGACACGUGGUUAACAACCUUCAACGAACUCGGAACAACCUUCAUCACAUGCUUUCUCACGUGGUUACUUAAACUGAUAUGUUAAACGUGCUCCAUCCACGCCGUUUCCACUAAAUCAUUUUCUGUUAAGAAUCAGCUGAGCAGCGCGUGAGCUAAUGAAGUUUUUCGUAUUGAACUCAACUCUGCUAUUUUCCCAAAGCUGGAAAGCAGAAACAUCAUCCCUUUGGUUUUAUUUCACCUCAACCUUUUUCUGAUCCCAUUUUCAUUGUAAUUUCUCAUUUACUUUGAGUGAAAGUCAUUGUUGCUUUCGAACGAGGUUUUGCAACUAAAAAGGAAAAUGGGGCGGCUACAAUACAUGCGUGCAUCUGAUACAUGCACAAAAACUGACCAUUGGAUUAAAUGGAGUGAUCUAAUGGCUGAGAUUUGUUUCAUUAUUAAGCAAUAAAAAAAUUUGAAACAACCAGAAACCUGUAAAACCGGUCAUUUGGUUUAAGGUAAAAAUAUAUAAAUGAAAAAAAAAAAAAAAAACCCACCACUCCCUCGCCUCACCUCUCUUCUUUUGGGUUUAGUAUUGCUGCUUUUAACAUAAUUGACCUAUGGCCCAAAUCAUUUCUAUAGGGCGAAGCAUAUGAAUGAUACAUAUUAUCUUUUUUUGGCCUUAUGUCUUGUUAUUUGCAGUGUGAUUUGGUCUAGCUUAAGAGCUUAAGCUUGCAGGUUGGAUUUGUCUGACAGGGAACAAUUUAAUUUGUUCAUCGUGAUGUUUAUAUCCAUUUUGUACUACUAUCAAUUUCAAUCAUGCCUAAUUUUUAUAUGUAUUUCUCGUGGACUCUCAGGUUCAGUGCACAAGAGGAUGAAGACGAUGGACACCCAAAUUUGAUGUGGAGAACAACUAUUGCAAAUGGUCCUUGAUUUACUUCUCCAAUUGACUUGAAUUGGUUUGACGCAAUUUAUACUGUAUUUUUGUCAUCUUUGUAUGACUUGCACGUCGUCCUGAUUUGGUACAUGACUGGACACAGGAAUUGGACUCAUAUUUUUCAAACCAGAAUGCCAACAAUCAAGCAUUUUCUUUUGAAAGCACUGGCGUCUUCUUCAAUGCCAAAAAGGUUAGAGAUUUUCUGUAUCCUGUUUUGUAUUUGAUCAGUUUAGCAUGUGGGUGGCAAUCAAGAAAAGUUAUUAUAACAUUUUUGUGUUCCCGAAAAACUGCUGAUGAUGUGUGACUUCUUUUUAUUUGUAUUCUUUCUUUUUCUUUUCUCCCCAACAGUAUUAUGCAUUUCGAAGAGCUUCUUGAAGUUGAUUACCAUGUAUGCCACUUUCUUUACUCUAUGCUCAGGAUGUGAUUUUGCCAAGCAUUAAAAUGGUUUAGGUCAGAACCAUCAUCUAAAGUUUACUUAAAGUUGACGGAUUAAUUCCUUUUAAUAAUGGUCUAGUUAAUUUUACUAUACUCAUAAAACUAUUCUUAUUCUGAUAAUGCCACAAAUGUUAUGAUGUUUUCUUCAGCUAAUGAUCUUCUAUCAGGACUAGUUAGAAAUCAAAUGCUUAAAACACCGAUUGAAUGAAUAAUGCAGAAGUUUAAACAGUAUCUAAUUGAAAAUUGCAUGAAACAUGAAACAUCAAUUCAAGUCCUUCCUUAAACAAAGAAUGCAUCAAACAAAUCCAAAGUGUCUUGCAUGUCUAUAGCAUGACAAAAAAGUUGUAAAUGCGUUUAGAACCAAAUUAUUCAAGUACAGGAGAACGAGCAAGUUGAAUCAUGUACACGAGAUUGGCCUGGUUCGAGAUAGCUUCUUCACUGUACCUGAAGGGUUGGCUCAAUCUUUUCUUUAGAAUUCUGCACAUUUUGUAAUUACUCGUGUAAGCAAGCAUACAUUACAACUCUUGUACACAAACAAUAUUGUAUAAACUAAUGCGACAUAAUAUGAUUGGUUAAACAAAAACAUUACAUAGCCCUCAUAAUUUAUUUAUUUAUUUAUUAUUAUAUAUUUUCAGUCAACCAAUCAUAUUAUAUUACAUUAGUUUCUAUAAAAUAAUUUUCUAAAUAGCACCAAAACUUAAUUGAUACUCACCAUUUCAUUGAACAAUUUUUUUAUGGUGUCAUUGAGGUUGCCUUCCCAACAUCCUUCAUCAUCAUCAUCUUCUUCAUCAUCAUCUUUUUCUUCUUCGGUGACGUUCACUUUGUUUAGCAUUGGUGUGUCUAAGACUCCUUGAGAGAAGAUCAUCAUUUUUGGACACUCUCUCACAACUACUUGUUUCAAGGACGGGAAUUCAAGAGCGUAAUUACCUAAACAAAAGCUUGUUAGGCUUGGCAAACAAUCAAGUCCCAAGUACUUUAAUUCCUUGAAAACAAUGCAAUCUUUCGCUUCUUCUGCAACCGGCGACUGUAUGAUUUCUUCCAUCAUUUUGCAAUCAACUAUCUUCAUUCUUCCGAGAUUCACUAGAUUUUUAGAUGCUGAGAGCGUCAACACAUUUAUCAACCCGUGACACUUCGAUACUUGUAGUCCCCACAGAUUUUCCAAAUGCCACGAAGGUGGUACUAAUUUUUGCAACUUACUACAUUCCGAUAUUUCUAGCCUUUUCAAGUUUGCAAACGCUUUGUUGGAUUCGUCAUUUUCCUUCCAGAGAUGCUGCACUUUGUGUAAUCUAGAUAGCUUUAACUCCUUCAAUUGAGGGAAUGUAAGCUGAAAAUCAACAAAAUUAAGUUGUAAAUGAAAGUAUGUAUCCAAUCUCUGCAGUCUUCCCCUGCAUAUUUUAUGGACAAGAUUAAUCACGGCAUUUUAUAUUUUAUUUCCAAAUUAGUAUGCUUUGCAGUAGGAUCCCAAAUAUAAGUAUCAAAUCGAUUACCCUUUGAAACACAUAAAUGAAAUCUGAUACUAAAUCCAAUAUGAAUUAGCUAGGAAAACAGAGAUGCGACAAGCAUAAUUGAUAUAGUUCAUCACCUCAUGUUACCAGUCAUCGAAAUAAUUUAAGACAUUUUUUUAAUUCAUACUAUAAAGUUAGUUCAUAACUGUAGUUGUAUUGUUAAUUCAUAUAUGAAUCAAGAUGACAUGCAAAAAGAUGAGUCAUAAAAUUUGAUUUGAUUCUAAUGAAAUUACAUCUGUGCGAACAAAAGUGAAGGGGAAAAUAAUAAUAAUAAUAAUAAUAAUAAUAAUAAUCACCUUUUCAUCGAAGAGGGGUUGUACUUGAUGAGCCAGCAAAAAGUUCUCUUCUGAUGUUAAUUUUUGAGGUUCCUUGUUAUUUGUUGUCACAUGCACUACAGAGUUGGAUAUGAAUGUUUCCAUAUCAGGGCAAUUCUCAAUAGUUAGAUUCUCCAACUCAGACAGUUCAAUUAUAUUCCCAGUGAAGUUGCAGAAUCUUUUGAGUUUUGGAAGAUCAAUGAGCCUUAGUCUGUUAAGCCUAGGAAACCGGGGGCCUAUAUGUUCUUCCUUAGCAUUUAGCUCUUCUAAAUGAAGCACCUCUUCUAUUAAAUCACAAUUCCUCACUUCCAGGCAUCUCAAAUUGUUCAAGCAACGUAGCAGAUUGGUAGGAAUAGCACUCGACAUAUUCGUGCAGUCAUCCACAGCCAGUUGUCGUAAAUUGUUGAAGAAGCUGACAGGCACUGCUUGGCCGUGCCAUAUUUCUCUCAAGCGUGGAAAAUGUGAGAGUUGCAAAUGCUCUAUGUCACGGAAUCCAAUCUGCAUAAACCAAAACAAUUGCACUGGAUAUAUAUAAAUUUCUUUUUUUGAAAGGCAUUAGAUAUAUAUAUACAUUAAACUUACAUGUUUUGUGCUUUAACUUCUAAAAAUAUAUUUACAACGCAGGUGUAUAUGUUUAAAUGUGGUAUAGUGGAAUUAAGCUUAUUGCCAUUACUUCGUAAUGGUGUUCGUAACACCAUUACUUCGUAAAGUGAAUCGAUUAACACAUACCAUUACUUCGUAACACUUUUGUAUAGUGGAAUUAAGCUUAUUGCCUUCCCAAUGGUGUUCACCCUCUUCCCUUUCAGUCACUUGCACUACGUAUAGCUUUGGUGUGGAUGAGAUUCCCCGAGAAAAAGUCUUCAUGUUCGGACAAUGUGUCAUAGAAACUUGUUCCAAUGAUGGGAAUUCAAGAGUGUAAUUCUCCAAACAAAAGCUGGUAAGCCUUGGUAAAUCAUCAAGUUCCAAAAGUUUUAAUUCGUUGAAAGCAAUACGAUUCUCCUUCGCUUCUUCUCCAACAUGUCCUAUGAUUUCUUCUAUUUUUGCACAGUCUGAUACAUCAAGAUUCACUAGACUAUUGGGAAUUCCAACCUGAAAAUAAAGAGUAGCAUUCAACUAGAUUCAAAGUAUGUCAAAAUCAUACAAUUGUUUUAUGAAAAAUAACAAACCAUGAAUGUCUACUAGAUAUUUUUUGUUAAAGAAAAAAAAGAAAAAAUAAAAAUAAAUAAAUAGAAGUCCAGAAAAACAAAGAUAAUGAAAAUGCAUUUACACUAUUUAGUAUUAGGAACGGAGAAAGAAUUUCAGGUAAUUUUUAAAUAUUCUAAAUUCAUUUUUCAUCUCGAUGCUAGUUUUUUAAAAUUUUUAAUUUUCAAACAUGCCUAUUUUUAAAAUAACUAAACUAAAACGCUGUAUUUCCCUUUUUUUUUUUUUCCCGAUAUUCAUGCUUUUAAAAAUGGAAAACAUUUCUGGAAAACACUUCCCAACGCCAUCAACAUGGGACUGUUAUAGAGUGAAUAUUUGAGGAAUUUUUUAAUCAACGGUCGAUUCAAAAUGACCAUCAUGAAUUUGUGCUUAAUCAAUGGCGUAAUCAAUUCAUAACUAAACUAGAGAUAUUAACUACAUUUGAACACUUUUCUUUAUUUUUUUUUAAAUCGAAAUUUGAAGACCCAAGGAAAAGAGAAAUAUAUAUGAAUUUGUGAGCUUAAAAGCUGAGUAACUAAGUAUCUUUUAAUUUCUAAAAAUCUUAUUUAUUAGGAUUUAAGGAAAAAAACAAUUAAAUUGAAUUAUAUUAUGCUGUUAAAUCGUGUUUAAAACAAUUAUAUCGUUGACUUUAAUGCGGGUGAACCUAUAAAUUAGAUUGACAAUGCAGAGUUCAGAAUGGUGAUUUGAAGUACACUACUUUUUUGCCCUCCUGAUGUUUGAAGUAAAAUACUUGCAAUAAAUAAUUUGUGAAUGAAAAUUAUUUGUAAACACAAAAAUGAUUAAAAUAAUUGUUGAAUGUUACUUGAAAUAAAAAUUCAAAAUGAAUAUAGCAAUCUUACCAAUGGAGGAAAAAUAUUCAGUAGAUUAUUACACCCAGAUAUCUUCAAUUUUUUCAAUUUGCUAAAAGACUUCGAAGCAAGCUGGUGGUGCCAUAUUUUUCUCAACUUAUCCGCCUCACUAAUAUGUAAUACCUCCAGACUUGGGAGUCGUACCUGAAGUUAAAAAUUCAAUGCAAUUAGAGAUGUAUAUUAAUUAAAUUUGAAGACUCAACGAAAAGAGAAUUUAAAAAUUCAAUGAAAAAAAACCUUUUCAUCAAAGAGGGAUUGAGGUUGCAUUUCAGUGUGAAUGACGUCUUCUGGUGAGGCAAAGCUACUUAGUUUUGGAAGCCAAUGGAGCGACAGGUAGUGUAGUUUGGGAAAAACCUUAAAUUCAUCUCUUCCUCCUAACGUCGUGGUGUUGACUACCCCUUCAAUUGACCGGCAAUUACGAAUCUCAAGAUGUUGGAGUUGCCCAAGACUAUUAACCAUAGAAUAUGAAAACAAAUACUUCAGACGAUGACAACUCCACACGGUCACUUUUGUUAAAUUUUGACAACAAUAUAUUCCCUGAAAUUGAUCGGACCAUAAUUUUUUUAUAUUUGUUAAACUGACAAGUUCCAGUUCCUCCAAGCGUGGAAAAGUAACCUGCAAAGAAAAACCAUACAUUUUUGUUCCUUCAACUACAACUUCUAAUAUAAUAUUCUUUCGAUGAUUGAAGAUCAAUCGUGAUAAUAUAUUAAUUAAUUAAUUAUUAAACAGAAAAUUAUUACCUGGUGAACAGGAUCAUCCUCUGCAUUGAUUUCUAUGAAUCCCUGAGUUGUUGUUGGUUUCUCCAUGUCGGGCCCUAUAAAUGAACCAAAACAAUAUAUAAUAAACAUCCGUUGUUUUUUUCCCCAAAAAAAGAAAAAGAAAAAAAGAAAGAGUCAAUGUCAAUAAUCCUACCAAUAAUUAAUUUCAACACUUACCAAUAAUCAUUUUCAAAUCAUCGCAGUCUUCCACUUUUACUUUUUGAAGCCGCAAUAGGUUUUUGGCCAUAGAGAAUGAGAAGAGAUACUUCAAUUUUCGACAGGAAUCUACGUUUAUAAUCCUUAAGUUGCUGAAGGAUUGAUCUUCUCUGAGUUGGCUGUAGCAUAUCGUCUCCAAAUUAGUUAAAAACAUAAGAGACAAUGCCUCCAGCAAGGGAAAGACUUCGCAACGAACCCUAACUGAACCGACAAUAUGUAAAAUCUCAGAACAGUCUGUUACGAGAAGACGCUUCAAUCGUGGAAAACCUUCCCCAUCGUCUAAUUCAUGAACAACACUUUGAACACCCUCCAAUGUUUCUAGCCAGAGAUCUUCAGUUCUCUGCAGCAACAUUUUUGUCCCAUCAUUCUCCUGAAGAAUGCUAACUUUUUUUAUCCCCUUGAGCAUCAUCAAUCUUGAUGCUUCAGAUUUGACGAGCAAUGGGUCAAACUCAUCUUCGGGCCCAUCUCCUAUACGUAUCUUAUAUCUUUGCAAUUCCACAGAGACAAAAUCCGGCGGCAGAAUUUCGGCAUCCGGAACUUCUAUCUCCAAAGUAGUUAGCUCUGUCAACCUCUCCAAUUCGACAAGACUGGCAUUACUUCCUCCUUCAACCUUCUCCCACCCUGAAAAACCGUUACCCAUAUACAAUUCUUCUAAUUGAGAAAAAUUUUUGGAUAUGACAUUUCGGUGCUAUUCACCUUCAAGCCCACCAAACAAUUGCUCUCAAAUCUAGGAAAUUGGUAACCGCGGCCAAUNNNNNNNNNNNNNNNNNNNNNNNNNNNNNNNNNNNNNNNNNNNNNNNNNNNNNNNNNNNNNNNNNNNNNNNNNNNNNNNNNNNNNNNNNNNNNNNNNNNNGCGAGGCUGAGAAUCUCUAUUUCUUUAGUGUCCCAAUUGCGCUAUAUCUGCUAGUCGCACCAGUCUAAACACAAUGUUUGAAGGUUAAUGAGGCGACCAAGUGAUGAAGGUAAUGAAGAAGAGCCAAUUCCAGGAAACUGUAAAACUUUGAGUCCUUCCAUCCCUUCAAAAAAGUGGUCUGAAACUUGCAUAGGGCCAUUACCCUCCGUAUACAACAAAAAUAACUGGAGAUUGGGACAUUGCAACCUUUCAGGGAGCUCUUGAAUAUCUCUAUGAGGUAAUGAAAUAGCAAUUGGAUCUUUCUGUAUUGUCUCUUCCAUCUUUUUCUCCAAGUCAGCAACAUUUGGAACAUUAAACAUGCGCUCCUCUCUGGCAAUUGAUACGGCAACAACAUGAAUGACGUCAUGCAUUUUAACUUCAUCUUCAGCAUCACCGUCCAACAAUAAGCAUGAAGAUUUGAGGUUGUCGAUCAACCGAUGCACUCUACUCCUUGCUUCUUCCAAUGUGUAAACAUUUUCAAACAAACCCCAACCCACACCACAUCUCAAUAAGUCAGAAACUUGUAUGACAUUACCUUCACUGUAUAGACUACAAAGACGGAACAGAGAUUUUGCCUCCUCACUUUCCAAGAAGUCAUAACUCAAUUUUAUGGAGGUGUACACAUUUGCUUGCAUGCCAUGAAUUUCUCUAGCAUCCGAUCUUCUUAGCUGAUUCAAUGCAUCUUUCCAAAAGUAACUAUCCUUAGUUUUCAGAGCAUUUGCAACUGUACUCAGUGCAACAGGCAAACCUCCGCAUCUUUCAACGAUCUCAUUUGCUAUACUUUGAAAAGCGGAUAUUUUAGUUGAAUCACCCACUAUCUUUUCAAAUAACUGCAAUGCUUCUUUUGGUGGCAAAGCAUCGAUCGGGAAAUUUUUCUGAGAAUUCAUAUCAAUGCGCAAUAAAUCUCGACUUCUAGACGUCAAUAUUAUUGUGCAUCGUCUCUGAUCAUCCUUUGUAUCUUUCUCAUCAACAUCCCCACAAGGAAUUCCAACUUUUUCGAACUCGAGUUUUUUCCAAAUAUUAUCCAAUAUAACGAGGACCUGCUUCUCGUUCUUCAAUCUUUCACGUAAUCGAUCUGCUCUUUCGAAUUUAUUCUCAUCCGAGCCAAAUUUCAUGCCUAAGUCAAAAGCAAGUUUCUUUUGAAUUUCCUGAUGAUCUGGGGUCUGUGUUACCUCAGCCAUAACGACCUUGUCGAACACCUUAUCUUCCAUAACUUGCCUUGCAACUUGCUUGACUAGCGUGGUUUUACCCACGCCGCCCAUCCCGUAGACCCCAAUUAUCUUGAGCUUAUCAUCCUUCAACGCCUCCACAACAUCUUCAAAUACUUUCAUUCUUGAAUCAAAGGCCUCGAAAUCUUUCACUUGCAUAUGUUCUGCCCGCUUUGGAGCAGGACGGUAGGAAACAUUAGAGAAGUUACAUUUUCCCAUGAGACUAGCAGCAGCUUCUGCGGCCUUUGCUGCUUGUCUACUGAGCUUGUAACGAGAAAUCAAGUUUGGGCACAAUCCUUUGAAACAGAACUUCUUAGCUCUAUCUUCAUCAUCAGUGAUGGAUUUCGCAGCUCCCUGACUGAAUUCCUUGACGCUAUUAAGCCAGUCUGCAACAUCCUUAUAAAUCUCAUCUCCUUGUUGAGUAGCCUGAUGAACGGGUAUUUCCACCCUUUCUCUUUUAUAUCCCAACUGUUUCACUUGAUCUUUUAGGCCAUCUAUGUAGCUCUGGUACUUGAACACAUAAGAGAUCUGCCGUAUAAUCGGUUUGAACAGUGACUUUGCAUCUUCUGAUACGAUGCUGGAAAAAGCAGCCAGACCCACUUCUGCAACCAUUGCCUGUUGCUUAACAAUAUAUGUAUAUAUAUGAAUAAAAUGAAUAAAAAUGUCAAAGAAAGGAAUACAAAUAAAUUAAAAUGAACUAGAGGGAAAGACAGAGAAAGAAAAGACCGCAAACAACAUCGCGAUAUUGAUUUUGAACCAACUGAUACAUAAGUAGAGAAUUUCUUUUUCUAUCUUAAGGAUCAGAGGUUUUGCUAUUAACAGAAAGGUAUCCUUUAAGGAAAGUUGAUGGAAAUUAAGAAAGAAUGGCUAUCAAGAUCAAGUAUUCUGCUACUAAAAAUAAAUGAUAUGACUUAAGAAAAGUAAAUGAUAUGAUUAAGAAAAACCAGAGAAUUUUUUCCUAGGAAAGUUGAUGGAAAUUAAGAAAGAACCGCUAUGAAGAUCAAGUAUCAGAGAUUCUGCUACUAAAAGAAUAUUACAGGUUUUAGAACAAGUGCACCUCUUUACCUGUCUGGGAUCAGAGUCGAUGAGCUGCUGUAUUCACCUUGAAUAUAGAAGAAAUAUUACAGGUUUUGACUAAAGAGGAAUGUGAGGAACGAGUUGAUGAGAGUAAUAACAAUGAAUUUCCAAAAGAAGACGACUUGAGCAUUAAGCAUGCACCCCCUUUAUCAAUCAAAUAUUGGUACGUAUGUACGUAGGGACCAUUAUGCGUAUAUGAAGUCCAUUAGUUGCAAUCAGAAACCCUGGCCCAAUUUAAUUGACACUCGAUUUUUGAUAAGAAGAAGGCAAGGAUAAGGACAAAGUCAAUCAAUCACCAACAGUAAUUACUUCAAUCUUUGUCAAUCUACUUAAAUUGUCGAUCAACAUGAAAAUUGUUUAAAUUGAUAUUUGUAAAUCAAUCAAUUUUCUAGUUACUAUGAUUAUAACGUUUCACCUUUCAUAUUGGAUUUUAUCUUUUCGAAAGUUUUCAAAUAUGAGUGUCAAUAAUUAUUGAGACUCCAAGCCGUGCUCUCAAGAUCGUGCUGACAAAUCACUAUUGACUUUGUUUAUGCAAAAUUCAAAGAAAAAAAGUUAUGGUUUUGUAUUGCCAGCCCUGCUACUUUUUGUUUUUUUCAUUUGUAUUAUUUACGAAUUAUUUUUUAACAGAAACAUGAGAACUCAUCAUCGUAUAAAAUUGCAUGAAAAAAUCUUCAAAUUUAUAAAAGUAAAUUUCAUUGACAGAUUGUGGAUAUGUUAGAAAGAAUAAGGAUAAGAAUGAGUUAAGAAAUAAUAUAUAUAUAUAUAUAUAUAUAUAUAGAUAGAUAGAUAGAGAGAGAGAGAGAGAGAGAGAGAGAGAGAGUGAAAGUAAACAAUGUUUUGGUACAUUUGGUAUUGUUUUCAAAAUAUUUUGAAAAGAAAAAUUUUCAAUUAUCCAUCUAAGAAUUAUCUUAUUAUCCAAAAAGUUAUAAAAAUUUAAAAAUAUUUAAUUUUAUACCCAUUAUUACAAUGUGUAUCAACUGUUUACUAAAAAAAUAAAGUUACUCCUAAAACAUAAUCACCACUACAAUUUUGUGUUCGGUUCUAUUUUGUCACUUUGAACGAAUAACUUUAUAUUUUUAACAGAUGUUUCAUACAAAUUGCAUACAUUGGAUGUAAAAUUAAAUAAAUUUAAAUUUUUAUAAUAAUUUUAAUAAUUGAAUAAACUUUGAGUAAAUGACUGAUAAUUUCUCUUUUAUAAGCUACAAGAAGUUAAAAAGAAAAAAGAAAAAAUAGGAUGAUAAUUUCUCUUUUAUAUGCCUCAGAUGAUUUAUUGUUUCGGGUCUAAGAUUUUAAUUAUUCAACUUAAAAGAUUAAUAUAUUAUAAAUUAAUUAAUUAAAUAAUCAUUAAGCAACUAAAUUGGGUCCCCUGGAUGUCAAUUCCUUUAAUAUUGACGCAACUAUUUUUUUCUGGCAAAUAAUUAUUAAUGCACUGACGGAACUUUUGCAUAUCUACACAGCGAUUUUAAAUAUUACUGGUAACUGCUGAGAAAUGUGCGAGAAAGAAGUUGAUGAGAGUAAUAACAGCGACUUGCAAAAGGAAAAGACAGAAUCAUUCACCCCUUUUUGUAUCACCUAUUUGGUUACUGUUUCCCUGUUGACGCAUGUAUAAAUUUGACUGGUUUUUCUGCACUUUUUUGGCUGUUGCUUAACAAUGUGUGUGUGUAUUUGCUGUUGAAAAAAUUGGAUUCAAAUAAAUUAACUGAAAGAUUAGAGUUUUGACUAUUAACUGAAAGGUUUCAAGGGUAUGAAUGAAAAGCAACAUUCUUUUUUAGAAACUAUUUUAGAGGAGAGAUGCAAAUUAACAAAUGCUAAUAACAAGAACACAGAAGUUAACAAUGAACAGUAACUUAAAUCAAGAAAAUUAAAUGACAAAAUUAAGACAAACAAGAGAUAUUUUUUUCUUGGACAUUAAGAAAUAACUGCGGUCAAGAUCAAGGAGAUUAUGCUAUUAAUAGAAAUUAUCAAAGGAUUUAGAACAAGUUCACCUCUUUAAUUAUCCGGGAUCAGAUAGUUGAUGAGCUUCUCUAUUUAGCCUUGAAUAUUUAAGAAUAAUUUUAAAGAGCAAAAAGAUCACUGGUAACUGCUGAAAAAUAAGUGAGAAAAGAGUUGAUGAGAAUAAUAACAAUGAAUUGAAUAAAAAAAGGACUUAAUCAUGCACCCCCUUUGCAUAUCAUGUAUUUGGUUACUGUUGCCUUGUUGACGCAUGUAUAGAAUAAUUACAUGUAUUAUUAUAAUUUUGGAUUCGAUAUCCUUGUAUUAGUGUCUAAGAUUUUCAUGAAGAAUUAAACUUGGAAUGACCAAAAGAGGAAGCUGCAGUGUAUUGUUGGACCCAAUUAAGUUGAAGAAAGCACUAGUUCACAACCUUACGUUUGGAUAUAUUCUAAAGAAAUAAUUAAACAGCAAAUCAUCACAUGCACUUUAAUGAUUUGAUCUAUUGUUUUCAAAAGAAAUUGCAAUUAACAGUUUUUGUCAAAAGUUCGCACAGCGUGAAACUAGUGUUAGUAUAAUUUAAAAAAUUAAUUUCAGUAUUAUUUUUUAAAAUGUUAAUUAUUAGAUUUAUUUUAAUAAUAUAUUUAUAUUUAUUAUAAAAAAUUUAGUUAAAUAUUUGUGUUAAAUAGAAUUUAUAAUUAAUUUAAUAUAUCUUAGGUAUUAAUAAUAUUAUAAUUAUUCUAUAUGCUAUUGAAAAUAAUUUAAAUUUUUAGACAUUUAUUUUAUAUUAAGUUUCUAUUUAUUACAAAAUUUAGUUUAAUAUAGUAUAAGCUUGUAAAGUAUUAAAAUAUUUUUUUCAUUUUUUUUAAAAUAUUAAAAUUAUUUUAAAAUAUAUAUAUUAACAUUGAAGCUAAUUUUUUGAGUUAAUAGAGCUAGUAGGUGUUAUAGUAAAAAAGAGUAUCUUAGUAUCUCUUAUUGAAAAUAUAUAGAUCUAUAUAAUCAUUUUUUCAAAUAUUGAGAUGUAGAAAAAUAAAUUAAAAAAUUUUAAAUUUUAAUAUGGCCAUCGUAGGGUUAGAAUCCCCGCUCCAACCCGAUUUGGAGAUUUAUGUUUUUAAAAAAAAAAAGAACAAAGAAAAAAUACACACCCGACCAAAUCAAGCACCUCAUCAAAUCAAAAAUAAAAAAGGAAAGAAAUUAAUGGCUUGCAUGCAAUUUUGGAUCUGAAAUUAAAAUUACAUAAAAAUUAAGGCUUACGUACCUUAAUAUUUACAGCUUGUUUGAUGGCCCCAACAAGUUUAAGCAGCAUCAAAAUGUUGUGGCUCCUUAAAUGACAACAUCGACUUGUUUGACAGCUCCAACAAGGCUACGAUGAUCAGAAGAUGAGCCCUCAAUCAACAAGGCUAAGAUUGGCUUCUCUAUCCUCUGCCGACAUGUCCUCUUCUCCCAACAACCAGCGCCUUGCUCUUUGUCAUUUUUCCUCUUGUUAGUUUUCUUCUACAUAUAAUUAUUACACUGGGAAGUAUACACACACUUCUUUUCUUUUUAUAGUACCUUACUAUUAUAUCUUUACAAAACAAUAUCACCCUAAGACAUAUAUGUAUGAAAUAAAUAUAUAAGGAACGGACGAAAUAAAAUUAGAUCUAACACUAGUUUCAUGUGGUGUGUGAACUUUUGACAAUCCUCUCAUACCCCAACAAAAACUUUGUCAUAUUACAAAAGUUAUCACGACCAUAGACUUUUCAAUUGCAUAUUGGAAUUGCAAUGUCAUUUUAUUAUAGUAAUGUCAUUUCCAUUAUUCAUAGUGGCAGACAAUGGACAUCACGGGACACGGCUAGAAGUUAUCACGACCAUAGACUUUUCUAAUUUAUGAAAUAAAUGAAAUUAGAUCUAAUUCUAGUUUCAAGUGGUGUGAACUUUUGACAAUCCUCCCAUAUCCUAACAAAAGCUUUGUCAUAUUGCGAAAAUACCUUUUCAAUGUUUCAAUUGCAAUGUCAUUGCCAUUAUUCAUAGUGGCAGACAAUGGACAUCACGGGACAUGGCUAGAAGUCUAUGUUACGGCUUCUGUAAGUAACAGCAGCCAAUGGGGAACUUCCAUGGGGGCUAUAGGAGAGAGAAAGAGGUCCCAAUACAAGUGUUAGAGUACAAUUUAUACACUAGUUUUGCAUUGUUUACUUCCCUUAAUAUCGAUGUUUUGCAUUUAAUAAUAAUGAUUUACUUGUGUUUUACUUUUGUAAGUGCAAUUCUAUUGAUUUGUGAUAGAAUUGAGGUAUAAGAUGAUGUUUAAAGAUGAUUGUUCUCUUGGAGAAAUUUAGAGCGUCAGAAGAACUUUAUAGAUAAGGCGUGGGCGCGUGCUGUCAACUGCGGACCUGCAGUUUUUAGUUUAAUGUGUUUUGUAUUUUUGGCUAUUUUUGUAAUUACGAAUUUAAUAUUUCAAAUAUUAUUAUUUUAUUUUAAAUAGAACUUUAAAAGAGAAGAGAGAGAGAGUAUUUAAGGGAGGAAUCUAUUGUGAAAAAGGGGGGAUUUUAAUUGGAGAAAAAGAAAGAAACCCUAGAUCUAAUUUUUCUCUUCUCUCUAUGAAAAACUAAACUUAUUUUUUCUAGUUGAAGGUUAAUGAAUUUUUGAUUCAUCACUACUGUGAGAUCUUUCUUAUGCUUUAAUUGUUUUAUUACUUUUUGGGUAUUUGUUUAUUCUCUGAAUUAGUUUCAUGAUUAUGUUUGUUAAUUAGGUAAUUGGCCACUAUUUAAUUAUCAACUUAAUCUAUUGUCAAUUAAAGAAUUCAUCGUAUGACGAGUUUAAUGUUUGUGACAAAUAACAUAGCAGUGAGUUGUGUUAUGGGAAUAAACAAUCUAAUUUAAAUGAAUCAUCAUAUGUGUUGAUUAGGAUUUGGGUCGCUCUGGUUUUUCAGGCUGUCAAUUGAUUAAAUCCUAUGAUCGUAUCUAGGGUUGUCUAUUAAUUAGGGAAAUAUCCAAUGGUCGUACCUUGGUUAUCGACUAGUUAAGGAGAGAUUGGCUAUUAGAGGGUCUCAAUAGCUAUAACCAGUUUAUUCAUAAGUAAUAAUAAUCUAUUUUUGAAUCAAUGAUCAGUAGUCGAAUCAAACUGAGUUAAUUCCUUCAACCAAAGCUUUCUCCAAUUUGAAUUACAACUUUAAUUUGCAUUUUUGUUAUUUUAAUUUGAUUUUUUAUUAUUGUCAACAAUUCUCCCAUUUUACGUUUUACGUUUCAAAAGAAUUUAAAUAAUUACCGAUCUCUGUGGACACAACCCUGCUCAAUCACUAUACACAAUUUAUUUAGAGUAGGAAUUUAUUUUUAUUGGCUUCAACAACCAUCAACAAGGUGAUGGAAAUGGGAAAGUUCGAAGCUGUUACUUUCAGCUUCUGCACCGUAGCCAUGUCCCACGGGACAAGGCUAGAAGUUAUCAUGACCAUAGACUUUUCUAAUUUAUUUUUUCCUUUCAAAAAGGGACAAGGAUAAGUUUGGGAGAAUGAUUAUAUUUUUAAUAAAAGAAUUCUUUUUUAUUAUAAUACUUUUUGUCUUUAUUAAUUUAAAAAUAUUAACUCUUAUAUUUUAAUAAAUAUAAAUAUAAUAUUAUAAUAACAUAUAACAAUAUAUACAAAUAUUUAAAAAAAUUUAAGAUUUUAUUAAAAUAAAUUUUAUAAUAAAUAAAAAUACAUUAUUAAUAUAAUUUUAAUAAUUUGCAUUUUAAAAAGUAAUACUGAUAUUAUUUUUUAAAUAUUAAUUUUUUAAAUUAUAUUACUCUACCAAAAAAAAUUAAACUAUUAAAUUAUAUUGAUAUUUAUUACAAAAUUUGCAAUUAAUUCUUAUUAUAUUUUUAAUUGGAAUUUGUUCCUGUGAUAUAACAACAAUUGCUACAGUUUUUUCCCUAAAUAAAGAUGGAGUUAUAAAUUAUUUGUGUAAGUGUCAUGAAAGUAAUAGUUGAAUAACAAUAAUGGGGCUUUAGGCAAUUUUUUUUAUGAGGUCUUCUUGCAAUUUCAACACUUAAACAGACUUGUCCUUGAUCCCAAUUUAUUUACCCCAUUUGGGCCCACGAUGAGAUAAAUAUAUUCCUGUGAGAUGAAAAACAUCAGGAGAAGAAAAUGUUUUAUUAUAAUAAAAAAACAAGUGGUCCAUAAGUCUAUUUAUUACUUUUUUUAUUCAAUACAAAUGGCCAACUUAAAAAAUGAUAAAAAUCACAUAACGCACAAGCAAAAAUUUAGAUUUACAUUUUUUAGUUCUCUCCGUGUCUCUCUUUCUCUUUUUUAAAAAAAAUAAAUAAAUGUCAGUGUAAAAUUAGAAAAAUUUUAGAUAUAAACUUUGGCGAUGACCAAACAAAAAUUGCAAGGGAAAGAAAAUAGAGGACCCUUGAUAUCAUUAAAAUACUGAUCAUAGACACUACAAUAUAAAUAACUUGUUGUGAUCCACUCAACUUGUAACACUUUAAUCCAUAUUCUAAAAUUUGUAUGUUUGUUAGGAAUUUUAUUAUUGACAUUACUGUACCAAUAAAAUUCUAAUUUAUUCAUAUGGAAAGAAAACAUCAAGAAAGGACCUCUGAUUUUUAUUAUAACAGAAAAAAGUGGUCCAUAAGUCUAUUUAUUAUUUUAUUUAUUCAAUACAAAUUGCCAACUUAAAAAAUGGUAAAAAUCACAAAAUGCACAAGUAAAAUUUUAGAAUUACAUUUUUUUUAAUUCUCUUUGAGUCUCUCUCUCUCUCUCUUUAAAAAAUAAACCUCACUGUAAAAUUAGAAAAAAUUUAGACAUAAAAUUUGACAAUCACCAAACAGAAAAUGUAGGGAAAUGAAAAUGGAGGAGCCCUAUUAUCAUUAGAAUAUUGAUCAUAGAUACUAUAAUGUAAAUGAUUUGUUGUGGUUCAUUCAACCUGUCACACUCUAAGCCAUUUUCUAAAAUUUGUAAGGUUUAUAGGAUUUUUAUUAUUGGCAUCAUUGUAUCAAUAAUAUUAUAAAUUAUAUAUUCUAUUGUAAUGAAAAUUUGUGUAAUCUUAGGUAUUUAUUGUAUUAAAUUGUGUGGAUUAAUUAAGAAUAUUUUUGGAGACAAAAGAGGUGUGUGUACGUAGGAUUAAUAAUAAAAAAUUUCUAAAUAAAGGUGAUUGCUUCAUUGACAAGUACAUAUUUAUAUUCUCUAUUAGUAUUUGGGUUGUAAACUUUGUUUAUAAAGUGAAUAUAUUGUGGUAAGCGAUGUGGGCAAUAUCGGAUGCAAAAUAUUGAGAGAUCAUUAACGCAUAUAUUUAUUGCAUAUAGAGGAAAGAGUGUAGAUCCGGCCGUAACAAUUAUGAAGCUUUCCCCAAGUAUUCUCACGCUUCCUUAACUGUUCCAAAGUAUUUUUCAUAGUGUGCAGAUUUACUUUAUGGUGUCUUAAUUCGUCUAAAAUGAUUACUUUAGUUCUUUUGGGAUGAAAGGUCAUUUAUUGUGUUAGGAUUAAACAAUAGAAAAAAUAAGUAAUGGUAACGAAAGACUAAUUUGUGAUAUUGAAGCAUACAUGCUUAACUCAAUCCAAAACUUAGUAAGUUAGCUCAAGAGUUAAGAGUUGUCCAAAUCUUAUAUGCUGAACCCAAGUUCAAUACUCAAUUGAUGCAGGAUGUUAUUCCUAACACCGCCCGUCAUGCGUAGGAUUGGCAAAAAAACUCGAGUCAAUCCCGCCUAGACCUGCAAGCUUUAUUUAUGGCCAGCAUGAUGAAGUUACAGAUAUUAACCUAAAAAUUUGAAACUUACUAUGAAUGGCCUUGGUUAAAGACUUUUGUAACUUUAAUUUAUAACAAAUAUGUAUACACACACACACAUGUUUAGAUUGCAUUUGGGUGACUUUUUUUAUCAAUGCAAACAAUAUCAAAUUUAUCGGAUUAAUUUGAAUCUGAUCUAUAUCCGAUUUUGCCCGCCAUAAGCCCAAGUGACUCUCUUUUACUAAUUAAUAAGGGAAUUUUUUGACCUCAUGUCCUUGCUGUGGCAUUAGACUGUUGGUCAUUUUGAUUGUUUCCUACCUUCCAUUUACGCCAGCUGUAACAUUGUAUUAUUCACCAUUUUAGCCAUUUAAAUGAAAUUUUAUUUUUGUCAAAAAUAAAAUGACACCCUUAAAAUAAAAAAAAAUAGUUAUGUAGACCUCAAAUUUUUAAUAAAGAAUGUCAAUACCUCUUUUAACUACAAGAUUCGUAGUAGAUGAUAAAAAGAAAAUUAACUUCAAAUUUUUUCAUUAAAUGUAAAUCUGAUUGAAGUAGUUUAAAUUUUUCUAGUAGACUAAUAUAUAUAACUUAAAUAAUUAAUUUCAUUAUUAAUUGUUAAAAUGUUAACCAAUAUAUUUUUAAUUUAUUAUAAAAAUUUUAAAUAAAUCCUUGGAUUAAAUAGAUUUUACAAUUAAUGUAAUACUUCUGAUUUAUUAAUAAUAUUAAAAUUAUUUUAUAUGAUAUUCAAAAUAAUUUAAACUUAUAUAUAUAUUAAUAUUAUGUCUAUUUAUUAUAAUAUGGUUUAAUAUUAUACGGGAUUGUAAAAUAUUAAAAUAUUUUUCAAUAUCCAAUUAUUUUAAUAUGUAUAUAUCAUUACAUUUAUUUUAGUAUCAUAUUUAUAUUUAUUAUAAAAUAUAAAAUUAAUAAAAUUAAAGAGUAUUGCAGUAAAGUAAAAAAGAAAAGUCUUAUUAUCUCUUAUUCACGAUAUGAGAUUCUACAAAAUUAUUUCCCGAAACGGGUGUCCUUUUCUCAUUUUCAAAAGAAAAAAUAAAGUAAGAAUAAGUCCAUGGGUUUCAAAAACUUCUAGUCUUAUCCCGGGACUACAUUGUCUGCCACUAUAACUAAUGGAAAUGACAAUACAAUUGACAUUGCCUUUCGCAACAUGACAAAUUUUUGGUGGGAUAUGGAAGAAUUGUCAAAAGUUCACGCCAUGUGAGAGUUUUUGGUGGGAUGUGGGAGGAUUGUCAAAAGAUCACACCACAUGAUAUAACCACAAUUGCUAUGGUUUUUAUUUUUUAAAUAAUGAUGGGAGUUAUAAAUUAUUUAUAUAAAUUUGCGUAGAAACUAAUGUAACAUAAAAGAAGUAGCUGAAUAACAAUAUUUGGUGCUUUAGGUAAUUUUUAUAUGAGCCUUUCUUUUAUUUAGCGGCUCUAGUGCUUAAACAAACUUGUUCUCGAUCUUAUAACAGAAAAGGCAUCCCAUUUAAGCCUAUGAUGACAUAAUUAAACAUAUUCUUUUGUGACGAAAACAUCAAGAGAAGACAUCUCAUGUUUUAUUAUAACAGAAAAGAAGUGGUCCAAACGUCUAUUCGUUAUUUUAUUUAUUCAAUAUAAAUGGCCAACUUUAAAAAAAUGAUCAAAAUCACACAACACUCAAGUAAAAAUUUAGAAUUACAUUUUUUAAUACUCUCUAAGUCUCUCUCUCCUGCCCCCCCCCCCCCCACCCCGUCCCCUUUUUUGAAAAAAUAAACCUUAGUGUAAAAUUAGAAGAAUUUUAGAUAUAAAAUUAGAAGAAUUUUAGAUAUAAAAUUUGGCAAUCGCUAAACAGAAAAGCAGCGGAUUGAAAAUAAAAAAACUCUAUUACCAUUGGAAUAUUGAUUAUAGACAAUAUAAUAACUUGUUGUGGUUCAUUGUAGCACUCUGAGCCAUAUUCUAAAAUUUAUAGGUUUGUUAAGGCAUUUAUUAUUGACAUUAUUGUGUCAAUACUAUUAUAAUGAUAAUUUGUCUAGUCUUAGGUACUUAUUAUAUUAAAUUAUGUAAAUUAAUUGAGGAUACUUUUAGAGACAAAAGAAACACGUGUAUGUAGGAUUAAUAAUCGAAGAAUUGUAAAUGAAGGUGAUUGCUUCAUUGAGAGGCAUAUUAAAUAAUUAUGGAGAGUUGCACUAUUUCGGAAGCACAUAAUUAUACUUCCCUAUCAGGAUUUGGGGUAAACGAAGUGCUUUAUCUAUUGCAGUAAGCAAUGUGGACAAUAUCAGAGGCGAAAUAUUAAAAGAUCAUAACGCAUAUAUUGGAGCCAUUUAUCUUCCGCAACUGUUCUGAACUAUUCUUCAUUGUGGGCAGAUUUACUUAAAUACCUGCACAAUGAUUCAAUACUUCAAAGGUCAAGGAAAUGUCAAAAUAUGAAAUGAAAAUACUUAAAUACCCUUCUACCUAACAAAACUCGCAGAGAAUCUAUAAAAUUAAAAAAAAAAUAUUCAUCCAUGAAAAGCUUCGUAACAGAAAAACCGUCUUUCAAAAAAUAAAAACAGAAAAACUGACUCAUUUAUCUGCAAAUGAACCAAUCGGGACUCAUUUAAAAAAGAAUACAAAGCAAAAGUAAAUGACACAAAUUGCAUAGAUAUCUAGGAGCCGCAUCAAAAGACAAAGGUGUUAAUUUGUCCAAGAAUAAAUUCUCCUAGGUCAAAAGCAAUUAACGAUGAAAACUUUCUUCAUUAAGGUUCUGGCCUACGUAAAAAAACAGAAAAAAACCACCCCAAGGUCAAAGCACAACGAUAAAUUUAGAAAUGAAGUUUUUAAUUUUUUUUUAAUAAAUCAACGUGUAUCAAAAAUAGAUAAUAAUUUUGGAUAACUUUUUUUGAUAAAUAUAGACAUAAAAUUUUAAAAUCACCAAACAGAAAAACAGGAGAAUUAAAACAAAGUCCCUGUUUAUCCUCUAUUUUGCUUGUUAUUAAAAAGGGAAAUGAAAAGAUUGCAAGCGGAAAUUUUGUUUCUGCGUUGUCUCUUCUCAAUGCUGCAUGCAUUCAAAUUAAACCUUACAUAUGCUAGCAAACUAGCUACGCUGCAUGUAAGUUCUCGAUAAGUCCAAAUAAUAGAAUAAUUGUAAAAUGUUCAAAUUCAGUAAUUAAUUUUAUUUAUUUAUUUAUUCAAAAAUUAUUAUUAUUAUUAAUUAUUGUCAAUAAUAUAUUAAUAUACUAAUUAAUUGUAAAAAAAUUUAUCAUUCAUAACAAUAAUAAUGAUGAUGAUGACGAUAAUAAUAAAAAUUCAAAAUAUAUUAAUUAAUUAUAAUAAUAUAUUAAUUAUUUAAUAAUAAUAUAUUUAAAAUAUAUAUAAAUUGAUUAGAAUAGUUAUAUUAAUAAAUUAUAAACAUAUAUUAAUUAAUCAUAAUAAUUUUUUAAUUGAGGACAAAAUAGAUAUUUUAUAGUUUGUGAGAGGGGGCAAAAUGAUCAAUCUUGGGAAUGGGGGAUUGAUUCCCACCACCUUCCUUAGGAAUCAAUCUUCCAUUCCUCACUCCUAAUUUGGGUGGUCCCCAUAGUUCUGAUUCGGAUCCCAGCCUCCAUUUUAUGAAGUAAACAUCAUUAAUGAUUUCGAUUUCGGAUUUCGAUUCUCCAGUCCAAGAAGUAAAGGCACCAUUAUUGUUAAUUGGUUCAAACACACAAAGAGAAUGUACCAUGUAGCUAGGCGUCAAGGUUGUGUGGCACAAGUAACCUUUUUCUUUUCUUUUUAUUUUUCUUGUUUUCCUUAACGGAUCAGAAGAAAUCGGUGCCUUUGAGAUACUACAAUGUAAAUAAGUAUUUGUGGUUCAUUGAAUCUGUAACACUCGGUACCCUAAGGUUGCUUUUGAAAAAGGGCUUUUCUCACUGAUCACCAAUAUCCAAGUAAGUUUGUUUCAUUUCAGAAGGUGCAAAGUUUCAAACUUUUUGUAUUGGGAUGUAACAAACUUUGGCCUUAUAUGCUUGCUGUGACGUUAGACUGUUCAUUUUGAUUGUUUCCUACCUUCCACUUGCGCCACUGUAGCACUGUAUUAUUCAUCAUUUUAGUUGUUUAAAUGAAAUUUUAUUUUUGUCAAAAAUAAAAUGACACCAUUAAAAUUUAGAAAAAUAAUCAUGUAGAUCCCAAAUUUUUAAUAAAGAAUACCAAUAUUCCCCUUGACUACAAUACCCUUAGCAGGUGGUAAUCAAACAAAUUGACUUAAAAUUUUUUACGAAAUGUAAAUAUGAUUUAAAUAAUUUAAAUUUUCCAGAAGACUAAUAUAUAUAAUUUAAAUAAUUAAUUUCAAUAUUAAUUUUUAAAAUGUAAAUUAAUUUAUUUGUACUUAUAAAAUAUUUGUAAUUAUUUUAAAAUUUUAACUAAAUCCUUAGGUUAAAUAGAUUUUACAAUUAAUAUAAUAUUUCUCAGGUAUUAAUAAUAUUAAAACUAUUUUAUAUGACAUUGAAAAUAACCUAAAUUUUUUAUAUAUUUAUUUGAAUAUUAUGUCUCUAUUUAUUAUAAUUUGGUUUAAUAGAAUACGAGAUUGUAAAAUAUUAAUAUUUUAGAUAUUGAAAUUAUUUUAAUAUCUAUAUAUUAUUAUAUUUAUUUUAAUAUCCUAUUUAUAUUUAUCAUAAAUUAUUAGAGUUAAUUUUUUUAGUUAAUAAAUUUAAAAAUAUUAUAAUUUAAAAAAAGUCUUAUUGGCCGUUAUUCACGAUAUAAGGUUCUAAUAAAUUAUUUCUCUAGACAGGUGCCAUUUUCUUAUUUUCAAAAGGAAAAACAAGUUCAGGGCCUCGGGGGUUUCAAAAAAUUCUGGUCCUAUCUAUCACUAUGACUAAUGGGAAACGGCAUUGCAAUUGACAUUGCUUUUCGCAAUAUGACAUAUUAUGGAGGGAUAUGGGAGAAUUGUCAAACAUUCACACCACGCGAGAGCUUUAGGUGGGAUAGGGGAGGAUUGUCAAGAGUUCACACCACAAGAAACUAAUGAUAGGUCUAAUUUCGUUGUCAGUUCUUUAUUUAUUUAUUUUUUUUAUUUCAUACAUUAUUGUUCUUGUAAAGGUAUAAAAGUAAAGUAAAAUACUAGGGGUGCUGUUAAGUUACAACUGAUGUAACUUGUAAUUUUUUCAAAAAUAAUGUAAAAAAUUUAAUAGGUGGUGGGACUCACAUAUUUUUUAAGAGACUUAAGUUAUAGUAGUUGUAACUUAACAAAAUCUAAAUAUUAUACAAUAAUGCAUAUUAAUAAUGCAUAUAAUUUGGGUUUGAUUUUUAAAAGAUUAUUUGAGUACCACCUAUCCUUAUGAUAUUAAUGUGAUUAUAUCUUAAUAUUAAAUAAUCAAAAUUUGUUUAAUUAUUAUUUGUAUUUCAUACAUUACAUAUUAGAUUUGUUUGAAUUUUAAGUUGUUGCUAAUAAAUAUUUAUGUUGUCAAAGUCAAAUUCAAUAGCUACAAAAGCAGAGAUAAUGGUAUUGUAUAUAGUUUUUAAGAAUGCAAGGAUAAGCUGGAUAAUUGACAUAAAUUCUAAUGAUUAAAAGAGCAACUAUCCCUUAAAUUAUAAUGUUAAUUUCUUUAAUUAGAUUUUUUUUUUCAUGUGAUAUAACCACAAUUGCUACAAUUUUUUUUUAUAAUAAUAAUGGGAGUUAUAAAUUAUUUAUAUAAAAUUUGGGUUGAAACUAAUGUACCAUAAAAGUGGUUGCUGAAUAACAAUAUUUGAAACUUUAGGUAAUUUUCAUGAGUCCUUUUUAUAUUCAGCAACCUGAAUUGGGGAAAAUCCGACUUGAAUUGGCGGUUGAUUUUGGUGAUGUGGCUUUUGGUUUAUGGCGGCUUUACUGUGGCGGAAGACUGGAUUUACGGUUGCCGACUGCUAGGGAUUAUGGUGGUGGUGUAAAUUGACGGAAAAAGAAGGUGUUUUGGUGGCGGCGCGUGUAGGAAGCACUCGUGGGUUGUCGUUUCGUGUGGUGACAGAGGGCGGCGAUCAAGGGCCGAAGUCGGUCAGUUUUUGGUCAACGAAGGCCGGCGAGUUUGUUGGUGGAGGUGGCUGGUGGAGAAAGUGGCUGAAUGGUGGUGGGUUGCUUGGUGGAGCCGCAGGUUUGGGUUGGUGAUUUGCGGCUGUUCAAGCGGCGGUUGAGGCAGCGAUGACUGAGGCUUGGUCGACGGUGGCUAGUGAGGUUUGUGGUGGUGUUGGCUGGCUGAUUGGCGGUGGUGGGCGGCGGUGGGGGUUGGUCUGACGGGUAGGGUUUUCAAAUUUGUAAUUUUUUUUUUUGAUGGAUUUGGUUUGGAUGGGUAUGGUGUAUCUAGGAAAGAUGUGUGAUUCGCACAGAAUUGCUUUGAUACCAAUUGAUGGAGCGAGCGUAGCGGAAGUGGAAUUGAUAAGGUAAGAAAUACUAAAUAUCAUUCUAGUACUGGAUCAAGCCAACACAAUUAACUUACGCUUUAAUCAAAGCGUGAUUAGAUAUUGUUUUAAUCUAAAUGAUUCAAUGAGAUUUUUAAUAACGCGUAAUACGAGAUUAGAUGACACUCUAAUUUAAAUAACUCUAUAAGAGAGAUUUUGAUAAAUAAUACUAGAGGAAAUUAUAAAAAAAAGAGUUUUAUUUAAUAAUUGAAUUUGAAGUCCUGAAAACAAUGACAAGACAUCUUUAUUUUUUUUAUUACAGACAUCUUUAUUUAUAAUAAAAGAAAUCCACUUUCCUAAGUUAACCUAAAAAGAAAAUUUAAAUUAUAAUUAUAAUGGAAAUAAAAGAUUAAGAUACAUACCAUAAUUGACUCAAACAAAAAUAGAAAACCAUAAAAUAAUAAAUAUUUUAGAAUUAUAAAUUAUCUAAAAUAACGUUAAUUAACUUCCUAAAUCACGUCUUUGGUGUAAACCAUUUUGCAUCCAACCUUGCUUUAAAGGUUUGAACCAACGUUACGAACAACAAUGUAUCAAAUUCCAAUCUAACUUAAGAUCCUGAUACAUCUACCGAUGUCCUUGUUUGAUUAGACAAUAAUGAGUCUAUCUCAUCACUUGUUACCUCUUUUUUGAAGCUGCAUCUGUUGAAGUGAUAGCCUCGCUUAGAGUUUAAAGAUCUUCUUCCAUGUUAAAUAAAGUGGGCAUUUGAUUAAAAAACUUUAUCUCUAUCUCCUUCUAUCAAAUAACGAAAACUAUCCAAAGGAAAAAAAAAAAAUUAGAAAAGUCCAUGGGUUGCAAUAAUUUAUGGUCUGUCCUCGGACCCCAUUAUCUGCCAAUAUCAAUGAUGAAAAUGAAAAUAAAUGGCAUCUUCCCAAAAUGGCGAAAGAUUUUUAGGAGAUAUGGGGAAUUGUCAAAAGUUCCCACAACGCGAAAUAAGUGUUACAUCCAAUUUUAUUUCAUCAUAUAAUGAUAAUAUCAAGUAAUGACAGCCAUCUAAAAGUAUAAUGGGUCUUCCAAAAUUUUGAAAAUGUCGUCAACAUUUAAUCUUCAAUGCUAAAGAAGAUGAAAUGCCCAAAAAUGACAUGCAGGACCCACUCACAGACUAAACGGCCCUGACCACAUGCAACAAACUUUGACUUUAUGUCCCUGCUGAGGCGUUAGACUGUUGGUCAUUUUGAUUGCUUUUUACAUUCCAUUUACGCCAUUGUAGCAUUGUACUAUUUACCAUUUUAGCUGUUUAAAUGAAUUUUUUUUUCCAAAAAUAAAAUGACACCCUUAAAAUUUUAGAAAAUAAUCAUGUAGACCCCAAAAUUUUAAUAAAGAACACCAAUACCCUUUUUGACUAUAGUACUCUUAUGGUAGCCACAAAAAAAAAAUGACUUCAAAAUUUUUUACUAAAUGUAUAUAUGAUUUAAAUAGUUUAAAUUUUCUAGUAGACUAGUAUGUAUAAUUUAAAUAAUUAAUUUUUAAAAUGUAAUUUAAUAUAUUUAUUUUAAUAAUAUAUUUAUUAUAAAAAUUUUAAACAAAUCCUUGGGUUAAAUGGAUUUUAUAAUUAAUAUAAUAUUUCUCAUGUUUUAAUAAUAUUAAAAUUAUUUUAUAUGAUAUUGAAAAUAAUUAAAAAUUUUAUAUAUUUAUUUGAAUAUUAUGUCUCUAUUUAUUAUAAUUUGGUUUAAUAGAAUACGAGAUUGUAAAAUAUUAAAAUAUUUUUAGGUAUUGAAAUUAUUUUAAUAUGUACAUAUUAUUAUAUUUAUUUUAAUAUCCUACUUAUAUUUAUUAUAAAAUAUUAAAAUUAAUUUUUUUAGUUAAUAAAUUUAAAAAAUAUUAUAAUUAAAAAAAAGAGUCUUAUUGUCUGUUAUUCACGAUAUAAGGUUCUACAAAAUUAUUUUCAAAAGGAAAAAUAAGUCUAGGGGUUUCAAUAAAUUCUAGUCCUAUUUGCCACUAUGACUAAUGAAAACGACAUUGCAAUUGACAUUACUUUUCGCAAUAUGACAAAUUUUUGGAGGGAUAUGGGAGAAUCGUCAAAUGUUCACACUACGCGGGAGUUUUGGAUGGGAUUGGGGAGGAUUGUCAAGAGUUCACACCACAAGAAACCAAUGAUAGCCAUAAUUUUGCUAUCAGAUCUUUGUUUAUUUAUUUUAUUUAUUUCAUACAUUGUUGUCUUGUUGGCAUUGUUUUGCAAAGAUAUAAAAGUAAAAUAAACUAUUAGGGUGCUGCUAAGUUAAGCUGUUGUAACUUACAAUCCCUUAAAAAAUAAUGUAAAAAAUUUAACACGUGGUGGGAUCGACAUAUGUUUGAAGAGGCUUUAAGUUACAGUAGUUGUGACAUAGCAAAAUCCAAUUAUUAGACAAUAACGCACAUUAACAAUGCAUAUAAUUUGGGUUUGAUUUUUUGAAAAAUUAUUUGAGUAUUAACUAUCCUUAAGAUAUUAAUGUGAAUAUAAUUUAAUAUUAAAUAAUCAAAAUCUGUAUAAUUAUAAUAUAUAGUUCAUACAUUGCAUGUUUAAUCAAAAUCUGAUUGCUUUUUACCUUCCAUUUACGCCCACUGUAGCAUUGUACUAUUCACCAUUUUAGCUGUUUAAAUGAAAUUUUUUUUUUUUCAAAAAUAAAAUGACACCCUUAAAAUUUUAGAAAAUAGUCAUGUAGACCCCAAAAUUUUAAUAAAGAACACCAAUACCCUUUUUGACUAUAGUACUCUUAUGGUAUUCACAAAAAAAAAAAAUGACUUCAAAAUUUUUUACUAAAUGUAAAUAUGAUUUAAAUAGUUUAAAUUUUCUAGUAGACUAGUAUGUAUAAUUUAAAUACUUAAUUUUUAAAAUGUAAUUUAAUAUAUUUAUUUUAAUAAUAUAUUUAUUAUAAAAAUUUUAAACAAAUCCUUGGGUUAAAUAGUUUUUAUAAUUAAUAUAAUAUUUCUCAUGUUUUAAUAAUAUUAAAGUUAUUUUAUAUGAUAUUGAAAAUAAUUUAAAAUUUUAUAUAUUUAUUUUAAUAUUAUGUCUCUAUUUAUUAUAAUUUGGUUUAAUAGAAUACGAGAUUGUAAACUAUUAAAUAUUUUUUGGUAUUGAAAUUAUUUUAAUAUGUAUAUAUUAUUAUAUUUAUUUUAAUAUCCUACUUAUAUUUAUUAUAAAAUAUUAAAAUUAAUUUUUUUAGUUAAUAAUUUUAAAAAAAUAUUAUAGUUAAAAAAAAGAGUCUCAUUGUCCGUUAUUCACGAUAUGAGAUUCUACAAAAUUAUUUUCAAAAGGAAAAAUAAGUCCAAGGGUUUCAACAAAUUCUAGUCCUAUCUGCCACUAUGACUAAUGGAGACGAUAUUGAAUUGACAUUGUUUUUCGCAAUAUGACAAAUUUUUGGAGGGAUAUGGGAGAAUCGUCAAGCGUUCACACCAUGCGAGAGCUUUAGGUGGGAUAUGGGAGAAUUGUCAAGAGUUCACACCAAGAGAAAUUAAUGAUAGGCCUAAUUUCGUUGUCAGUUCUUUAUUUAUUUAUUUUAUUUAUUUCAUACAUUAUUGUCUUGUUGGUAUUGUUUUGUAAAGAUAUAAAAGUACAAGUAAAAUAUUAGGGGAAGUAAAGUAAAAUAUUGGAGGUGCUGCUAAUUUACAGCUGCUGUAACUUACAGUUCCUUCAAAAAUAAUGUAAAAAAUUUAACACGUGGUGGGACCCACAUUAUGUUUGAAGAGGCCGUACAUUAUAGCAGUUGUAAAUUAGUAAAAUCCAAAUAUUAGACAAUAAUACACAUUAACAAUGCAUAUAAUUUGGGUUUGAUUUUUUAAAAAAUUAUGUGAGUAUUACCUAUCCUUAAGAUAUUAAUGAGAAUAUAUUUUAAUAAUAAAUAAUCAAAAUCUGUUUAAUCAUAAUAUGUAAUUGAUACAUUGCAUGUUAGAUUUGUUUGGAUUUUAAGUUGUUGCUAAUAAAUAUUUAUGUUGUGAAAGUCGAAUUCAAUAGCUACAAAAGCAGAGAUAACGGUAUUUUAUGUAGUUUUUAAGAAUACAAGGAUAAGACCAUAACGCAUGAGAUAAUGGUAUUUUAUAUAUAUUAAAAGACCAUAACACAUGUAUUUGAGCCAUUGAUAUUGAAGACACAUAUAGAGGAAAGAGUGCAGAUCCGGCCCUCAGUAUUGUGAAGCUUUCCUCAAGUAUUCUCAUGCACACAGACCUUAUCUGGUCAAGUUUUCUGAUUCAAUAUAAUCAAUUUCCGCGCAGUACUGACGACAGCUUCUCUGUAAAGCUCUUCAACCACAAGCAUUUCUACAAGGCAAAAGACUAGGACGUGUCAGAAUGAAUAUCAAUAAGGGAAUGUCUUAUGAAUUUAGUUUAUAUCCUAAUAUAAGACAAUCAGUAAAUAUUGGACUCAUUAGUUGCCCUUGCCUCAGACGUUUGGAUGCUAAGGGGAAAAAGGAAGUUUGAAUUAGUCAAUCUCAUUUCUAAUGGCAUUCACAGAGAACUUAUAAAACAAAAAAAUUAUAAAAAAAAAUUCAUCCAUAAAAAGCUUAGUAACGGAAAAACCGACUCUUUUAUCUGCCACUGACGAAAAAAAAACUGAAGUAUCAAAUAGAUAAAGAUUUUAAUUUUUUUCUUGGAAAAACUAAUAAUAAAUUAACAAUUGGAUAAUACUAUUAAUUAGAGAUCUUUAAUAUUAAGGUUAUCAAAGAUAGAAUGUGUAUAAAAAUUCUUAAUUAUAAGAUAAUUACUAACUAAAAAGAGGCCUAAAAAAGAAGAUUUGCUAUUAUAAGUAAUACCAAAAAUAAAAAAGGGAGACUUCCUAAUUGUUUAAUUGUUAAAAAAGAGGAUUUGCUAUUAUAGGCCUAAUUUGCCUAUAAGUAAUACCAAAAAUAAAACCGUUCCUGGAUGUAAAAAAUAAAAAUUAUUGUUAAAUUCCUGACUAAUAAGGUCAUUGAAAGUAUUCAAAGGACCUGAACUUAUAGGAAAGCCAGCCAUGAUGAACUAUACCACGUUGCAAGUGAGCUCGUAUCUUCAUCCCUUGAUCUGCCAUCGGCAUUUCUGUUCCACUCACUAUACCAUCCUUUUCAAUCGAUUUUUAUUGAUCAUAAGAGGCCAUGUGGCCCACCUUAUUUUUAUUUUGGAUCCAUAACCCAAAGCUGGCCCAAGUUCUGAUUCCAGAAUCAUUUGUCUACAAAGUGACCUCAUUCCGGCAAUUGGUUUAUGCUAAUAGCACGUGCAAUUUUCAUUUUCUUCUUUUUAUUAAUUAAUUUCAUCAUUAUUAUUUGCUUAUUAUUUUAAAUUAAUUAAUUAAAUUGUAUUAUUGAAAUUAGUCUUUCUUUUUUCUUUUCUCUUUCAAUGCACAAAGCCAAACAACCAUUCUUGCUUCAAAUACCGAAGAGCUCCUGACUACGGCUGUCAAUGCUUCUAUAUUUACGUGCUGUGCUGCAUCACUCUUAGCGAAAGCUUGAAUGAAUGAUUAAAGACAAAAGCUUAUAUAAAAGCAGAUGCCGGAGGCACUCAAAAAGCAUUUGAGAGAGAAGCUACACAGCAAAUCAUCAAACGUACUUCAAUGACUUUGAUUUUGAUUCUUUUUUUUUUCAAAAGAAGUAGAAAAGUCCAUGGAUCACGAUAACUGCUUGUCCUAUGCCGUGACCUCAUUGUCCGCUGCUAGUGUCAAAUAGAUUAAUCUUUCUAGUAGAUUAAUAUAAUUUAUAAUUUUAAUUUCAGUAUUAAUUUUUAAAAUGUUAGUUGUUAUAUUUAUUUUAAUAAUAUAUCUAUUUUUAGUAUAAAACUUUAAAUAUAUAUUUAGAUUAAAUAGAUUUAUAAUUAAUAUAAUAUAUCUCAUGUAUUAAUGAUAUUUAAAUUAUUUUAAAUAAUAUUAAGCCUAACUUAAAAUUUUAUAUAUUUAUUUUAAUAUUAUGUUUCUAUUUAUUAUAAAAUUUAGUUUAAUAUAAUAUAAGAUUGUAAAGUAUUCAAAUAUUUUUUAAAUAUUGAAAUUAUUAUAAAAUGUAUAUAUUGUUACAUUUUUAAUAUUGAAGUCAAUCUUUUUUAAGUUAAUAGAGUGAAAAGAUAUUAUAAUAAAAGGCUACGUAAUCUUUCACUUGCACAUAUUCUGUACUCUCUGGAGCAGGACGGUAGGAAAUAUGAUUACAAAUGUUAAAUUCGCCUUUCUUCACAAGUUUAUCAGCUUCGUUUGCGGCCUCUGCUGCUUGUUUACCAAGCUUGUAACAAGAAAUCAAAUUUGGGCACAACCUUUUGAAGCAGAACAUCUUAGCUCUAUCUUUAUCAUCAAUGAUUGAUUUUGCAACCCCUUCACUGAAUUCAGCAACUCUAUUUAGCCAGUCUCUGACACCCUUAUAAAUCUCAUCUCCUUGUAGAGUAGCCUCUCUAACCAGCAUUUGCACCCUUUCUCUUAUAUAUUCCAGCUCCUUCACUCAAUCUUUUAGCCCAUCUAUGUAGCUCUGGUACUCGGAACACAUAAGAUAUGUGCCACAUAAUCGGUUUGAAUAAUGCUUUUGAACCUUGUGAUACAAUGCUAGAAAAAGUAGGGAGACACCCUUCUGCAGCCAUUGCCUGUUGCUUAACAAUCUAUAUAAAUAAAUACAAGUGUCAAAGAAAGGAAUACAGAUAAAUUAAAAUGAACUAGUGGGAAAGACAGAGAAUGAAAAGACUGCAAACAAUAUUGCGAUAUUGAUCUUGAACUAACUAAUAAUUAAAUAGAGAAUUUCUUUUUCUUUCUUGAGGAUCAGAGAUUUUGCUAUUAACAAAAAGGUACUUCGAGGGUCUGAAUAAAAAACCAACCAUAAAUUAUCAAAAGCUAGUAAAAACACAGACGUAAAUAAUGAACAAUUACUUAAGCAAAACAGACCAUGAUACAAAGCAAAUCUAAUAAAAUGACAAAAAAAGAAAGAAAGAAAGAAAGAAAGAAAAUACAACAAAUAAUAUUGAAGUGUUGAUUAUGAGCCAACUGAUAUUUAAACAGAUUUUUUUAAAAUUUUUAGUCUUUUGCUAAAGGAUUAGAGUUUUUGUUAUUAAUAGAAAGGUUUUAAAGACCUGACAUUACUAGAAAAAUACUAAAUAAUGACAGAAAUUUUAUAACAUAUAUCGUUAUGUCACGAAUGUGUCAUGAAAAUAUGAUAGAUUCGUGAUAUAUAUUCAUGUCCAGAGUAUAUGACAUAUUCAUGACUUAUAACUUAACCAUCGUAAAUAAAUGAUACAUAUAAGUCAUGCUUAAGUUUUGUGAACUUAUAAGAUUGUAAAACAAUGCCGUUUAAAUUAACGACACCGUUUUGUAUAACUUAAAACCCAUUAACACUCGCAGCCAAAUUUUGGCUAAGCGUUGAAUUAAUCCCUCUCUCCACUGUAGAGAUGGCAGAAAAGCCCGCUCAGACCGGAUCCGGACUGGACCCGGUGCAUACGGUCCGGGUAAAACCCGGAUCGGAUGCAUGGAAAAAGCGGAUCCGGGCACGGGUCCGGUCACAGCACCAAGAAUCUGGAACCCGGACCCGUGCCCACUUUUUUAUUAAGUAAAAAAAAAAUAUAUAUAUAUAUAUAUAUAUAGUAGUUUUCCAAUCAGGGAUUAGUUAAAAGACAAAAUAAACACAUACUCCAAUGCAUUGUAUUUUAUCAUGUAGUGUAGUAAAAUUUAAAUUUUUUUGUCUUUUAGCUAAUCCAACUACUAUAUAUAUAUAUAUAACAACAAAAAUGCAUUUUGCUUUACCCAAUUUCCCCCAAACCCAACCGGCCAACCCUAAAUCGCAACAAGUCUCAGAAUCGCCACCUCCCUCCGUUUCUCCACCAACAACCACCACCCAUCUUCACCGAUGCAGUGUUGACGGCGCGGCCUCUUCCCCACUUACAGAAAAAUGCGCAUGCUUUUACCGAGAAAAGAAAGCUUUUAUUUUUUGUAUGACAUCUGGUCCUCCCAUCAAGCUUACCUGAGGCAGCGAGGCUGAAAGUCUCUGUUAUCAACCAUCAGGACACCAGAAAGAGUAAUUGCUCACAUCGUAAGCGCCAUGAACUAAUUUUUCCGAAAAGGAGGAAAUGAAGGUCACAAUGGAGCUCAUUUCCCGCGAUUCGAGAGCCCUACAGAGAGGUAGGACCCCUAACUCACUCCGUUUUAGUCACCUUUCAAUGGCUCCCUUAAUUUCCUAAAUCAAUAAGUGUUCUAAAAGGGCUUGAAAAAUCAAAAUGAUGCCCAACAUUAGUGCCAGGAUUAAGGAACUUUUCACUGCAAAGAAGUGAAUAGCUACGUGGAUGAAGUUAUGGGCCAUGCAGAAAUUCACACUUCACUCUCUCUUGAUUUGUACUCAAAAGUCGCCACCAACCUUCAAUUAUAUGGACUCAUGGAUUCAAUAUUUAGGCUUACAAUUGGACCUUCACAAAGCAAUUGGAGCACUCCAAGCUGCAAAAAAUGUCUCUUCUCUGUGACAUCUGCAGGUGGGCUAGAAGAAGGUUAUGCAUAGAUGGUCUAUGUGCGUGUGCUUACUAAAUGCAUACAAAAUGUAUAAGAACUGAGAUUCCUAUGUUUUUUCCUUUUUAAUUUUAAUAAUUAUGUUAGAUGUUUGCUUGGUAGUUAAGAUGUUUUGGUUUUGGACUGUUACGCUUUGUUAGAACUUAAAAGUAAACAAUUGUUUAGGCUGUAUUUUUUUUUACAGUGUUUUCACCUUUGAAAAUCCGGGUAGAGAAAACCCGGAAAAACCCGUGCCCGGAUAGUGCCGGGCAUGUACCCGGCCUGUAUAAAAAAAAUUCCGGACACGGUGCGGGUUCGGGUAGUUACGUGUGACAUCCGGGUCGGUCCCGGGCAGCCUCAAACCCAGACCCGACCCGGACUUUUGCCAUCUCUACUCCACUGGCCACUGCAACCUAAAAUAGUUUUUCACUUUAAUAACCCAAAAGCUUUCCUCUGUUUCAACUAAGCGAAAAUUUACAUAUUAAAGCCUGGCUCAAAUUCCUUUUUUCAAUCGAAAUUAAACGUAGCCACAAAACCCUAAUUCACCACACCAAUUUAUCUCUGCCCGGUAUUCAUUUAAACCCUACCUCGCGGUUCAAUGUCAUUCAAUACGAUUGCAGAUGCUGUUUCAACUUGUCAUUUAGUUAGCGCCAUCCAGUUCUCUAUGGUAAGCCUUAACCCUAACAACUAAUCGACUGCGGUAGCACGUUGCUUGUUAGGAGUGGGGAUACAUUAUUUGAAUAUAUGAAUUGGGUGAUGUUAGUGAUUCAUUCCCCUAUUUGUCGUGAAUUGAGAUUUGUGCAUAAUGCUAGUAAGAUUGCUAAAAAUUUCAUAUUUUGUAUUGUUCCAGUUGAAUUUCUUGCUUGUGGAAGAUAAAACAAAAGUUCAAUUUCAUGUUGAUUUAAUUCUUCUUUUCCUUCUUUUUAUUUUUCUUCUUUAUAGUCACGCUCUGGCUUUGGUGCUAUGCUUAGUGCAGUUUAUGGUUUCAAGAUUAAGUCAUGUUUAUUUGAUGGCAUCGAUUCCAUCGUUGAGGAUUGGAUUGUUGAUCAAAUGCACAUAGUAAGCUCUUCUUAUUUUAUCUCAAUUUUAAUUUUCUUUUAUUAUCUGCCUCUACCUGAAAAUGGACGUGUUUUACUAGUAAGCAUAGACCUUGUUUAUUUAAUUGAUAUUUUAAUUUUAUGUAUAAGAAUGGAGGUUUAUUUUGGAAAAAAAAAGAAAUAAAAAAAAUACUCUGUUGAAGCUAAUUAGUACUGAAUUUUUUUUGGUGGUGCGACCAGAGGUGGAAACAGGGUAUGAAAAUGUGUUACUGGUGAGGCUGCUGCUUAAGAUGAGAAUGCAUUCUUUUCAAAAAUCCUUGGAAGGUGUGAUCUAAUUAUAUUUGAUGGAAUAUUAAAUGGCUAAAAAUCUGUCAUACGUUCAAACUUUGUUUGUGUUUAGAAGAAUGGUGUUGACUGUAUAUUCGUUUGGAAGAAUGGUGUUGAUUGUAUAUUCAUUUGCUUAGCCUUUUGACAGAUGGAUUUGGAACUGACGAUAAAUGUGAUUCAAUUUACAAGGUUUUCGAGGGGCUCACAGUGGAAGGGAUAUUGAAGAACUGGUCGAAGUUAAAGCCUAUGAUUGUGAAAGAUUGGAGUGAGAAUAUAGAUGCUCAUUUAAAUCUUUUUGGCAAGGUCAGAGAUGAAUGGAUAGAUAAGGAUUUAUUUGACAACUUGGACUGGUGCUAAUAGGUAUUUUAAGCAAGCUUUUUGAGAUAACACUGAGCAAGUUAUACUACUAUUUUGCACAUGAUGAUCAAAACUCUCGAAAAGUAAAUAAAAUAAAGUAUUAACUUUUACUUUCAUCUUUUGCAUAGCAAUCAAUGUGGUGCUUGUUCUGUGACAACUUUGAUAAUCUACUUAAUUACUGGUUAGCAUUUGGACCAAAAAAGUUCUUAUGAUUUACAUGUUUUGUAGAAAUGCAUGAACCUUAAAUGUGCUGAUCAGGGAGUUUAAUUAUUGCACCUUGAAAUUCAUUUACUGUUAACUAAUUGGCUUUCCUUUGCAUAAAGCCGCUUAUAAGGCUUGAGUGGACGUCUUUAUGGGCAUAUUUUUUGUAUUUCUCGAUGCAUGCCUUUAUCAUUUAAUGUGGUGCUCGUAUUUCUUUAUGCAUGCCUUUAUCAUUUAAUGGCCAGCUCCCUUUCCUCUUUUGUAAUUUGAAUAGUAGUAUGGGCCUCCAUUUUACAAAUCUUUAACAUUUUUUGCUGUAAAUUAAUUUUUCUUUCAAAUAUUUUGGAGGUCAUUGGAAUUCCUGUAGGUCUAUUUACCAGAUUUUAGUAUGUUUAAGGUUAUAAUUUUGCUUAGACUUUAAUUUUUCUGAAAGAUUGUAGUAUUGAUCCUUAAAGUAAGAUCAUGCUACUUCAAAUUAUUUUGAAGUGUUGCUAGUUAUAGCCUUACAUAUCAAAUUCCAGUUGUCUGGAAAUUUAUUGAUAGCUGUUACAGCAGCAUAUUUUAUGACUCUACUUCUUAGUUAUGUAAGUUCAUUAUGUUUAGGUCAGAGGCAGUCAGCUGUGGGGAAUCGAUUUAUACACAGAUGACUUUGAUCUUGUUGCUGGUAUGUGGUUCUAUGAAUAAUUGUUCACAAUAAUUGUGUUUGCCUCACUGUUUUUGUUUUAUGAGAUCUAUAAUUGAUCUUGGGAUAUUACUUUUUAGUUCUCAUGCAGGCAAGUUACUACCUUCCCACUGCAUCUCCUCCUUUAUCUGCUACUCAAGAGUUGCGUGCCAUAAUCUGGUAUUACCUCUGCAAGAUUGUGAAUGAAUAUGAUGCCUCUAAAUUUAUUUUAUACAUAAUGCUAAUGCUGAAUAAUAUAUUGUAGCUCCUGUCAUAUUCUACUUUGACUUUUUAUAUUCCGUUUCAAAUAAAAAUCUUAUUCAACUUUAGUUGUUCAUGAGCAAAUGUCACAUGUAUAAGCCCAAAUGAUGUUUAAAGGUAGCGCCGCUACCUUCAGUUUGAGCUUACAAUGGGUGAAAAAGAAAUUGAAACUGAUAUUUUGCGGUUUUUCUUAUUUUUCAAAGUAUUUUAGAUCAUGACUUUUGUUUGGACUUGAUGGUUAUAGAUUGUGUCUAGAUUUGUUAAGUCGUUUCCAACACCUCGUGCCAAAUCAAAGCACAAUCUUUCUGAUUCAGAUGUUUUGUUAAUUGUGCUUCAUUUUUUCGUUAAAGGUUGGAUGGUUGAAUGGAUUGAUGGAGUUGGAGUUCAACCAAUAAUUCUAAUUUUUUGGACUUAAAAUGCCUUUUUCUUCUGUAUAAAAGCUUUAGUAAGUGCUAUUGAGUUGACAGAAGUUGAAUACUUACAGGUUGUUUCACACUUUUUAAUAGUUUUACAUAUAUGAAUUUCUGUUUUUUGAAUUGCAGAAAGGAGGUGGAACUAUUGAUUUGGAGCCUUAUCUUACUCACUCAUCAACAACGGAGCCUACCCUCGCUCCUAUGGCAGUGGAACGGACAAUGACUACUAGGGCUGCAACAUCAGUUGGUUCGGGUCUGUUUUGAUAGCGAAUUUUGAUAUGUCAAUAUAAUGUGUAAUUGUUUUGGGUUGAGCUGGUAAUUAUGCUGGAUUAGAUUGGUUUGGUUUUGGUGCUUCGCUGAUGGAACACUGGUUUUUUAGAAAAUUUGAAUGUAAUAUGAGACUACAUUUAGUUUAAUUGAACACUGCAUCUAGUCUAAUUACUAGAAGUGUGGCAUUUGGUUUGGUUUAUCCGAUAUUCUCCAGAAUUUCACUUGCAUCUGGUUUUGUUGCAUAUGUUUGCUUGCAUUUGAUGGCAGUAGCAGACUGUUUGGUUUUGUGGCAUUUGAUGGCAGUUUGGUCUGUUCUUGGUGCUGAUUUACGAUUGUUCCUGAUGUGUUGAUGUUAAUUGCAGGUGCUUGAAUCAGCUAGGGUUGCUGGUUUUUUCAGAUGGUUGACUCAGGCGUUGUUACUGGUUGAUUCAGGUGGCUGGCUCAAGUUGUUCAUUUAAUGUUAGGAAGCAAAUUAAGAAUUAAUGAAGUAUUCAUUUAACUAUAAUUAUUGUAGUUAUUUUAUUUCAUAACUGAAUUAUAAUCUAUGAUACUUGUGAACAAAUUAGAGAAUUUUUAUAUAUAAAUUAUAUAUAUGUGUGUGUAUGUACAUUUUGCUUUUUAUAUAAUAAUUUAAAGAAUAUAUUUCAAUUCCCACAAAAAAAUGGCCCCAAUUUCAAUAAUUCCUGCCAAAUAAUUAAUUUUUUUUAAUUUACCGCCAAAAUAUAUCUUAAAGAAAUGUUAGUUAUUCUUGCUAGAUUUAACAAAAAUAAUUUAUAGGAUUAACAUUUAAUUAAAAUAAUUAAAUAAUUUUACUAUUUCAAUUAAAUGUCAUGUUUAUAUCACAGACAAUAGUCAUGAAUGGGAAGUAUUAGUUACAUAUUUUUCCUUGUAGUUAUUUUAUUUCAUAACUGAAUUAUAAUCUAUGAUACUUGUGAACAAAUUAGAGAAUUUUUAUAUAUAAAUUAUAUAUAUGUGUGUGUAUGUACAUUUUGCUUUUUAUAUAAUAAUUUAAAGAAUAUAUUUCAAUUCCCACAAAAAAAUGGCCCCAAUUUCAAUAAUUCCCGCCAAAUAAUUAAUUUUUUUUAAUUUACCACCAAAAUAUAUCUUAAAGAAAUGUUAGUUAUUCUUGCUAGAUUUAACAAAAAUAAUUUAUAGGAUUAACAUUUAAUUAAAAUAAUUAAAUAAUUUUUCUAUUUCAAUUAAAUGUCAUGUUUAUAUGACAGACAAUAGUCAUGAAUGGGAAGUAUUAGUUCCAUAUUUUUCCUUGGGAUUUCAGGCAAAUGAAAAAAAGAUUGAGAAUGAUUUCAAGAGGACAGGUGGAUGAUAAGUAUUCAUUUUUGUAUAUUUGGCUAAUGUCCUCAUUAGUGGAUUUUUAUGGUAUUGAUUUUUUUUUUUUUGGUUUAUAAUUUUCAAUUAGUUGUUACCCUAGAGGAAGAGCAGGCUGAUCAAAUUGAUUUGUCUUAUUUUUCCGGCAAUCUGCGACACGAUGACUGUGAUAAUGCUCGUGACUGCUGGAAACUUUCUGGUGGAAAUAACUUUAGAGUUCGUAGCAAGCAUUUUUGUUAUGACAAAACAAAGGUUCCCCCAUAUUUUGGUUGUUUGUUAUGGUAUUUAUAUAUCCUGCAUAUGCUAGGUCGACAGGUUAUGAUGUAGUUUGGUUGGCUCUUGUGCUUUGUGCAAUUUGUAACUGCAGAUACCUGCGGGAAAACAUUUAAUGGAUCUUGUUGCUGUUGAUUGGUUCAAAGACACAAAGAGAAUGGACCAUGUAGCUCGGCGUCAAGGCUGUACUGCACAAGUAACUGAAGAAAAAUGUGAAUUGGUUCCUCUUUUUCUUACUUUCCAGAACAGUAUGUACAGGGAAUAUAUACAGCAAAAUAGGAGAGAAAAUAGGAGACUACAUCUAUCCUUUCCUAAAUAAUAGGAAACAAAAUCUGGAAAGAAUCCUAAUGAAUCUUCCCAUUAUAAUUUAACUUAUUCCUAAAAUAGCCUAGAUUACAAAUAAAUCAUAACUUUGAAUCUUUAUUUUCAACACUCCCCCUCAAGCUAGUGUGUGUAUAUCAUACAAACCCAGCUUGUUACUUAAGUCUUCAAAGUUAGGUCUUGGCAGUGCUUUAGUAAGGAUGUCUGCAAUUUGUUGUCUAGUUGGAAUGUACUUUAGUUCCACACUUCCACUAGUGACCUUCUUUGAGAUGAAGUGCCUAUCAAUCUCGACAUGUUUGGUUCGAUCAUGAUGCACUGGAUUUUUUGCGAUGCUGAUUGCUGCUUGAUUGUCACACCUCAUUAGAAUGGAUGAAGGGUUGCACACACCGAGUUCUUUGAGUACACGCUUUAUCCAAAUUCCUUCACAGAUUCCAUUUGCCAAAGCUCUGAACUCUGCUUCUGCACUACUCCUAGCUACAACUGAUUGUUUCUUACUCCUCCAGGUUACUAGAUUUCCCCAGACAUAGGAACAGUAAGCAGAUGUUGAUAUUCUAUUUGUGAUGUCUCCAGCCCAGUCUGCAUCAGAGUAGAUCUCAAUAUUCCUAUAUUCUGAUUUCUUGAAAAACAAUCCUUUUCCAGGUGUCAUCUUUAGAUACUUCAAAAUUCUAAAGACUGCAUCCAUGUGUUCCUCUGUAGGAUUGUGCAUGAAUUGGCUCACAGCACUAACAACAAAGCCUAUGUCCGGACGGGUAUGUGAGAGAUAAAUUAAACGACCAACCAGUCUUUGAUAUCUCUCUCUAUUGACUGGAACACUAUUCUCAACUGAGCCUAGUUUCUUGUAGGGAUCCAUAGGAGUAUCUACUGGUUUGCACCCAAUCAUACCAGUCUCCUUUAGUAAGUCCAGGGUGUAUUUCCUUUGGGAGACAACAAUUCCCUUCCUAGAUCUUGCCACCUCCAUCCCAAGAAAAUAUUUCAGAUUCCCUAGAUCUUUAACUUCGAAUUCCUGAGCUAGCUGUUUCUUCAACUUCUGCAGUUCUUCCUCAUCAUUUCCUGAGAGAAUGAUGUCAUCAACAUAUACGAUUAGGAGAGAGAUCUUCUUUGCUUGUGAUGUUCGGAGGAAUAGAGUGUGAUCUGCCUGACACUGAGUGUAACCAAGUCUCACAACUGCCUUCGCAAAUCUAUCAAACCAUGCUCGAGGGGAUUGUUUAAGCCCAUACAAAGAUUUCUUGAGCUUGCACACUUUAUUUCUAGUAAGAUUCAGAUCAAGACCCUGGGGAACUUCCAUAAACACUUCUUCUUCAAGAUCGCCAUUGAGAAAUGCAUUUUUUAUAUCUAGUUGGUAUAAGUACCAAUCUAGAUUUACUGCUAAGGAGAGCAAGAUUCUAAUGGUGUUGAGCUUCGCAACCGGAGCAAAGGUUUCAAGAUAAUCAAUCCCAUAUGACUGUGUGAACCCUUUAGCUACAAGACGAGCUUUGAGCCUCUCAACACUUCCAUCUGCCUUGUAUUUAACAGUAAAAAUCCACUUACAUCCAACUGGUCGUUUCCCUGCAGGAAGAUUUGUUAUAACCCAUGUAUCAUUUUUCUCAAGAGCAUUUAUUUCUUCAUGAACAGCUCUCUUCCACUCAGGAUGACCGAGAGCCUCUUGUAUAUUGUUGGGAACAUGUAGAUUAUCUAAAGAAGAAACAAAGGCUCGGUAUGAUGGGGACAAACCAUCAUAUGAGACAUAUUUGGCAAUUGGAUGAGUGGUGCAACUUCGAACCCCCUUUCUUUCUGCAAUUGAUUUAUUAGAAUCAUCCACACUUGGAACCAUGAACUCAACCGAGGCAAGACUAUCCAUACCUGUGUUGUCUUCAUAAGAGCUUGGAUUUGGUUCAGUUUCUUGGACAUGUGGCUGAGUUCUGUGCUCUAUCUGCUCUCCAGUUCUUCUCCUCCUAUAAACAUUAAGAUUAUCAACAGCAAGCUGUGGAAGAGGUGAGAUUAGAGGUUGUAGUUGAUGAGCUGAUGGAUGACGGGGUGACUCGGCUGGUUGUGGUUGGGAGGACUCAGAUGACUCAAAAGGUUGUGAAGAUGUUGGGAGGAUUGCUGAUUGUGGCUGUUGGAUAGAUUGAUCAUGUGUGGUGGUUGAGUUAUGAGGGUUUUCAUGAGGGGUUUCCAGCCAAGAUUGCCAAGAAGAUUCCCAAGGCUGAUGUUCGCUCAUACUCUCUCCCUGAACAACAGUUUUGGAAUAGAAAGGCAGGUUUUCAACAAAUGUUACAUCUCUGGAAAUGUAUAUUUUUCUGGUAUGAGGAGAAUAGCAUUUGUAUCCUUUUUUAUGUGGAGAAUAGCCUAAAAAUAUACACUUGAGAGAUCGGGGAUCAAGUUUAGUCCUGUGUUGAGAGUGAACAUGGACAUAUGCUGUGCAACCGAAUAUUUUUUGUGGUAAAUCUGCUGAAACAAUCCUAGUGUGUGGAAAGAAAUUGAGAAGAACUUUUCUUGGGCAAUGAAACCCCAAGACUCUAGAAGGCAUUCGGUUGAUUAAGUAGGCUGUAGUGAGAACAGCUUCACCCCAGAAAAAAUUAGGAACAUGAGAUGAGAACAAAAGACAGCGAGCCACUUCAAGAAGGUGUCUGUUUUUGCGUUCAGCGACCCCAUUUUGUUGUGGGGUGUCAACACAAGAACUGAUGUGAAGAAUGCCUUGAUGGAGAAGAUAUGAGCUGAGGGAGUCUUUGAAAUAUUCCUUGGCAUUGUCGGUUUUAAGGACUUGGAUUUUGGUAUUGAAUUGGGUUUGAAUCAUGGCGUUAAAGUUUUGGAAGAUUUGACUAACUUCGGAUUUGUUUUUCAUGAGAAACACCCAAGUGAGACGAGUAUGAUCAUCCACAAAUGACAAAAACCAGCGAGCCCCAGAAACAUUUUUAAUUCUUGAGGGACCCCACACAUCAUUGUGAAUUAAAGCAAAUGGACGAGAAGGCUUAUACUUAACGCUUGAAUAAACAUUUCGAGUAUGUUUUGCAAAUUGACAAAUUUCACAAUGAAAUGAUAAAGGGUUUUUAUUGAUGAAUAGAUUGGGAAAAAUUUUUGCGAGAUACAUGAAACUAGGAUGACCUAAUCGAUAGUGUAACAGAACAAUUUCACUAUCGUUAUUGACAUUUGGACUAACAAUAGAAUGAGGAUAACUAGUUGACAGACUAUUGGACUUGGCACAGUUUGCUCUCGAAUCUUGUAUGAAGGAGGAUUGAUCGCUUUUGAGUAGAUAGAGUCCAGAACAUAGCUCAGCACUGCCAAUCGUCUUCGCGAAUCCAAGUCCUGAAAAACACACAUAUUUGGAUAGAAUUUAGUUACACAAUUCUGAUCACGAGUGAAUUUACUGAUUGAAAGUAAAUUGCAAGCCAAAUUAGGCACAUAAAGUACAGAAUUAAGGUGUAACUCCUUAGUGAGUCUGAUGGAACCUGUCCCUGCUAUAUUGUGUGAGAGCCAUCUGCGAUCCGGACUGAAGUGCUGUUGAUGCUAGCUUUAUAAUCCUGCAACAUUGAGGCAUCUCCAGUCAUGUGAUCAGAAGCACCAGUGUCAAUUAUCCAGGGUUUGCUUGCUCCAUUAGUGGCUGCAAAUGCUGAAUGAGUCUCUUUCUAAGCCACUAGACUUGUCCCUGCAUUGGAGUUCAAAGUGGCUUGAUCGAAAAGCUUUUGAAGAAUCUCCAUUUGCUCCUUGCUGAAUGGAUUUGGCUCGGGUAGGGCCUGAUUGUCCGUGGUGGAUGCUGCAUGAGCACGAGAUUCACGGUCACCUUUGGAACGAGGUUUCCAAUCAGCAGGUUUGCCAUAAAUUUUCCAGCAACUCUCCUUAUAGUGGCCUGCCUUACGACAGUGAUCGCACCAUGGUCUUUCUUUCUUUGUACGAUUUUCACUAACCCCUACAGAGUUGGAUGCACGGGCAACAAGUGCAGAGGCGCCCAGUGUUGGUUCUGAUGACCCCAUCAUCACCUUUUUCCUACUUUCUUCAUGCCUAACUUCAGAAAAGGCUUCACGAGGGCGCGGUAGAGGCUUUGUCCCGAGUACACGGCUCCUAACCUGAUCAAGAUCUUUAUUGAGUCCGAGGAGAAAUUUAAACGUUCUCUUCUGUUCCACAAUCUUCUUGUACAAGGUUGUAUCGUCGGUGCACUUCCAAGGGUAUGUUUCAAAUAGAUCAAGGUGUUGCCAAUGCCUAGUCAGAGUAUUAAAGUAUUGAGUGACAGAUUGUUCUCCUUGGCGGAAGUCAUGGAGGAUGGUUUCAAUCUGGAAUAACUCUGAUGUGUUCUCAGAGCUAGAAUAGGUUUCCUUUGCAGCAUCCCAUAUGUCAUUUGCAGUCCCAAACAGAAGAAAAUUCUCACCAAUAUCAUUGUUCAUGGAAUUGAUAAGCCAUGACAUGAUCAUGUUGUUCUCUGACUNNNNNNNNNNNNNNNNNNNNNNNNNNNNNNNNNNNNNNNNNNNNNNNNNNNNNNNNNNNNNNNNNNNNNNNNNNNNNNNNNNNNNNNNNNNNNNNNNNNNNNNNNNNNNNNNNNNNNNNNNNNNNNNNNNNNNNNNNNNNNNNNNNNNNNNNNNNNNNNNNNNNNNNNNNNNNNNNNNNNNNNNNNNNNNNNNNNNNNNNNNCACGUAACAGAGGUUGAUGAGGAAGCCAUCCCGUAUUUUGCCACAGAGAAUACAACUGAUGGGAGAGGAAGGAAGGUAGAUUGUUCAAUUUAUGAGAGAAGAAGGAAAUGGCGGCUGAUAGGAGAACUAGGGUUUAGAGCCAGGCUCUGAUACCAUGAAGAAAAAUGUGAAUUGGUUCCUCUUUUUCUUACUUUCCAGAACAGUAUGUACAGGGAAUAUAUACAGCAAAAUAGGAGAGAAAAUAGGAGACUACAUCUAUCCUUUCCUAAAUAAUAGGAAACAAAAUCUGGAAAGAAUCCUAAUGAAUCUUCCUAUUAUAAUUUAACUUAUUCCGAAAAUAGCCUAGAUUACAAAUAAAUCAUAACUUUGAAUCUUUAUUUUCAACAGUAACUAUUCUUUUCUUUUUAUUUUUCCUUUUCUGAAAGAAACUUAGUUUUGUAUUGUUUGGCAAGCUAGAAAAUGAAAGAAAAUAAAAGAAAGCGCUGUAAAGAAGUUUGUAGAACCUUUAUUACUCUAGCAUUACAACUGAAUGAAUACAGACUGAUAUUUCUAUUAAGCUACAAUUUUCUCAACACACACACAAGUUUGUUACAUCACAUAACCAUUUGCUGCAUAACUAAUUUGACACAUCAGCUCAACCAGCUAACUAACUUUGCCAGGUCAAGCCUAGUGAGUUGAUCUGCUAAAGUCAGCUACACAGCAACAUCAUGCUCUGCUCCAACUUCAUUCAAUUCACUAACAUCCCCCCUCAAGCUGAAAUGUUUAGGAUGAACAUUCAGCUUGCUUCUUAAGUAACUAAACUGUUUGAGAGUAAGCCUUAGUCAACACAUCUGCUGUUUGAUCUUGACUGGGCACAAAACAUACUUCAAUCUCUUUUGCAGUAACUUUAUCUCGAAUAAAAUGUAUAUCCAAUUCGACAUGCUUAGUUUUAGCAUGAUAGACUGGAUUGUAAGCUAAAGCAAUUGCUUCUUGAUUAUCACACCACAUCAUAGGAGUAGAGCUCAAUUUGAUGUUAAGUUCACCAAGUAAAGAUUGUAUCCAGGGAACCUCUGAAGCAGCAUGAGCAAGAGAUCUAUACUCAGCCUCUGUGCUGGACCUGGAAACAACAACUUGUUUCUUUGAUGACCAUGAGACUAGAUUAGGGCCUAGGUAAACAGCAAAGCCAGCCACUGACUUCUUAUCAUCACGAUCACAAGCCCAAUCAGAAUUUGAAAAACAAUGUAGUUGCAAAGUUCCUUUGUUAUUAAAUUGCAGCCCAAGAUGUAUAGUGCCUUUUAAGUACCUCAAUAACCUUUUGCAUGUUUCCCAAUGUUGUGUUCUAGGACUUGAAAUGAAUUGACUUAGGUUGUUUACAGAGAGAGCAAUGUCAGGUCUGGUAAGAGUAACAUAUUGAAGAGCUCCUAUAACACUCCUAUAUUGAGAAACAUUAUCAAUUAGCUCUCCUGAUUCUUUUGUGAGAUAAUAACCAGUAGACAUUGGAGUAGGCACAGGACUGCAAUCUGUCAUGCCAUGUUUAUCCAGAAUGUCAGUAAUAUACUUUGCUUGUGUCAAGGAAACCCCUUGUGAAGACUUGCUGACUUCAAUCCCCAGAAAAUAGCUAAGUUCCCCCAUGUCUUUUAAAGCAAAGGCUUGAUUCAUAAUCUUAAUAACUUGCUGAAUUAGUGUUGGACUGGAACUAGUGAUGAUAAUAUCAUCAACAUAGACCGAAACAAGAGUUAGAUGACCACUGUUCCAGGCAUGAAACAGAGAGUUAUCAGACCUUGAAUGCUAGAAAUGCCGUUUAGAGAUCAUUGCAUCCUUGAAUCUAUCAAACCAGGCUCUAGGUGCCUGUUUUAAGCCAUACAAAGCUUUAUUCAGCUUGCAGAUAUGAUUAGGUUUAGUUGAGUCAACAAAACCUUCAGGUUGAGCCAUGUACACCUCUUCAAUUAAAAUGCCAUUUAGAAAGGCAUUAUUAACAUCUACUUGCCUAAUCACCCAUUGAUUCAAUACUGCUAAGCUAAGAAUAACUCUAACAGUUGAAGCUUUAACUACUGGACUAAAAGUUUCUGUAUGGUCAAUCCCAUGUGUCUGAUGAAACCCCUUUGCAACAAGCCUGACUUUAUAUCUUGAAACUGAACCAUCUGAGUUAUACUUUAUUCGAAACACCCAUUUGCUGCCAACUAUCUUCACUGGAGUAGCAUGUAAAACUAAAUCCCAGGUGUGAUUAGUUUUAAGUGCUAGAUACUUUUCUUGCAUAGCCUUAUACCACAUAGGAUCAGAAAGUGCUUGGGAAACAGAAGUUGGUUCUGAUUUCUGGGCUAAUAAAGCUGACAAAUAAAUUUUUGGCUUGAAAAUACCUGCUUUUGACCUGGUUAUCAUUGGAUGACCAGUUGAUGCAGGUUGUGGCAAUGUAUGUGGAGGUGAAUUAUGUGGUAGUGAAGAAGAAGAAGCUGAGUUGGAAUUAUCAGAAAAAUAAAGUGGAGUAGAAUUUGGUGAGGGAGUAGGAGCAUCUGAAUGAUGAACAUUUUGAUGGUGUUCUGAUGAUGCUGCUAAAGGUGCUUGUAACUGAGUAAUAGAAGGAACAGAGGAAUUGAAAGAAGACUUAUAAUUUUUUGUUGACUAACAACUUGAAGAGAGUGAAGAAAAAUCUGCUCCAGACUCAUAAGGAAAAGAAUUUUCAUCAAAGGUGACAUGAUUUGAAAUGUAAACCCUCUUAGAAGAGUGAAGACACUGAUAUCCCUUGUGUUGUGAAUUGUAGCCAAUGAAUAUACAUCUGGCAGUUCUGAAAUCAAACUUAUGUCUAUUGUAUGGUCUGAGUGUUGGAUAACAAGCACAACCGAAGGUUUUAAGUGUUGAAUAAUCUGGUUGAUGAUGAAAUAACUUUUGGAAAGGAGAAAUGUUGUUUAGAAUUGGAGUUGGAAGUCUGUUUAUCAAAUAGACAGCUGUGUGGAAUGCAUUCCACCAAAAUUUGAGUGGUAAAUGUGCUUGAGCUAAUAAGGUCAGACCUACAUCAACUAUGUGUCUAUGUUUCCUCUCAAUUCUUCCAUUUUGAUGAUGAAUAUGUGGGCAAGGGUGUCUAAAAUGGAUACCAGAAGCAGUGAGUAAUGAGGAAAAUGUUCUGAACUCUUCUCCCCAAUCAGUUUGGACAGUUUUGAUUUGAAGUUGAAGAUGCUUUUCAAUAAAAAUUUUGAAAUUGGUAAACACUUCAAGAGCAUCAGAUUUGGCUGACAAUGGAAAUAUCCAGGUAAAUCUACUAUAAUCAUCUAAGAUUGAUAAGUAGUAAUUAUAUCCUUGGGUAGAACAGACAUGAGAAGGACCCUGAUGGCUGUCGAAGCCAACAAAAAUAAAUUCCUACUCUAAAUAAAUUGUGUAUAGUGAUUGAGCAGGGUCGUGUCCACAGAGAUCGAUAAUUAUUUAAAUCCUUUUGAAACGUAAAACGUAAAAUGGGGGAAUUGUUGACAAUAAUAAAAAUCAAAUUAAAAAUAACAAGAAUGCAAAUUAAAGUUGUAAUUUAAAUUGGAGAAAGCUCUGGUUGAAGGAAUUAACUCAGCUUGAUUCGACUACUGAUCAUUGAUUCAAAUAUAGAUUAUUAUUACUCAUGAAUAGACCGGUUAUAGCUACUGAGACCCUCUAAUAGCCAAUCUCUCCUUAACUAGUCGAUAACCAAGGUACGACCGUUGGUUAUUUCCCUAAUCAAUAGACAACCCUAGAUACGAUCAUAGAAUUUAAUCAAUUGACAGCCUGAAAAACCAGAGAGACCCAAAUCCUAAUCAACACAUAUGAUGAUUCAUUUAAAUUAGAUUGUUUAUUCUCACAACACAACUCUCUGCUAUGUUAUUAGUCACAAGCAUUAAAUUCUUCAUACGAUGAAUCCUUUAAUUGACAAUAGAUUAAGUUGAUAAUUAAAUAGUGGCCAAUUACCUAAUUAACAAACAUAAUCAUGAAAAUAAUUCAGAGAAUAAACAAAUACCCAAAAAGUAAUAAAACAAUUAAAGCACAAGAAAGAUCUCACAGUAGUGAUGAAUCAAAGCUUCAUUAACCUUCAACCAGAAAAAUGGGUUUAGUUUCUCAUAGAGAGAAGAGAAAAAUUAGAUCUAGGGUUUCUUUUUCUCCAAUCCAAAAUUCCCCCCUUUCACAAUAGAUUCCUCCCUUAAAUACUCUCUCUCUCUUCUCCUCUAGAAUUCUAUUUAAAAUAAAAUACUAAUAUCUGAAAUAUUAAAUUCGUAAUUACAAAAAUAACCAAAAAUACAAAACACGUUAAACUAAAAACUGCAGGUCCGCAGUUGACAGCACGCGCCCACGCCUUAUCAAUAAAGUUCUUCUGCCGCUCAUAAUUUCUCCAAGAGAACAAUCAUCCUUAAAAAUCAUCUUGUAGCUCAAUUUUAUCACCAAUCAAUAGAAUUGCACCUACAAAAGUAAAACACAAGUAAAUCAUUAUUAUUAAGUGCAAAACAUCGAUAUUAAGGGAAGUAAACAAUGCAAAACUAGUGCAUAAAUUGCACUCUAACAAAUUCCCCCACACCAAGAUGAUGCUUGUCCUCAAGCAUAUAACUCAAGAUUAAUCCCAAAUCUCCACUCAAUUCUCAUCUCAACUCAUCCAAAAAUAGAAAUUAAGUCGAUCAACAUUCGAGAGACAAGGAUUUUAAAGCAUAGAAUCUCAUAAGAUAGAAUAAGAACAUUCAACCACCAAGAAGAUCCAUUCAAAAUUCAAGUGCAACAAGAUGUAAUAGCCCUCUCAAUAACUUCACUCCAUGCACUCAAAGUGUUUAGGGUGUCAUUUAUCCACUCAAAUCAAAUCAAAGAAUGCUAUUACCAUAAGCUUGCUCAUAUAUCACAUCUCAAUCCACAAAACAUGAAUAAAAUGCAAAAAUCUAAGGGUCUUAAAAGGAUUGUAAUGGGGUUAAAUGGGUUAAAUGAAAAAGAAAGGUUUACGAAAGAAAAAGAGAUCAAAAUGAGAAGAAUGAACUCAUUGAAUGAACUUAUGAUAUCAAAAUGCUUAUUUCUACUCAAGUCACCAAGAAUGUAAACAUUUUUUUUUUCGAUUUUUCUUUUUCUUUUUUUUUCUUUUUCCUUUUCUUUUUCUUUUUUUUUUUCAUUUUUUCAUUUUUUUUUGUUUUUUGUUUUUUGUUUUUUUCGAAUCAAACAAAAGAAACGAACCUUGCACAAUUUAAUUCAAGCAUAAUGCUUGUUGAUCUAAUUGAGAAACUUCAAUACAAGGUAGAAAAAGCAACAAAAUAUAUCCACACAAUGAGUCCAAAAAUCUCCUUAAAUUGAGGCUCAAAAAGAAGAAAAAUGGUUAAGUAGACGGAGAGAAUUAGAUGGGUAAUGGUUAAGGCUCAAACAAAGGUAGCAAAUAAAGGUCUUCGGGUAGAGAAAAAGGAAAAUGCGAGAAUAGAAAAAUGGUAAAUGGUUUGCCCUUAUCAUUUUAAUGCCUAAAAUCCCGUAAUGUGGCUUCAAUAUGCAUAACAAAGCAAAUUCUAGAAUAAACAAACUAGGAUUGAUAUUCACAUAACAAAAAUAAUUAGAGCAAAGUGGUUGCUCAUAGGCUCAAAUCCUCACAAAGUUGGUAAAUUUGCCAUCAAAUCAUGUACACUCUUCAAAUGAAUCAACCAUCAAUAGUGGUGUAGAAUGAGAAGAAGGUAUGAGUGAUAUAUAAAAGAAAAGGUAAAAAUUAUAAGAAGUGAGAAAGAUGUAUGUAGUAAUAUGAAAAGUGAAAGAUAAAAUGUGAGUGAUGAAAGAGUAUGGUAAAAUAAAAAUAGAUAUGAAUAGUUUGAGAUAGAUGGGAAAAAAGUAGUGAGAAAGAAAAGAAAAGAAAAUUAAUAAUAUAUGAAGCAUACUAACUCCAAAAUCAUUUAAGGAUGAGUAGAGUGAAAAUAGAUGAGUAGAGUGAAAAUAAUAAUUCCAGACAUCAAUAAUGCAAAAAUCCCUCCCCCACACCAAGAACUUACAUUGUCCCCAAUGUAAGAUAAUCAAAGCUCACAUAAAAAUUAAAGCGUAAGGAUAAAAGAUUAAGGGCAAAAAAAAAAACUUCCCUGAAUUGUGAGCUUUGAUCCACAUAACGUCUAUGGGCUUGGCGGAAAUGGUGGGGUAAAUCCCACACUCUCGAAGUAUGCGGCCAAAUUCUGCUCCAUCUUGUUCAGCUUGUGCUCCAUUUUCUCUAACUGAAUACUCAAAGGUGGUGCGGAUGUAGAAGGAAUAGUUGGCGGGGCAGCAGUGUCGUCGUCAAACUCGUCAUCAGAGGUAGCACCACUCCUAGCAUAAAGCUUCUUCGGAAGUUGAGUGGGUCCUGGUUCAGUAAACUGAAAUCUCCCCUCCUUGAAUUCAACCACACCUGUUCUUUCAAACACAGACAUAUCCAAAAAUUCCUUUUUGCAAGCAGGAUGCAAAUCAUUAUUGUCGGGAUCAAGAACACAUAGGUUUAUAGCUAACAGAGUAAUGUAUGGACCAAGAAAUAAAGUCCUAUACCGUUUAAGCACAUUUUGAAAUUGAUCCGCUAACCAAAAACCUAAAUUAGGCCUCACAUCAUUUAACAUGCACCAGAUAAAAUAAAAUUCAGUUUUAGAGAAAAUUCCCGAGUGAUCUUUCUUGCCUAAAAAAUUAUAUGCUAAGAAUCGAUGCACACAUUUCAAAACAGGAUCACGUAAGAAAGAACUCUUUGAUUUACUCGGGUCAUAGGCAUUGUGAUCAACAGAUAAAUUACGCCAAAGACCAUAAGGCUCAAAAUUUUCGCUAAAGUCACAAGUUGUUCCUAAAUAUGCAUCACUAGAAGAAUAAUCAUCAUCAAUGAAUCCUAAAGCUAGGUUAAAAUCCGUGAUAGAGUGUGAAAAAUUUCGUCUCAUUAACCUAAACUUAAUGACAUUCGGGGUAUGCAAAGUAAAAUCAUUCGGCAUAGUAAAUUGAAAAGUAGCAUAAAACUCCCUAAUCAACUCAACAUAACCCAAACAAUCAACAUCAACAAAUUUACGCAACCCAAUCUUAUCUAUCAAAGAAUCAAAAUUAUCCUUAACAUUCAAUUUUUCAAGAGUCGGGUAAUGAAUAUACUUAGCUGGAAGUAUUUUGCAAGUGGAAAUAUCUUUGUACCUCUCUUUCUCUUGUUGAGUCGCGAACGCGAGGCACCCUCCGAGAUUGGAUUCCGCAAGUGGCAAAACACUCAUGCCUUUUCCAUGCUUCGAUCUUUGUCUCACGGCUUUGCGUGAAUCUGAAAUUGUGUUCCAUGGAACCGUAGUGGGAGCGGCAAUCUUAGAUUUCUUUACGACGGGUUUCUUUUUCGAUGACUUGGAAGUAGAUGCUUUCCUCUUCGGCAUUGUUACAAUAAUUGCACUCACGGAUUUCGAUUUACCCGGCUGGAAUACAUGACGUAGGCUGGUUGCGUUGCGUUGCUGCUCGACUGGAGCUUGCUGUGCGGGUUGGAGCUGGUUGCGCACUGCUGGGCUGCGAGACACGGGAUGCUGGUGCUGCGCUCGCGGGGGCUUGCGUUGCGAGCUGGUGAUUCGCGUUGCUGGUUCGUGCUGCGUUGCGGGGCUGCUGGUGGGACUGAUGUUGCGCGUUGCGGCUGGGGCUGGAUCUACGCACUGCUGUGUGAUUCGCGAGAGCCGGUUCGUCUGCGUUGCUGUGCUGCACUGAGGUUGAUUCGCGUUGCUGCUGGUUGCGGUGCGCGAUGCUGCGCCCGGCGGCUGGGGCUGGUGGGGCUUGCUGCUGGAAAACGAUAAUCAACAGUAAUUUUUUUGAAUUAGGGAUUUGUGAACAGUGAUUUUCGAAUUUUUUUUUUUUUUUUUUUUAGUGAUGAAUCACUUUGAGACACUAAAAAUUUCAGAAGUACUUUUUUAAUAAGCACGUGGGCACGCCUUAUCAAAAAUUUUCUUCUGGCCAAAAUAAGCAAACACAUUAUUUUAAAAAAAAAUCUGAAUCAAAAUUAAAAGAAGAUAUAACAAAAACCAAAAUAAAUAAAUCAUUUGGGUUGCCUCCCAAAAAGCGCCUUUGUUUUAUGUCUUUGGCUAGACACGUUUAUGCAUCAAUCUCCAUAAUUGGGACUCUCGAGAGCCACAUCCUCCACAAUAUUCACCGAAAAACCUUCAUAAAAAGGUUUUAAGCGAUGACCAUUAACCUUAAAAACUUUGUCAGAGGUCGGACUCCGAAUCUCAACUGCACCAUGAGGAAAAACAUUAGUAACAAUAAAAGGUCCAACCCAGCAAGAACGUAAUUUACCCGGAAAAAGUUUAAGCUUAGAAUGAAAAAGAAGAACUUUUUGACCAACAGAGAACUCCUUUCUCAAAAUCAUUCUAUCAUGAAAUGUCUUCGUCUUUUCCUUGUAAAAAAUUUCCUGCGCUAUAGGGUUAAUAACAUCCACAGAAAAUACCGAAUGUUCCUCACUAGGAUAUUUCAUGGUAUCAUUCAUAUUGAAUCCUAUAACCUCUCCAUCAAACUCCAUAGUGAGAGUCCCUUUAUGUACAUCCAUUUUAGUCAUAGCAGUCUUAAGAAAAGGUCUUCCUAGCAAAAUUGGGACAGAAUUAGAGGAGUUAUCAUCUUCCAUAUCAAGUACAUAAAAAUCAGCAGGAAAAACCAACUCAUUAACUUGUACUAAGACAUCUUCUAAUACCCCAUCAGGAUAUGCAUUAGACCUAUCAGCUAGUUGAAUUAUCACGCCAGUUUCUUUUAAUGGACCAACAUUCAAAGAUGAAUAAAUGGAACGAGGCAUGACAUUAAUAGAAGCUCCUAGAUCUAACAUAGCCUUUUCAACUCUAACACUACCAAUUUUACAAGGGAUAGUAAACAUACCUGGAUCCUUGCACUUAGGAGGUAGUUUCUUUUGGAAAAUUGCUGAAACAUUCUCCCCCAUGUGAACUUUUUCAUCUCCUCUUAAUUUUCUUUUGGAGGUGCACAGUUCCUUAAGGACUUUAGCAUAUCGAGGUAUUUGUUUUAUAGCAUCUAAUAAAGGAAUAUUUACCUCAACCUUGCGAAAUGUCUCAAGGAUGUCUUUCUCUUGUUCUUCCUUCUUGGAUUUUGCAAACCGGCUUGGAAAAGGAGGAGGUAUCACAAUAGGUAGGGGUUUCGCUCCGGUGGGUUGUGCAUCUUGAGAUUGAGGCAUCAAUUCAUUCUUCUCAAGCUCAUCUUCUACAUGCUCUGUCACUUUCUUACUAGGCUCUUGCAACUCCUUCCCACUUCUAAGGAUGAUAGCACUAACGUUUUGCUUUGGAUUCACCUCAGAUUAUGAAGGCAAUCUUCCUAAUACUCGAGACUCCAGAUGGCUUACUGUAGUCGCCAAUUGACUCAUUUGGUUCUCCAAGUUCUGAAUGCUUGCUGUAGUUGCCUGCUGAAAUUGUUGAGUGUUAGUCGCAAGUGAUUUAACAAUUUCUUCAAGAGAUAUACCUGACUUGGAGUUUGACUGUGGAGGUGCUGGUUGUCUUGGUGGAUACUGUUGUGGGAAUCCUGACGGUUUAACUCCAUAGCUGAAGUUGGGAUGAUCCUUCCAUCCCAGAUUGUAUGUUUGUGCAUAAGGAUCAUACCUCCUCUGAGGCAUGCCUGGAAAUCCUCCAACUGCAUUGGCUUGUUCAACGAGUUCUUCUUGGAGUGUAGGACACAUAUAAGUUGAAUGACCCAUAUUGUAACAAAUGCCACAAGUCUUCACCUGUUGCACAUUACCUACAACAAACUUUUCCACAAGAGAAGUAAGUUUAUCUAAACGUUGUUCAACAAAAGAAAUAUUUACCUCAUUCACCUUCCUUGAAGUGGGAUCUUGCCUGCUACUAAAUUGUUGUGCAUUGGCAGCCAUAUUUGAGAUCAACUCCCUUGCUUGAGUAGGGGUUUUGUUCACCAACACACCUCCACUAGCAGCAUCUAUCAUACUUCUAUCCAUUAAUGAUAGUCCUUCGUAAAAAUAUUAAAUAAGAAGUUGAUCAGAAAUCUGAUGCUAAGGACAGCUGGCACACAAUUGUUUGAAUCGCUCCCAAUACUCAUACAAAGUCUCCCCAGGAAGUUGUCUGAUCCCACAAAUAUCUUUUCUGAUGUUGGCAGCUCUUGAAGUAGGAAAGUACUUCUCAAGGAACUGCUUUUUCAAACCAUUCCACGUUGUAAUUGAUCCAGGAGGCAAGUAGUACAACCAAUCUUUAGCUAGCCCAUCUACAGAGAAUGGAAAAGCACGCAACUUAAUCUGCUCUUCAGUCACGCCUUGUGGCCUCAUACUUGAGCACACAACAUGAAACUCCUUGAGAUGUUUAUGAGGAUCUUCACCUGCAAAACCAUGAAACUUGGGUAAUAAAUGAAUAAGCCCAGACUUUAAUUCAAAAUUUACCUCCAAGUCUACAUAUUGAAUGCAGAGUGGUUGUUGAUUCAAGUCUGGUUCAGCUAACUCUCUAAGAGUUCUUUCUACAGGUGCAGGUCUAUCCAUCACUUGUUCUUCUGAAUCGCUAGAUGAUUCAACUAAAUCAGGCACUGUAUCUGUUUCAGAAAGCAAAGGCGACGAGGAUCGUUGCUUAGCUCGCUUUGUCUGCUGUCUCAGUUGGCGAGCUGUCUUCUCAAUUUUAGGAUCAAACGAAAGUGUACCUGUACGAGAAGAACGAACCAUACACCAAGUAAAACGUAAAAAAGAUUAAAUAAAUGACACCAAUCCCCGGCAAUGGCGCCAAAAUUUGAUGGGUGUCGAAGCCAACAAAAAUAAAUUCCUACUCUAAAUAAAUUGUGUAUAGUGAUUGAGCAGGGUCGUGUCCACAGAGAUCAGUAAUUAUUUAAAUCCUUUUGAAACGUAAAACGUAAAAUGGGGGAAUAGUUGACAAUAAUAAAAAUCAAAUUAAAAAUAACAAGAAUGCAAAUUAAAGUUGUAAUUUAAAUUGGAGAAAGCUCUGGUUGAAGGAAUUAACUCAGCUUGAUUCGACUACUGAUCAUUGAUUCAAAUAUAGAUUAUUAUUACUCAUGAAUAGACCGGUUAUAGCUACUGAGACCCUCUAAUAGCCAAUCUCUCCUUAACUAGUCGAUAACCAAGGUACGACCGUUAGUUAUUUCCCUAAUCAAUAGACAACCCUAGAUACGAUCAUAGAAUUUAAUCAAUUGACAGCCUGAAAAACCAGAGAGACCCAAAUCCUAAUCAACACAUAUGAUGAUUCAUUUAAAUUAGAUUGUUUAUUCUCACAACACAACUCUCUGCUAUGUUAUUAGUCACAAGCAUUAAAUUCUUCAUACGAUGAAUCCUUUAAUUGACAAUAGAUUAAGUUGAUAAUUAAAUAGUGGCCAAUUACCUAAUUAACAAACAUAAUCAUGAAAAUAAUUCAGAGAAUAAACAAAUACCCAAAAAGUAAUAAAACAAUUAAAGCACAAGAAAGAUCUCACAGUAGUGAUGAAUCAAAGCUUCAUUAACCUUCAACCAGAAAAAUGGGUUUAGUUCCUAAUAGAGAGAAGAGAAAAAUUAGAUCUAGGGUUUCUUUUUCUCCAAUCCAAAAUUCCCCCCUUUCACAAUAGAUUCCUCCCUUAAAUACUCUCUCUCUUCUCCUCUAGAAUUCUAUUUAAAAUAAAAUACUAAUAUCUGAAAUAUUAAAUUCGUAAUUACAAAAAUAACCAAAAAUACAAAACACGUUAAACUAAAAACUGCAGGUCCGCAGUUGACAGCACACACCCACGCCUUAUCAAUAAAGUUCUUCUGCCACUCAUAAUUUCUCCAAGAGAACAAUCAUCCUUAAAAAUCAUCUUGUAGCUCAAUUUUAUCACCAAUCAAUAGAAUUGCACUUACAAAAGUAAAUCAUUAUUAUUAAGUGCAAAACAUCGAUAUUAAGGGAAGUAAACAAUGCAAAACUAGUGCAUAAAUUGCACUCUAACAGACCCCAAAGAUCUGCAUAUAUCACUUGUAAGGGUGCUGAAGUUUUUGUUUCAACUGAAUCAAAAUGCAGCAUAUGAUUUUUCCCAUAUUGACAUGCUGAACAAAAUUUCAAGCUUUCAAUUUUAUUAUAAGCAGUAGAGUUGUUACAAGUUUUGAGUAUAGUUUUGAGAGUAUAAGAUGCUGGGUGUCCUAAUCUUCUAUGAAGAAGAUUUACAUCAAUAGAACUCUUUGUAACAACUGACAGACAUGGCUUUUUAUUCAAUUCAUAAGAACUAACAGCAGUGAGCUGAUCAGAAUUGAAAACAGGAGAACAAGCAAAGAGAGUGAAUUUUAUUUUGACCAACUGAAUUGAGAAAGACUGAAUGAGCAGCAACAUGUGAAGAGACUCUAUACAAGUCACCUUUAGCAACACCUUCAAGUAAAAUUUUCCUUGUGUUCCUAGCCUUUAUAAAAAACAAAUCACCAAGAAAUUCCAACAGUAACUGGAUUGUCAGCCAAUAAUUUUGAAAUGCUAAGCAAAUUCUUAGUAAUAAAAGGGACAUGAAGAACAUGGUUUUUAAAGGUUUAGAAGUUGAAGUAUUUAGCACAACUGAUCCUACAUGUGUAAUAGCUAAUGCAUUUCCAUCUCCAACAAACAAUUUUUCAGUACUAGUAUAAAUUUGUGAAUCCAGAAGUUUACCUAGAUCAUUUGUAAUGUGAUUUGUUGCUCCACUAUCAAUAUACCAUGAAGGAUCUUCAAUGUGUUCUGGUGGAAGUGAAGAAGGCAUAGCUGAGGAAGAUGAAGCACUUGACUGUCCAGGAUUAUUAUUUCCUUGACCAGAAACAAAAGUAGAUGGUCUAGGGGUGAAUGAGUAAUAAGCAGAAGGAUUACUAUCUGGAUACACCAUAUUUCCUUGAUAGCCAAAACCAGCAUUUAAACCAAAACCUCCAAAACCUCUGCCACCAUUACCAUUAAAAGCUCUUCCUCUACCAUAUUGCCCUUGAUUAAAACCUCUGCCACCAUUCAUAUUACCUCUGCCAUAGUUUCUCUGUGGAACAAAAGAUGAAUUGUACCUAUUUUUGCAUCUAUUGGCUGCAUGACCAGGUAUGAAGCAGAUUUGACAAACAGUUUCAGAGGAAUUACCACCAUUAUUAAACUGACCAUAUCCAUAUCCAUUAAAACCUCCAUACCUAGAAUUAUUUCCAUAAUUUUUUUGAAAAUUGCCAUUAUUCUUUCCAGCAUAUGAGUUCUUCUGAGCAAUAUUUGCUGUCAUAUUGUGCAUCACAUCACCAGCAAUUUUUCCUUUCUUUUGUUCAACUCUAUUUUCAUGAUUCAAUAGCAAAGGAUAUAGUUCAUCUAAUGUUAUCUUCUCACCUCGAGCUAAAACACCUGUGACUAAAGAUUCAUAAUCUGAUGAAUCAAGACCAGUUAAUACAUGAAUCACAAGAUCACUUAACUCAACAGGUUUUCCAGCUAGAGCUAAAGUAUCAGCUAUACGUUUUACUUUUGCAAAGUAAUCAGACAUAUGCAUUGCACCUUUCUUAAUAGUUUGAAUCUGCAUUCUAAGUGUUUGAAUUCUAGCUUGUGAUUAAGAAAUAAACAUACUAGUAAGAGUCUUCCAAAGCUGUUUUGAAGUUGUGGAGUCAAUCACAGUAGCAAGUAGAUUUUGCUGUAUCGACGACAUCAUCUAACUCAACAGAAGUUGAUCAGUCUUCAUCCAAGCUAUGAACUCUGGAUUAAUAGAUUUGGAUUCAGAUUCAGUAAAAAUUUCAGCUCCAUUGUUGUUUCCAAAAGAAAGAAACUACUCAGGACAUUCUUGAUCACCAUUGAUAAACCCUUCCAGACCGUUUCCUUUGAUCGAUGCUAAAAUUUGUGCCCGCCAUAAAAUGAAGUUGUUUUGGUCUAGCUUUGCAGGCGUAACAAAACUAAAAGAGUUGUUAUUUUGAACUGUAUUCGCCAUUUAUGGCUCUAAUACCAUGAAAGAAACUUAGUUUUGCAUUGUUUGGCAAGCUAGAAAAUGAAGAAAAUAAAAGAAAGCUCUGUAAAGAAGUUUGUAGAACCUUUAUUACUUUAGCAUUACAACUGAAUGAAUACAGACUGAUAUUUAUAUUAAGCUACAAUUUGCUCAACACACACACGAGUUUGUUACAUCACAUAACCAUUUGCUGCAUAACUAAUUUGACACAUCAGCUCAACCAGCUAAUUAACUUUGCCAGGUCAGCUUAGUGAGUUGAUCUGCUAAAUUCAGCUACACAGCAACAUCAUGCUCUGCUCUAGCUUCAUUCAAUUCACUAGCAUUUUCCCUUGAUACAUUAGGAGAAAAGACUGCCUGUGAGAUACAACAAUGUAAAUAACUUCUCAUGGUUCAUUGAAUCUAUAACGCACUGAGCCCUAUUCUAAAAUAUGUAGGUUGCUUCUGAAAAAGGGCUUUUCUCACUGAUCUUUAAUCUUCAAGAAAGUUUGUUUCAUUUCAGAAGGUAUAAGUUUCAAACUUAUUGUAUUGGGAGGUUGUAUAGUUGUAACCUAAGCAUCUGCAGGUUCCUGGUUCAACACAUUAUAGUAUGGUAUUUUAUUUUGUCACAAGGCAAUUGGUUACGGGAUCACUUUUGCAACGGUUUGUUGAUGGCGAUGAUGAAUUUCGCAAUAGUAGGUUGAAACUUAUUCCAUCUGUUCCUAAGGUAUCCAUCUUGGCCUUCAUGUAGUAGGACUAUAUUAACGUAUACUUACCCUUUACUGCAUGGUACACUUCAAUUUGUACAAAGAAGGCAUGCAUUUAGGUGUGAAUGUAUUGAUGGGUUGUACCUUCAAACUUUAUCUCCUUUUUACCCUCUUGAAUUUGUUUUGCACUUGUUCUUGAUUUUCAGCACUGAAUCAUGCAGGGGUCAUGGAUAGUGCGCCAGAGUGUUGGAAGCACCCCUUGUUUAUUGGGGAAGGCAGUUGAUUGUAACUAUAUUCGCGGUCCCAAGUACUUAGAAGUAAAUGCUCUUGGAAUUUCUAUAGUACAUGAGAUGUUCCCCUUUCAAAUAGCGUCCAAUACCUUUAACAUGGUUUAACAUUGUUCAUCUUUCUGUAGAUUGAUGUUGACAUCGAUUCUUCUACUGUUGCUAAUGGAGUUUUGGGCCUUGUAAUUGGUGUAAUUACGACAUUGGUGGUUGAGAUGGCUUUCCUUGUACAGGUAUGUAUGAUUGUUUUUUUCCCCCACUGCUAAAUGGACACAAGGGAAAAGACAUGAUUUUGAGAUAUUGCACUGCAACUUGCAUUUUUGCAUACUUGAAUGUUCUCAGAAUGAUAUAAUGCUUCUGUGUGUGUCUUCUUUAUCUUGCUCUUCUGUAUGCAGGCAAAUACUACAGAUGAAUUACCGGAGCGGCUGAUUGGUGCUGUACGUGUUUCUCAUAGAGAACUCAAGUCUGCUGUUGUCCCAAAGCUGGAACCAGAGAUAUCAUGACUCUGGUUUCAUUUCAGCUCAACUGUGUUUUUUUUUUAAUUAAAAAAAUCAUUUGUUUUAGGUAUACAUACAUGUAUUUUGAUUCUAUUUUCAUUGUAAUUUCUCAUUUACUUUGAAUGAAAGUCAUUGGUGUUUUCGAAUGGGAAUUUUGCAUUAAAAAAUGAAGAAUAAUGAAUAGGAAAUUUCCUGAUUCUUUAGUUACUAUUUUUGGUAUGAGUGUAAUUAGUAGUAAAGUAGGUUUCUACUCGCAAACAAGUGAACUACUCGAUUCCCGAGUGGUAUCAACCAGUUUCCAACUUUUUAAUAUACACUAAUUGUUAUUGUUUAAUAGCUACUACUAUUAAAACUCAACAGCUAGCAAAAAUACUUAAAAAAAAUGAUUUUUCUUAUGAUGCUGUGAAAAAAAUUACGGGUGUACUUCUUUCCAUGAGAUCUAUAACAUGGUCUCGACUUCACGAAAUUCUUUUAAUUUAAAGCGUGCUGGUGUGAGGUCAGUUUAACUGAUUAAUUCUUUUUAACAGUGGUCGAGAUAAUUUUACUAUACUAAAAAAUAUUCUUAUUCUGAUAAUGCCACAAAUGUUAUGCUGUUUUCUUCAGAUAAUGAUCUUCCAUUAGGAGAGGUUAGAAAUCAAAUGCUUAAAAGACCAAUUGAACGAAUAAUACAGAAAUUUAGGCAGAAUCUAAUAGAAUAUUGCAUGAAACAUGAAACAUCAAUUCAAGUCCUUUCUUAAACGGAGAAUGCAUCAAACAAAAUCCAAAGUGUCUUGCAAGUCUGUAGCGUGAGCAAAAAAUUGUAAAUAUGUAGAACCAAAUUAUUCAAGUACAGAAGAACGAGCAAGCUAAAUCAUGUAUAAGAGAUUGGCCUGGUUCGGGAUAGCUUCUUCACUGUAUCUGAAGGGUUGGCUCAAUCUCUUCUUUAGAAUUCUGCAGAUUUUGUAAUUACUCGUGUAAGCAAGUAUACAUUGCCACCAUAAGAAUAAUGAAGCUAGAGUAAUGAUAUGACCACCACCUCUUGUGCACAAACAAUAUUGUAUAAACUAAUGCGACAUAAUAUGAUUGGUUAAACAAAAACAUUACAUGGCCCUCAUAAUUUAUUUAUUUAUUUAUUAUUAUUAUUAUAUAUUUUCAGUCAACCAAUCAUAUUAUAUCACAUUAGUUUCUAUAAAAUAAUUUGCUAAAUAGCACCAAAACUUAAUUGAUACUCACCAUUUCAUUGAACAAUUUUUUUAUGGUGUCAUUGAGGUUGCCUUCCCAACAUCGUUCAUCAUCAUCUUUUUCUUCUUUGGUGACGUUCACUUUGUUUAGCAUUGGUGUGUCUAAGAGUCCUUGAGAGAAGAUCUUCAUUUUUGGACACUGUCUCACAACUACUUGUUUCAAGGACGGGAAUUCAAGAGCGUAAUUACCUAAACAAAAGCUUGUUAGGCUUGGCAAACAAUCAAGUCUCAAGUACUCCAAUUCCUUGAAAACAUUGCAAUCUUUCGCUUCUUCUCCAACCUGCAAUUGUAUGAUUUGUUCUAUCAUUUUGCAAUCAACUAUCAUCAUUCUUUUGAGAUUCACUAGAUUUUUAGAUGCUGAGAGCGUCAACACAUUUAUCAAUCCGUGACACUUCGAUACUGCCAAAGCCUCAAGAUUUUCCAAAUGCCACGAAGGUGGUACUAAUUUUUGCAACUUACUACAUUCCGAUAUUUUUAGACUUUUCAAGUUUGCAAACACUUUGUUGGAUUCGGCAUUUUCCUUCCAGAGAUGGUGCACUUUGUGUAAUCCAGACAGCUCUAACCAUCUCAAUCGAGGGAAUGAAACCUGAAAAUCAACAAAAUUAAGUUGUAAAUGAAAAUAUGUAUCCAAUCUCUGCAGUCUUCCCCUGCAUAUUUUAUGGACAAGAUUAAUCACGACAUUUUAUAUUUUUUUUCCAAAUUAGAAUGCUUUGCAGUAGGAUCCCAAAUAUAAGUAUCAAAUCGAUUACCCUUUGAAACACAUAAAUGAAAUCUGAUACUAAAUCCAAUAUGAAUUAGCUAGGAAAACAGAGAUGUUACACACAUAAUUAAUAGAGUUCAUCACCUCGUGUUACCAGGCAUCCAAUUAAUUUAAGACAUUUUAAUAAUUCAUAUUAUAAAGUUAGUUGAUAGCGGAGGUUAUAUUGUUAAAUCAUAUAUAAAUUAAGACGACGUGCAAAAAGAGGAGUCAUUAAAUUCGAUUUGAUUCUAACGAAAUUACAUCUAUGCGAAUGAAAGUGAAGGGAAAUAAUAAUAAUAAUAAUAAUAAUCACCUUUUCAUCGAAGAGAGGUUGUACUUGAUGAGCCAGCAAGAAGUUCUCUUCUGAUGUUAAUUUUUGAGGUUCCUUAUUAUCCGCUGUCAUGUGCAGUACAGAGUUGGAUAUGAAUGUUUCUAUAUCUCGGCAAUUCUCAAUAGUUAGAUUUCUCAACAUAGGCAUUUCAAUUAUAUUCCCAGUGAAGUUGCAGAAUCUUUUGAGUUUUGGAAGAUCAGUGAGCCUCAGCCUGUAAAGCUUAGGAAACAGGGGGCUUAUAUGUUCUUUGUCAGCAUUUAGCUCCUCCAAAUGAAGCACCUCUUCUAUUGAAUCACAAUUCCUCUCUUCCAGCCAUACCAAAUUGUUCAAGCACCGUAGCAGAUUGGCAGGAAUAGCACUCGACAUAUUCGUGCAGUCAUCCACAGCCAGUUGUCGUAAAUUGUUGAAGAAGCUGACAGGCAGUGCUUGGCCAUGCCAUAUUUCUUUCAAACGUGGAAAAUGUGAGAGUUGCAAAUCCCAUAUGUCACGGAAUCCAAUCUGCACAAACAAAAACAAUUGCACUGGAUAUAUAUAAAUUUUUUUUUUGAAUCAACUUACAUGUUUUGUGUUUUAACUUCUAAAACUAUAUAUACAAGGCAGGUGUAUAUGUUCAAAUGUCCAAGUGCAAGGGAGAUGCAUAAGUAAUUUCGACGAAUCGAUUUAACACAUACCAUUUCUUCGUAACACUUUUGUAUAGUGGAAUUAAGGUUGCCUUCCCAAUGGCGCAAUUCACCCUCUCCCUGUUAAGAAUAGAAUUAGUUAGUUAAUGAGUAUGCUGACAUGGCAGCUGAGUCAGCUAAAGGUUGUUAUAGAGGUUGUUAGUAGUAAACUGUGCGUGUGUGCAAUGUGUGUAGAAUCUUCUAUGCACAUAUAAAAAGGCUUGUAAUUUCCAGAUUCAUUAGAUCAAUAAUAACAGAAUUCUCAGCUUACAGAAGUUUUCUUUCUUCCUAUUUUCUUAGUAACCAAACAACAUCACAGUUUCAUAUAAAACUUAAUACUUCCUUUUUACUCACAUGCACUUCGUGCAGCUUUGGUGUGGAUACGAUUCCCUGAGAAAAAGUCUUCAUGUUCGGGUAACAUGUCAUAGAAACUCGUUCCAAUGAUGGGAAUUCAAGAGUGUAAUCCUCCAAACAAAAGCUGGUAAGCCUUGGUAAAUGAUUUCAGGUAAUUUUUAAAUAUUCUAAAUUCAUUUAGAAUAUUUAAAUGAAUUUAGAAUAUUCACUAUUUAGUAUUAGGAAUGGAGAAAGAAUUUCAGGUAAUUUUUAAAUAUUCUAAAUUCAUUUUUCAUCUUGAUUCUAGUUUUUUAAAAAAAUUUAAUUUUCAAACAUGCGUAUUUUUAAAAUAACUAAACUAAAACGCUGUAUUUCCCUUUUUUUCCCGAUAUUCAUGCUUUUAAAAAUGGAAAACAUUUCUGGAAAACACUUCCCAACGCCAUCAACAUGGGACUGUUAUAGAUGAAUUAAGGAAAAGAGAAAUAUAUAGAUGAAUUUGUGAACCUAUAAGAUGAGUGACUAUCCUUUAAUUUUUGAAAAUUGUACUUAUUAAGAUAUGAGCAGAAACAAUUAAAUUGAAUUAUAUUAUGCUGUUGAAUCGUGAUUAAAAAAAUUAUAUUGUUGAUUCUAAUGCUGGCGAACCUAAAAACUGGACUUAAAAUGUAGAUUUGAGAGUGGUGGUUCGAAGUACAAUACUUGAAAUAAAUAAUCAGUGGCUGAAUAUCAUUUGUAAACAAAAAAUGGUUAAAAUAUUGUUGGAUGUAAUUUGAAAAAAAAAAAAAGAUUCGAAAUGAAUACAGCAACCUUACCAAUGGAGGAAAAAUAUUCUUUAGGUUAUCACACUCAAAUAUCUCUAAAUUCUUCAAUUUGCUGAAAGACUCCGAAGCAAGUUGGUGGUGCCAUAUUAUUCUCAAAUUAUUCAUCCAGCUAAUAUGUAAUACCUCCAACCUAGGAAGUCGUACCUGGCAGUUAAAGAUUAAAUAACUAAUUAAUCAAUUAAUUGCAUAAUCAAUUGAUAACUAAAUUAGAGGCAGAUAUUAACUAAACUUGAAGACUCAAAGAAAAGACAAAUUAAAUAUUGUGACUAAAAUUAAUUUUUUUUAUUAAAAAAAAAACCUUUUCGUCAAAGAGAGGAGGAGGUUGCAUUUCAGAAUGAUUGGUGUCUUCUGGUGAGCUCGUAGAGAUGAAUCUUAACAUAUUCCAGCAACUCUGAAUCUCGAGGUUUAGCAAAGAAGGGAAUUCAACAACUAAAUCUGAAUUAAUAUGUCCCGUAUUGGCAAAGCUUGUUAGUUUAUAAAGCCAAUAGAGCUCCAGGGAGUGUAGUUUAGGAAAAACCUUUAAUUCAAUCAACUUUCCUUCUUCUCUUUCUGACCACCCCGUGGUGUCGACUACCCCUUCCAUUGACUCACAAGAUCUUAUCUCAAGAUGCUGGAGUUGCAAAAGACUAUUAACCAUAGAAUAGGAAAACAGAUACUUCAUACGAUGACAACUGCUCACGUACAGCUUUGUUAAAUUUCGACAACAGUACAUUCCUUGAUUAUGAUCGGCCCAUAAUUUUUUCAUGUUUCUUAAUGACCUGAGAUCCAAUUCCUCUAAGCUCGGAAGAAUAACCUGCAAAGAAUACCCGUACAUUUUUGUUCCUUCAAGUACAACCGUCUAGUAUAAUAUUCUUUUGAUGAUCGAAGAUUAAUCGUGAUAAUAAAUUAAUCAAUUAAUUAUUGAACAGAAAAUUAUCACCUUUGGAGCAGGAUCAUCAUCAGCAGUGAUUUCGUUGAAUCCCAAAGAAGUUGUUGGUUUCUCCCUGUCGGGUCCUAUAAACAAACAAAAACAAUAUACAUAAUUAAUCUUUGUUUUUUUUUUCAAAAUAAUUGAGGCGAAGUCAAUUAUCCCACCGGUACUUAAUUUCAACACUUACCAACAAUCAUUUCCUGAUCAUCGCAAAAAGCCACUUCUACCUUUUGAAGCCGCAGUAGGUUUUUGGCUAUGGAGAAUGAGAAAAGAUGCUUCAAUUUGUGACAGAAUUUUACUUCUAUAAUCCUUAAGUUGCUGAAAGAUUGAUCUUCUGUGAGUUGGCUGUCACAUAUUGUCUCCAAAUUGAUCAAACGACGAAGAGACAAUGACUCCAGCAAGGGGAAGACUUUGCGACGAACCCGUCCAACUGAACAGACAAUAUGCAAAAUCUCAGAACAACUUUCUGCAGAAAGAUGCUUCAAUCGUGGAUAACCUUCCCCAUCAUCUAAUUCAUGAACAACAUUCUGAACACCCUUCAGUUCUUCUAGAUAGAGAUAUUCAGUUCUCGUCAACAACAGUUUCAUCCUGUAAUUCUGCAAAAGAACGCCAAACUUUUCCAGCCCCUGGAGCUUCAUCAAUCUUGAUAAUCCAGAUUUAACGGACCAGCUGCUCCACCACUUAUUUCCUAUACAUAUCCUAUAGCUUUGUAAUUCCACAGAGACGAAAUCCUGCGGUAAAAUUUCGGCAUCCCGAACAUGUAUCUCCAAAGUAGUUAGCUUUGACAGCCCAUUCAAUUCAGCAAGACUGGCGUUACUUCCUCCUUCAACCUUCUCCCACUGUGAAAAGCUGUUACCAAUAUAUAGUUCUUCUAAUCGAGAUAAUUUUGAUAUGACAUUUGGAGCUAUCACCACAAGACUGCUACAAUUUCUCAAAUCUAGCAACUGUAAUCUCGUCAAUUGUCCAAUUACAACUGGCAACUCCUUAACAUCAGAAUCUCGGAAGCUGAGAAUCUCUAAUUUCCUUAGCUGUCCAAUUAUAGUUAUUUCGUUCAGUCGGCAACCGUCUAAACACAAUGUUCGAAGGUUAAUGAGGCGACCAAGUGAUGAAGGUAAUGAAGAGAAAAAUAUGCCAGUAAAAUCUAAAACUUUGAGUUCUUCUGUCCCUUCAAAAAAGAGGUCUGAAAUUUGCAAAGAGCUAUCACGCUUUGAAAACAACAAAAGUAACUCGAGACGGGGACAUCCCAACCUUUCGGGAAGCUCUUGAAUAUCUCUAUAAGGUAAAGAAAUAGCAAUUGGACCUUCCCGUAUUGUCUCUUCCAUCUUUUUCUCCACGUAGGCAACAUUUGGAAUAUUAAACAUGAGCUCCUUUUCUGCAAUUGAUACAGCAACAGCAUGAAUGAUGUCAUGCAUUUUAACUUCAUCUUCAGCAUCACCGUCCAACAAUAAGCAUGAAGAUUUGAGUUUGUCGAUCAAUGCAUCCACUCUAUUCCUUGCAUUUUCCAAUGUGCGAACAUAUUUAAACAAACCCAAACCCAUACCCAUACCAUAUCUCAACAAGGAAGCAACUUGUAUAGGAGUACCUUCACCAAAUAGAGAACAAAGAAGGAACAAAGAUUUUGCUUCAUCACUUUCCAAGAAGUCGUAACUCAAUUUUAUGGAAGAAUACACAUCUGCAUCCAUACCAUGAAUUUCUCUUAGAUUGGAACUUCUUAGCUGAUUCAACGCAUCCUUCCAAAUGGCAAGACUCUUAUUUUUCAGAGCACUUGCAACUGUUCUCAGUGCAACAGGCAAUCGUCCGCAUUUUCCAACAAUCUCAUCCGCUAAAGGUUGAAAAGCAGAUGCUUUUGCGGAAUUGCCCACGAUCUUUUCAAAAAAUUGCAAUGCUUCUUCCUUUGAUAAAACUUCAAUUGGGAAAAUCUUCUGAGAAUUCAUAUCAUUGAUCAAUAAAUCUUGACUUCUAGACGUCAAUAUUAUCGUGCGUCUCCUUAGAUCUUGCUUUCUAUCUUUCUCAUCAACAUCCCCAGAAGGAAUUCCAAUUUCUUCCAACCUAAGUUUUUUCCAAAUAUUAUCUAAUAUAAUGAGGACUCGCUUCUCUUUCGUCAAUCUUUGACAAAGUUGUUUUGCUCUGUGGGGUUUGCUAUCAUUCAAGUCAAAGUUCAUGUCUAAAUCGGAAGCGAGCUUGUCUUGAAUUUUCUGAACAUCUGGGUUCUCUGUUACCUCAGCCAUAACGACCUUAUCGAACAACUUAUCUUCCAUAACUUGCUUUGCAAUUUGCUUGACUAGCGUGGUUUUACCCACGCCGCCCAUACCGUGGACCCCAAUUAUGUUGAGCUUAUCAUCCCUCAAUGCCUCCACAACAUCUUGAAAUAAUUUCAUUCUUGAAUCAAAGGCCUCGAAAUCUUUCGCUUGCAUAUGUUCUGUACUCUCUGGAGCAGGACGGUGGGAAACACUAGAGAAGUUGCCUUUUCUCACGAGACUAGCGGCAGCUUCUGCGGCCUUUACUGCUUGUUUACUAAGUUUAUAACGAGAAAUCAAGUUGGGGCACAAUCCUUUGAAGCAGGACUUCUUAGCUCUAUCUUCAUCAUCAAUGAUGGAUUUUGCAACCCCUUCACUGAUGCAUUCAUCAACGCCAUUAAGCCAGUCUGCAACAUCCUUGUAAAUCUCAUCUCUUUGUUGAGUAGCCUGACGAACGGGUAUUCCCACCCUUUCUCUUUUAUAUUCCAGCUGCUUCACUUGAUCUUUUAGCUCAGCUAUGUAGCUCUGGUACUUGAACACAUAAGAUAUCUGCCGCAUAAUCCGUUCGAGCAAUGCCUUUGCACCUUCUGAUACAAUGCUUGAAAAAGCUUCGAGACCCACUUCUGAAGCCAUUGCCUAGCCUGUUGCAUAUAUAUAUACAUUAGCCGAUGGAAAAAUUGGAUUCAAAUAAAUUAAAGUGAUCCAGAGGGAAGGACAAAGAAAGAAAUGACAACGAAUGACUUUUUAAACAAAGGUUUCAAGAGCCUGAAUCGAAAACCAACAAUUUGAAAAAAAAAAAAAGAAUUGGAAGAUGGAUGCAAAUUAACCAUUGCUAAUACUACAUAAGAACACAUAAGUUAACAAUGAACAGUUACUUAAGAAAAUUAAAUGACAAGAUUAAAACAAACAAGCGCUAUUUUUUCUUGGACAAAUGUACCUGUUUAAUUAUUAAAGACUUAAUGAGCUUCACUAUUGGCCUUGAGUAUAUAAGAAUGAGCAAGAGAUCAAUGUCAACUGCAGAGGAAUGUCAGUAAAGGUUUCAUGAGAGUGAGUAAUACAAAUGAAUUGUAAAAGAACAAGACUUAAGCGUGCACCCCCUGUUUUGUUUUAUUCGUUAUGAAAAUGAUAUUGUACCCAAUUUUAAGAGAGCAUAAUAAUAACCAUUUAAUGCAUAAAUUUAGAAUUAGCUUUUUUUUUUGUAAUUCUUUAUUUAAAUAUACACGUCAAUGGAAAAUUUUGAAAAUUUGGAUACAAAAUUUUAAAUCACCAGAAAAAAAAAAGCACGGGAACGGAAAUAGAGGAAUCUUGUUUUACCUUUUUUUUUCCCCCCUUUAACUCUCGUUCUUAUAUAAAUAAUCUUGUUUUGAUGAUUGUGACUCGUGACUGCGGGAAAAAUUCUAAUGGAAACAACUCAAUUUCGGAAGAUAAGCUUAAUUCUGCAAGUGAUGAAUUUGUUCAAUAGACUCUGUACCUGAACUCGUUGGAUUGGUUGAUUGAUGAUUGACUAAAUUUGAAUUAAGUUUAAUAGCUUAGCUAUCAUGUACUCCUUAAAAGCAAACGUAAAUCUUUUUUAGAUUUGACUGAAUUUGGGAACCUGUUGGAUUGAUUGUUUUUAGAUCAUUAAUAUCAGAUACUACAAACGUAAAUAUUUUCUUGUGGUUGAGUCCUAUUCAAAUCACACAAAAUUGCACGACCAAAUAUUAAGAGAACGUAAUAAUAAUCACUCAGUGCGUAAGGGUAAAUUUAGAAUUACGUAUUCUUUUUUAUUUAAUAAAAUCCCAGCGAGAAAAUCAUAAAAUUUAGAUAUAAAAUUUUCAAUCACCAAACAAAAAACAGGGGGAAUGAAAACACAGGAAACUUGUUUUACCUUUUUUUCAUCUAACUCUUGUUCUUAUAUAAUAUUUUCCCUAGUGUUUCAGGCAAGCAAAAAAAAAAAAAAAAUCAAUAAAGAGCAAGUUGCUCAAAUUGAUUUAUCUUGUUUUUCAGGCAAUCUUGUGAUAUGAUGAUAAUGCUUAUGAAUGCUAGAAAAACUUCUAAUGCAAACAACUCUAUUUGGGAUGAUAAGCUUAAUUUUACAAGUGAUAAAUAUAAAUAACUUUUUGUGGUUAAUUCAAUUUGUAAUUACCCUUAGCCCUAUUCUAAAAUUUGUUGGCUGCUUCAGAAAAAAAAAAAAAAAAAUUUCACUCAUCUUUAAUCUUCAAGUAAAAAACAAAUCUAAUAAAAUGACAAACAAACAAACAAAUAAAAGACAGCAAACAAACAACAUUUAGCCAACUGAUAUUUAAACAGGGAUUAGAGUUUUUGUUAUUAACUGAAAGGUUUCAAGGGUCUGAAUAAAAUCCCAGACUUUUUUUUAAAACUUUUUUUUUAAUUAACCAAAGCCAUAUAAUAAGAUCACAGACUUUAACAAUGAACAAUAAUUUGAAACUCAAGCAAAACCAAUCACAAGAUUAAAACAAACCAGAGAAUUUUUUUCUUGGAAAGUAGAUGAAAAGCAAGUAAGAACUGCUAUUAAAGGAUAUUAUUAAAGGAUUUAGAACAUGUAUACCUCUUUAUUUAUAUGGGAUCAGAGAGUCGAUGACCUUCUCUAUUCGCUUCGGAUAUUUAGUAAGAACUGCUAUCAAAAGAAUGAAUUGAUGAGUAAUAACAAUGAAUUGCAAAAGAGGAAGACUUAAUCACGUACCCCUAUUGUACCCGAUUUUUAAGAUUUAAUUUUGAAGUCCAGAAUCAAGACAAAAGACGAAGCCUUAACAAAUAUGCAGUGAGAAUAGUUAAGUUGAAGAAAGCACUAGUUUAUGGCUCUGUGUUUCAUAUGCCGUAUUGAAAUAAUUAAGUUGAAGUUUUCAACGAAUAAAUACCUGGUGUGCUGGAAUAAUUUUAGAAGAAUAUUGGCUUAUAGAGAUUAGAGCAUAUUAGGAGGGAUCAGAUUUGUAAGAUGCCUGAUAAAAGAUAAAGCGAAUGUUAUUAUGGACAUACCAAUUUCCGACUUUUCGGAGUGCAUCCGUCUAUCCAUGACUUGAAAAGAGACCCAAUGUGUGGACAGACUUGAUUACAUNNNNNNNNNNNNNNNNNNNNNNNNNNNNNNNNNNNNNNNNNNNNNNNNNNNNNNNNNNNNNNNNNNNNNNNNNNNNNNNNNNNNNNNNNNNNNNNNNNNNNNNNNNNNNNNNNNNNNNNNNNNNNNNNNNNNNNNNNNNNNNNNNNNNNNNNNNNNNNNNNNNNNNNNNNNNNNNNNNNNNNNNNNNNNNNNNNNNNNNNNNNNNNNNNNNNNNNNNNNNNNNNNNNNNNNNNNNNNNNNNNNNNNNNNNNNNNNNNNNNNNNNNNNNNNNNNNNNNNNNNNNNNNNNNNNNNNNNNNNNNNNNNNNNNNNNNNNNNNNNNNNNNNNNNNNNNNNNNNNNNNNNNNNNNNNNNNNNNNNNNNNNNNNNNNNNNNNNNNNNNNNNNNNNNNNNNNNNNNNNNNNNNNNNNNNNNNNNNNNNNNNNNNNNNNNNNNNNNNNNNNNNNNNNNNNAUUUAAUAAUUAUAGAAGAAUAUUGGCUUAUAGAGCAUUUUAGUAGGGAUAAGAUUUGUGGACAGAAUAAAUGAAAUAAUAAAAAGCAUAACUGAUCAAGUCAUUAUUGAUCUUACUUUGAUUAUUACAUUGCACAUUAGUUUCUUUCUAAAAAUGCCAUUCUUCAUUCAAGCUUUCGCUUUAUCUUUUAUCAGGCAUCCUACAAAUCUUAUCCCUACUAAUAUGCCCUAUAAGCCAAUAUUCUUCUAAAGUUAUUAAAUGCCAUUCUUCAUUCAAGCUUUCAUGGACAUUAUCUACAAACUGAAUCUUCAAUGUAAUAAAAUAAUGAUCAGCCUCACAGGAUACAUAAAAAGCUCAUUUAUCACAAUCAUUUCCUAGUGCAUCAUAAACUUAGAUUAUUUAAUUUUACUAUUAGGAAACCUACUUAUAAAAGGCGCACACUACAAAUUCUAAAUUAAAUUUCUAACUAAGAAUAAAAGGUAAACCCUAGCAAUUUUCCACCAGGUGCCGUGUAGCCUGCAUCAUAAAUUUUGAUUUAAAUCUUUGUAAUCACCGAACAGAAAAACCGGGGAAUGAAAACAGAGGAGCCCUAUUUUUCCAUUUUUUUAACCCUUAACUCUUGUUCUUCUAAUUAUAUUUUUGCUUGGAAUUUCAGGCAAACGAAAAAAAAUAGUGACAACUAUUUAGAGAGAACAGGUGGAUGAUAGCAAAAAUAUUUUUAAUUAAUAUGCAUGAUUAACUCUUGUUCUUCUAAUGUAGUGGCUUGAUUAAUUAAUAUUUUUAAUCAAGCCAUUACAUUAUUGGUAGUCUCUGUGGGCUCAUUUCGUCUCCAGACCUGAUAUUGUAUAUCUCUUUUUGAAUAUGUUUAAUUAAUAUGCAUGCUGCUGAAUAAAGACGAUGAUUUCCAAAUUUUUGUUGCUUUUUUUUUUUCUUUUUGCUGCUUUGGUACAUGAAGAAUGUGGAAAUAGAAAUAGCUUUCGAAGUUUAAUGGCUUGCUUCAUUAGUAAAGAAAGACUAGGAUAUCCGUCCUUUUUGUUACUGAAUUAUUGAUCAAUUGACGGUUGAAGUUAGUUAUAUUAAUUUGUUGUACAAGAAUUGAAGCUUAUAUCUUUACCGUUUCGUGAAAGUGUCAAAUAUGUUCUUUCCUUGCAAUUGUUCAAAAUAUGUUACACUUUUGAAGUCACUAUUACAUAAAGGGUGUUGUAAAAUAGGGAAAGGCGGGUUUAUGAUUAGAUUUUAAUAUGUUUAAUUCAAGGAUUAACCGAAGCUAUUAACCAACGGCUACUAACCGAAAACCGAAUUUAACAAUAAACACUAACUCAGAAUUCAAGAAAAUUAAAUGACAAGAUUAAGACAAAUGAGAGAUAUUUUUCUUGGACAUUAAGAAAGAACUACUAUCAAGAUCAAGGAUUAGAGAUUAUAUAUGCUAUUAUUAAUAGAAAUUAUUAAAGGAUUUAGAACAAGUUCACCUCGUUGAUUAUCUGGGAUGAUGAGUUUCUAUAUUCACCUUGAAUAUAUAAUAACAAUUUUAGUGAGCAAAAGAUCACUGGUAACUGCAGAGGAAUGUGUGAGUUUAAGAGCUUAUUAGAGUAAGCAAUACAAAUGAAUUUUCAAAUUAUGUACUUGGUCAUUGUUGUCCUACUGACGCACGUUUUUUUUCAUGAAUAAUUGCCAGAUCAGAAAAGAAUAAGUUCGGUGGAUUGAAAGAUUGCUGAAGCAAGUAAAACAAUCUUCAUAUCGAACAUGAUUCCAAUUAAAUUAAUCUUUUUAUAAGAUGACUAAUAAAAGACAAAAGUAGAAGCUUUGAUGAAUGAACGAUGACCAAAACUUUUGUAAAAGCGGAUGCCGAUAAAAUAAACAAAAGGCACUUUAAAAAGAAACUAAAGUGCGAUCAUCAAAGUAAGAUCAAUAAUGACUCGAUUUAUUUCACCUAUUCUGUCCACAAAUGAUGCUUCGCUAUUACAAGGUCCGAAUGGACAUUAUUUACAAAUUGUUCUUAUGUUUCACAGAAAAAUGAAAAACCGUUCAUCAUCAUAUAAUUAUGAAAUAAAUAAAUUUUAUUAAUGGAUUAUGGGGAUAUGUUAAUGUUAGGGAUAUGUUCAAAUCAUCAUAUAAGUUACUAAACGCUUCAACAAGAACAAGAAUUAAUGAGUUAAAAGUAAAAAAAAAAAAUUUUAAAAAAAGUUAAAUAAAUAAAACUUAGAAGUAAAGAAUGUUAUUUGCAAUCACCAAAAUGAAAACAGUGGAACCCUGUUUUUCCUCUCAUUUCUCUUUCUCUCUUUUUCAUUUGUUGGGAAGUGUCGCCUAAAACACUUCCUCUGCUAGGUGGAAUUAUUGGCUUGAAGAGAUGAGUUCUUGUCACAAGCACAAAUUUUAUCUGUACAUUAUUUCAUUUUAAAUGAUGAGUUCUUGUCACAUGAUCAUUACUUUUUUUGUUUUGAUUUGGUUAGUUCAUGAUAACAAACAAAUUAUUUUGCAUCACAUUAUGGUAAAAAGUUGCCCUCUUUGUUACUUCCACAGCUAUAUAGUUUAAUAUUUUGUAAUAAGAUCACAAAGUGCAUGGGAACCACUGUUCGAGUACUUCAGCCUAAUAUGAAGAUCUAUUGAAAAUUUUCCUGAUGUCAUGAUAUUAAACAAAAAAAGGUACCUCUUUUACUAAUUAAUAAGAGAAGUUUUGACCGAUUUCAUGUGACUCUCUUUUACUAAUUAAUAAGAGAAUUUUUGGCCUUAUAUCCUUGCUGUGGCGUUAGACUGUUGGUCAUUUUGAUUGUUUCCUACUUUCCGUUUACGCCAGCUGUAACAUUGUAUUAUCACCAUUUUAGCCAUUUAAAUGAAAUUUAUUUUUGUCAAAAAUAAAAUGACACCCUUAAAAUUAAAAAAAAAAUAGUUAUGUAGACCUCAAAUUUUUAAUAAAGAAUGCCAAUACCCCUUUUAACUACAAGAUUCUUAGUAGAUGAUAACUAAAAAAAUUAACUUCAAAAAUUUUCACUAAAUAUAAAUCUAAUUGAAAUAGUUUAAAUUUUCUAGUAGACUAAUAUAUAUAACUUAAAUAAUUAAUUUCAUUAUUAAUUUUUAAAAUGUUAAAUAAUAUAUUUUAAUUUAUUAUAAAAAAUUUAAAUAAAUUCUUGGAUUAGAUAGAUUUUACAAUUAAUGUAAUACUGCUGAUUUAUUAAUAAUAUUAAAAUUAUUUUAUAUGAUAUUCAAAAUAAUUUAAACUUUUAUAUAUUUAUUUUAAUAUUAUGUCUAUUUAUUAUAAAUUUAUAAUUUGGUUUAAUAUAAUACGGGAUUGUAAAAUAUUAAAAUAUUUUUCAAUAUCAAAUUAUUUUAAUAUGUAUAUAUCAUUACAUUUAUUUUAAUAUUGCAUUUAUAUUUAUUAAAGAGUAUUGCAGUAAAGUAAAAAAAAAAAAAGUCUUAUUAUCCCUUAUUCACGAUAUGAGGUUCUACAGAAUUAUUUCCCCAAACGGGUGUCCUUUUCUCAUUUUCAAAAGAAAAAAUAAAGUAAGAAUAAGACCAUGGAUUUCAAAAAACUUAUAGUCCUAUCCCGGGACCAAACGUCUAUUCAUUAUUUUAUUUAUUCAAUAUAAAUGGCCAACUUAAAAAAAUGAUAAAAAUCACACAAAGCUCAAGUGAAAAUUUAGAAUUACAUUUUUUAAUACUCUCGGAGUCUUCUCUCCUGCCCCCUUUUUUUCUUAAAAAAAAAAACCUUAGUGUAAAAUUAGAAGAAUUUUAGAUAUAAAAUUUGACAAUCGCUAAACAGAAAAGCAGCGGAUUAAAAAUAGAGGAGCUCUGUUAUCAUUGCAAUAUUGAUUAUAGAUAAUAUAAUAACUUGUUGUGGUUCAUUGUAGCACUCUGAGCCAUACUUUAAAAUUUACUGGUUUGUUAAUGCUUUUAUUAUUGACAUUAUUGUGUCAAUAUUAUUAUAAUUUAUUCAUUUUAUUGUAAUGAUAAUUUGUCUAGUCUUAGGUACUUAUUAUAUUAAAUUAUGUAAAUUAAUUGAGAAUACUUUUACAGACAAAAGAAACACGUGUAUGUAGGAUUAAUAAGCGAAGAGUUGUAAAUGAAGCUGAUUGCUUCAUUGAGAUGCAUAUUAAAUAAUUAUGGAGAGUUGCUCUAUUUCAGAAGCAUAUAUUUAUACUUCCCUAUCAGGAUUUGGGGUAAGCGAAGUGCUUUAUGUAUUGCAGUAAGCAAAUGUGGGCAACAUCAGAGCCGAAAUAUUAAAAGAUCAUAACGCAUAUAAACGAUUAGUAUAUUCAAGGCACAUAUAGCGGAAAGAGUGCAGAUCUGGCCGUAACUAUUAUGAGGAUUUCCUCAAGUAAAUAUUAAAAGAACAACUAUUCUGAACUAUAUAUUCUUCAUUGUGGGCAGAUUUACUUAAAUACCAACACAAUGAUUCAAUACUUCAAAAGUCAAGGAAAUGUCAAAAUAUGAAAUGAAAAUACUUAAAUACCCUUCUCCCUAACAAAACUUAGUACUUCUAACUGCCAUCGCAGAGAAUAUAUAAAAUUUAAAAAAAAAAUCAUCCAUGAAAAGUUUCGUAACAGAAAAACCGUCUUUCAAAAAAUAAAAAAUAAAAAAUAAAAACAGAAAAAUUGACUCAUUUAUCUGCCAAUGAACCAGUCGGGACUCAUUUAAAAAAGAUUACAAAGCAAAAGUAAAUGACACAAAUUGCAUAGAUAUCUAAGAGCCGCAUCAAAGGACAAAGGUGUUAAUUUGUCCAAGUAAUAAAUUCUCCUAGGUCAAAAGCAAUUAACGAUGAAAACUUUCUUCAUUAAGGUUCUGGCCUACGUAAAAAAACAGAAAAAACCACCCCAAGGUCAAAGCACAACGAUAAGUUUAGAAUUGCAGUUUUUAAUUUUUCUUUUUAAUAAAUCAACGUGUAUUAAAAAUAGAUAAAAAUUUUGAAUAAUGUUUUUUUGAUAAAUAUAGACAUAAAAUUUAAAAAUCACCAAACAGAAAAACAGGGCAAUUAAAAGAGAGCCCUUGUUUCUCCUCUGUUUUGUUUGUUAUUAAACGGGGAAAUGAAAAGAUCGCAAGCAUAAAUUUUGUUUCUGCGUUGUCUCUUCUCAAUGUUGCAUGCAUUCAAAUUAAACCUUAUAUAUGAUAGCAAACUAGCUACUCUGCAUGUACGAUAAGUCUAAAUAAUAGAAUAAUUGUAAAAUGUUCAAAUUCAGUAAUUAAUUAUACAUAUUUAUUUAUUCAAAAAUUAUUAUUAUUAUUAAUUAUUGUCAAUAAUAUAUUAAUAUACUAAUUAAUUAUAAAAAUUUUUAUCAUUCAUAACAAUAACAAUGAUGAUGAUGAUGAUAAUAAUAAAAAUUCAAAAUAUAUUAAUUAAUUAUAAUAAUAUAUUAAUUAUUUAAUACUAAUAAUAAUAAAAAUGUAAAAUGUAUAAAUUGAUUAGAAUAGUUAUAUUAAUAAAUUAUAAACAUAUAUUAAUUAAUCAUAAUAAUUUUUUAAUUGAGGACAAAAUAGACAUUUUAUAGUUUGUGAGAGGGGGCAAAAUGGUCAAUUUUGGGAAUGGGAGAUUGAUUCCCACCACCUUCCUUGGGAAUCAAUUUUCCAUUCCUCAUUCCUAAAUUUGGGUGGCCCCAUAAUUCUGAUUUGGAUCCCUGCCUCCAUCAUUAAUGAUUUCGAUUUCGGAUUCCGAUUCCCCAAUCCAAGAAGUAAAGGCACCAUUAUUGUUAAUUGGUUCAAACACACAAAGAGAAUGUACCGUGUAGCUAGGCGUCAAGGUUGUGUUGCACAAGUAACCUUUUUCUUUUCUUUUUAUUUUUCUUGUUUUCCUUAACGGAUCAGAAGAAAUUGGUGCCUUUGAGAUACCACAAUGUAAAUAAUUAUUUGUGGUUCAUUGAAUCUGUAACACUCGGUACCCUAGGGUUGCUUUGGAAAAAGGGCUUUUCUCACCGAUCGCCAAUAUCCAAGUAAGUUUGUUUCAUUUCAGAAGGUGCAAAGUUUCAAACUUGUUGUAUUGGGAUGUAACAAACUUUGGCCUUAUAUGCCUGCUGUGACGUGAGACUGUUCAUUUUGAUUGUUUCCUACCUUCCACUUACGCACUGUAGCACUGUAUUAUUCACCAUUUUAGCUGUUUAAAUGAAAUUUUAUUUUUGUCAAAAAUAAAAUGACACCAUUAAAAUUUAGAAAAAUAAUCAUGUAGAUCCCAAAUUUUUAAUAAAGAAUACCAAUAUUCCCCUUGACUACAAUACCCUUAGUAGGUGGUAAUAAAAAAAAAUUGGCUUAAAAUUUUUACGAAAUGUAAAUAUGAUUUAAAUAAUUUAAAUUUUCCAGUAGACUACUAUAUAUAAUUUAAAUAAUUAAUUUAAAUAUUAAUUUUUAAAAUGUAAAUUAAUUUAUUUGUAUUUAUAAAAUAUUUGUAAUUAUUUUAAAAUUUAACUAAAUCCUUAGGUUAAAUAGAUUUUACAAUUAAUAUAAUAUUUCUCAUGUAUUAAUAAUAUUAAAAUUAUUUUAUAUGAUAUUGAAAAUAACCUAAAUUUUUAUAUAUUUAUUUGAAUAUUAUGCUCUAUUUAUUAUAAUUUGGUUUAAUAGAAUACGAGAUUGUAAAAAAUUAAAAUUUUUAGAUAUUGAAAUUAUUUUAAUAUGUAUAUAUUAUUAUAUUUAUUUUAAUAUCCUAUUUAUAUUUAUCAUAAAUUAUUAGAGUUAAUUUUUUUAGUUAAUAAAUUUAAAAAAUAUUAUAAUUUAAAAAAAAGUCUUGUUGUCCGUUAUUCACGAUAUGAGGUUCUACAAAAUUAUUUCUCCAAACGGGUGUCCUUUUCUUUUUUUCAAAAGGAAAAACAAGUUCAGGGCCUCAGGGGUUUCAAAAAAUUCUGGUCCUAUAUACCACUAUGACUAAUGGGAAACGACAUUGCAAUUGACAUUGCUUUCCACAAUAUGAUAGAUUAUUGGAGGGAUAUGAGAGAAUUGUCAAACGUUCACACACGCGAGAGCUUUAGGUGGGAUAGGGGAGGAUUGUCAAGAGUUCACACCACGAUAAACUAAUGAUAGGCCUAAUUUUGUUGUCAGUUCUUUAUUUAUUUAUUUUAUGUAUAUCAUACAUUAUUGUAUUUUGUCAAGGUAUAAUAGUACAAGUAAAAUACUAGGGGUGCUGUUAAGUUACAACUUAUGUAACUUGCAAUUUUUUCAAAAAUUAUGUAAAAAAUUUAAUAGGUGGUGGAACCCACAUAUUUUUUAAGAGACUUAAGUUACAGCAGUUGUAACUUAACAAAAUCUAAAUAUUAGACAAUAAUGCAUAUAAUUUGGGUUUGAUUUUUAAAAGAUUAUUUGAGUACCACCUAUCCUUAUGAUAUUAAUGUGAUUAUAUCUUAAUAUUAAAUAAUCAAAAUUUGUUUAAUUAUUAUUUGUAUUUCAUACAUUACAUAUUAGAUUUGUUUGAAUUUUAAGUUGUUGCUAAUAAAUAUUUAUGUUGUCAAAGUCAAAGUCAAUAGCUACAAAAGUAGAGAUAAUGGUAUUGUAUAUAGUUUUUAAGAAUGCAAGGAUAAGCUGGAUAAUUGACAUAAAUUCUAAUGAUUAAAAGAGCAACUAUCCCUUAAGUUAUAAUGUCAAUUUCUUUAAUUAGAAUUUUUUUUUCAUGUGAUAUAACCUUAAUUGCUACAAUUUUUUUUAUAAUAAUAAUGGGAGUUAUAAAUUAUUUAUAUAAAAUUUGGGUUGAAACUAAUGUAACCUAAAAGUGGUUGCUGAAUAACAAUAUUUGAAACUUUAGGUAAUUUUCAUGAGUCCUUUUUAUAUUCAACAACUUGAAUUGGGGGAAAUCCGACUUGAAUUGGCGGUUGAUUUUGGUGAUGUGGCUUUCGGUUUACGCCGGCUUUACAGUGGCGGAAGACUGGAUUUACGGUUGCCGACUGCUAGGGAUUAUGGUGGUAGUGUAAAUUGACGGAAAAAGAAGGUGUUUUGGUGGCGGCGCGUCUAGGAAGCACUCGUGGGUUGUUGUUUCGUGUGGUGACAGCGGGCGGCGAUCAAGGGCUGAAGUUGGUCGGUUUUUGGUCAGCAGAGGCCGGCGAGUUUGUUGGUGGAGGUGGCUGGUGGAGAAAGUGGCUGAAUGGUGGUGGGUUGCUUGGUGGAGCCGCGGGUUUGGGUUGGUGAUUUGCGGCUGUUCAAGCGGUGGUUGAGGCAGCGAUGACUAAGGCUUGGUCGACGGUGGCUAGGGAGGUUUGUGGUGGUGUUGGCUGGCUGAUCGGCGGUGGUGGACGGCGGUGGAGGUUGAUGUGACAGGUAGGGUUUUCAAAUUUGUAAAUUUUUUUUUUGAUGGAUUUGGUUUGGAUAGGUAUGGUGUAUCUAGGAAAGAUGUGCGAUUCGCACAUAAUCAUUUUGAUACCAAUUGAUGGAGCGAGGCGUAGCGGAAGCAGAAUUGAUAGGGUAAGAAACAUUAGAUAUCGUUCUAGUACUAGACCAAGCCAACACGAUUAGUUUACGCUCUAAUUGAAGCGUGAUUAGAUAUCGUUAUAAUCCAAAUGACUCAGUGAGAUUUUUAAUAACGCGUAAUACGAGAUUAGAUGACACUCUAAUCCAAAUGACUCUACAAAAGAGAUUUUGAUAACUAAUCCUAGAGGAAAUUAUAAAAGAGGGGGUUUAUUUAAUAAUUGAACUUGAAGUUAUGAAAAUAAUGACAAGACAUCUUUAUUUUUUUUAUUACAGGCAUCUUUAUUUAUAAUAGAAGAAACCCGCUUUCCUAAGUUAACCUAAAAAGAAAAUUUAAAUCAUAAUUAUAAUGGAAAUAAAAGAUUAAGAUACAUACCAUAAUUAACUCAAACUAAAAUAGAAAAUCAUAAAAUAAUAAAUAUUCUAGAAUUAUAAAUUAUCUAAAAUAACGUUAAUUAACUUCCUAAAUCACUUCUUUGGUGUAAACCAUUUUGCAUCCAUCCUCGCUUUAAAGGUUUGAACCAACGUUACCAACAAUAAUGUAUCAAAGUCCAAUCUAACUUAAGAUCUUGAUACAUCUACCGAUGUCCUUGUUUGAUUAGACAAUAAUGAGUCUAUCUCAUCACUUGUUACCUCUUUCUUGAAGGCUGCAUCUGUUGAAGUGAUAGUCUCGCUUAGAGUUUAAAGAUCUUCUUCCAUGUUAAAUAAAAUGGGCAUUUGAUUAAAAAACUUUAUCUCUAUCUCCUUCUAUCAAAUAACGACAACUAUCCGAAGGAAAAAAAAAAUAGAAAAGUCCAUGGGUCACAAUAAUUUAUGGUCUGUCCCCGGACCCCAUUAUCUGCCACUAUCAAUGAUGAAAAUGAAAAUAAAUGGCAUCUUCCCAAAAUGGCGAAAGAUUUUUGGGGGAUAUGGGGGAAUUGUCAAAAGUUCACACAACGCGAAACAAGUGUUACAUCCAAUUUUAUUUCGUCAUAUAAUGAUAAUAUCAAAUAAUGACAACCAUCCAAAAGUAUGAUGGGUCUUCCAAAAUUUUGAAAAUGUCGUCAACAUUUAAUCUUCAAUGCUAAAGAAGAUGAAAUGACCAAAAAUGACACGCAUGACUCACUCACAGACUAAAUGGCUCUGACCACAUGUAACAAACUUUGAUCUUAUGUCCUUACUGAGGCGUUAGACUGUUGGUCAUUUUGAUUGCUUUUUACCUUCCAUUUAUGCCAUUGUAGCAUUAUACUAUUCACCAUUUUAGCUGUUUAAAUGAAAUUGUUAUUUUUUUUCCAAAAAUAAAAUGGCACCCUUAAAAUUUUAGAAAAUAGCCAUGUAGACCCCAAAAUUUUAAUAAAGAACACUAAUAUCCUUUUUUACUAUAGUACUCUUAGUAGAUGGUAACAAAAAAAAAAAUGACUGUAAAAGUUUUUACUAAAUGUAAAUAUGAUUUAAAUAUUUUAAUUUUUCUAGUAGACUAGUAUGUAUAAUUUAAAUAAUUAAUUUUUAAAAUGUAAUUUAAUAUAUUUAUUUUAAUAAUAUAUUUAUUAUAAAAAUUUUAAACAAAUCCUUGGGUUAAAUAGAUUUUAUAAUUAAUAUAAUAUUUCUCAUGUUUUAAUAAUAUUAAAAUUAUUUGAUAUGAUAUUGAAAAUAAUUAAAACUUUUAUAUAUUUAUUUGAAUAUUAUGUCUCUAUUUAUUAUAAUUUGGUUUAAUAGAAUCAAAUGAAAGUGUACAUGUACAAGAAGAAAGAACCAUACACCAAGUAAAACGUAAAAAGGAUUAAAUAAAUGACACCAAUCCCCGGCAACGGCGCCAAAAUUUGAUGGUUGUCGAAGCCAACAAAAAUAAAUUCCUACUCUAAAUAAAUUGUGUAUAGUGAUUGAGCAGGGUCGUGUCCACAGAGAUCGGUAAUUAUUUAAAUCCUUUUAAAACGUAAAACAUAAAAUGGGGGUUUUGUUGACAAUAAUAAAAAUCAAAUUAAAAUAACAAGAAUGCAAAUUAAAGUUGUAAUUCAAAUUAGAGAAAGCUCUGGUUGAAGGAAUUAACUCAGCUUGAUUCGACUACUGAUCAUUGAUUCAAAUAUAGAUUAUUAUUACUUAUUAAUAGACCGGUUAUAGCUAUUGAGACCCUCUAAUAGCCAAUUUGUCCUUAACUAGUCGAUAACCAAGGUACGACCGUCAGAUAUUUCCCUAAUCAACAGACAACCCUAGAUACGAUCAUAGGAUUUAAUCAAUUGACAGCCUGAAAAACCAGAGAGACCCAAAUCCUAAUCAACACAUAUGAUGAUUCAUUUAAAUUAGAUUGUUUAUUCUCAUAACACAACUCACUGCUAUGUUAUUUGUCACAAACAUUAAAAUCUUCAUACGAUGAAUCCUUUAAUUGACAAUAGAUUAAGUUGAUAAUUAAAUAGUGGCCAAUUACCUAAUUAACAAACAUAAUCAUGAAACUAAUUCAGAGAAUAAACAAAUACCCAAAAAGUAAUAAAACAAUUAAAGCAUAAGAAAGAUCUCACAGUAGUGAUGAAUCAAAGCUUCAUUAACCUUCAACCAGAAAAAUAAGUUUAGUUCUUCAUAGAGAGAAGAGAAAAAUUAGAUCUAGGGUUUUUUUCUUUUUCUCUCAUCCCCCUUUUUCACUAUAGAUUCCUCCCUUAAAUACUCUCUCUCUCUUCUCUUUUAGAGUUCUAAUUAAAAUAAAAUACUAAUAUCUGAAAUAUUAAAUUCGUAAUUACAAAAAUAACCAAAAAUACAAAACAUGUUAAACUAAAAACUACAGGUCCGCAGUUGACAGCACGCGCCCACGCCUUAUCAAGAAAGUUCUUCUGACUCUCUAAAUUUCUCCAAGAGAACAAUCAUCUUUAAACAUCAUCUUAUAACUCAAUUUUAUCACAAAUCAAUAGAAUUGCACCUACAAAAGUACAACACAAGUAAAUCAUUAUUAUUAAGUGCAAAACAUCGAUAUUAAGGGAAGUAGACAAUGCAAAACUAGUGCAUAAAUUGCACUCUAACAAGUUCACACCACGAGAAAUUAAUGAUAGGCCUAAUUUCGUUGUCAGUUCUUUAUUUGUUUAUUUUAUUGAUUUCAUACAUUAUUGUCUUGUUGGUACUAUUUUGUAAAGAUAUAAAAGUACAAGUAAAAUAUUAGGGGAAGUAAAAUAAAAUAUUGGAGGUGCUGCUAAGUUACAGCUGCUGUAACUUACAGUUCCUUCAAAAAUAAUGUAAAAAAUUUAACAUGUGGUGGGACCCACAUUAUGUUUGAAGAGGCCGUAAGUUAUAGCAGUUGUAAAUUAGUAAAAUCCAAAUAUUAGAUAACAAUACACAUUAACAAUGCAUAUAAUUUGGGUUUGAUUUUUAAAAAAAUUAUGUGAGUAUUACCUAUCCUUAAGAUAUUAAUGAGAAUAUAUUUUAAUAUUAAAUAAUCAAAAUCUGUUUAAUCAUAAUAUGUAAUUCAUACAUUGCAUGUUAGAUUUGUUUGGAUUUUAAGUUGUUGCUAAUAAAUAUUUAUGUUGUGAAAGUCGAAUUCAAUAGCUACAAAAGCAGAGAUAAUGGUAUUUUAUGUAGUUUUUAAGAAUACAAGGAUAAGACCAUAACGCAUGAGAUAAUGGUAUUUUAUAUUAAAAGACCAUAACACAUGUAUUUGAGCCAUUUAUAUUGAGGACACAUAUAGAGCGAAGAGUGCAGAUCCGGCCGUAACUAUUGUGAAGCUUUCCUCAAGUAUUCUCAUGCACGCAGACCUUAGCUGGUCAAGUUUUCUGAUUCAAUAUAAUCAAUUUCCGCGCAGUACUAACGACAGCUUCUUUGUAAAGCUCUUCAACCACAAGCAUUUCUACAAGGCAAAAGACUAGGACGUGUCAGAAUGAAUAUCAAUAAGGGAAUGUCUUAUGAAUUUAGUUUAUAUCCUAAUAUAAGACAAUCAAUAAAUAUUAGAUGCAAUCUAAGGGAAUGUCUUAUGAAUCCUGAUUGAUGGCCUCUCACAGUCAGUUAUAUGACAAAGUAGCCACCACAACAAACUUGAACUUGGCUGGAGGUCUCAUUAGCAGUAUACCUCAGAAAUUAAGACAAAGACUUUAAAAUGCAAACUUAUGGAGCAAUUUAAGCACUGAAACUAAUAACAGUACUGUAUUAGCAAUUGACCUCUGCUUUUUUCUUGGACAAAGGUUCUCAUCACAAGGGACUCAUUAGUUGCCCUUGCCUCAAACGUUUGGAUGCUAAGGGGAAAAAGGAAGUUUGAAUUAGUCAAUCUCAUUUCUAAUGGCAUUCACAGAGAACCUAUAAAACAAAAAAAUUAUAAAAAAAAAAAUCAUCCAUAAUUCGCCAAACCGAAAAGAAAAACAGGGGAAUGAAAAGAGAGCCCACGGGAAUGAAGAGAUCAGCUCUUGUCGCGAAAAUGCAGUCGACUGUAACUAUAUCCGGGUCCCUAGUACUUAGAAGUAAAUGCUCUUGGAAUUUCUAUUAUAGAUUGAUGUUUCCCGUUCAAAUAGCUCUUCCGAUACCAUUAACAUGUUCAUCUCUCUAUAGAUUGAUGUUGACAUAGAUGUUAUUCUACUUUUGCUAGUGGAGUUUUCCUUGUACAGGUAUGUAUGAUUGUUUUUUUUGCACUUCUAAAUGGACACUGUUGAAAAGCUUAAAAUUGAACUGAUAAUUUUGUUUGGAAGCUCAGAAAAUUCAUGAGAAAGUGAAAUAGAAUAUUCUGGAUUUCUUUUCUUUCCAUAAUAUACAAAUGACAAACGUAGCAGUAUUUAUACUCGUUGCUUACAUCAUAAAAACAGAAUUAAAACAAGGUACACAACUAUAACAGAAUCAAAAGCGUGCUUAACUAAUUGGCAGAGCUGGCAUAUACUUCUUUAACUAACAAUGCUGCUGACUGGACUUUAGCUCACACAUGCUUAUCGUGCAGCUACUCUUAGUUCACACGUGCUCAGUCUGCUGUUGGCCCAAAGUUGGAACCAGAGAUAUCAUGACUCUGGUUUCAUUUCACCUCAACUGUGUUUUUUUUUUUAAAUUAAAAAAAUCAUUUGUUUUAGGUAUACAUACAUGUAUUUUGAUUCUAUUUUCAUUGUAAUUUCUCAUUUACUUUGAAUGAAAGUCAUUGGUGUUUUCGAAUGGGAAUUUUGCAUUAAAAAAUGAAGAAUAGUGAUUUUUGGAGUGUAAUUAGUAGUAAAGUUGGUUUUUACUCGCAAACAAGUGAACUGCUCGAUUCCCGAGUGGUAUCAACCAGUUUCCAACUUUUUAAUAUACACUAAUUGUUAUUGUUUAAUAGCUACUACUAUUAAAACUCGACAUCUAACAAAAAUACUUAAAAAAAAUGAUUUUUCUUAUGAUGCUGUAAAAAAAAAUUACGGGUUUACUUCUUUCCAUGAGAUCUAUAACAUGGUCUUGACUUCACGAAAUUCUUUUAAUUUAAAGCUUGCUGGUGUGAGAAGGUCAGUUUGACUGAUUAAUUCUUUUUAACAGUGGUCGAGAUAAUUUUACUAUCUAAUCGAAUGUUAUGCUGUUUUCUUUUUCUAAUCUGGUGUGAGAUAAUUAAUUCUUUUUCACAAAUGCUAUGCUGUUUUCUUAGGCUAAGGAUCUUCUAUCAGGAGAGGUUAGAAAUUCAAUGCUUAAAAGAGAAUAAUACAGAAAUUUAGGCAGAAUCUAAUCGAAUAUUGCAUGAAACAUGAAAAAUCAAUUCAAGUCCUUUCUUUAAACGGAGAAUGCAUCAAACAAAAUCCAAAGUGUCUUGCACGUCUGUAGCAUGAGCAAAAAAUUGUAAAUAUGUAGAACCAAAUUAUUCAAGUACAGAAGAACGAGCAAGCUAAAUCAUGUAUAAGAGAUUGGCCUGGUUCGGGAUAGCUUCUUCACUGUACCUGAAGGAUUGGCUCAAUCUCUUCUUUAGAAUUCUGCAGAUUUUGUAAUUACUCGUGUAAGCAAGCAUACAUUGCCACCAUAAGAAUAAUAAAGCUAGAGUAAUGAUAUGACCACCACCUCUUGUGCACAAACAAUAUUGUAUAAACUAAUGCGACAUAAUAUGAUUGGUUAAACAAAAACAUUACAUGGCCCUCAUAAUUUAUUUAUUUAUUUAUUUAUUUAUUAUUAUAUUUUUUCAGUAAACCAAUCAUAUUAUAUCACAUUAGUUUCUAUAAAAUAAUUUGCUAAAUAGCACCAAAACUUAAUUGAUACUCACCAUUUCAUUGAACAAUUUUUUUAUGGUGUCAUUGAGAUUGCCUUCCCAACAUCCUUCAUCAUCAUCAUCUUCAUCAUCAUCAUCAUCUUCUUCAUCAUCAUCUUCUUCAUCAUCAUCUUUUUCUUCUUCUGUGACGUUCACUUUGUUUAGCAUUGGUGUGUCUAAGACUCCUUGAGAGAAGAUCUUCAUUUUUGGACACUGUCUCACAACUACUGGUUUCAAGGACGGGAAUUCAAGAGCGUAAUUACCCGAACAAAAGCUUGUUAGGCUUGGCAAACAAUCAAGUCCCAAGUACUCCAAUUCCUCGAAGACAACGCAACCUUUCGCUUCUUCUCCAACCUGCAAUUGUAUGAUUUGUUCUAUCAUUUUGCAAUCAGCUAUCUUCAUUCUUUGAAGAGUCACUAGACUUUCAGAUGUUGAGAGCGUCAAUAAAUUUAUCAACCCAUGACACUUCGAUACUUCCAGAGUCGCAAGAUUUUCCAAAUGCCACGAAGCUGGUACUAAUUUCUGCAACUUACUACAUUCAAAUAUUUCUGGACUUUUCAAGUUUGCAAACACUUUGUUGGAUUUGGCAUUUUCCUUCCAGAGAUGCUGCACUUUGUGUAAUCCAGAUAGCUUUAACUUCAUCAAUUGAGGGAAUGCAACCUGAAAAUCAACAAAAUUAAGUUGUAAAUGAAAAUAUGUAUCCAAUCUCUGCAGUCUUCCCCUGCAUAUUUUAUGAACAAGAUUAAUCACGACAUUUUAUAUUUUAUUUCCAAAUUAGUAUGCUUUGCAGUAGGAUCCCAAAUAUAAGUAUCAAAUCGAUUACCCUUUGAAACACAUAAAUGAAAUCUGAUGCUAAAUCCAAUAUGAAUUAGCUAGGAAAACAGAGAUGUAACACGCAUAAUCGAUAUAGUUCAUCGCCUUAUGUCACCAGGCAUCUAAUUAAUUUAAGACAUUUUUAUAAUUCAUACUAUAAAGUUAGUUAAUAACAGAGGUUAUAUUGUUAAAUCAGAUAUAAAUUAAGACGACCUGCAAAAAGAUGAGUCAUUAAGUUUGAUUUGAUUCUAAUGAAAUUACAUCUGUGCGAACGAAAGUGAAGGCAAUAAUAAUAAUAAUAAUAAUAAUCACCUUUUCAUCGAAGAGGGGUUGUACUUGAUGAGCCAGCAAGAAGUUCUCUUCUGAUGUUAAUUUUUGAGGUUUCUUGUUAUCUGUUGUCACGUGCACUAAAGAGUUGGAUAUGAAUGUUUCCAUAUCAGGGCAAUUCUCAAUAGUUAGAUUCUCCAACUCAAGCAUUUCAAUUAUAUUCCCAGUGAAGUUGCAGAAUCUUUUGAGUUUUGGAAGGUCAAUGAGCCUUAGCUCGAAAAGCUUAGGAAACAGGGGACCUAUAUGUUCUUUGUCAGCAUUUAGCACUUCCAAAUGAAGCACCUCUUCCAGUGAAUCACAAUUCCUCACUUCCAACCAUUCCAAAUUGUUCAAGCACCGUAGCAGAUUGGCAGGAAUAGCACUCGACAUAUUCGUGCAGUCAUCCACCACCAGGUGUCUUAAAUUGUUGAAGAAGCUGACAGGCAGUGCUUGGCCAUGCGAUAUUUCUUUCAAACGUGGAAAAUGUGAGAAUUGCAAAAACUCCAUGUCACGAAAUCCAAUCUGCUCAAACCAAAACAAUUGCACUGGAUAUAUACAAUUUUUUUUUUGAAAGGCAUUAGAUAUAUAUAUAUACAUUAAACUUACAUGUUUUGUGUUUUAACUUCUAAAAAUAUAUUUAAAUGUGCAAGUGCAGGGGAGAUGCAUGAACAAUUUGGAUGAAUCGAUUAACACAUACCAUUUCUUCGUAACACUUUUGUAUAGUGGAAUUAAGCUUAUUGCCUUCCCAAUGGUGCAGUUCACCCCCUUCCUUUUCAGUCACUUGCACUUUGCAUGGCUUUGGAAUGGAUAAGAUUCCCUGAGAAAAAGUCUUCAUGUUUGGACAACGUAUCAUAGAAACUCGUUCCAAUGAUGGGAAUUCAAGAGUGUAAUUCUCCAAACAAAAGCUGGUAAGCCUUCGUAAAUCAUCAAGUAUCAAAACUUUUAAUUCGCUGAAAGCAAUACGAUUCUCCUUCGCUUCUUCUCCAACAUGUCCUACGAUUUCUUCUAAUUCUUUGCAAUCCGAUACUUUAAGAUUCACCAGACUACUAGGAAUUCCAACCUGAAAAUAAGCAAAAGUGUGCGCAUGUGUGGUGUAUUAAAAAAGUAUGUUAAUCAUACAAUUAUGCAUUUUAUAAACAUAACAAACCAUGAAAUGUCUACUAGAUAAUUUUUUGUUAAACAAAAACGGAACAAGAUAAAUAAAUAAAUAAAAUCCAGAUAAACAAAGAUAAUAAAAAUACAUUUACACUAUUUAGUAUUAGAAACGUAGAAAUAAUUUAAGGCAAUUUCUAAAUAUUUUAGACUUAUUUUGCAUCUUGAUAUCAGUUUUUAAGCAUAAAUUUGCAAAUUUCAACUAUUCCUUCUUUUUUUUUUAAAAAAAAAGGGACCAUUUUCCUUGGUCCCUUUUUUUUAUGUAUAUUUAAAAAUGGAAAAAAAAAUUUGGAAAAGACUUCCCAAUACUGUCAACGAGGGACUGCUGUAAAGUGGAUCUUUAUUAAGUACUUCCAGACUAGAGGAAAUUUCUUUACAAUCAAGGGUCAGUUGUAAAUAAUCAUGAAUUUGUGGUUAAUUAAUGGCAUAAUCAAUUCGUAACUAAACUAGAGAUAUUAAUUAAAUUUGAAGACUUUUAUUUUCUUUUUUUCUUUUUCCAAUCGAAAUGUGAAGAAUUAAGGAAAAGAGAAAUAUAUAGAUGAAUUCGUGAACCUAUAAGAUGAGUGACGAUCCUUUAAUUUUUGAAAAUCGUACUUAUUAAGAUAUGAGCAAAAACUAUUUAAUUGAAUUAUAUUAUGCUGUUGAAUCGUGUUUAAAAAAUUUAUAUUGUUGAUUCUAAUGCUGACGAACCUAAGAUACUUGAAAUAAAUAAUCAGUUUGCUGGCUGAAUAUCAUUUGUAAACAAAAAAUGGUUAAAAUAUUGUUGGAUGUAAUUUGAAAAAAAAAAGAUUCGAAAUGAAUACAGCAACCUUACCAAUGGAGGAAAAAUAUUCAUUAGGUUAUCACACCCAAUUAUCUCCAAAUUCUUCAAUUUGCUGAAAGACUCCGAAGCAAGCUGGUGGUGCCAUAUUUUUCUCAAAUUAUCCAUCAACCUAAUACGUAAUACCUCCAACCUAGUAAGUCGUACCUGGCAGUUAAAGAUUAAAUAACUAAUUAAUCAAUUAAUGGCAUAAUCAAUUGAUAACUAAAUUAGAGGCGGAUAUUAACUAAAUUUGAAGACUCAAGGAAAAGACAAAUUAAAUAUUGUGACUAAAAUUAAAUUUUUUUAUUAAAAAAAAAACCUUUUUGUCAAAGAGAGGAGGAGGUUGCAUUUCAGAAUGAAUGGUGUCUUCUGGUGAGCUCGUAGAGAUGAAUCUCGACAUACUGUUGCACCAACUAAUCUCGAGGUUUAGCAAAGAAGGGAAUUCAACAACUAAAUCUGAAUGAAUAUGUCCCGUAUUGGCAAAGCUUGUUAGUUCUGGAAGAAAAUGGAGCUUGAGGGAGUGUAGUUUAGGAAAAACCUUUAAUUCAAUCAACUUUCCUUCUUCUCUUUCUGACCACCCCGUGGUGUCGACCACCCCUUCCAUUGACUCACAAGACCGUAUUUCAAGAUGUUGGAGUUGCAAAAGACUAUUAACCAUAGAAUACGAAAACAGAUACUUCAUACGAUGACAACUGCUCACGUACAGCUUUGUUAAAUUUUGACAACAGUACAUUCCUUGAUUAUGAUCGGCCCAUAAUUUUUUCAUGUUUCUUAAGUCCCUGAGAUUCAAUUCCUCUAACCUCGGAAGAAUAACCUGCAAAGAAAACCCGUACAUUUUUGUUCCUUCAAGUACAACCGUCUAGUAUAAUAUUCUUUUGAUGAUCGAAGAUUAAUCGUGAUAAUAAAUUAAUCAAUUAAUUAUUGAACAGAAAAUUAUCACCUUUGGAGCAGUAUCAUCAUCAGCAAUGAUUUCGUUGAAUCCCAAAGAAGUUGUUGGUUUCUCCCUGUCGGGUCCUAUAAACAAACAAAAACAAUAUAUACAUAAUUAAUCUUUGUUGUUUUUUUUUUUCCAAAAUAAUUGAGGAGAAGUCCAUAAUCCCACCAAUACUUAACUUCAACACUCACCAAAAAUCAUUUCCAGAUCACCGCAAAGAGCCACUUCUACCUUUUGAAGCCGCAGUAGGUUUUUGGCCAUGGAGAAUGAGAAAAGAUGCUUCAAUUUGUGACAGGCUUCUACUUCUAUAAUCCUUAAGUUGCUGAAAGAUUGAUCUUCUGUGAGUUGGCUGUCACAUAUUGUCUCCAAAUUGUUCAAAUAGCUAAGAGACAAUGACUCCAGCAAGGGAAAGACUGUACAAUGAACCCGUCCAACUGAACCGACAAUAUGCAAAAUCUCAGAACAACUUUCUACCCAAAGAUGCUUCAAUCGUGGAAAACCUUCCCCAUCAUCUAAUUCAUGAACAACAUUCUGAACACCCUUCAGUUCGUUUAGAUGGAUCUCUUCAGCUUCCUUCAGCAACAUUUUCGUCCCAUAAUUCUCCAAAAGAGUGCUAACAUUUUCUAGCCCAUCGAGCUCCACCAUUCUUGAUGUUUUAGAAUUAACGCCUCACAUGCGCCACGCUUCUCCUAUACAUAUCUUAUAUCUUUGCAAUUCCACAGAGACCAAAUCCUGCGGUAGAAUUUCGGCAUCCCGAACGUGUAUCUCCAAGGUAGUUAGCUUUGACAACCCCUUCAAUUCAGCAAGACUGGCGUUACUUCCUCCUUCAACCUUAUCCCACUGCGAAAAGCUGUCACCCAUAUAUAGUUCUUCCAAUCGUGAAAAUUUUGAUAUGACAUUUGGUGCUAUCACUACAAGGCUCCUACAAUUGCUCAAAUCUAGCAAUUGUAACCGCGUCAAUUGACCGAUUUCAAGUGGUAACUGCUUAAUGUCGGAAUAUCGAAAGCUAAGAAUCUCUAAUUUCUUUAGCUGUCCAAUUGCCGCUACAUCUUCUUGUUGGCACCAGUCUAAACACAAUGUUUGAAGGUUAAUGAGGCGACCUAGUGACGAAAGUAAUGAAGAGAAAUGAAUUCCAGUAAAAUCUAAAACUUUGAGUUCUUCUGUCCCUUCAAAAAAGAGGUCUGAAACUUGCAUAGGGCCAUUACCCUCCGUAUACAACAAAAAUAACUGGAGAUUGGGACAUCCCAACCUUUCGGGAAGCUCUUGAAUAUCUCUAUAAGGUAAAGAAAUAGCAAUUGGACCUUUCUGUAUUGUCUCUUCCAUCUUUUUCUCCACGUCAGCAACAUUUGGAAUAUUAAACAUGCGCUUCUCUGCUGCAAUUGAUACAGCAACAACAUGAAUGACGUCAUGCAUUUUAACUUCAUCUUUGGCAUCACCGUCCAACAAUAAGCAUGAAGAUUUGAGAUUGUCGAUCAACCGAUGCACUCUACUCCUUGCUUCUUCCAAUGUGUAAACAUUUUCAAACAAACCCCAACCCACACCAUGUCUCAAUAAGUCAGAAACGGGUAUGACAUUACCUUCACUGUAUAGACCACAAAGACGGAACAGAGAUUUUGCCUCCUCACUUUCCAAGAAUUCAUAACUCAAUUUUAUGGAGGUGUACACAUUUGCUUGCAUGCCAUGAAUUUCUCUUGCAUCCGAUCUUCUUAGCUGAUUCAAUGCAUCUUGCCAAAAGUAACGCUCCUUAGUUUUCAGAGCAUUUGCAACUGUACUCAGUGCAACAGGCAAACCUCCGCAUCUUUCAACGAUCUCAUUUGCUAUACUUUGAAAAGCAGAUAUUUUAGUUGAAUCACCCACUAUCUUCUCAAAUAACUGCAAUGCUUCUUUUCGUGGCAAAGCAUCGAUCGGGAAAUUUUUCUGAGAAUUCAUAUCAAUGCUCAAUAAAUCUUGCUUUCUAGACGUCAAUAUUAUUGUGCAUCUUCUCUGAUCAUCCUUUCUAUCUUUCUCAGCAACAUCUCCAGAAGGGAUUCCAACCGCAUCCAACUCAAGUCUUGUCCAAAUAUUAUCCAAUAUAAUGAGGACCCGCUUCUCUUUCUUCAAUACUCGACGUAGUCGAUUUGCUCUGUCGAAUAUAUUCUCAUUCAACUCAAACUUUAUGCCUAAAUCUGAAGCGAGUUUGUUUUGAAUUUGCUGAUUAUCUGAUUCAUGUGUUAGCUCAGCCAUAACGACCUUAUCGAACAACUUAUCUUCCAUCACUUGCUUUCUAACUUGCCUGACUAGCGUGGUUUUACCCACGCCGCCCAUGCCGUAGACCCCAAUUAUGUUGAGCUUAUCAUCCUUCAACGCCUCCAUAACAUCCUGUAAUACUUUCUUUCUUGAAUCAAAGGCCUCGUUAUCUUUCCCGCCCCUAGGUGAUUCGCUCUCUGGAGGAGGAUCGUAGGAAACAUCACUCUUCAGUUUGUCGCCUUUUUCCAUGAGAUUAGCAGCAUCUUUUGCGGCCUUUGCUGCUCGUUUACUGAGUUUGUAACGAGACAACAAAUUUGGACACAAUCCUUUGAAGCAGGACUUCUUGGCUCCAUCUUCUUCGUCAAUGAUAGAUUUUGCAACCCCCUCCGUAGAUUCAACCCUACUUCGCCAGUCUUUGACACGCUGAUAAAUCUCUUCCCCUUGUCGGGUAGCAUGAUAAACAUGUUGUUGCACCAUUUCGUUUAUACCUCCCAACUCCUUCACUUGAUCUUUCAGCUCUUCUAUGUAGCUCUGGUACUUGAACACAUAAGAGAUCUGCCGCAUAAUCGGUUCGAACAAUGCCUUUGUGCCUUCUGAUAUAAUGCUUGAAAAAACACCUUGACAGAAUUCUACAGCCAUUGCCUGCUGCUUAACGAUAUAUAUGUAGUUUUUGGCUGUUAAAAAAAAAAAAAUUGGAUUCAAAUAAAUUAAAUGAACUAGAGGGGAAGAAAAAGAAAGAAACGACAACAAACAACUUUUUAGAGAAAGGUUUGACAGGCCUAAAUGGAAAACCAACAACUUUUUGAAGAAAGAAAACUUUGGAAGAUAGAUGCAAAUUAACCGUUGAUAAUAAUACUACAUUAAGAACACAGAAGUUAACAAUAAACAGUAACUUAAAACUCAAGAAAAUUAAAUGACGAGAUUAAGACAAACAAGGGAUAGUUUUUGUUGGACAUUAAGAAACAACUGCUAUCAAGAUCAAGGAUUAGAAAUUAUGCUAUUAAAAGAAGUUAUUAAAGGAUAGUGCUCGUGACUGCAGGAAAAUUUCUAAUGGAAACAACUCAAUUUCAGAAGAAUUUAUCCAAUUGACUCUGUACUUGAACUCGUUGGAUUGGUUGAUUUAUGAUUGACUGAAUUUCAAUUCGGCCCAAAAGAUCUUUAACCAAAGUUUAAUAGCUAUCAUCUACUCCUUAAAAGCAAAUGUGUAUCUUUUUUAGAUUUGACUGAAUUUGAUCUUGUUGGAUUGGUUUUUUUUUAGACAAAGUUGUUUUCCUACUGAUUUUUAUUCUUCAAGUAAACUUAGAUACAAAGUAAAUCUAAAAAAAUGACAAACAAACAAUGAAAUAAACGACAACAAACUGGCAAUUUUGAUACAAAGCCAACAAAUAUUAAAAUUUAGAACAUUUUGUUUUCUUGCUUUCUUUUGUUGGAGGAUUAGAGAUUUUGGUAUUACCCGAAAGGUUUCAAGGGUCUGAGUAGAAACCUAUAAUCUUUUUAAAAACUUUUUUUUAAAAAAUUUUUUUUGGGGAAAAGGAUGCAAAUUAACCAAAGGAAAUAAUAAGAGCACAGGCUUUAUCAAUGAACAAAAACUUAAAACUCAUGCAAAAUAAUUCAAUAUUAAAACAAAUCACUGAGGAAUAUUUAAGAACAACUUGAAAGAGCAAAAAGAUCACUGAGGAAUGUGUGAGAAAAGAGUUGACGAGAGAAAUAACAAUGACUUGCAGAAGAAAAACCAUUAAUAAUUAUGUGCAUUUUUAUUUUAUUUUUAUCCGCAUGCACUUUAAUGAUUAGUGCUCCUUUCAUAAAGCAGCUACCGGAAACACACAAAUAUCAUUUGAGAGAGAAACUAAACAGCAAAUCAUCAAAGUAAGAUCAAUAAUAUAUUAUUUGGUUAAUGCAUAUUCAAGAACAAAAACAAAAAUAAAUAAAUAAAUAAAGAAGGUUUGAUUUUGUAUUGCCAACGCUGCUUUUUUGUUAUUUCAUUUGUUCUUUCCACAAAUGAUGCUUGGUUAUAAUUAAGUUUCACAUGGCCAUUACUUACAAACUGUGUUUGUGUUAACAGAAACAUGAAAUUCACAUCACACAAAAUUGCACUAUCAAUUCUUAAUAGAACAUAAUAAUAAUUACUCAACGCAUAAGGGUAAAUUUAGAAUUACAUUUUCUCAAUGCAGAAGGGUAAAUUUAGAAUUACAUUUUCUGAUUCUUUUUUAUUUAAUAAAACCCCAAUGGAAAAUCAUAAAAAUUUAGAUAUAUAAAUUUUCUCCACCAAACAAGAAAAAAAAAGGGGGAAUGAAAACACAGGAUUUAUUUUACCUCUCUUUCAUCUUAACUCUUUUUCAGGCAAACCAAAACAAAAAAAUUUCAAUAAAGAGCUAGUUGUUGAAAUUGAUUUAUCUUGUUUUUCAGGCUAUCUUGUGACGUGACGAUAGAUAAUGCUCGUGAAUGCUAGAAAAUUUCUAAUGCAAACAACUCAAUUUGGGAUGAUAAGCUUAAUUUUGCAAAUGACGAAUGUAAAUAACUUGUUUUGAUUAAUUGAAUUUGUAAUACUCUUACCCUAUUCUAAAAUUUGGAGGUUGCUUGAGAAAAAAGGGUAUUUCUCACUCAUCUUCAAUCCUCAAGUAAAAUUAGGUAAAAAUCAAAUCUAAAAAAUCACAAACAAAUUAACAAAAAAAAAAAAAAAAACAACAACAUUGAUCUUGAGACAAGUGAUAUUUAAACAGAGAAUUCUUUAUUCUUUUUUACUUCCCCCUCCCCCCCCGGGGGGCUCGAGGAUUAAAGUCUUGCUAUUAACAGAGAGGUUUUAAGAGUCUGGAUAAAACCCGUGCUUUUUUAAAAAACCACUUUUUUUUUUCUUUUCUCUUUUUUUUGGGAAGAUAGAUUCAAAUUAACCAAAGCUAGUAAUAAGAGCACAUACCUUACAAAUGAACAAUAACUUACAACUCAAGCAACAUAAAUGAUAAGAUUAAAACAAACCGGAGAAAUUUUUCUUGGAAAAUAGACGGAAAUUAAAUAAGAACUGCUGUUAAAAGAAAUUAUUAGAGGAUUUAGGAGCAUGUGUACCUCUUUAAUUAUUUGGGAUCAGAGAGUUGAUGAGCUCUCUAUUCGCCUUUAAUAUUGAGUAAGAACUGGUAUUAAAAGAAAUUAUUAAGAACAAUAUUUCAGUGAGCAAAAGAUCACUGUUAACUGCAGAGGAAUUUGCGAGUAAAAAUUAAGCUGAAAAGAGCAGUAACAAUGAAUUGCAAAAGAAGGAGACUUAAUCAAGCACCCCUUUUAUACCCGAUUUUUAAGAUUUAAUUUUGAAGUUCCCAAUCAAGAACAAAGACGAAGCUUUAAUGAAGCAUGCAGUGAGAUACAAGAAAUGGAUCGGGCAAAAUACCUUACGAAGCGUUUCAUAUUUUCUAAUGAAAUAAUUAAGUUGAAGUUUUCGACGAAUAAAUACUUGUUGUGCUUGAAUAAUUUUGGCAUAUACAUUACUUGUAUCCGGCGAAAUUGAAAAGCACAUUCAUUUACAGAGCUUGUUAGUAGGGAAAAGCUUCGUAAGAUGCCUGAUAAAAGAUAAAGCAAAAGCUUGAAUGAAGAAUGACAUUUUAGAAAGAAACUAAAGUGCAAUCAUCAAAGUAGGAUCAAUAGUGACUUGAUCAGUUAUGCUUUUUGUUAUUUCAAUUGUUCUGUCCACAAAUGAUGCUUCGUUAUUACUAAUUCCACAUGGACAUUAUUUAGAAACUGAUCUUAUGUUUAACAGAAAAAUAAAAACUCGUCAUCAUAAGCAUUCUUGGUUGUCCUAAACCAGAAGUAGGUGUUUUGCCUGAAAGUACCACUUUGCUAGCAAAUCUAGUGGGUAUACUGAAUAAAUUUUUACAUUAUUCUAUUUGAUCUCUCUGUCUUUAUCCUAAGCAUUCUUGGUUGGGAUCGCUGCAUUGUCCUGUAAUCUGUGUGACUUAGUGAAAAGAGGAAUGGGUAACUGUGGUUAUGGGUACGUGAGAGGUAACGAUGAGGGUAGAUUGUUAAUUUUGAGGAGCGAUUUGCUUGCAUAAUUCAAUGCAUGGACAGAAAUGUCCCUGACCAAAAAAAGGGACCAUCCAUAUCUGAAUCUGAGCAUCAGAGCUUGACUUAUUUGAUAAAUAGAUAUACUUGAACUGUUUUUGCAUAAUAACUAAAAUAUUUAUUUUUAUAUAUUCGAUAAACGAGCUCACUAUUGAUAGAACUUAUUAGAUACUACAACUCAAAUAACUUCUUGUGCUUGAUUGAGGUUUUUAUAUAUUCGUAUGUUUGAGUUUUUUUUUUUUUUUUACUUUCUAAGAAUUAACUUCUACCUUGAUUCUAAAAAAAAAUAUAUAAUUUUACAAAUAAUUUAGUUCGGCAUUUGGUAAAUGAUAACUAUUUGAGAAUAAGUUUUAAAAUGGUUUACUGUACAAAUCUGGUAAAUGAAAAUUAAAAGUGUAAAAUGUUCACAUAAUGAAAAUUAAAAGUGUAAAAUGUUCACUUGCAAUGACAACAAAUACUUAUUUACUUAUUUGUAAUUUAUUUUGAAUAUUAUUGUUUAAAUCAUUUUUUUUACUUACCAGAUUUUUUAAGAGCAUUCUAUUUUCUUUAUUACAUAGUUAAAUAAUUUUUUAUUAGCUAUUUUAUUUUGCAAUAAAAUUAACUUCAAUAUUUUUUUAACUAAAAAUUUUGUUAUGUAGUUCGUGAUAUAACAAAUACUAACAUAUCAUUAAAUUGAUUAAUAAAUUAAGUGCAAAAAAGAAAAUGCAGAAAUUUAAUCUUUAUAUAAACUUUUAUGUACAUAAAAUCAUUGUAAUCAAACUAGUUCAUAGAAAUAUAAUAUUAUAUACAUGUGUGUAAAAAAAACAUAUGACCAUAAUAUUAUCCACUCAUUAAACUUGCUGCACUAUUAUUUCUCAAUCUCUCCAUCUCUCGACCUUCAAGAACAUUACUACCAUAAUCUUCUUCUUGAAUUCAACCUCCAUUUCCUCAUCAUCAACAAUGCGACCAAUUUGCCUUGAUAGCCUUUCAACUCCUCCCACUUUCCUCCCUUUUUGCAGACACUCUUUUUCUUUUUCUUUUUCUUCUUUAAUAGCUUCAAUGGGAACAACCUCAUCUAACGACAAGUCCAUUCUUCAACUAGAAUAGAGUUGGUAGUAGAUAUUUUAGUACUCUCAAACUAUGCCCAAACAGGGUCACCAAUGAUUGUCGUAUUAAAAGACAUUCUAUUUAAUUUUCCUCUAACUCUGGGUCGAUACCUUUUAUGCAAAAUCUAUUUACUUCAGGAAUUUUCUACACAUGUCGAUAGCAUAUUAAAGUGAAUUCAGAUCCUAUAUUAUUGACAUUAAAAUUUAGCCGAAUAGUAAAAAAUUUCCCUUUUUGUUUGUCACACAGCCAUAUAGUCCCAUUUUUGGUUAUAAGCUCACAAUAUGCAAGGGAAAUGAAGAUCUAUUAAAACUUCCCCAUAAUGUUCAUUUUGUUGCUCGGAGGAAUAUAACUACCUAUUAAUUAAUUAGCAAGAAUUGCGUUGCGAGUCCAUGUUUUUGUCGUUUGGAUGGAGGAUGUGCUAUCUUUUUGUUGUAGAUGCUUUGUAAGGCUUUUGAUUUAAUGAUUUAAUGCAGUCAAUUAACAAAAGCUUACAUAUAGUAUUAUGUAGUUGCUGAGAUGUCUGUUCUUGAUAAAGUCGAUUUAUUUACACCCAAGCCAACGGAAUCAAAGCCUUUUCGUUAAUAAUAUACACGGUAAUUGUUUUUGUUAAAUUGAUUUCUAGCUAACAAGAUCUUUGAAAGCAUUUAGGUAGCGUUUACAUUUUAUGUUGGAGUGAGAAUCAUGAGGAGUGAGAAUCCUGGGAUUAGAAGUGUGGAGUGGGAGUCGAAGUAUGUUGUUUACUUACACUGGAAUGGAAGUAUGGAAUUGAAAUCAGAAUCCAAUUUAUUUGUUUACAUUGUCUUGGAUUGGGAGUAAAUGAUUUUAAAUUACAACUUUACUCUUAAAAAAUUAUAGUUAUUACUUACAAAAUUAAUAAAAAUUAUAUUUAAAAAAUAAAAUAUUUAUUUUAUUAUAUUUUUAAAAUAAUAAUAAUAAUUAAUAUUCUUAACUAUGUAAAUCAAAAUUAUUUUAUUAAUUUAAAUUUAAAUUAUAUAAAUAAAAAAUUAUUAAUAACAACAACACAAAUGAAACAUUAUUAUUGUACAAAAUUGAUUUUUAGAAUAAAAUAUUUAUUAUUAUUAAUCACUAAUAUUAAAUAAAUAUAAUAGUAUUAUUUUUAAAUAAGUAUAAUAAUAUUAUAUUUUCAAAUAAAAAUAGAAUAUAGUAAUAUUAUUAAUUCUUUAUGAAUAUAAUAAUAUAAUUUUUAAGUAAUUUUAAAUUAGAAUCAAUAUAAAUUAUUAUUUUUAACCAAAAAAUUAAUAUUAUUUUCAAUAUGUUUAAUAUUAUUAUUUUUAAUAAAUGUAAUUUAUAAAAUAAUAUAAUAAUUUAAUUUAAAUAAAUAUGAUAUUAUUUAUUUUAUUUUAUUAAAUAUAAAGGUAAAAAAUGAAGAGAGGCGAGUGAAUUCCCACUCCCACCUUGCCCCAUGAGAGUGGGAAUCCCAUUCAGUCACUCCAAAGUUAGGUGGGAUCCACAGAGUGGAAUUCUCACUCUCCCUUUGAAAAUUGUAAGUAAACACUAGAGUAAAAGAAAUCCACACUCCUCACUCUCACUCCAAAAAGUACACACUACAUUGAAGAAGCCAUUGACUCAUAAGAAAGCCAUGAUUAAAUACAAGGCGAAGCAUGUGAGCUCGUUUUUCAAUCUCUUUGAUCACUCAUAAGUUUUUCUAUACCACUCACUAUAUCAUCCUUUUAAGUCAAUUUUGACUGAUCAUCAGAGAUCAUGCACCCCACCUUGAGAUGAUUGAUCACCAAUUUGGCAUUGUAACAUUGAUCACCUCUAAUUGGCCAAGCUAAAAUUGGGACCCCAAAACCAAUUGCUUCUACAGUUGAAUUUUAUCCACAGUGAGAUAAAAAUCCACCUGUUAAUUGAUAACUCAGUAUCAAUAAUUGUGGUGCCAUUCCAUCUAUUAUCAAACCCUUUUUACUGGCUCUACUAUCUAAACCACUACGAAAAUAAGCUGGUUAAAUGACGUAGAGGAUCCAAUCUAUUUACAUAAGUUUGAAUUACCUAAAUAAUCGGUGGAUUUGAUGCUUAUAAAUCAGAGGGAAUUGCAGCAGAUACACCUUCAUACUUUAAAAAUUACCUCAAUACCUUAAAAUUUGAUUUUUCCAAAAUUUUCAUCAAUAUCCUUUAAAAGCUGAUAGGAAAUGACUAAGUUAUCCUCGUUUUAAAACACUUCAACUCAACUGGCAGCACCUCUCCCUCCCUCUACUCAAACAAACAAACACUCAUAUAUGCUACAAUUCCCUCCACUACCUUUACUCAAACAAACAAACAUUCAUUCUCCAUACAUGCUAAAUCGAACUUCAACACGAGCAAAUUGAGCUGAGAAAGGGAAGCUGCUACAACUGAGAAAGAGAAGCCUAGUUCGUCGCUACAUAAUCGCCAGCGAGAGUUGAUCCUUUAUUGCAAAAUGGUCAGAAUGUAACUAGUUGAGGUAAGUAAUUCCCUAUAAUUUGUUUUCUUGUUGAUAUUCAAGGGAAAAAACAAAAAGUUAGGGUUUUAUAUUGAAAAAAUAAUUAAUUAGUUGCGGGUCUCUCAUAACAUGUUCGAAAACACAUUUCUAGUUGUUUUGUUGCAUGCAAAUUGUGAAAAAUUAAUGGAUUGUGCCGAUUAUAAUUUUUUCAUGUAACACACGAUUUGGUCAUGUAAGGUUAUGUAAGAUUCAAGGUUGUGUAUUACACGACCUUCAUGUAUUGCACGAUUACAUGACCUUCAUAUAUUGCACGAUUACACGAGCUUUAUGUAUUACACAAUUACAUGACCUUCAAUUCCAGAUUGAGGAGUAAAAAGUUUAUCAUCUCUCCAGGUGUGUUCUGUAAUUUAAUUUUUUGUUUCUUGUCGAUAGAAUAUACACAUUACAUUUAGUUUAAUUAGGCUCACAAUUGGGGACAAUAAAUUGGAAUGGUACAUAUGCCUUUACCUUGUGGAAUGUCAUUACUUAGAGAGAUCCUUAAUUUGCAAUUAUAAGCCAUGGUAAGUCAUGGUAUGUCUAGUUAUGAGUGGAAACACUUUGAUCAUUGCGAAUGGUGUUCUUAUGUGUAUAACAUUACAUUAAUUUCCUAUAGUUAAUUUUUUUUCCUAAUUGAUUUCAUGGAUUAAUUAUAUGCAGGCAUUCCUCAUGUAUGCAUGUAUGUUUGGGCAGAGGAAGAAAGCACUUUGAAGAUUAAAAAAGCUUUUUAAAUGGUUGUACUAUGUUUAAUAGCGAUGUUCAUUAGUGUAUCAUAUCCAAAUAUUGAAAAAUUUGUACACUGAUAACUUUGUUUAUUUAUACUAAUUAAUCUAAUCAUUUCUCAAACUGUCGGAUGUUCAAAUUUAGUUUUUUUUUUCUGCAAUUUAUGAACACACGAUUUGGUCGUUUAAGGUCAUGUAACAUAGGAUUCAAGGUCGUGUAAUAUACUCAUGUAUACAUGACCCUCAGUCGUCUAUGACAUGACUUUGUAUAUUAUUACGCGAUCUUGAAUCAUGUGUUACGAGUCUUUCAUGACCUUCAGUUAUAUAUUACACGACUUUCAUGUACUACACGACUUUAUGUAUUACAUGACUUUAUAUAUUGCGCGAUUAUACAGCCUCCAUGUAUUACACGACCUUAAAAUUACACGAAAUUUUCCAUUAAUCAUUAGAUUAAUUUAGUUCAUUAAAGACUUAAUUUGUGCUAAGAAUUUAUAUUUGCUGCUAUGCAGAAAAUGUCAACGAAAAUUAUUAAAAAAAAGAAGUGAAAUUAAAUUGGAAUCUAAAAAAAUUCCACAUCAUCAUUGGUUUGAAUUGUAAGUGGUGGCAUAGGAUCAGAUGUCUUAAGCUUGAACUUCAUUGUGAUUUCGAAUUCCGAAGUAUCUAUAUCAAUAAAUUGAGCUAAUCUUCACCAAUCCGGCAUAUGUUGUCGAUCGUGGUAUCAUUAUCCCUUUAGCCUUGGAACCUUUGAACUUAUACUCAUCAUUUUGGUCAAUCCAUUCACCAUUGAAGAGAAUAGGUACACGUACCAAAACCAUAUCUGAUGAUACAAUAAAAACAAUAAUAUCAAAUUUCAUAUACAAGUAACUACACGACCUACAUGACUACAUUACUUACAUGACUUACACGACCUACAUGACUAUAUUACUUACAUGACCCACAUGACUUACACGACUAUAUUACUUACACGACCUACAUGACUAACUACAUGACGUGCACGGUAUCAAAAGGAAUGCACGACGCAAAACAUUUUCACCAUAAAUAAAUUAUAUUGCUGAAAAAAAUAAUUAAACAACCUACAUUGCAUAUAAUUCUACAUAUAAGAAAAAAUGGUGAAAAUACAACAUUAUAGAGUGAGGAAAUUUUCUAAAUUUUCCUAAAAAUUAAAAAAAAAUUAAAACCCAACAACAUUAACAUAUCUUAUUGGGUUGUUUAAUGAGCAAUGCACCUAAUUUCAGUUAAAGAAAGAGUGGGUGUUAAAGAAAUGAAUAUAUAAUUGUAUUUGUGUAAGAAGUUAUGAGAGAUUUUGAGAGAUUCUAGGAGAUUUUGAGAAAAUUUCGGCAGCAAGAAAAGAUUUGGGUGAAAGAAAUAUGAAGACAAUGAAGUUGAGUGAAUUUGAUGCAUUCAUUAAGGACAUUUCAAACUUUACUUACAUUUAUUAGGGUAUCCAUGAAAACAAAAAAGGGAGGGGAUAUUUAAAUAAUUUUGAAACUAUUAAAGGGUAUUUAAUUAAAAAACCCUCUAAAUCAUUGGCUAAUGUUGAAUAAUUAUUUAAGGUAGGACCCAACAUGUAUAACACAGAUCCAUAUGAUUUCAAAUCUAAUCAUUUAAUGAUCUCAUCUUCGGUCAUGUUAGAACUCCGCCGGUUGGUUCUCAUCUCACAAUCACGAAGCACUGAACCGGCCGAUUUGUAAAAUUGUUUAGGUAACAAUGGGCCCACUCCCCACACUGGCAUCAACACCAUCGAUCCCUCCACUUGCUUCAUCCAGUGUGGUUGAUCACUCGGUUCUGAUGGACCUAUUUUCUCUGAACCGGGUGCACCUCACAAAGGUUGUGGACCACCAGGAAGGGACCCGUGAGGCCUGCGUUUAAGAUCCGAUUCGAAUAAAGCAAUAUCCUUGGGUAACCCAAGAAGUAAACGGGCCUCUCCCGGUUUGACAUCCUGGAUGCGAGCCUGCCACAUGGCACACUCUACAGCUGCUGAGCAAGCAUCAGAAGUGAAGAACCCAACAAUGGGAACUUCAAAAUUCUUGAAAACAUCAGCCGUCCAGCCCAUCAUAACGCCGAUGACUACGCAAACAGGUCGGCUUUCGGGUUCCCGGGUUGAAAGGAGGUUUCGAAGGCCUUGAAGCAUAUGGCUGUGCAUGACAACAUGGUGGUGAGAAGGAGGUGAUGGUAGUGGUUGAGAUGGGAGGGUAUUUCGGUAAUUUCACAUAGAGGGUAUUGGUGAAGAGAGGAAGGGGUGAUGCUGGUGGUGGAAACGUGAGAGGGAAUAAUGAGGGUAGAUUUGUAAUUACGAGAAGCAAUUUGCUUGCAUAAUUCAAUGCAUGGAAACAGAUGUCCCUGACCGAAGAACGGGACAAUCCAAAUCUCAGCCUCAGCAGCAUUCGCAACAGAGCUUGACAUCUUUUAUGAAUUAUUUGAGACUUAAUUGUUAUUGACUGCUUUUGCCAUCUUUCAUAAAACAUUCUUUGUUAUAUAUUCAAGUAAAUAAAUUUAUCGUUUAAAAUUAAUUUUUCAUGUGGUAAAAGCAAUACUAAAUAUGGGGUGGAGAGAAUAAUUUGUAGGGCAUACCCCCACCAUUUAUUUAAUUUCAUUAAAAAAGAAAGAAAAGAAAUAAAGGCUUGUUCAACAUUCAAUUAAAAUUAACAAUUCCAUGAUAAAAUUACUUGAGAAUAAAAAUUUUUAAAAAAAAAGUAACUCAAAAACGAGGAAUUUUUGAGUAACUGAAGAACCAUAGAUGUUUUUUGGUCAUGAGCAAUUUUUGAGUUGAGACAGAACUUGUAUAAAAAAAUAGUUUUGAAAACUUCUUUUCUUUUUUCGUAAAUAUAGAUAUAAAAUUUUAAAAUCACCAAACACAAAACCAGGAAAAUGGAAGGAGAGCCCCUGUUUCUCCUCUGUUGCAAGAACAAAUUCGGUUUCUACAGUUGUACCUUCUAAAUGCACCAUUUGUAUUGCUUUGUCUCCACUUGAGCUAACGGAAUUUGAUGAAAACAAAAUAGAUAUGAGUGGUGCUAUUCACAGCCCUCAAUAAUUCUCUCAAAACCCCUUUUCUAAUUAUACCCCGUUGAAUAAGUUCAAGACCAACUUUUCCUCUUAUAACACCACCUUCAAUUCCGUUAAUACCCUUGUUCGCUAUGAAAAUGAGGAAAAUGCCUACAUAAAAAGCUGGCUCUGAUAAUCUACCUGAAUUUACAUUAGAAAAGAGUGGACUUUGAGAAAUAAGAAGACAAUAUAGGGAAUUUUACCAAAAUAAUCCAUUUUUAUAUACAGGGAAUGGUAUUUUCUGAUAUAGGGAGGAGUGGAGAAAUUAAAUUCAGCAAAAUAAAGAACCUCCAUCGAGAAGUAAAAAUGAUGAUAUCUUUGUCGUGAAGAGAUUUCUGCCUCAUACAAAUUUUUUAUUCUAGAAUGCUUGAAACCGAAAAGUUCUGUAGUUGUUUCAAUUCAAUUGCAUACAUUGACGAAACAUUAAAUACGGAAAAAAACAAAAAAGAAAUAAUAGGACAGGGGGAUUUCGAGAAGUUCUAAAGAGAGAAAUCUAUUUAUAAGCAUUGAAAAUUAGCUCAUUAAAUUUGACAGAAUAAUAUACAAUCUCACUGUUGGCCAGAAAAUAAUAGUAAGAACUUGUGAACAUAUAUAAUCAAUUGUUUAUUACUUAAGCUCUUUUUCUUCGUUAUUUUGAAUGGGUGCAAAGAAGAGAAGUUUUGUACCCAAAUUCCAACUCGAAUUGUGUAGGCUGCUUGCAAGAGCUUCAUUAGAUUUUUAUUUGUCUUUUAAUAGUGCUUCUCGACAAAUACAGCUAGCUAUCUGUCCUUUUUGUUACUGGACUAUAGAUCAAUUGACAGUUGAAGUUAUAUUAAUUUGUUGUGCUGGAAUUGAAGCUUGUAUCUUAGCCAUUUGGUGAAGUGUCAAAUAUAUUUUUAAUUUCCUUAAAAUUGUUCAAAAUAUGUUUACACUUUUAAAGUCACUAUUAUACAUGAGUGCCCUAAAAUUGGAGAAGGCGAUUUGCCUGACAUUACCUGUAUUCGCUUGUAUAGAGAGGACGAUUUAGAUAAGUCGGAACGGAACAACCUUCAUCACAUGCUUCCUCACGUGGUUACUUAAACUGAUAUGUAAAACGUGCUCCAUCCAUGUCGUUUCCACUAAAUCGUUUUCUGUUAAGAAUCAGCUGAGCAGCACGUGAGCUAAUGAAGCUUUUACGGCUUCAAAACGCAGCCGUUUCUGGGAACCAAACUUGAUUCAUCACCUCACAACUACAGAUGAAUUAUCGAAGUGGCUGAUUGGUGCUAUACGUGUUUUUCGUAUUGAACUCAACUCUGCUAUUUUCCCAAAAGCUGGAAAACAGAAACAUCAUCCCUGUGGUUUUAUUUCACCUCAACCUUUUUCUGAUCCCAUUUUCAUUGUAAUUUCUCAUUUACUUUGAGUGAAAGUCAUUGUUGCUUUCGAACGAGGUUUUGCAACUAAAAAGGAAAAGGGGGCGGCUAUAAUACAUGCGUGCAUCUGAUACAUGCACAAAAACUGACCAUUGGAUUAAAUGGAGUGGAUCUAAUGGCUGAGAUUUGUUUUAUUAUUAAGCAAUAAAAAAAUUUGAAACAACCAGAAACCUGUAAAACCGGUCAUUUGGUUUAAGUUAAAAAUAUAUAAAUGAAAAUAACAAAAAAACCCACCACUCCCCCGCCUCACACGCGCCUCACCGCUCCCCGCUCCCUCGCCUCACCUCUCUUCUUGUUCCACGGCCAUCAACGGCGGCACGAGUCGGCGACGAUCGACUGCGGCUGUAAAUUGACCACGAUCAUCUCUCUCUCUCGGCUUGCUCAAAUUUGGCCGAUCUGUGCGCUUGCUUAAGCUUGGCCGAUCUAUGCUUGCUCGAUUACUCUUCCUAUCUUCAGUCAGAGUCAACUGUUUGACAAGAGUCGAAGUCCAAGGUUCUUUUUUACAGGAUUUGAGCUAUUCCUUUUAUUCUUCUUGCAUGUUCACUGAUAUGAAGCUUUGAUGUGGUGUUCUGAUAGCGGGUGGAAUUUGAGAUUCUCCUUUCUUCUCUAUAUGAAGGUGCUUGUCAUGUGUCAAGAAAAAUAAAAUUAUUUACCAAAGAUUAUUUUAAGGAGAUUUAUUAUUAUUCGUGGAUCGGGAAGUUUAUUUUGUUUUUUGGUCUCUUAUUUAUUUAUUGUUUUCACGAGGAAAUUGCUGUGCUUUUGGAAAUUAAUAUGCUGUGUUGUCAAUGUUGUGUGAAAUCCUUUUAUUGGUGUCUAUGUAAAGUGUUUCAGAUUUCAGACCUGAGAGUUAAUCUUCGCGUACCAGUUGGCUUUUGGGUUUAGUAUUGCUACUUUUAACAUAAUUGACCUAUGGCCCAAAUCAUUUCUAUAGGGCGAAGCAUAUGAAUGAUACAUAUUAUCUUUUUUUGGCCUUAUGUAUUGUUAUUUGCAGUGUGAUUUGGUCUAGCUUAAGAGCUUAAGCUUGCAGGUUGGAUUUGUCUGACAGGGAACAAUUUAAUUUGCUCAUCGUGAUGUUUAUAUCCAUUUUGUACUACUAUCAAUUUCAAUCAUGCCUAAUUUUUAUAUGUAUUUCUCGUGGACUCUCAGGUUCAGUGCACAAGAGGAUGAAGACGAUGGACACCCAAAUUUGAUGUGGAGAACAACUAUUGCAAAUGGUCCUUGAUUUACUUCUCCAAUUGACUUGAAUUGGUUUGACGCAAUUUAUAGUGUAUUUUUGUCAUCUUUGUACGACUAGCAGGUCGUCCUGAUUUGGUACAUGACUGGACACAGGAAUUGGACUCAUAUUUUUCAAACCAGAAUGCCAACAAUCAAGCAUUUUCUUUUGAAAGCACUGGCGUCUUCUUCAAUGCCAAAAAGGUUAGAGAUUUUCUGUAUCUUGUUUUGUAUUUAAUCAGUUUAGCAUGUGGGUGGCAAUCAAGAAAAGUUAUUAUAACAUUUUUGUGUUCCCGAAAAACUGCUGAUGAUGUGUAGUGCAGGAAAUGAAUUGUUUUUGACUUCUUUUUAUUUGUAUUCUUUCUUUUUUCUUUUCUCCCCAACAGGAUUAUGCAUUUCUGAAGAGCUUCUUGAAGUUGAUUACCAUGUAUGCCACUUUCUUUACUCUAUGCUCAGGAUGUGAUUUUGCCAAGCAUUAAAAUGGUUUAGGUCAGAACCAUCAUCUAAAGUUUACUUAAUGCAGCCGAGAAGCUGUAGUAGAGCAAGGAAGGCUGUUGGUGUUAUGAAGGCCAGCUGUGAAGAAAUAUUUGAACUUGUAAUGAGCAUGGAUGGGACACGAUACGAGUAUGCUUCUUUUCUAUUUUUUAUUUUUAGUUACUUUAACAUAAUCAAGACUAUAUUGGCUGUCUCUGUAAGCUGAGUAUUAUAUUUCCUCUUGCAUGCUGUGAAAUUCACAUUGUCUCCAGUCCCGAUUCUGUAUGUGCCUUUUUGAAUAUAUUUAAUUAAUCUGCAUGGUGCUUUCUAAAGAUUAUUACAAACUUUUGUUGCUUAAGUAUAUGAAGAAUGUAGAAAUGAAAACAGCUUUUGAAGUUUGAUGGAUUGCUUCAUUAAUAAAGAAAGACUAGGACUCAUUUUUAUAACUUUUCUCCACUUAGCUAAUGGUAUUUGAUGAAGACAAAAUAGAUGUAGCUAUCUAUAUUUUUUGUUGCUGAACUAUAGAUCAAUUGACGGUUGAAGUUAGUUAUAUUAAUUUGUUGUACUAGAAUUAAAGCUUGUAUCUUAGCCAUUUCAUGAAGUGUCAAAUACGUUCUUUCCUUUUUUUUUUUUUUUUUCAAAACAUGUUACACUUUUGAAGUCACUAUUACAUAAAAGAGUGUUCUAAAACAGGAGAAGGCGUGCUGCCUGAAAUUACCUGUUUCCUAGCAAAUCUAGCUGGUUUGCGAAUUAGAUUUUAACAAGUCUCUUGGCAAGGUUUGCUAGUAAUGUGUUCAAAUUAUUCUAUUUAAUUUUACUGUCUGUACCCUAAUAAUUCUUGGUUUGCACCAUUGCAUUGUUCCAUAAUCUCUGUGCGUUGGCUUAUAAAGGCCAGCAAGGCUGAUCAUUUGUCGAAUAGUUAUUUCCAUGAAAUUCCUAUCAAUUUGACUCAGUAUUUAGAGGUCUUGAAGAGGGCAGUGUACUAGACAUGGAUUUCUACCUCUUUUGGUUGUACAAUUGUUGUAUUUCUUGGCCAUCAGAUCUUUUUAAUGUACCUUUCUCAAAGUUCAUGCCGCACGUACACCGUUUUUCAUGUUUUGUGCAUGUGGGAUUGUAGUCUUCUGUAUCGCAGCUUAGUUGAAGAGGUAGAUGGUCAUACGGCUAUUCUCUAUCAUAGGCUUCAGCUGGACUGGUUUCCAAUGUAAUAGUCUCUUGAUUCAAUCAUCUCAUUUAUGCUUUGGUCAGAAUAGAACAUUUAUUGUUUCCUUCUUUCCCCUUUCCUCUCUUCUGAUGUAAUAUGUGAGGAAAUUACCUAAAAUUUCUGUAUCCCAAUGUAAUUGUUGGAAUUCAGAAAUAAAAUAAAUACACCGUCUUGUUUUUCCCUCGGUUCAGUCCCAAGUUCUCUUUGGGCCUUCUGCAAGUUUUUAAACAUACUGUGACAGUAAAAAAUCUAGUGAUUGAGAUCAUUUUGAUGAAUUUAAUUUUAAUUCUUAGCUGAUACUUUUUCUGGAAUUUUUUUCUUAUGUUUCCUCAAUAUGACUUAAAUAUAGGGCUUAGUUUGGUUUAGAAGUUCAUCUAAAACCUUCUCCUUGAUUCCAAAAAAAUUCUCUAGAAAGGUCUCAGAUGGAUUUUAGGGGAGUUUUGUGGCAAAUUUGAAAAGUUCAGGGGAAGGGUCUAAUGAAUUUUAAAACCACAUGGGUUAUCUGUUUUAUUCAGAGGAUAGUGGAAUUCCCUGAAAUUUAUCAUUUUUAUUUAAAUAAUCUUCCUACUUUCCUCUGCAGAAUUUAUUUAUAUAUAUGAAUUCAUUUGGUUGCAGGUUUGUUUGGCCCCGCGGCCUUUGUUAAGUGCGUUAUUGGCGUUGAAAUGACGCUGCGAGUUAUGGUAAGGUUCUUGCUUCCCCACUUCUUGAAAUUAAAUCUAUCUUUUCUGGCACUAGAAGUUUCCAUAAGCUGUGUUUUGUUAUCGCGCAGUUGUGUUAUUUCAUUCUAGGGAGCAUAUGAACUGUGGUCCACAACCCGGAUAUGUACGAGCUCACAUGGAGAGUUAGUUUUCUGUCCUUUACUUUGGUUGAUGUAGAGAAUUAACAAGUGACUAAGUCAUGCCAAGUUGCACCACUUGCUUCCUGUAUUCUGAUUUCUCAGGUGGUGGAUUCAACAUUUCCCCACUAAAACCUCAAAAUGGUAGGCCCAGAACACAAGUACAGCAUCUUAUGCAGAUUGAUCUAAAAGGGUGGGGUGUUGGUUAUGUGUCAAUGUUUAGCAACACUGUCUUCUGCAGAUGUUAAAUAGCAUUGCUGGUAAGUUUCUUGCUUUCACAUUUUAUUUUGCGCUGUUAUGGGUUAAUAUGUUUCUGUUGGGUGGCCAUUUUAAGUCAUAUUUUUACGUGUUACUGUAUUUUCUUCAGUCCUUUUAUAGGGAACACACACAUACACGUAUGUAGAGUCACCUUUUAAUGAGGGAUCUACCAUUUUAAUGAAAUGAGGAAUGAGCUAAAAGAUAAAAAAUUCACGAACUCCAAUGCAAUAUGUGUGUGUGCGCGUGUACACCUUUUCUAACUCUUGUUCUUAGUUAGAUAUUUUUUGGGAUUUCAGGCAAAUGAAAAAAGAGAUUAAGAGAAUGAUUUCAAGAGAACAGGUGGAUAAUAACUUAAAUAUUCAUUUUUAUACAUUUUGUUAAUGUCCUCUUUAAUGGAUUUCUAUGGAAUUAACCUUGUAAUUGGUGUAAUUACGGCAUUGGUGGUUGACAUGGCUUUCCUUGUGCAGGUAUGUAUGAUUGUACUGCAAUUUGCAAAUUUGCAUACUUGAAUGUUCUCAGAAUGGUAUAAUGCUUCGUGUAUGCAGGCAAAUACUACAGAUGAAUUACCGGAGCGGCUGAUUGGAGCUGUACGUGUUUCUUAUAUAGAACUCAAGUCUGCUAUUGUUCCAAAGUUGGAACCAGAGACAUCAUGACUCUGGUUUCAUUUCACCUCAACUGUUUUUUUUUUUAAUUGAAAAAAAAAAAUCAUUUGUUUUAGGUAUACAUACAUGUAUUUUGAUCCCGUUUUCAUUGUAAUUUCUCAUUUACUUUGAAAGAAAGUCAUUGGUGUUUUCGAGUGGGAAUUUUGCAUUAAAAAAUAAAGAAUACUUAAUAGGAAAUUUCAUAAUUCUUUAGUUACUAUUUUUGGAAUGUGUGUAAUAGUAUUAAAGUUGGUUUCUACUCGCAAACAAGUGAACUACUCGAUCCCCAACUGCGACCACGCUAGUUGUCAUUUAAAACUCAACAACUAACAAAAAUACUAAUAAAAAAAUGAUUUUCUUAUAUUGCUGUGAAAACAUUUAUGGGUUCAUUUAUUUCCACAAGAUCUAUAAUUUGGUCUUGACUUUACGAAAUUCUUUUAAUUUAAAGGGUUUUGGUCUGAGAAAGUCAGUUUGACGGAUUAAUUCUUUUUAAUAAUGGUCGAGUUAAUUUUACUAUACUCAUAAAACUAUUUUUAUUCUGAUAAUGCCACAAAUGUUAUGAUGUUUUCUUCAGCUAAUGAUCUUCUAUCAGGACUAGUUAGAAAUCAAAUGCUUAAAACACCGAUUGAAUGUAUAAUGCAGAAGUUUAAACAGUACCUAAUUGAAAAUUGCAUGAAACAUGAAACAUCAAUUCAAGUCCUUCCUUAAACAGAGAAUGCAUCAAACAAAUCCAAAGUGUCUUGCAAGUCUGUAGCAUGACAAAAAAGUUGUAAAUGCGUUUGGAACCAAAUUCUUCAAGUACAGGAGAACGAGCAAGUUGAAUUAUGUACAAGAGAUUGGCCUGGUUCGAGAUAGCUUCUUCACUGUACCUGAAGGAUUGGCUCAAUCUUUUCUUUAGAAUUCUGCACAUUUUGUAAUUACUCGUGUAAGCAAGCAUACAUUACAACCAUAAUAAUAAUAAAGCAAGAGUAAUGAUACGACCACCACCUUUUGUACACAAACAAUAUUGUAUAAACUAAUGCGACAUAAUAUGAUUGGUUAAACAAAAACAUUACAUGGCCCUCAUAAUUUAUUUAUUUAUUUAUUUAUUAUUAUUAUUAUUAUUAUUAUUAUAUAUUUUCAGUCAACCAAUCAUAUUAUAUCACAUUAGUUUCUAUAAAAUAAUUUGCUAAAUAGCACCAAAACUUAAUUGAUACUCACCAUUUCAUUGAACAAUUUUUUUAUGGUGUCAUUGAGGUUGCCUUCCCAACAUCCUUCAUCAUCAUCAUCUUCUUCAUCAUCAUCUUUUUCUUCUUCGGUGACGUUCACUUUGUUUAGCAUUGGUGUGUCUAAGACUCCUUGAGAGAAGAUCUUCAUUUUUGGACACAGUCUCACAACUACUUGUUUCAAGGACGGGAAUUCAAGAGCGUAAUUACCUAAACAAAAGCUUGUUAGGCUUGGCAAACAGUCAAGUUCCAAGUACCUCAAUUUCCCAAAAACAAUGCAAUCUUCCGUUUCUUCUCCAACCUGCGACUGUAUAAUUUCUUCCAUCAUUUUGCAAUCAACUAUCUUCAUUCUUCCGAGAUUCACUAGAUUUUUAGAUGCUGAGAGCGUCAACACAUUUAUCAACCCGUGACACUUCGAUACUUGUAGUCCCCACAGAUUUUCCAAAUGCCACGAAGGUGGUACUAAUUUUUGCAACUUACUACAUUCCGAUAUUUCUAGCCUUUCCAAGUUUGCAAACACUUUGUUGGAUUCGUCAUUUUCCUUCCAGAGAUGCUGCACUUUGUGUAAUCCAGACAGUCUUAACUUCCUCAAUUGAGGGAAAGCAACCUGAAAAUCAACAAAGUUAAGUUGUAAAAGAAAAUACGUAUCCAAUCUCUGGAGUCUUCACCUGCAUAUUUUAUGGACAAGAUUAAUCACGGCAUUUUAUAUUUUAUUUCCAAAUUAGUAUGCUUUGCAGUAGGAUCCCAAAUAUAAGUAUCAAAUCGAUUACCCUUUGAAACACAUAAAUGAAAUCUAAUGCUAAAUCCAAUAUGAAUUAGCUAGGAAAACAGAGAUGUUACACACAUAAUUAAUAUAGUUCAUCACCUCGUGUUAUCAGGCAUCCAAUUAAUUUCAGUCAUUUUUAUAAUUCAUACUAUAAAGAUAGUUAAUAACUGAGGUUAUAUUGUUAAAUCAUAUAUAAAUUAAGAUGACAUGCAAAAAGAUGAGUCAUUAAAUUUGACUUGAUUCUAAUGAAAUUACAUCUGUGCGAACAAAAGUGAAGGGAAUAAUAAUAAUAAUAAUAAUAAUAAUUACCUUUUCAUCGAAGAGGGGUUGUACUUGAUGAGCCAGCAAGAAGUACUCUUCUAAUGUUAAUUUUUGAGGUUCCUUGUUAUCAGUUGUCACAUGCACUACAGAGUUGGAUAUAAAUGUUUCCAUAUCAGGGCAAUUCUCAAUAGUCAGACUCCACAACAUAGGCAUUUCAAUUAUAUUCCCAGUGAAGUUGCAGAAUCUUUUGAGUUUUGGAAGAUCAAUGAGCGUUAGGCUAAAAAGCCUAGGAAACAGGGGGCCUAUAUGUUCUUUGUCAGCAUUUAGCUCUUCCAAAUGAAGCAUCUCUUCUAGUGAAUCACAAUUCCUCACUUCCAGCCUUGCCAAAUUGUUCAAGCAUCGUAGCAGAUUGGCAGGAAUAGCACUCGACAUAUUGGUGCAGUAAUCCACCUCCAGCUCUGCUAAAUAGUUGAAGAAGCGGACAGGCAGUGCUUGGCCAUGCCAUAUUUCUUUCAAACGUGGAAAAUGUGAGAGUUGCAAAUACUGUAUGUCACGGAAUCCAAUCUGCACAAACCAAAACAAUUGCACUGGAUAUAUAUAAAUACAUUAAACUUACAUGUUUUGUGUUUUAACUUCUAAAACUAUAUAUACAAGGCAGGUGUAUAUGUUCAAAUGUGCAAGUGCAAGGGAGAUGCAUAAGUAAUUUCAACGAAUCGAUUUAACACAUACCAUUUCUUCGUAACACUUUUGUAUAGUGGAAUUAAGGUUGCCUUCCCAACGGCACAAUUCACCCUCUUCCUGUUAAGAAUAGAAUUAGUUAGUUAAUGAGUAUGCUGACAUGGCAGCUGAGUCAGCUAAAGGUUGUUAUAGAGGUUGUUAGUAGUAAACUGUGCGUGUGUGCAAUGUGUGUAGAAUCUUCUAUGCACAUAUAAAAAGGCUUGCAAUUUCCAGAUUCAUUAGAUCAAUAAUAACAGAAUUCUCAGCUUACAGAAGUUUUCUUUCCUCCUAUUUUCUUAGUAACCAAACAACAUCACAGUUUCAUAUAAAACUUAAUACUUCCUUUUUACUCACCUGCACUUCGUGCAGCUUUGGUGUGGAUACGAUUCCCUGAGAAAAAGUCUUCAUGUUCGGGCAACGUGUCAUAGAAACUCGUUCCAAUGAUGGGAAUUCAAGAGUGUAAUUCUCCAAACAAAAGCUGGUAAGCCUUGGUAAAUAAUCAAGUAUCAAAACUUUUAAAUUGCUGAAAGCAAUACGAUUCUCCUUCACUUCUUCUCCAACAUGUCCUAUGAUUUCUUCUAUUUUUUCACAGUAUGAUACAUUAAGAUUCACUAGACUAUUGGGAAUUCCAACCUGAAAAUAAAGAGUAGCAUUCAACUAAAUUCAAAGUAUGUCAAAAUCAUACAAUUGUUUUAUGAAAAAUAACAAACCAUGUCUACUAGAUAUUUUUUGUUAAAGAAAAAAGGAAAAAAAUUAAAACAAAAAUAAAUAAAUAGAAGUCCAGAAAAACAAAGAUAAUGAAAAUGCAUUUACACUAAAACGCUGUAUUUCCCUUUUUUUUUUCCCGAUAUUCAUGCUUUUAAAAAUGGAAAACAUUUCUGGAAAACACUUCCCAACGCCAUCAACAUGGGACUGUUACAGAGUGAAUAUUUGAGGAAAUUUUUUAAUAAACGGUCGAUUCAAAAUGACCAUCAUGAAUUUGUGCUUAAUCAAUGGCGUAAUCAAUUCAUAACUAAACUAGAGAUAUUAACUACAUUUGAACACUUUUCUUUAUUUUAUUUUUAAAAUCGAAAUCUAAAGACCCAAGGAAAAGAGAAAUAUAUAUGAAUUUGUGAACUUAAAAGCUGAGUAACUAAGUAUCUUUUAAUUUCUGAAAAUCUUAUUCAUUAGGAUUUAAGGAAAAAAAACAAUUAAAUUAAAUUAUAUUAUGCUGUUAAAUCGUGUUUAAAAUAAUUAUAUUGUUGACUUUAAUGCAGGUGAACCUAUAAAUUAGAUUGAAAAUGCAGAGUUCAGAAUGGUGAUUUGAAGUACAAUACUUUUUUUCCCUCUAGAAGUUUGAAGUACAAUACUUGCAAUAAAUAAUUUGUGAAUGAAAAUUAUUUGUAAACAAAAAAAUGAUUAAAAUAAUUGUUGAAUGUUAUUUGAAAUAAAAAUUCAAAAUGAAUAUAGCAAUCUUACCAAUGGAGGAAAAAUAUUCAGUAGAUUAUGACACACAGAUAUCUCUAAUUUUUUCAAUUUGCUAAAAGACUUCGAAGCAAGCUGGUGGUGCCAUAUUUUUCUCAACUUAUCCGCCCCACGAAUAUGUAAUACCUCCAGACUUGGGAGUCGUACCUGAAGUUAAAAAUUCAAUGCAAUUAGAGAUGGAUAUUAAUUAAAUUUGAAGACUCAACGAAAGAAGAAAUUAACUAUUAAGAAUAAAAUUAAUUUAAAAAAAAAACCUUUGCAUCAAAGAGAGGUUGAGGUUGCAUUUCAGAAUUAGCUUCUGGUGAGGCAAAGCUACUUAGUUUUGGAAGACCAUCGAGCUGCAGGAAGUGUAGUUUAGGAAAAACCUUAAAUUCAUCUCUUCCUCCUAACCCCGUGGUGUUGACUAUCCCUUCCAUUGACCAACAAUUAAUAAUCUCAAGAUGUCGGAGCUGCCCAAGACUAUUAGCCAUAGAAUAUGAAAACAUAUACUUCAGAGGACAACACCUUGUCACGGUCACUUUUGUUAAAUUUUGACAACAAUACAUUCCCUGAAAUUGAUCGGGCCAUAAUUUUUUGAUGUUUGUUAAACUGACAAGUUCCAGUUCCUCCAAGCGUGGAAAAGUAACCUGCAAAGAAAAACCAUACAUUUUUUUUCCUUCAACUACAACUUCUAAUAUAAUAUUCUUUCGAUGAUUGAAGAUCAAUCGUGAUAAUAUAUUAAUUAAUUAAUUAUUAAACAGAAAAUUAUCACCUGAUCAUCCUCUGCAUUGAUUUCUGUGAAUCCCUGAGUAGUUGUUGGUUUCUCCAUGUCGGGCCCUAUAAAUGAACAAAAACAAUAUAUGAUUAACCUCUGUUGUCCCCUCCCAAAACAAAAAAAAAAAAAGAAUGAGCCAAUGUCAAUAAUCCUACCAAUAAUUAAUUUAAACACUUACCAAUCAUCAUUUUCAAUUUAUUGCAAUUUACCACUUCUACUUUUUGAAGCCCCAAUAGGUUUUUGGCCAUAGAGAAUGAGAAGAGAUACUUCAAUUUUGGACAGGAAUAUACGUAUAUAAUCCUUAAGUUGCUGAAAGAUUGAUCUUCUCUGAGUUGGCUGUAGCAUAUCGUCUCCAAAUUAGUUAAAUUAAUAAGAUCCAAUGAUUCCAGCAAGGGAAAGACUUCGCAACGAACCCGUCUAACUGAACCGACAAUAUGUAAAAUCUCAGAACAACCUGUUACAUGAAGAUGCUGCAAUCGUGGAAAACCUUCCCCAUCGUCUAAUUCAUGAACAACAUUCUGAACACCCGUCAGUGAGUAUAGACGGAGAUCUUCAGUUCUCUUCAGCAACAUUUUCGUCCCAUCAUUCCCCAAAAGAAGGCUAACUUUUUCUGGCCCCUUGAGCACCAUCAAUGUUGAUGUUUUAGAUUCGACGAGUCGUCGGUUAGACAUUUGUCCUAUAAAUAUCUUAUAUCUUUCCAAUUCCAUAGAGACAAAAUCCGGCGGCAGAAUUUCGGAAUCCGAAACAUCUAUCUCCAAAGUAGUUAGAUUUGACAACCCCUUCAACUCGACAAGACUGGCAUUACUUCCUCCUUCAACCUUAUCCCACUGUGAAAAGCUGUUAUGCAUAAACAGUUCUUCUAAUCCAGAUAAUUUUGAUAUGACAUUUGGUGGUAUCAACUCAAGGCUCCAACAAUUGCUCAAAUCUAGCAACUGUAACCGCGUCAAUCGUCCAAUUUCAAGUGGUAACUGCUUGAUAUCGGAAUCUGCAAGGCUGAGAAUCUCUAAUUUCUUUAGCUGUCCAACUAUUGCUAUAUCUUUUAGUCGGCAAUAGUCUAAACGCAAUGUUUGAAGGUUAAUGAGGCAACCAAGUGAUGAAGGUAAUGAAGAGAAUUGAAUUCGAGUAAAAUUCAAAACUUUGAGUCCUUCCGUCCCUUUAAAAAAGUGGUCUGAAACUUGCAUAGAGCCAUCACCCUCCGCAUGCAAUAGCUCAAGACAGGGACAUUGCAACCUUUCAGGAAGCACUUGAAUACCUCCAUAAGGUAAAGAAAUAGCAAUUGGACCUUCCUGUACUGUAUCUUCCAUCUUUUUCUCCAAGUCGGCAACAUUUGGAAUAUUAAACAUGAGCUCCUCUUCUGCAAUUGAUACAGCAACUACACGAAUGACGUCAUGCAUUUUAACUUCAUCUUCAGCAUCACUGUCCAACAAUAAGCAUGAAGAUUUGAGUUUGUCGAUCAACGUAUGCAAUCUCCUCCUUGCUUCUUCCAGUGAGUAAACCUUUUUAAAAUAGUCCAUACCCAUACCAUAUCUCAAUAAGUCUGGAACAGGUAUAGCAUAACCUUUACUAAGUAGACCACAAAGACGGAACAGAGAUUUUGCCUCCGCACUUUCCAGCAAGUUGUAACUCAAUUUUAUGGAGGUGUACACAUUUCUUUCCAUUCCAUCAAUUUCUCUUGCAUCGGAACUUCUUAGCUGAUUCAAUGCAUCCUUCCAAAUGUCAAGAUCCUUAGUUUUCAGAGCUUUUGCAACUGUACUCAGUGCAACAGGCAAUCCUCCGCAUUUUUCAACGAUCUCAUCUGCAGUGGGUUGAAAAGCAGAUAUUUUAGUUGAAUCACCCACUAUCUUCUCAAAUAACUGCAAGGCUUCUUCUUUUGAUAAAGCAUCGAUCGGGAAAUUUUUCUGAGAAUUCAUAUCAGUGCACAAUAAAUCUCGACUUCUAGACGUCAGUAUUAUUGUGCAUCGUCUCUGAUCAUCCAUUCUUUCGUUCGGAAUCCCAACUUUAUCGAACUCCAGUUCCCCCCAAAUAUUAUCCAAUAUAAUGAGAUGCCGCUCCUUGUUCUUCAAUACUCGACAUAGUCGAUUUGCUCUGUCGAAUAUACUCUCAUUCAACUCAAACUUUAUGCCUAAAUCAGAAGCAAGUUUGUCUUGAAUUUUCUGAUGAUCUGGGUUCUCUGUUACCUCAGCCAUAGCGACCUUAUCGAACAACUUAUUUGUUUCCAUCACUUGCUUUGCAACUUGCUUGACUAGCGUGGUUUUACCCACGCCGCCCAUGCCGUAGACCCCAAUUAUGUUGAGUUUCUCAUCCUUCAACGCCUCCAUAACAUCCAGUAAUACUUUCUUUCUUGAAUCAAAGGCCUCGUUAUCUUUCCCGCCCCUAAGUGCUUCGAUAUCUGCAGAAGGAUCGAAGGCAAUUUCUUCACUCUUCAGUUUGUCGCCUUUUUCCAUGAGAUUAGCAGCAUCUUUUGCGGCCUUUGCUGCUCGUUUACUGAGUUUGUAACGAGACAACAAAUUUGCACACAAUCCUUUGAAGCAGGACUUCUUGGCUCCAUCUUCUUCAUCAAUGAUAGAUUUUGCAACCCCCUCCGUAGAUUCAACCUUACUUCGCCAAUCUUUGACACCCUGAUAAAUCUCUUUGCCUUGUCGAGUAUCAUGCUUAACACGUUGUUGCACCAUUUCGUUUAUACCUUCCAACCCCUUCACUUGAUCUUUUAGCUCAUCUAUGUAGCUCUGGUACUUGAACACAUAAGAUAUUUGCCGUAUAAUCGGUUUGAACAGUGACUUUGCACCUUCUAAUACAGUGCUGGAUAAAGCAGCCAGAGCCACUUCUGCCAUUGUCUGCUACUUAACAAAUCUAAUAAUAUAUCAAAGAAAGGAAUACAAAUAAAUUAAAAGGAACUAAAGGGAAAGACAGAGAAAGAAAAGACGGCAAACAACAUCGCAAUAUUGAUCUUGAACCAACUGAUACCUAAAUAGAGAAUUUCUUUUACUAUCUUAAGGAUCAGAGGUUUCGCUAUUAACCGAAAGGUAUCGCUUCUAUUUUGUCACUUUGAACGAAUAACUUUAUGUUUUUAACGGAUGUUUAAUACAAAUUGCAUACAUUGGGUGUAAAAUUAAAUAAAUUUAAAUAUUUAUAAUAAUUUUAAUAAUUGAAUAAAACUUUGAGUAAAUGACUGAUAAUUUCUCUAAGAUGAUUUAUUGUUUGGGGUCUAAGAUUUUAAAUAUUCAACUUAAAAGAUUAAUAUCUUAUAAAUUGAUUAAUUAAUUAAUCAUUAAGCAACUAAAUUGGUCCCUGGAUGUCAAUUUAUUUAAUAUUGACGCACCUAUUUUUUUUUUCUGGCAAAUAAUUAUUAAUGCACUUAGGNNNNNNNNNNNNNNNNNNNNNNNNNNNNNNNNNNNNNNNNNNNNNNNNNNNNNNNNNNNNNNNNNNNNNNNNNNNNNNNNNNNNNNNNNNNNNNNNNNNNNNNNNNNNNNNNNNNNNNNNNNNNNNNNNNNNNNNNNNNNNNNNNNNNNNNNNNNNNNNNNNNNNNNNNNNNNNNNNNNNNNNNNNNNNNNNNNNNNNNNNNNNNNNNNNNNNNNNNNNNNNNNNNNNNNNNNNNNNNNNNNNNNNNNNNNNNNNNNNNNNNNNNNNNNNNNNNNNNNNNNNNNNNNNNNNNNNNNNNNNNNNNNNNNNNNNNNNNNNNNNNNNNNNNNNNNNNNNNNNNNNNNNNNNNNNNNNNNNNNNNNNNNNNNNNNNNNNNNNNNNNNNNNNNNNNNNNNNNNNNNNNNNNNNNNNNNNNNNNNNNNNNNNNNNNNNNNNNNNNNNNNNNNNNNNNNNNNNNNNNNNNNNNNNNNNNNNNNNNNNNNNNNNNNNNNNNNNNNNNNNNNNNNNNNNNNNNNNNNNNNNNNNNNNNNNNNNNNNNNNNNNNNNNNNNNNNNNNNNNNNNNNNNNNNNNNNNNNNNNNNNNNNNNNNNNNNNNNNNNNNNNNNNNNNNNNNNNNNNNNNNNNNNNNNNNNNNNNNNNNNNNNNNNNNNNNNNNNNNNNNNNNNNNNNNNNNNNNNNNNNNNNNNNNNNNNNNNNNNNNNNNNNNNNNNNNNNNNNNNNNNNNNNNNNNNNNNNNNNNNNNNNNNNNNNNNNNNNNNNNNNNNNNNNNNNNNNNNNNNNNNNNNNNNNNNNNNNNNNNNNNNNNNNNNNNNNNNNNNNNNNNNNNNNNNNNNNNNNNNNNNNNNNNNNNNNNNNNNNNNNNNNNNNNNNNNNNNNNNNNNNNNNNNNNNNNNNNNNNNNNNNNNNNNNNNNNNNNNNNNNNNNNNNNNNNNNNNNNNNNNNNNNNNNNNNNNNNNNNNNNNNNNNNNNNNNNNNNNNNNNNNNNNNNNNNNNNNNNNNNNNNNNNNNNNNNNNNNNNNNNNNNNNNNNNNNNNNNNNNNNNNNNNNNNNNNNNNNNNNNNNNNNNNNNNNNNNNNNNNNNNNNNNNNNNNNNNNNNNNNNNNNNNNNNNNNNNNNNNNNNNNNNNNNNNNNNNNNNNNNNNNNNNNNNNNNNNNNNNNNNNNNNNNNNNNNNNNNNNNNNNNNNNNNNNNNNNNNNNNNNNNNNNNNNNNNNNNNNNNNNNNNNNNNNNNNNNNNNNNNNNNNNNNNNNNNNNNNNNNNNNNNNNNNNNNNNNNNNNNNNNNNNNNNNNNNNNGGGAUUAUGGGGGUAUGCUAAUGCGGCAACCUGACUGUGAGUCGGGAAAAGCUAAUGAGGCAACUUUGCUUGUGCUGCUUCUUUUUUUUUUUUCUUUUGCUUUCUUUUUUGCUUUUUUUUAAUAAUAUUAAAUAAUAUAAAUUUUAAUUUAAUUUAAUAGAAUAUUAUAUAAUAUUAAUUUUUAUUUUCUCUUAUUUUGACAUCAUAAUUAUUAAUAUAAAUUAAUUAUUUUUAUUCAUAUUUUAAUUUUUAUUACUAAAUAAUAAUUAUAUAAUAAUUAAUAUAUAAAAUUGAUUAAUAAAUACUUAAAUAAUAUAAAAAUAAGAAUAUAACUUGAUAUUACAUUAUUUAAUUAUAUUAUAGUAAUUAAUAUAUAUGAAAAUUUAAUAUAACUAAUAAAAAUAUUUAUAUAUGAAUAAAUUUAAAUAAUAUUAAUUUAAAAUUAAUAUUAAUAAAAAUAAUAAUAUAAAAUAUCAUUAUGUUAUGAUAUUAUUUAGGUAUUAAUAAAUAUUAUUUUCUAAAUAUAUAAUUUAAGUUAAUCACAAAAAAUUAAUACAGUACAGUGUAGCACCAAACAUUGUAUUAUGCUGUAUGCCUGUAUUGUAUUAGCACUGAUUGGGUGUAAAGCGUUUGUAAGUGGCUUUUUAAGUCUGCCGUCAAAUCCCCUGCAAAAGCUUUUUUCUUAAUAUCACGCGUGUUGGUACUACAUAAAACCGUAAACUCUAACAAUUUCUUUGUUCUUUCUUAAUAUCACGCGUGUUGGUACUACAUAAAACCGUAAACUCCAACAAUUUCUUAGUUCUCAACACCCCUUAAUUUACAAGAAUUAAUCACUUCAAGGGUGGAUUAGGUAUAUCUUUAGUUCAUAUAUAACUAGCAAUAUCUAAUAUCCCAUAUACAUGUUUUUCUCCCAGAAUGUAAACCAACUAUUCAUAUCUUAGACUCCAAGUAUUCGUAUCUUAAAGUCAAUCGAUAAUAUUAAUUUAAAUUUAAUAAUAAUAUAAAAUAUUAAUAUAAUAUAAUAUUUAAUUUAAAUUAAUUACAAACAAAUAAUAUAGUACAAUGUAGCACCAAACAUUGUAUAGCAUUAUUAUAAUACAAUGCUAAUGCAAUACAAUAUAAUAUAAUCCACCAACAUUAAAAUAAUAUAAUAUAGCAUAAUACAAUACAGUGUGUCAAAUGCACCCUUAGGGUGUGUUUGGUAUGUGGUAUUGCAUAGCAUUAAAUGUGGGCCCAACAUUAAUUUAAACCAAUAACAUGUUUGGGAGCAAUUGAGGCUUAUUGGGAUUGGGUAUUGAGGGGUGCGCUAAUGCGGGAACCACCGCAUUAGCUUGUCUUUUUUUUUUUACUUUUACUUAAUAAUAAUAUAAAUGAAUAAAUAUAUAAUUUUUAAUUUUUAAUAUAAUAUUAUUUUUAUUUUUAUAUCAUAAUUUAUUAAUAAAUUUAUAAUUUAAUAUGAUUAAUAAUAAAUAUUUAAAUAGUAUAUAAAAUAUAAUAUAAUAUUACACUGUGUAAUUAUUGUAAUAUAAUUAAUAUAUAUAAAUUAUUUAUUUUUAAAUAAUUUAAUAUAAAAAAUAAAAAAAUAUUUAAAUACAAAUGAAUUUCAAUAAUAUUGAUAUACGAUUAAUAAUAACAUAAAUAAUAAUAUAAAAUAUUAGCACAAUUCAUUUUGCUAUUAAAUAUGUUAUAACAAUUUUGUCAUUUUAUAAUUUUGUGGUGUAUAUGAACAUAUGUCUUAAGAUUAUUUUUGAACAAAUCUUGUAGGUUUUAACUAUUUAUUUUUCUUGUUAUAUUAUUUCAAGAUUAUUUGAUUAAAUUAUUUGCUUCGAUAUUUAACAAGUUAUAUAUUUAGAAAAUAUAGAAAAUAAAUGUUAUGCUUCCAAAAAUUAAAGGAUAUAACGUUCGAUCUUUAUGAAGAAUUAUGAUAUUUUUGAACAUUUAUACUAAAAAAUUAUUAAAUUUUUAGAAAAUUAAAAGAUAUAACAUUCGAUCUUUAUGAAGAAUUAUGAUAUUUUUUAACAUUUAUACUAAAAAAAUAAUUAAAUUUCUAAAAUUUAAGACCUCUAUAUUUAGUUUUUUUUAAGUACUAUUAAUAUUAUUUUAUAAAUAUAUAAUAUAAAUUAAUUACAAAAAAUUAAUACAGUACAGUAUAACACCAAACAUAAUAUAAUUAAAAAUUAAUACAGUACAGUGUAAUACCAAAUAUUGUACAAUAUUAUUAUAAUACAGUACUAAUGUAAUACAACAUAAUACAAUACACUGCAUAAAAAUAAUGUAAUUUAGUGUACCAAACACACCCUUACAGAACUUUUGCAUAUCUACACAGCGAUUUUAAAUAUUACUGAUAACUCCUGAGAAAUGUGUGAGAAAGGAGUUGAUAAGAGUAAUAACAGCGACUUGCAAAAGGAAAAGACAGAAUCAUUCACCCCUUUUUAUAUCAUGUAUUUGGUUACUGUUGCCCUGUUGACGCAUGUAUAAAAUAACCGUAUGUAUUUUUUUUGGCUGUUGCUUAACAAAAUGUGUGUUUGUGUGUGUAUAUAUAUAUAUUUGCUGUUUGAAAAAAUUGGAUUCAAAUAAAUUAAAAUGAACUAGAGAGGAAGAGAAAGAAUGAAAAGACAACAAACAAUUGAUAUUGAUCUCGAACCAACUUCUUUCUUUCUUUCUUUCUUUUUUGUGUUUUUUUUUUCGCCCGUACCCCCUCUCAGAUUAGAGUAUUGGCUAUUAAAUGAAAGGUUUUAAGGGUAUGAGUGAAAAACAACAUUCUUUUUUAGAAACUAUUUUAGAGGAGGGAUGCAAAUUAAAUGACAAGAUUAAGACAAACAGGAGAUAUUUUUUCGUGGGCAUUAAGAAAUAACUGCUGUCAAGAUCAAGGAGAUUAUGCUAUUAAUAGAAAUUAUCAAAGGAUUUAGAACAAGUUCACCUCUUUAAUUAUCCGGGAUCAGAUAGUUGAUGAGCUUCUCUUCUUGGCGUUGAAUAUUUAAGAAUAAUUUUAAUGAGCAAAAAGAUCACUGGUAACUGCUGAAAAAUAAGUGAGAAAAGAGUUGAUGAGAAUAAUAACAAUGAAUUGAAUAAAAAAAGGACUUAAUCAUGCACCCCCUUUGCAUAUCAUGUAUUUGGUUACUGUUGCCUUGUUGACGCAUGUAUAGAAUAAUUAGUGACUUCUUUCAUGAAGAAUUAAACUUGGAAUGACCAAAAGACGAAGCUGCGGUGUAUUGUUGGACCAAAUUAAGUUGAAGAAAGCACUAGUUCACAACCUUACGUUUGGAUAUAUUCUAAAGAAAUAAUUAAACAGCAAAUCAUCACAUGCACUUUAAUGAUUUGAUCUAUUGUUUUCAAAAGAAAUUGCAAUUAACAGUUUUUGUCAAAAGUUCGCACUGCGUGAAACUAGUGCUAAUAUAAUUUAAAAAAUUAAUUUCAGUAUUAGUUUUUAAAAUGUUAAUUAUUAUAUUUAUUUUAAUAAUAUAUUUAUAUUUAUUAUAAAAAAUUCUGUUAAACAUUUGUGUUAAAUAGAAUUUAUAAUUAAUAUAAUAUAUCUUAGGUAUUAAUAAUAUUAUAAUUAUUCUAUAUGCUAUUGAAAAUAAUUUAAAUUUUUAGACGUUUAUUUUCACAUUAAGUUUCUAUUUAUUAUAAAAUUUAGUUUAAUAUAGUAUAAGCUUGUAAAGUAUUAAAAUAUUUUUUCAUAUUUUUUGAACAUAUUAAAAUUAUUUUAAAAUAUAUUUAUAUAUUAACAUUGAAGUCAAUUUUUUAAGUUAAUAGAACCAGUAGGUGUUAUAGUAAAAAAGCGUUUCUUAGCAUCACUUAUUGAAAAUAUAAAGAUCUAUAUAAUCAUUUUUUCAAAUAUUGAGAUGUAGUUAUAAAAGAAAAAAUAAAUUAAAAAAUUUUAAAUUUUAAUAUGGCCAUCGUAGAGUUAGAAUCCCCGCUCCAACCCGAUUUGGAGAUGAGCUUGGUCUAUUUAUGUUUUGGAAAAAGAAAAACCAAAGGAAAAAAAAGGCACCCGACCAAAUCAAGUAACUCAUCAAAUAAAAAAUAAAAAAAGGAAAGAAAUUUAAUGACUUGCAUGCAAUUUUGGAUCUGAAAUUAAAAUUACAUAAAAAUUAAGGAUUACGUACCUUAAUAUUUACAGCUUAUUUGAUGGACUCAACAGGUUUAAGCAACAUCAAAAUGUUUGUGGCUCCUUAAAUGAGCCCCCGACAUGGUGCAAAUGACAACAUCGACUUGUUUGACAGCUCCAACAAGGCUACGAUGAUCAGAAGAUGAGCCCUCAAUCAACAAGCUAAGAUUGGCUUCUCUAUCCUCUUCGCCCCACAACCAGCGCCUUGCUCUUUGUCAUUUUUCCUCUUGUUAGUUUUCUUCUACAUAUAAUUAUUACACUGGGAAGUAUACACACACCUCUUUUCUUUUUAUAGUACCUUACUAUUAUAUCUUUACAAAACAAUAUCACCCUAAGACAGCUAUGUAUGAAAUAAAUGAAAUAAAUAUAUAAGGAACUGACGAAAUAAAAUUAGAUCUAACUCUAAUUUCACGUUGCGUGAAUUUUUGACAAUUCACCCGUAUCCCAACAAAAGCUUUGUCAUAUUGCGAAAAUACCUUUUCAAUGUUUCAAUUGCAAUGUCAUUGCCAUUAUUCAUAGUGGCAGACAAUGGACGUCACGGGACGGUAGAAGUCUAUGUUACGGCUUGUGCAAGUAACAGCAGCCAAUGGGGAACUUCCACGGGUGCUAGAGGAGAGAGAAAGAGGUCCCAAUGCAAGGUGAUGGAAAUGGGAAAGUUCGAAGCUGUUACUUUCAGCUUCUGCACCUUAGCCAUGUCCCACGGGACAAGGCUAGAAGUUAUCAUGACCAUAAACUUUUCUAAUUUAUUUUUUCCUUUCAAAAAGGGACAAGGAUACGUUUCGGAGAAUGAUUAUAUUUUUAAUAAAAGAAUUCUUUUUUAUUAUAAUACUUUUUUCUUUAUUAAUUUAAAAAUAUUGACUCUUAUAUUUUAAUAAAUAUAAAUAUAAUAUUAUAAUAAAAUAUAACAAUAUAUACAAAUAUUUAAAAAAAUUUAAGAUUUUAUUAAAAGAAAUUUUAUAAUAAAUACAAAUAUAUUAUUAAUAUAAUUAUAAUAAUUUGCAUUUUAAAAAGUAAUACUGAUAUUAAUUUUUUAAAUUAUAUUACUCUACCAAAAAAAUUAAACUAUUAAAUUAUAUUGAUAUUUAUUAAAAAAAUUGAAGUUAAUUCUUAUUAUAUUUUUAAUUGGAAUUUUUUCAUGUGACAUAAUUACAAUUGCUACAUUUUUUUCCCUAAAUAAAGAUGGGAGUUAUAAAUUAUUUGUAUAAGUGUCUGUGUGUAAACUAAUGUGACAUGAAAGUAAUAGCUGAAUAACAAUAAUGGAGCUUUAGGUAAUUUUUUAUGAGGUCUUCUUGCAAUUUCAACACUUAAACAGACUUGUCCUUGAUCCCAAUUUAUUUACCCCAUUUGGGCCCCUUAUGACAAACAUAUUCUUGUGGAAUGAAAAACAUCAGGAGAAGAAAAUGUUUUAUUAUAAUAGAAAAAGUUGUCCAUAAGUCUAUUCAUUUUUUUUUUAUUCAAUACAAAUGCGGGCCGCGUUCUGUGGGUCUNNNNNNNNNNNNNNNNNNNNNNNNNNNNNNNNNNNNNNNNNNNNNNNNNNNNNNNNNNNNNNNNNNNNNNNNNNNNNNNNNNNNNNNNNNNNNNNNNNNNNNNNNNNNNNNNNNNNNNNNNNNNNNNNNNNNNNNNNNNNNNNNNNNNNNNNNNNNNNNNNNNNNNNNNNNNNNNNNNNNNNNNNNNNNNNNNNNNNNNNNNNNNNNNNNNNNNNNNNNNNNNNNNNNUAAGUAGAGUGAGACUCUGGCAUCCUCUAAAUAUCUCUCAACACUCUUUCUUAUUAACCCCAUUAAAAUAUUUAAAAAUAUUAUAAAAUUCUUUUAACACCUUUUUUAUGGCAAAAAUACCCUUAGUUUAAAUUUAUUAAUAUAAACCCCAUUUUAAUUUUUGACCCCUGAUUGUGAUUUUUUUUUAAAGCACCUGAAUUUUGAAACAAUUAAUUAUCUAUUGAAAAAGAAAGAAAGAAAAGGAAAACAAAAGGAAAAGGGCACUUGCUCCAAGAAAGUUCUACUUUAAUGUGGCAAAUCAUUGAAACACCACAUGGCCAAAACUUUACUCUAUGCAUGACAACUCAUUGUAAUUGAUAAUGACCCUCGCAAACACUUGGCUACCAUGCGUGUAAUUCUAAGGCCAAGUGCUAAUUUGGUUUACUGAUGAAGAUGCUGAGCACAAGCUUCUGAAAAUGCAGAAUUACGAAUUUUUCGAAAGACUGCGAACCUUUAUGGAGAAAGACAACUAGGCCACUGGAAAACAUGUCGGUGGGAAAAUAAUUCUGAUGAUCGUUCAGCUCGUCCUUUGCUUCAUAAUUACUUUCUUCUUUCUUAAUUUCUCUCAUGGGUCUCGGUUUCUUCCUGAAGCUUGUUGAUGAUGAGUUGCAUAUGCCGAUAAUUCCUCACCAGAAAAUAAGAUGAAAAGGUAACUUUCUUAAUUUUUAAAAUGCUGAAUUUCAAUUUAAGGUACUAUUCAUUUUGUCUCUUUCAAGUUAUUUUUCAUUUUUCUGCUGAUAUUUUAAUAUUUACAGUCAAUUGUAGCAUUACUUAAAUUUAUAGUAUGUAGAUCAUAAUUCAUAAAUUAGUUUGCAGUUGGAGUAAACUCGAAAAUGUUAAAAAAAUAAUAAUAACAACAAAAAGAGUAGAGACAAGUUGUCAUCUUGAGUAACAAUAAAAUAAAGAAUUGCAGCUUUUACAAAGUCUUUCUUUAAAAAUAUGAAAUGAAUAAAAUGACUAUUAAAAUGGUUCAAAAUUUUCUGAUAGUGUCAUUGACUAGCUAGAUCAAUUGUUUCUUGUGUGGUAACUUCAAACACCAAAUCCUUGAAAGCAAGUAUAUUAGUUUUGUAUGGUGUUGCCCAGCCUUCUGCACAUGGUUCAUGAUAUUUGAUCCAACUAUUCGCAAUAGGAGGAAUAGGUGAAGCUGGAAGCAUGAACACCUGUAAAAAAAAAAAAAAAGCCAUAGAAAAAUUAGUCCAAUAAUUAAGAUAUUGCAGCAUAAUUUGAAUUUCUAAACUUUUACAUACCUCUAUGAAAUGAUUUCUAUUAACAAAUCCAAUAGCAAUGAUUUUAUGCGAGGAGCGUGAUAAUGGAAUAGAUCUAAGUGGAAGGAAUGUGACAAUCAGCACAUCUGAUAUAUGUAGUAAUACCACAUUAUAUUUAGAAGCAAUAAUAUGACCAAUUUCAGGCAUGGUCAUCCAAUACUCUCUUCCUGGGUUAUUCUCAAAGUAUAAAAGUGAAUGAAGCACCUCCUCUGCUCUACCAGCAUAUUCAAAGACUCUUUUAUAAUCAUUAAAGUGACUUUGCAACUCAACAACUAAGACUUUCCUGACUUGUGCCCAGUUAUCUUCACCAAUACCUAUUAGGUCAGCCACUGCCUGAAAACCACAAUUACCAUCUGCAACAACAUCUCUAACACCACAAAUAUAAGGCCUCAAACCAAAUGGAAAUGAAUCAAUAUAAGAAGCAUGCUUUGGUGCUUUUGUUUGAGAAACACUCAUUUUUCGUUGCCCUUUUGGUUUUUUUGUAGUUGUACUUGAAGACAUAAUGUCUGGAGAAUGAUUAUCCUGUGCGGAUACUACAUACUCAAAUCUUGAUGGAUCUCGGCGGGUAGAUUUAUCAAGCUUUUGGGAGGGUCGUCCUCGAGUCUUAGCUUUAACAGGUAGCUCAAUUAAAAAAGUUAAGAAUGGAUCAGCUAAUUCUUUCAGUUUUCUUUUUAUUUGCAUUUUUCCGAAACCAUCUGAAUCUUCAAAACGCUUGAUAAUCAUUUCCAUUUCAGGGGUACAACUCAACUCUGCUGAUUUUUCAUAGCUGGUGCAGACAAGGUCUAAUUUCCUCCAAUGCAAAUGUACAGAAUCUAAAGGUAUCGGUCGACCUUCACGCUUAUACUCUGCAAUUUCAUGUGCACACGGUAGCCCAUAAGUGUGUCGAACUACACAACCACAUGCUGAAAUAUCUAUACCAAUUAAAUCAGCUCUUUUUGACUCACUUAGUAUCAUAUCUAAUGCAUUUCUAGCAACUAACCCCCUUAAUUCUUUAAAAACUGAAGGUGUGAAACUAUGUUGCACAGUAGUCAAACUCUUCUCAAAUGAUGCCUUAAUUUUUGUAUGUUGCAACUCUACCAAAGAAUGAAGUUUUGUCCAUAAUGUUACAAAGUUUCCUUGGGAUGAACAUAGUUGCCUUUUUAAUUUUGAAUGUGCAGUCUCAGCCCUAAAAAUAAACCAACAAAAAAAUAAUAAAAAGAUAUAUAAAAAAAUGGUGUUGAGUUUAUUUAUAAAAUCAUUGAAAACUAAAUAUUGGUUACCUGUUGGUUGUCAUAUUUCCGAAAUGCAUAAUAAAGUCUGUCCAUGCUGCAAUAAAUUUUUCUUUAUACUUAUCAAGCCAUGUCUACUUCACAUAGACAAGUGCUUUCGGAUAUCUAGCAUAAUCACUCUAAAAAAUACUCAAGUGUUGUAUGUACUCUUGUUCAGUGGCUGAGAACACCAGUACAUUCCAGUUGCUGUUAAAGGCUUCCCAUCUUUCAUUAGUAUGAAAUAGCCUCUUAUAAUUAGCUAACACAUUUUUUGAAAUAUGCCAUCUACAAAGUAAAUUAGUUGCACUUGGAAAUAUCUUUUCAAUGGCAUUCAUCAGAGCUAAUUCCCUGUCUGUCACAAUCACAGCUGGUAACAUAUCAUCUUGCAUAAUGGUUUUCAAUCUUUCUAAUGCCCAAAUAUAGUUAUCUUCUCGUUCGGACUCAAGAUAUGCAAAACCAACAUUAAAUGUCUUUGCAGUCGAUGUGUCACCAACUAUUUCUAACAACGGAAACUUAUACUUAUUGACUUUAUAAGUGCAGUCCAUUAUCAGAACACUUGGAAAAGCUUUUAACAAAUCAAAAGUAAGAGGAUGUGCCUAAAAUAUGUCUUUCACACAAUUUGUAUCAUCAUCACUCCGAUGCCACUCAAUGUAAUUAUGAUCAUGCAAUUUACUCAUAAGCUGUUGCAUUUGUGACCGUCCGCCCAAUUCGCGAACCUUAUAUUUAUACCGAGCAUUAUAAACCGUCUUCAUUGUUGUAACAUUAAAUGUAUCCCUAGUCUUUAAAGUAUGUAAUAUCUCUUUUGGCCGAACAUUAUUUUUAGACAAAUCAACCAAUAUACUAACAUCUUCAUUAGUAAGUCUACCUGCAAAUGAGUGGCCCUCAAGAUAUUGUGCAAAAUGAUGGUUAUGCAAUCCACAGAUUACUUUUAACACCCAAUCUUGAUUAUUCACCAACAUUUGACCCUUUAAUAAAAAUGGACAGCCACACUUUUUUGUUCCAAUUGCAUUCGGUCUUUUCUUCUUUUCCAAGUCGCUAUUCUGCUUAGACAUGUUGGUACUUCUUUUCGGAUAUGCACCACUUCUUUCACAAGCAAAAAUUAUCCUUGGUCUCCUUCCAAUCACAUUCACGUCAGAUCUUUUAAUAAUAAUCACAAGUCCAUUUUUUUCCCAACAUCAUGCAUCCAUCGAAUCAACUUGUCUCUACUGGUGAAAACCUAUGAGAAAGACAAUAAUAUAUUAGUUAAUGAUACAAAGAAAAGAGAAUAUAUGUAUGAAAAUUUAUUUAGCAUUUUACCUCUUCAGUAGUGAAUGCAGCAGUGUAAUCCAUAACAUCUACUUUAUUAUCAAGAAUGACAACUAUGGUAGAACUUUCCUCCUUUACAAUCAUUGUAAGAUAUUACAUAAGUUAAUACAAGACACAAAACUAGAAUAAUAGCAAUUUAUUCAGCAAUAAUCAACCAAACAAUUGACAUUUGUUAAGGGAUAUUUGUUGAACAUUGUUCAACGCUCUCCCAGUCAUUAUAAUUCUAAAACAAUAAAUUAAUAGCAAACUUACUUUUUUAUUAUCAUCCCCAUCUAUUUGCAUGAUUAUUUUGCCCUAAAUUUGAAACUCUUAGAUUAGGGUUUAAGAAAGAAAAGAGAGUUUAUAUCGUAUGCCACACAAAGAAUUUAAAACUCUUAAACAAAAAUAUGCCAUAUAAGAAAUUUUUAAGGGGAAAAAAAUAUUUGAUUUUGAGUGGGGGUUUAAUUAGAAAUUGUCUUAUUAUGUAAUUUUAAUAAAGGUUAAAAUUGUAAAAUAACUAAAGGGGUGUUAAGAGGUAUUUAGAGGGGUGCCAAUAGUCCCACUCAAAUAAGUAAUGGUAACAAAAGACUAAUUUGUAAUAUUGAAGUGUACGGGCUUAACUAAAUCCAAAAAUUAGUAAGUUAGCUCAAGAGUUGAGAGUUGUCCAAAUCUUAAAUGUUGAACCCAAGUUCAAUACUCAAUUGAUGCGGGAUGUUAUUCCUAACACCUCCCGUCAUGUGUAGGAUUGGUAAAAAAACUCGGGUCAGUCCCGCCUAGACCUACGGGCUUUAUGCAUGGCCCGCAUGAUGAAGUUACGAAAUUAACCUAAAAAUUUGAAACUUACGAUGAAUGGCCUUGCUUAAAGAUUUUUGCAACUUUAAUUUAUAACGAGUAUGUAUAUAUACACACACAAAAGUUUAGAUUGCAUUUGGAUGACUUUUUUAAUCAAUUCAAACAAUCUGAAAUUUAUCAGAUUAAUCCGAAUUUGAUCUGUAUCUGAUUUUGCCCGCCCCUACUAUUUAUAAGCCCAAGUGACUCUCUUUUACUAAUUAAUAAGGGAAUUUUUUACCUUAUAUCCUUGCUGUGGCGUUAGACUACUGGUCAUUUUGAUUGUUUCCUACCUUCCAUUUACGCCAGUUGUAACAUUGUAUUAUUCACCACUUUAGCCAUUUAAAUGAAAUUUUAUUUUCAUAAAAAAUAAAAUGACACCCUUAAAAUUUAAAAAAUAGAUAUGUAGAUCUCAAAUUUUUAAUAAAGAAUGUCAAUACCCCUUUUAACUACAAGAUUCUUAGUAGAUGAUAACCAAAAACAUUAACUUCAAAUUUUUCACUAAAUGUAAAUCUGAUUGAAAUAGUUUAAUUUUUUUCUAGUAGACUAAUAUGUAUAACUUAUAUAAUUAAUUUCAUUAUUAAUUUUUAAAAUGUUAAUUAAUAUAUUUUUAAUUAUUAUAAAAAUUUUAAAUAAAUCUUGGAUUAGAUAGAUUUUACACUUAAUGUAAUACUUCUGAUUUAUUAAUAAUAUUAAAAUUAUUUUAUAUGAUAUUCAAAAUAAUUUAAACUUUUAUAUAUUUAUUUUAAUAUUAUGUCUAUUUAUUAUAGUUUGGUUUAAUAUAAUACGGGAUUGUAAAAUAUUAAAAUAUUUUUCAAUAUCAAAUUAUUUUAAUAUGUAUAUAUUAUUACAUUUAUUUUAAUAUCACAUUUAUAUUUAUUAUAAAAUAUAAAAUUAAUAAAAUUAAAGAGUAUUGCAGUAAAGUAAAAAAAAAAGUCUUAUUAUCCCAUAUUCACGGUAUGAGUUUCUACAAAAUUAUUUCCUCAAAUGGGUGACCUUUCCUCAUUUUCAAAAGAAAAAAUAAAGUAAGAAUAAGUCCAGGGUUUCAAAAACUUCUAGUCUUAUCCCAAGACCUCCAUUGUCUACCACUAUGACUAAUGGAAAUGACAUUGCAAUUGACAUUGCUUUUCGCAACAUGACAAAUUUUUGGUGGGAUAUGAGAGAAUUGUCAAAAGUUCAUGCCGCGUGAGAGUUUUUGGUGGGAUGUGGGAGAAUUGUCAAAAGAUCACACCACGUGAUAUAACCAUAAUUGCUACAAUUUUUUUUAAUAAUGAUGGGAGUUAUAAAUUAUUUAUAUAAAUUUGUGUAGAAACUAAUGUAACAUAAAAGAAGUAGCUGAAUAACAAUAUUUGGUGCUUUAGGUAAUUUUUAUAUGAGCCUUUCUUUUAUUUAGCGACUUUAGUGCUUAAACAAAUUUGUCCUCGAUCUUAAUUUACUUACCCCAUUUAAGCCUAUGAUGACAUAAACAUAUUCUUUUGUGACGAAAACAUCAAGAGAAGACAUCUCAUGUUUUAUUAUAACACAAAAGAAGUGGUCCAAACGUCUAUUCAUUCUUUUAUUUACUCAAUAUGAAUGGCCAACUUUAAAAAAUGAUAAAAAUCACACCACGCUCAACUGAAAAUUUAUAAUUACAUUUUUUAAUACUCUCUAUACUCUCUAGCCUCUCUCUCCUGCCCCCUUUUUUUUUUAAAAAAUAAACCUUAGUGUAAAAUUAGAAGAAUUUUAGAUAUAACAUUUGACAAUCGCUAAAUAGAAAAGUAGGGGAUUGAAAAUAGAGGAGCUCUGUUAUCAUUGGAAUAUUGAUUAUAGAUCAUAUAAUAACUUGUUGUGGUUCAUUGUAGCACUCUGAGUCAUAUUCUAAAAUUUAUAGGUUUCUUAAGGUUUUUAUUAUUGACAUUAUUGUGUCAAUACUAUUAUAAUUUAUUCAUUUUAUUGUAAUGAUAAUUUGUCUAGUCUUAGGUACUUAUUAUAUUAAAUUAUGUAAAUUAAUUGAGAAUACAUUUAGAGACAAAAGAAACACGUGUAUGUAGGAUUAAUAAUCGCAGAGUUGUAAAUGAAGGUGAUUGCUUCAUUGAGAGGCAUAUUAAAUAAUUAUGGAGAGUUGCACUAUUUCGGAAGCAUAUAUUUAUACUUCCCUAUCAGGAUUUGGGGUAAGCGAAGUGCUUUAUGUGUUGUAGUAAGCAAUGUGGGCAAUAUCGGAGGCGAAAUAUUAAAAGAUCAUAACGCAUAUAUUUGAGCCAUUUAUAUUGAAGACACGUAUUGAAGACACGUAUAGAGGAAAGAGUGCAUAUCCGGCGGUAACUAUUAUCAGGCUUUCCUAAAAUAUUCUCAUGCUUCCUCAACUGUUCUGAACUAUUCUUCAUAGUGGGCAGAUUUACUUAAAUACCCUUCUACCUAACAAAACUUGGUACUUCUAAUUGCACUCGCAGAGAAUCUAUAAAAUUAAAAAAAAAUUCAUCCAUGAAAAGCCUCGUAACAGAAAAACCAUCUUUCAAAAAAUAAUAAUAAAAUAAAAACAGAAAAACCGACUCAUUUAUCUGCCAAUGAACCAAUCGGGACUCAUUUAAAAAAGAUUACAAAGCAAAAGUAAAUGACACAAAUUGCAUAGAUAUCUAGGAGCCGCAUCAAAGGGCAAUGGUGUUAAUUUGUCCGAGUAAUAAUUAAUUUCAAUAUUAAUUUUUAAAAUGGAAAUUAAUUUAUUUAUAUUUAUAAAAUAUUUGUAAUUAUUUUAAAAUUUUAACUAAAUCCUUAGGUUAAAUAGAUUUUACAAUUAAUAUAAUAUUUCUCAUGUAUUAAUAAUAUUAAAAUUAUUUUAUAUGAUAUUGAAAAUAACCUAAAUUUUUAUAUAUUUAUUUGAAUAUUAUGUCUCUAUUUAUUAUAAUUGGGUUUAAUAGAAUACGAGAUUGUAAAAUAUUAAAAUUUUUAGAUAUUGAAAUUAUUUUAAUAUGUAUAUAUUAUUAUAUUUAUUUUAAUAUCCUAUUUAUAUUUAUCAUAAAUUAUUAGAGUUAAUUUUUUUAGUUAAUAAAUUUAAAAACUAUUCUAAUUUUAAAAAAAAGUCUUAUUGUCUAUUAUUCAUGAUAUGAGGUUCUACAAAAUUAUUUCUCCAGACGGAUGUCCUUUUCUUAUUUUCAAAAGGAAAAACAAGUUCAGGGUCUCAGGGGUUUCAAAAAUUCUGGUCCUAUCUACCACUAUGACUAAUGGGAAACAACAUUGUAAUUGACAUUGCUUUUCACAAUAUGACAAAUUAUUGGAGGGAUAUGGGAGAAUUGUCAAACAUUCACACCACGCGAGAGCUUUAGUGUGGGAUAGGGGAGGAUUGUCAAGAGUUCACACCACGAGAAACUAAUGAUAGGCCCAAUUUCAUUGUCAAUUCUUUAUUUAUUUCAUGCAUUAUUGUUUUUCUAAAGGUAUAAAAGCAAAGUAAAAUACUAGGGGCGCUUUUAAGUUACAAUUGAUGUAACUUACAAUUUUUUCAAAAAUAAUGUAAAAAAAUUAAUAGGUGGUGGGACCCACAUAUUUUUUAAGAGACUUAAGUUACGGCAGUUGUAACUUAACAAAAUUUAAAUAUUAGAUAAUAAUACAUAUUAAUAAUAUAUAAUUUGGGUUUGAUUUUUAAAAGAUUAUUUGAGUACCACCUAUCCUUAUGAUAUUAAUGUGACUAUAUCUUAAUAUUAAAUAAUCAAAAUUUGUUUAAUUGUUAUUUGUAUUUCAUACAUUACAUAUUAGAUUUGUUUGAAUUUUAAGUUGUUGCUAAUAAAUAUUUAUGUUGUCAAAGUCAAAUUCAAUAGCUACAAAAGCAGAGAUAAUGGUAUUGUAUAUAGUUUUUAAGAAUGCAAGGAUAAGCUGGAUAAUUGACAUAAAUUCUAAUGAUUAAAACAGCAACUAUCCCUUAAGUUAUAAUGUCAAUUUCUUUAAUUAGAUUUUUUUUUUUAUGUGAUAUAACCACAAUUGCUACAAAUUUUUUUUUUUAUAAUAAUAAUGGGAGUUAUAAAUUAUUUAUAUAAAAUUUGGGUUGAAACUAAUGUAACCUAAAAGUGGUUGCUGAAUAACAAUAUUUGAAACUUUAGGUAAUUUUCAUGAGUCCUUUUUAUAUUCAGCAACUUGAAUUGGGGGAAAUCCGACUUGAAUUGGCGGUUGAUUUUCGUGAUGUGGCUUUUGGUUUAUGGCGACCUUACAGUGGCAGAAGACUGGAUUUACGGUUGCCGACUGCUAGGGAUUAUGGUGGGGGUGUAAAUUGACGGAAAAAGAAGGUGUUUUGGUGGCGGCGCGUGUAGGAAGCACUCGUGGGUUGUCGUUUCGUGUGGUGGCGGGCGGCGAUCAAGGGCUGAAGUUGGUCGGUUUUUGGUCAACGGAGGCCGGCGAGUUUGUUGGUGGAGGUGGCUGGUGGAGAAAGUGACUGAAUGGUGGUGGGUUGCUUGGUGGAGCCGCGGGUUUGGGUUGGUGAUUUGUGGCUGUUCAAGCGGCGGUUGAGGCAGCGAUGACUGAGGCUUGGUCGACGGUGGCUAGUGAGGUUUGUGGUGGUGUUGGCUGACUGAUCGGCGGUGGUGGGCGGCCGUGGAGGUUGAUGUGACGGGUAGGGUUUUCAAAUUUGUAAAUUUUUUUUUUUGAUGGAUUUGGUUUGGAUGGGUAUCGUGUAUCUAGGAAAGAUGUGCGAUUCGCACAGAAUCCCUUUGACACCAAUUGAUGGAGCGAGGCGUAGCGGAAGCGGAAUUGAUAGGGUAAGAAACAUUAGAUAUUGUUCUAGUACUAGACCAAGCCAACGCAAUUAGCUUACGCUCUAAUCGAAGCGUGAUUAGAUAUCGUUCUAAUCCAAAUAACUCAAUACGAUUUUUAAUAAUGCGUAAUACGAGAUUAAAUGACACUCUAAUCCAAACGACUCUACAAGAGAGAUUUUGAUAAAUAAUCAUAGAGGGGUUUUAUUUAAUAAUUGAACCUGAAGUUAAUGAAAAUAAUGACAAGACAUCUUUAUUUUUUUUUAUUACAGACAUCUUUAUUUAUAAUAAAAGAAACCCGCUUUCCUAAGUUAACCUAAAAAGAAAAUUUAAAUCAUAAUUAUAAUGGAAAUAAAAGAUUAAGAUACAUAUCAUAAUUGACUCAAACUAAAAUAGAAAAUCAUAAAAUAAUAAAUAUUCUAAAAUUAUAAAUUAUCUAAAAUAACGUUAAUUAACUUCCUAAAUCACUUCUUUGGUGUAAACCAUUUUGCAUCCAAACUCGCUUUAAAGGUUUGAACUAACGUUACCAACAACAAUGUAUCAAAUUCCAAUCUAACUUAAGAUCUUGAUGCAUCUAUCGAUGUCCUUGUUUGAUUAGACAAUAAUGAGUCUAUCUCAUCACUUGUUACCUCUUUCUUGAAAGCUACAUCUGUUGAAGUGAUAGCCUCACUUAGAGUUUAAAGAUCUUCUUCCCUGUUAAAUAAAAUGGGCAUUUGAGUAAAAAGCUUUAUCUCUAUCUCCUUCUAUCAAAUAACGACAACUAUCCAAAGGGAAAAAAAAAAUUAGAAAAGUCCAUGGGUCACAAUAAUUUAUGGUCUGUCUCCGGACCCCAUUAUCUGCCACUAUCAAUGAUGAAAAUGAAAAUAAAUGGCAUCUUCCCUAAAUGGCAAAAGAUUUUUGGGGGAUAUAGGGGAAUUGUCAAAAGUUCAUACAACGCGAAAUAAGUGUUACAUCCAAUUUUAUUUCGUCAUAUAAUGAUAAUAUUAAAUAAUGACAACCAUCCAAAAGUAUGAUGGGUCUUCCAAAAUUUUGAAAAUGUCGUCAACAUUUAAUCUUCAAUGCUAAAGAAGAUGAAACGCCCAAAAAUGACACGCAGGACUCACUCAAAAACUAAAUGGCCCUCACCACAUGUAACAAACUUUGACCUUAUGUCCCUGCUGAGGCGUUAGACUGUUGGUCAUUUUGAUUGCUUUUUACCAUCCAUUUACGCCAUUGUAGAAUUGAACUAUUCACCAGUCUAGCUGUUUAAAUGAAAUUGUUAUUUUUUUUCCAAAAAUAAAAUGACACCCUUAAAAUUUUAGAAAAUAGUCAUGUAGACCCCAAAAUUUUAUUAAAGAACACUAAUAUCCUUUUUUACUAUAGUACUCUUAGUAGAUGGUAACAAAAAAAAAAUGAUUGCAAAAUAUUUUAGUAAAUGAAAAUAUGAUUUAAAUAGUUUAAAUUUUCUAGUAGACUAGUAUGUAUAAUUUAAAUAAUUAAUUUUUAAAAUGUAAUUUAAUAUAUUUAUUAUAAAAUUUUUAAACAAAUCCUUGGGUUAAAUAGAUUUUAUAAUUUAUAUAAUAUUUCUCAUGUUUUUAUGUUAUAGAAAUAUUAAAAUUAUUUGAUAUGAUAUUGAAAAUAAUUAAACAUUUUAUAUAUUUAUUUGAAUAUUAUGUCUCUAUUUAUUAUAAUUUGGUUUAAUAGAAUACGAGAUUGUAAAAUAUUAAAAUAUUUUUAGGUAUUGAAAUUAUUUUAAUAUAUAUAUACAUAUUAUUAUAUUUAUUUUAAUAUCCUACUUAUAUUUAUUAUAAAAUAUUAAAAUUAAUUUUUUUAGUUAAUAAAUUUAAAAAAUAUUAUAAUUAUAAAAAGAGUCUUAUUGUCUGCUAUUCACGAUAUGAGAUUCUACAAAAUUAUUUUGAAAAUGAAAAAUAAGUCCAGGGGUUUCAACAAAUUCUAGUCCUAUCUGCCACUAUGACUAAUGGAAACGACAUUGCAAUUGACAUUGGUUUUCAUAAUAUGACAAAUUUUUGGAGGGAUAUGGGAGAAUCGUCAAAUGUUCACACUACGCGGGAUUUUUGGAUGGGAUCAGGGAGGAUUGUCAACAGUUCACACCACGAGAAACCAAUGAUAGCCCUAAUUUCGCUGUUAGUUCUUUGUUUAUUUAUUUUAUUUAUUUCAUACAUUGUUGUCUUGUUGGCAUUGUUUUGUAAAGAUAUAAAAGUAAAGUAAACUAUUAGGGUGCUGCUAAGUUAAGCUGUUGUAACUUGCAGUCCCUUAAAAAAUAAUGUAAAAAAUCCACAUUUGUUUGAAGAGGCUGUAAGUUAUAGUAGUUGUGACUUAGCAAAAUCCAAAUAUUAGACAAUAACGCACAUUAACAAUGCAUAUAAUUUGGGUUUGAUUUUUAAAAAAAUUAUUUGAGUAUUAGCUAUCCUUAAGAUAUUAAUGUGAAUAUAAUUUAAUAUUUAAUAAUCAAAAUCUGUUUAAUCAUAAUAUAUAUUUCAUACAUUGCAUGUUUAAUCAAAAUCUGAUUGCUUUUUACCUUCCAUUUACGCCCACUGUAGCAUUGUACUAUUCACCAUUUUAGAUGUUUAAAUGAAAUUUUUAUUUUUUUUCCAAAAAUAAAAUGACACCCUUAAAAUUUUAGAAAAUAGCCAUGUAGACCCCAAAAUUUUAAUAAAGAACACUAAUAUCCUUUUUAACUACAGCACUCUUAGUAGAUGGUAACCAAAAAAAAAAAAUUGAUUGCAAAAUUUUUUAGUAAAUGUAAAUAUGAUUUAAAUAGUUUAAAUUUUCUAGUAGACUAGUAUGUAUAAUUUAAAUAAUUAAUUUUUAAAAUGUAAUUUAAUAUAUUUAUUUUAAUAUUAUAUUUAUUAUAAAAUUUUUAAACAAAUCAUUGGGUUAAAUAGAUUUUAUAAUUUAUAUAAUAUUUCUCAUGUUUUAAUAAUAUUAAAAUUAUUUUAUAUGAUAUUAAAAAUAAUUAAAAAUUUUAUAUAUUUAUUUGAAUAUUAUGUCUCUUUUUAUUAUAAUUUGGUUUAAUAGAAUACGAGAUUGUAAAAUAUUAAAAUAUUUUUAGGUAUUGAAAUUAUUUUAAUAUAUAUAUAUAUAUAUAUAUAUAUAUUAUAUUUAUUUUUAUAUCCUACUUAUAUUUAUUAUAAAAUAUUAAAAUUAAUUUUUUUAGUUAAUAAAUUUAAAAAUAUUAUAAUUAAAAAAAGAGUCUGAUUGUCUGUUAUUCACGAUAUGAGGUUCUACAAAAUUAUUUUGAAAAGGAAAAAUAAGUCCAGGGGUUUCAACAAAUUCUAGUGCUAUCUGCCACUAUGACUAAUAGAAACGACAUUGCAAUUGACAUUGCUUUUCUUAAUAUGACAAAUUUUUUUAGGGAUAUGGGAGAAUCGACAAAUGUUCACACUACGCGGGAGUUUUAGAUGGGAUCAGGGAGGAUUGUCAACAGUUCACACCACGAGAAACCAAUGAUAGCCCUAAUUUCGCUGUCAGUUCUUUGUUUAUUUAUUUUCAUUAUUUCAUACAUUGUUGUCUUGUUGGCAUUGUUUUGUAAAGAUAUAAAAGUAAAGUAAACUAUUAGGGUGCUGCUAAGUUAAGUUGUUGUAACUUACAAUCCCUUAAAAAAUAAUGUAAAAAAUCCACAUUUGUUUGAAGUGGCUGUAAGUUAUAGUAGUUGUGACUUAACAAAAUCCAAAUAUUAGACAAUAACGCACAUUAACAAUGCAUAUAAUUUGGGUUUGAUUUAAAAAAAAAAAAUUUUGAGUAUUACCUAUCCUUAAGAUAUUAAUGUAAAUAUAAUUUAAUAUUAAAUAAUCAAAAUCUGUUUAAUCAUAAUAUAUAUUUCAUACAUUGCAUGUUUCAUCAAAAUUUGAUUGCUUUUUACCUUCUAUUUACGCCCACUGUAGCAUUGUACUAUUCACCAUUUUAGAUGUUUAAAUGAAAUUUUUAUUUUUUUCCAAAAAUAAAAUGACACCCUUACAAUUUUAGAAAAUAGUCAUGUAGACCCCAAAAUUUUAAUAAAGAACACCAAUACCCUUUUUGACUAUAGUACUCUUAUGGUAGCCACAAAAAAAAAUUGACUUCAAAAUUUUUUAGUAAAUGUAAAUACGAUUUAAAUAGUUUAAAUUUUCUAGUAGACUCGUAUGUAUAAUUUAAAUAAUUAAUUUUUAAAAUGUAACUUAAUAUAUUUAUUUUAAUAAUAUAUUUAUUAUAAAAAUUUUAAACAAAUCCUUGGGUUAAAUAUUUUUAUAAUUAAUAUAAUAUUUCUCAUGUUUUAAUAAUAUUAAAGUUAUUUUAUAUGAUAUUGAAAAUAAUUUAAAGCUUUAUAUAUUUAUUUGAAUAUUAUGUCUCUAUUUAUUAUAAUUUGGUUUAAUAUAAUACGAGAUUGUAAAAUAUUAAAAUAUUUUUUGGUAUUGAAAUUAUUUUAAUAUAUAUAUAUAUAUUAUAUUUAUUUUAAUAUCCUACUUAUAUUAUUAUAAAAUAUUAAAAUUAAUUUUUUUAGUUAAAAAUUUAAAAAAAUAUUACAGUUAAAAAAAAAGAGUCUCAUUGUCCGUUAUUCACGAUAUGAGAUUCUAUAAAAUUAUUUUCAAAAGGAAAAAUAUGUCCAGGAGUUUCAACAAAUUCUAGUCCUAUCUGCCACUAUGACUAAUGGAGACGACAUUGAAUUGACAUUGCUUUUCGCAAUAUGACAAAUUUUUGGAGGGAUAUGGGAGAAUCAUCAAGCGUUCACACCACGCGAGAGCUUUAGGUGUGAUAUGGGAGAAUUGUUAAGAGUUCACACCACGAGAAAUUAAUGAUAGGCCUAAUUUCGUUGUCAGAUCUUUAUUUAUUUUUUAUUUAUUUCAUACACUAUUGUCUUGUUGGUAUUGUUUUGUAAAGAUAUAAAAGUACAAGUAAAAUAUUAGGGGAAGUAAAGUAAAAUAUUGGAGGUGCUACUAAGUUACAGCUGCUGUAACUUACAGUUCCUUAAAAAAUAAUGUAAAAAAUUUAACACGUGGUGGGACCCACAUUAUGUUUGAAGAGGUCGUAAGUUAUAGCAGUUGUAAAUUAGUAAAAUCCAAAUAUUAGACAAUAAUACAUAAUAACAAUGCAUAUAAUUUGAGUUUGAUUUUUAAAAAAAUUAUAUGAGUAUUACCUAUCCUUAAGAUAUUAAUGAGAAUAUAUUUUAAUAUUAAAUAAUCAAAAUCUGUUUAAUCAUAAUAUGUAAUUCAUACAUUGCAUGUUAGAUUUGUUUGGAUUUUAAGUUGUUGCUAAUAAAUAUUUAUGUUGUGAAAGUCGAAUUCAAUAGCUACAAAAGCAGAGAUAAUGGUAUUUUAUGUAGUUUUUAAGAAUACAAGGAUAAGUAGGGGUGGGCAAAUCGGGUUUCGAUUCGGGUUGUUCGGGUUUCGGAUUGGGUUUCAACCCGUUCGGGUUGGAGAAUUGAACCCAAUCGGGUUGAAAGCACCAACCCGAACCAAACCGAACCGAAUUUAAUUCGGUUCGGUUCGGUUUGGGUUGGCAAUUCGGAUCGGAUUGGGUUGAUAAUUCGGGUUAAAAUUUCGGUUCGGGUUAAUUCGGGUUAGAAUGGGUUGGAACAAUUUAAUCUAAAAAUUCUAACAACAACCACUUAAAAUCUAAAAAUUUAAAUUUCAAACAUUCUUAACAACAAAUAUCAAUUACAAAUCAUCCUUAAUAACAUUUCAACAAUUUAAAAAUCUCAAUUCCAAACAUUCCAAACAUCCUUAAGGAACGAUUUAAUCUAAAAAUUAUAACAACCUCUUAAAAUCCAAAAAUCUUAAUUCCAAAUAUCCUUAAUAACAAAUAUCAUCUACAAAUCAUCUUUAAUAACAUUUCAAUAAUUUAAAACUCUCAAUUCCAAACAUCCUUAAUAACAAAUAUCAACUACAAAUCAUCUUUAAUAACAUUUCAAUAAUUUAAAACUCUCAAUUCCAAAUAUUCCAAACAUCCUUAAGGAACAAUUUAAUUCAAAAAUUAUAACAACCACUUAAAAUCUAAAAAUCUCAAUUCCAAACAUCCUUAAUAUAUAUAUAUAUAUAUUUUUUUUUUUAAUUUAAAAGCUGAAUCUUAAAAAAAAAAAAAAGCUUCAACCCGAACGGGUUGAAACUUUGAAUCCGUUCGGGUUUCACCGGUUAACCCAAACCGAACCGAACGCCCACCCUAAGGAUAAGACCAUAACGCAUGAGAUAAUGGUAUUUUAUAUUAAAAGACCAUAACACAUGUAUUUGAGCCAUUUAUAUUGAGGACACAUAUAGAGCGAAGAGUGCAGAUCCGGCCGUAACUAUUGUGAAGCUUCCCUCAAGUAUUCCCAUGCACACAACCCUUAUCUGUUCAAGUUUUCUGAUUCAAUAUAAUCAAUUUCCGAGCAGUACUGACGACAGCUUCUCUGUAAAGCUCUUCAACCACAAGCAUUUCUACAAGGCAAAAGACUAGGACGUGUCGGAAUGAAUAUCAAUAAGGGAAUGUCUUAUGAAUUCAGUUUAUAUCCUAAUAUAAGACAAUCAGUAAAUAUUGGAUGCAAUCUUAGGCUAACAUUUGGUUGAUCAUUAUACAAAAAAAAAGGUACAAAAAUACAAAACAGAGCUGAUUGAUGGCCUCUCACAGUCAGUUAUAUGACAAAGUAGCCAUCACUACUUGAACUUGGCUGGAGGUCUCAUUAGCAGUAUACCUCAGAAAUUAAUACAGAGACUUUAAAAUGCAAACUUAUGGAGCAAUUUAAGCACUGAAACUAAUAACAGUACGGUAUUAGCAAUUGACCUCUGCUUUUUGCUUGGACAAAGGUUCUCAUCACAAGGGACUCAUUAGUUGCCCUUGCCUCACACUUUUGGAUGCUAAGGGGAAAAAGGAAGCUUGAAUUAGUCAAUCUCAUGUCUAAUGGCAUUCACAGAGAACCUAUAAAACCAAAUAAAUAAAUAAAGUUUUCAUCCAUGAAAAGCUUAGUAAUGGAAAAACCGACUCUUUUAUCUGCCACUGACGAAAAAAAAACUGAAGUAUUAAAUAGAUAAUGAAUUUAAUUUUUUUCUUGGAAAAACUAAUAAUAAAUUAACAAUUAGAUAGUACUAUUAAUUAGAGAUCUUUAAUAUUAAGGUUAUCAAAUAUAGAAUGUGUAUAAAAAUUCUUAAUUAUAAGAUAAUUACUAACUAAAAAGAGGCCUAAAAAAGAAGAUUUGCUAUUAUAAGUAAUACCAAAAAUAAAAAGGGAGACUUCCUAAUUGUUUAAUUGUUAAAAAAGAGGAUUUGUUAUUAUAGGCCUAAUUUGCCUAUGCUUAAAACCGUUCCCGGAUGUAAAAAAAUAAAAAUUAUUGUUAAAUUCCUGACUAAUAAGGUCAUUGAAAGUAUUCAAAGGACCUGAACUAUACCACGUUGCAAGUGAGCUCGUAUUUUUAUCCCUUGAUCUGCCAUCGGUAUUUCUCUUCCACUCACUAUACCAUCCUUUUCAAUCGAUUUUUAUUGAUCAUAAGAGACCAUGUGGCCCACCUUUUUUUUAUUUUGGAUCCAUAACCCAAUGCUGGCCCAAGUUAAACAGCAAAUCAUCAAACGCACUUCAAUGACUUUGAUUUUGAUUUUUUUUUUCAAAAGAAGUAAAAAAAUCCAUGGGUCGCAAUAACUGCUGGGAAAUUUAUAAAAAUAGUCAUAAAAUAUUUGUAUUUUUUAACUUUAAUCCCUUAAAGUUUUUUCUAUCAUAACUAGCCAAAUACCCUACUUUUGGACUAGAUUACCCUCAUCACUUUUAUCAAAUUUAUAAAGACAUGCCACUUUUUCAAUUCCAGCACAACUAAAUACGGUUCUUCUUCAAUAACUUAACAAACAUUUAUCACUCUCAACAAACUUCAUCACUCUCUAUAAAUCAAUUACAUAAUUGAAUAUAAUCAUCAAUGGGAGAGCUUCUUAAAAUUAGUUUAUGCUUUUACACAAUGUAAAUCUUUAAUCUAUUGAUUUUAUCAACUAAAUUUGAAAUUAAAGUGGGUUUUGUUACAAAUAUUGUUAUUUUUCAUUCAUAAAACAAUGUGAUUUGUUAAAGUACUUAGUUUGAGUUGAGAAAUGAAGAAAAAUCAUUGAAAAUAUAGAAAAAUCGGGCAAAAAACGAAGUUCAGAACAAGUGAGAUAGGCAAGUGGGACAGGUGCAUGUCUCACAUAAACGCACUGCAUUUAUGUGCGACAGGCACCUGUCCCACUGCUUGUCGCACAUAAACCCAUAAAUUUUAUAGAGUACAUGAUUUUGGAUUUGAUUUGUCUCGUCAUAAGCUUCGAAACAGUAUAUUAUACGCCUAAAACGAACAUAUGUAGCUCAAGUUAUAGCUUUUGCAAUAUAUAUGAAAUUUAGUGAGACAGGCACCUGUCCCACUUGCCUGUCUCACUAAAUUUCAUAUAUGUUUCAAAAAUCAUAACUUGAGCUAUAUAUGUCCGUUUUAGACGUAUAAUAUAUCAUUUCAAAGUUUAUGAUGAGACAAAUCAAAUUCAAAAUUAUGUACUCUAUAAAAUUUGUGGGUUUACGUGCGAUAGGCAAUGGGACAGGUAAAAUGAAUAAACUCUGAGCCUCUCUCUAUAACACUAUAUAGAACCCUAAGCCUAAGUCUCACAUUCGCAACCGCCCCACAUAUCAGAACCACAGCGAACUGCCUCCGACCCUACGGACCCAAAAAAAUUAUUGUAUUCCUGCUCUUUCACUUCAAUAAUUUUUUGUAUUAUUCCAUAUCUUUCACUUUAAUAACCCAAAAGCUUUCCUCUGUUUCAACCCAAAAGCUCAAAUUCCUUUUUUCAAUCGAAAUAAAACGUAGCCACAAAACCCUAAUUCACCACACCAAUUUAUCUCUGCCCGGUAUUCAUUUAAACCCUACCUCGCGGUUCAAUGUCAUUCAAUACGAUUGCAGAUGCCGUUUCAACUUGACAUUUAGUUAGCGCCAUCCCGUUCUCUAUGGUAAGCCUUAACCCUAACAACUAAUCGACUGUGGUAGCACGUUGCUUGUUAGGAGUGGGGAUACAUUAUUUGAAUAUAUGAAUUGGGUGAUGUUAGUGAUUCAUUCCCCUAUUUUUCGUGAAUUGAGAUUUGUGUAUAAUGCUAGUAAGAUUGCUAAAAAUUUCAUAUUUUGUAUUGUUCCAGUUGAAUUUCUUGCUUGUGGAAGAUAAAACAAAAGUUCAAUUUCAUGUUGAUUUAAUUCUUCUUUUUUUUUUCUUCUUUAUAGUCACGCUCUGGCUUUGGUGCUAUGCUUAGUGCAGUUUAUGGUUUCAAGAUUAAGUCACGUUUAUUUGAUGGCAUCGAUUCCAUCAUUAAGAAGCUCUUCUUAUUUUAUCUCAGUUUCAAUUUUCUUUUAUUAUCUGCCUCUACCUGAAAAUGGACGUGUUUUACUAGUAAGCAUAGACUUUGUUUAUUUAAUUGAUAUUAUAAUUUUAUGUAUAAGAAUGGAGGUUUAUUUUGAAAAAAAAAAAGAAAUAAAAAAAUAGACUCUGUUGAAGCUAAUUAGUACUGAAUUUUUUUUGGUGGUGCGACCAGAGGUGGAAACAGGGUAUGAAAAUGUGUUACUGGUGAGGUUGCUGCUUAAGAUGAGAAUGGCUAAAAAUCUGUCAUACGUUCAAAUUUUGUUUGUGUUUGGAAGAAUGGUGUUGACUGUAUAUUCGUUUGGAAGAAUGGUGUUGAUUGUAUAUUCAUUUGCUUAGCCUUUUGACAGAUGGAUUUGAAACUGACGACAAAUGUGAUUCAAUUUACAAGGUUUUCGAGGGGCUCACAGUGGAAGGGAUAUUGAAGAACUGGUCUAAGAUAAAGCCUAUGAUUGUGAAAGAUUGGAGUGAGAAUAUAGAUGCUCGUUUAAAUCUUUUUGGCAAGGUCAGAGAUGAAUGGAUAGAUAAGGAUUUAUUUGACUACUUCGUCUGGUGCUAAUAGGUAUUUUAGGCAAGCUUUUUGAGAUAACACUGAGCAAGUUAUACUACUAGUUUGCACAUGAUGAUCAAAACUCUCGAAAAGUAAAAUAAAAUAAAUUAUUAACUUUUACUUUCAUCUUUUGCAUAGCAAUCAAUGUGGUGCUUGUUCUGUGACAACUUUGAUAGUCUACUUAAUUAUUGGUUAGCAUUUGGACCAAAAAAGUUCUUAUGAUUUACAUGUUUUGUAGAAAUGCAUGAACCUUAAAUGUGCUGAUCAGGGAGUUUAAUUAUUGCACCUUGAAAUUCAUUUAUUGUUAACUAAUUGGCUUUCCUUUGCAUAAAGACGCUUAUAAGGCUUGAGUGGACGUCUUUAUGGGCAUAUUAUUUGUAUUUCUAUAUGCAUGCCUUUAUCAUUAAUUUAUGUGCUGCUUGUAUUUCUUUAUGCAUGCCUUUAUCAUUUAAUGGCCAGCUCCCUCUCCUCUUUUGUAAUUUGAAUGGUAGUAUGGGCCUCCAUUUUACAAAUCUUUAACAUUUUUUGCUGUAAAUUAAUUUUUCUUUCAAAUAUUUUGGAGGUCAUUGGAAUUCCUGUAGGUCUAUUUACCAGAUUUUAGUACGUUUAAGGUUUUAAUUUUGCUUAGACUUUAAUUUCUCUGAAAGAUUGUAGUAUUGAUCCUCAAAGAAAGAUCAUGCUACUUCAAAUUAUUUUGAAGUGUUGCUAGUUAUAGCCUUACAUAUCAAAUUCCAUUUGUCUGGAAAUUUAUUGAUAGUUGUUACAGCAGCAUAUUUUAUGACUCUACUUCUUAGUUAUGUAAGUUCAUUAUGUUUAGGUCAGAGGCAGUCAGCUGUGGGGAAUCGAUAUAUACACAGAUGACUUUGAUCUUGUUGCUGGUACGUGGUUCUAUGAAUAAUUGUUCACAAUAAUUGUGUUUGCCUCACUGUUUUUGUUUUAUGAGGUCUAUAAUUGAUCUUGAGAUAUUACUUUCUAGUUCUCAUGCAAGCAAGUUACUACCUUCCCACUGCAUCUCCUCCUUUAUCUGCUAUUCAAGAGUUGCGUGCCAUAAUCUGGUGUUACCUCUGCAAGAUUGUGAAUGAAUAUGAUGCCUCUAAAUUUAUUUUAUACAUAAUGCUGAUGCUGAAUAAUAUAUUGUAGCUCCUGUCAUAUUCUACUUUGACUUUUUAUAUUCUGUUUCAUAUAAAAAUCUUAUUCAACUUUAGUUGUUCAUGAGCAAAUGUCACAUGUAUAAGCCCAAAUGAUGCUUAAAGGUAGCGCGGCUACCUUUAGUUUGAGCCUACAAUGGAUGAAAAAGAAAUUGAAACUGAUAUUUUGCUGUUUUUCUGAUUUUUCAAAGUAUUUUAGAUCCUGACUUUUGUUUGGACUUGAUGGUUAUAGAUUGUGUCUAGAUUUGUUAAGUUGUUUCCAACACCUCGUGCCAAAUGAAAGCACAAUCUUUCUGAUUCAGAUGUCUUGUUAAUUAUGCUUCAUUUUUUUCGUUAAAGAAUGGAUGGUUGCAUGGAUUGAUGGAGUUGGAGUUCAACCAAUAAUUCUAAUUUUUUGGACUUAAAAUGCCUUUUUCUUCUGUAUAAAAACUUUAGUAAGUGCUAUUGAGUUGACAGAAGUUGAAUACUUACAGGUUGUUUCACACAUUUUAAUCGUUUUACAUAUAUGAAUUUCUGUUUUUUGAAUUGCAGAAAGGAGGUGGAACUAUUGAUUUGGAGCCUUAUCUUACUCAAUCAUCGACAGCGGAGCCUACCCUCGCUCCCAUGGCAGUGGAACGGACAACGACUACUAGGGCUGCAACAUCAGUUGGUUUGGGUCUGUUUUGAGUUUAUUGUCAUUUAUUUGGCAAUGUUUUGAUAGCGAAUUUUGAUAUGUCAAUAUAAUGUGUAAUUGUUUUGGGUUGAGCUGGUAAUUAUGCUGGAUUAGAUUGGUUUGGUUUUGGUGCUUCUCUGACGGAACACUGCUUUUUUUAGAAAUUUUGAAUGUAAUAUGAGACUACAUUUAGUUUAAUUGAACACUGCAUCUAGUCUAAUUACUAGACGUGUGGCAUUUGGUUUGGUUUAUCCGAUAUUCUCCAGAAUUUCACUUGCAUCUGGUUUUGUUGCAUAUGUUUGCUUGCAUUUGAUGGCAGUAGCAGACUGUUUGGUUUUGUGAGAUUUGAUGGCAGUUUGGUCUGUUCUUGGUGUUGAUUUAAGAUUGUUCCUGUUGUGCUGAUGUUAAUUGCAGGUGCUUGAAUCAGCUAGGGUUGCUGGUUUAUUCAGAUGGUUGACUCAGGCGUUGUUACUGGUUAAUUCAGGUGGCUGACUCAAGUUGUUCAUUUAAUGUUAGGAAGCAAAUUAAGAAUUAAUGAAGUAUUCAUUUAACUAUAAUUUUUGUAGUUAUAUUAUUUCAUAACUGAAUUAUAAUCUAUGAUACUUUUGAACAAAUUAGAGAAUUUUUAAAUAUGAAUUAAAUAUGUGUGUGUAUGUACAUUUUGCUAUUUAUAUAAUAAUUUAAAGAAUAUAUUUCAAUUCCCACAAAAAUAAUGGCUCCAAUUUCAAUAAUUCCCGCCAAAUAAUUAAAUUUUUUUAAUUUACCACCAAAGUAUAUCUUAAAGAAAUUUUAGUUAUUCUUGCUAGAUUUAACAAAAAUAAUUUGUAGGAUUAAAUUUAAUUAAAAUAAUUAAAUAAUUUUAUUAUUCCAAUUAAAAAUGUCAUGUUUAUACGACAGACAAUAGUCAUGAAUGGGAAGUAUUCGUUACAUGUUUUUCCUUGGGAUUUCAGGCAAAUGAAAAAAAGAUUGAGAAUGAUUUCAAGAGGACAGGUGGAUGAUAAGUAUUCAUUUUUGUAUAUUUGGCUAAUGUCCUCAUUAGUGGAUUUUUAUGGUAUUGAUCUUUUUUUUUUUUUAAUUUUCAAUUAGUUGCAGCCCUAGAGGAAGAGCAGGCUGAUCAAAUUGAUUUGUCUUGUUUUUGGGGCAAUCUACGACACGAUGACCGUGAUAAUGCUCGUGACUGCUGGAAACUUUCUGAUGUAAAUAACUUUAGAGUUCGUAGCAAGCAUUUUUGUUAUGACAAAACAAAGGUUCCCCCAUAUUUUGUUUAUUUGUUAUUUAUGGUACUUAUUUAUGGUAUUUAUAUAUCCUGCAUAGGCUAGGUAGACAGGUUAUGAUGUAGUUUGGUUGGCUCUUCUUGUGCUUUGUGCAAUUUGUAACUGCAGAUACCUGCGGGAAAACAUUUAAUGGAUCUUGUUGCUGUUGAUUGGUUCAAAGACACAAAGAGAAUGGACCAUGUAACUAGGCAUCAAAGCUGUGCUGCACAAGUAACUAUUCUUCUCUUUUUUAUUUUUCCUUUUCCAUUGACGGAUUAGAAGAAAAUACUGCCUGUGAGAUACUGUAAUGUAAAUAACUUCUCAUGGUUCAUUGAAUCUAUAACACACUGACCCUCUUCUAAAAAAUGUAGGUUGCUUCUGAAAAAGGGCUUUUCUCACUGAUCUUUAAUCUUCAAGUAAGUUUGUUUCAUUUCAGAAGGUAUUAAGUUUCAAACUUAUUGUAUUGGGAGGUUGUAUAGUUGUAACCUAAGCAUCUGCAGGUUCCUGGUUCAACACAUUAUAGUAUGGUAUUUUAUUUUGUCACAAGGCAAUUGGCUAUGGGAUCACUUUUGCAACGGUUUGUUGAUGGCGAUGAUGAGUUUCGCAAUAGUAGGUUGAAACUUAUUCCAUCUGUUCCUAAGGUAUCCAUCUUGGCCUUCAUGUAUUAGGACUAUAUUAAUGUAUACUUACCCUUUACUGCAUGGUACACUUCAAUUUGUCCAAAGAAGGCAUGCAUUUAGGUGAAAAUGUAUUGAUGGGUUGUACCUUCAAACUUCAUGUCCUUUUUACCCUCUUGAAUUUGUUUUGCACUUGUUCUUGAUUUUAAGCACUGAAUCAUGCAGGGGUCAUGGAUCGUGCGUCAGAGUGUUGGAAGCACCCCUUGUUCGUUAGGGAAAGCGGUUGAUUGUAACUAUAUUCGCAGUCCCAAGUACUUAGAAGUAAAUGCUCUUGGAAUUUCUAUAGUACAUGAGAUGUUCAUCUUUCAAAUAGCAUCCGAUACCAUUAACAUGGUUUAACAUUGUUCAUCUUUCUGUAGAUUGAUGUUGACAUUGGUUCUUCUACCGUUGCUAAUGGAGUUUUGGGCCUUGUAAUUGCUGUAAUUACGACAUUGGUGGUUGACAUGGCUUUCCUUGUACAGGUAUGUAUGAUUGUUUUUUUCCCCCACUUCUAAAUGGACACAAGGGAAAAGACAUGAUUUUGAGAUAUUGCACUGCAAUUUGCAUUUUUGCAUACUUGAAUGUUCUCAGAAUGGUAUAAUGCUUCGUGUGUGUCUUCUUUAUCUUGCUCUUCUGUAUGCAGGCAAAUACUGCAGAUGAAUUACCGGAGCGGCUGAUUGGUGCUGUAGGUGUUUCUCAUAUAGAACUCAAGUCUGCUGUUGUCCCAAAGUUGGAACCAGAGAUAUCAUGACUGUGGUUUCAUUUCACCUCAACUGUGUUUUUUUUUUAAUUAAAAAAAAUCAUUUGUUUUAGGUAUAUACAUACAUGUAUUUUGAUUCGAUUUUCAUUGUAAUUUCUCAUUUACUUCGAAUGAAAGUCAUUGGUGUUUUCGAAUGGGGAUUUUGCAUUAAAAAAUGAACAAUAGUGAAUAGGAAAUUUCCUGAUUCUUUAGUUACUAUUUUUGGUACGAGUGUAAUUAGUAGUAAAGUUGGUUUCUACUCGCAAACAAGUAAACUGCUCGAUUCCCGAGUGGUAUCAACCAGUUUCCAACUUUUUAAUAUACACUAAUUGUUCUUGUUUAAGAGAUACUACUAUUAAAACUCAACAGCUAACAAAAUUACUCAAAAAAGAUGAUUUUUCUUAUGAUGCUGUGAAGAAAAUUACGGGUUUACUUCUCUCCACGAGAUCUAUAACAUGGUUUUGACUUCACGAAAUUCUUUUAAUUUAAAGCAUGCUGGUGUGAGAAGGUCAGUUUGACUGAUUGAUUCUUCAAAAAUAUUCUUAUUCUGAUAUUGUCACAAAUGUUAUGCUGUUUCGGCUAAUGAUCUCCUAUUAGGAGAGGUUAGAAAUCAAAUGCUUAAAAGACCGAUUGAACGAAUAAUACAGAAAAUUUAAGCAGAAUCUAAUCGAAUAUUGCAUGAAACAUGAAACAUCAAUUCAAGUCCUUUCUUAAACGGAGAAUGCAUCAAACAAAAUCUAAAGUGUCUUGCACGUCUGUAGCAUGAGCAAAAAAUUGUAAAUAUGUAGAACCAAAUUAUUCAAGUACAGAAGAACGAGCAAGCUGAAUCAUGUAUUAGAGAUUGGCCUGGUUCGGGAUAGCUUCUUCACUAUACCUGAAUAAUUUGCUAAAUAGCACCAAAACUUAAUUGAUACUUACCAUUUCAUUGAACAAUUUUUUUAUGGUGUCAUUGAGGUUGCCUUCCCAACAUCCUUCAUCAUCAUCAUCUUUUUCUUCUUCGGUGACGUUCACUUUGUUUAGCAUUGGUGUGUCUAAGACUCCUUGAGAGAAGAUCUUCAUUUUUGGACACUGUCUCACAACUACUUGUUUCAAGGACGGGAAUUCAAGAGCGUAAUUACCCAAACAAAAGCUUGUUAGGCUUGGCAAACAAUCAAGUCCUAAGUACUCCAAUUCCUCGAAACCAUUGCAAUCUUUCGCUUCUUCUCCAACCUGCGAUUGUAUGAUUUCUUCUAUCAUUUUGCAAUCAGCUAUCUUCAUUCUUCCGAGAUUAACCAGAUUUUUAGAUGCUGAGAGCGUCAACACAUUUAUCAACCCGUGACACUUCGAUACUUCCAGUCCCCACAUAUUUUCCAAAUGCCACGAAGGUGGUACUAAUUUUUGCAACUUACUACAUUCCGAUAUUUCUAGACUUCCCAAGUUUGCAAACGCUUUGUUGGAUUCGUCAUUUUCCUUCCAGAUAUGCUGCACUUUGUGUAAUCCAGAUAGUGUUAACCAACUCAAUUUAGGGAAUGCAACCUGAAAAUCAACAAAAUUAAUUAAGUUGUAAAUGAAAAUAUGUAUCCAAUCUCUGGAGUCUUCCCCUGCAUAUUUUAUGGACAAGAUUAAUCACGGCAUUUUAUAUUUUUUUUCCAAAUUAGUAUGCUUUGCAGUAGGAUCCCAAAUAUAAGUAUCAAAUCGAUUACCCUUUGAAACACAUAAAUGAAAUCUGAUCCUAAAUCCAAUAUGAAUUAACACGCAUAAUUAAUAUAGUUCAUCACCUCAUGUCACUAGGCAUCUAAUUAAUUUGAGACAUUUUAAUAAUUUAUACUAUAAAGUUAGUUAAUAACUGCGGUUAUAUUGUUAAAUCAUAUAUAAAUUAAGACGACAUGCAAAAAGAUGAGUCAUUAAAUUUGAUUUGAUUCUAAUGAAAUUACAUCUAUGCGAACGAAAGUGAUGGGAAUAAUCAUCAUCAUCAUAAUAAUAAUAAUAAUAAUAAUAAUAAUAAUCACCUUUUCAUCGAAGAGAGGUUGUAGUUGAUGAGCCAGCAAGAAGUUCUCUUCUGAUGUUAAUUUCUGAGGUUCCUUGUUAUCUGUUGUCACGUGCACUACAGAUGUAGAAUUGGAUAUGAAUGUUUCCUUAUCAGGGCAAUUCUCAAUAGUUAGAUAGUCCAACUCAGGCAGUUCAAUUAUAUUCCCAGUGAAGUUGCAGAAUCUUUUGAGUUUUGGAAGAUCAAUGAGCCUUAGAUUGGAAAGCUUAGGAAACAUGGGGCCUAUAUGUUCUUCCUUGGCAUUUAGCUCUUCCAAAUGAAGCACCUCUUCUAGUGAAUCACAAUUCGUCACUGUCAGGUAUUGCAAAUUGUUCAAGCACCGUAGCAGAUUGGCAGGAAUAGCACUCGACAUAUUCGUGCAGUCAUCCACCACCAGGUCACUUAAAUUGUUGAAGAAGCUGACAGGCAGUGCUUGGCCAUGCCAUAUUUCUUGCAAACGUGGAAAAUGCGAGAGUUGCAAAUACUCUAUAUCACGGAAUCCAAUCUGCACAAACCAAAACUAUUGCACUGGAUAUAUACAAUUUUUUUUAAAGGCAUUAGAUAUAUAUAUAUAUACACACACACACACAUUAAACUUACAUGUUUUGUGUUUUAACUUCUAAAACUACAUAUACAAGGUAGGUGUAUAUGUUUAAAUGUGCAAGCGUAGGGGAGAUGCAUGAACAAUUUGGGUGAAUCGAUUAACACAGACCAUCUUUUUGUAACAUAUUUUUAAAUGUGCAAGUGCAAGGGAGAUGCAUAAGCAAUUUGGACGAAUCGAUUAACACAUACCAUUUCUUCGUAGCCCUUUUGUAUAAAGGAAUUAAGGUUAUCGCCUUCCCGAUGGUACAAUUCACCCUCUUCCUUUUUACUAACUUGCACUUUGCAUGGCUUUGGAAUGGAUAAGAUUCCGUGAGAAAAAGUCUUCAUGUUCGGACAAUGUGUCACAGAAACUCGUUCCAGUGAUGGGAAUUCAAGAGUAUAAUUCUCCAAACAAAAGCUGGUAAGCCUUGGUAAAUCAUCAAGUAUCAAAACUUUUAAUUUACUGAAAGCAAUAUGAUUCUCCUUCGCUUCUUCUCCAACAUGUCUUAUGAUUUCUUCUAAUUUUGUGCACUUCGAUACAUUAAGAUUCACCAGACUACUAGGAAUUCCAACCUGAAAAUAAGCAAAAGUGUGUGUAUAUUAAAAAAGUAAAAAUGUAAGAAUAUCAUUCAACUAGGUUCAAAGUAUGUUUAAUCAUACAAUUAUACGUUUUAUAAACAUAACAAACCAUGAAAUGUCUACUAGAUAAUUUUUUAUUAAACAAAAAAAGCAACAAGAUAAAUAAAUAAAUAAAAGCCAGAUAAACAAAGAUAAUAAAAAUGCAUUUACACUAUUUACUAUUGGGAACGUAGAAAGAAUUUAAGGCAAUUUCUAAAUAUUUUAGACUUAUUUUGCAUCUUGAUAUCAGUUUUUAAGCAUAAAUUUACAAAUUUCAACUAUUCCUUUUAGGGAAAAAAAAUUCAACCAAAAUGCCGCUUUUUCCCUUUUCCUUGGUCCCUUUUUUUAUGUACAUUUAAAAAUGGAAAAAAAAAAUUGGAAAAGACUUCCCAAUAUUGUCAAUAAGGGACUGCUGCUGUAAAGUGGAUCUUUAUUAAGUACUUCCAGACUCAAGGAAAUUUCUUUACAAUCACGGGUCAGUUGUAAAUAAUCAUGAAUUUGUGGUUAAUUAAUGGCAUAAUCAAUUCGUAACUAAACAAGAGAUAUUAAUUAAAUUUGAAGACUUUUAUUUUCUUUUUUUCUUUUUCCAAUCGAAAUGUGAAGAAUUAAGGAAAAGAGAAAUAUAUAGAUGAAUUUGUGAACCUAUAAGAUGAGUGACGAUCCUUUAAUUUUUGAAAAUCGUACUUAUUAAGAUAUGAGCAAAAACUAUUUAAUUGAAUUAUAUUAUGCUGUUGAAUCGUGUUUAAAAAAUUUAUAUUGUUGAUUCUAAUGCUGACGAACCUAAAAACUGGACCUAAAACGUAGAUUUCAGAGUGGUGGUUCGAAGUACGAUACUUGAAAUAAAUAAUCAGUGGCUGAAUAUCAUUUGUAAACAAAAAAUGGUUAAAAUAUUGUUGGAUGUAAUUUGAAAAAAAAAAAAAAAGAUUCGAAAUGAAUACACUCAAAUAUCUCCAAAUUCUUCAAUUUGCUGAAAGACUCCAAAGCAAGCUGGUGGUGCCAUAUUCUUCUCAAAUUAUCCAUCGACCUAAUACGUAAUACCUCCAAACUAGGAAGUCGUACCUGGCAGUUAAAGAUUAAAUAACUAAUUAAUCAAUUAAUGGCAUAAUCAAUUGAUAACUAAAUUAGAGGCGGAUAUUAACUAAAUUUGAAGAAGACUCACGGAAAAGACAAAUUAAAUAUUAUGACUAAAAUUAAUUUUUUUUAUUAAAAAAAAAACCUUUUCGUCAAAGAGAGGAGGAGGUUGCAUUUCAGAAUGAAUGGUGUCUUCUGGUGAGCUCGUAGAGAUGAAUCUUAACAUAUUACUGCAACUCUGAAUCUCGAGCUUUAGCAAAGAAGGGAAUUCAACGACUAAAUCUGAAUGAAUAUGUCCCGUAUUGGCAAAGCUUGUUAGUUCAUAAAGCGCUUCUAGCUGCAGGGAGUGUAGCUUAGGAAAAACCUUUAAUUCAAUCAACUUUCCUUCAUCUCUUUCUGACCACCCCGUGGUGUCGACUACCCCUUCCAUUGAAUCACAAAGCCUUAUCUCAAGAUGUUGGAGUUGCAUCAGACGAUUACAAUUCCCCACGUACAGCUUUGUUAAAUUUUGACAACAGUACAUUCCUUGAUUAUGAUCGGCCCAUAAUUUUUUCAUGUUUCUUAAGUCCCAGAGAUUCAAUUCCUCUAAGCUCGGAAGAAUAACCUGCAAAGAAAACCCGUACAUUUUUGUUCCUUCAAGUACAACCGUCUAGUAUAAUAUUCUUUUGAUGAUCGAAGAUUAAUCGUGAUAAUAAAUUAAUCAAUUAAUUAUUGAACAGAAAAUUAUCACCUUUGGAGCAGUAUCAUCAUCAGCAAUGAUUUCGUUGAAUCCCAAAGAAGUUGUUGGUUUCUCCCUGUCGGGUCCUAUAAACAAACAAAAACAAUAUACAUAAUUAAUCUUUGUCGUUGUCUUUUUUUUUUCAAAAUAAUUGAGGCGAAGUCCAUAAAUCCACCAACACUUAACUUCAACACUUACCAACCAUCAUUUCCAGAUCAUGGCAAAAAGCCACUUUGACCUUUUGAAGCCGCAGUAGGUUUUUGGCUAUGGAGAAUGAGAAAAGAUGCUUUAAUUUGUGACAGGAUUGUACUCCUAUAAUCCUUAAGUUGCUGAAAGAUUGAUCUUCUGUGAGUUGGCUGUCACAUAUUGUCUCCAAAUUGUUCAAAUUGCGAAGAGACAAUGACACCAGCAAGGGGAAGACUUUGCGACGAACCCGUCCAACUGAACCGACAAUAUGCAAAAUCUCAGAACAACUUUCUACAGAAAGAUGCUUCAAUCGUGGAAAACCUUCCCCAUCAUCUAAUUCAUGAACAACAUUCUGAACACCCUUCAGUUCGUUUAGAUGGAUCUCUUCGGCUUCCUUCAGCAACAUUUUCGUCCCAUAAUUCUCCAAAAGAGUGCUAACAUUUUCUAGCCCAUGGAGCCCCACCAAUCUUGAUGUUUCAGAAUUAACGGGCCAAAUGCGCCACCACGCUUCUCCUAUACAUAUCUUAUAGCUUUGCAAUUCCACAGAGACCCAAUCCUGCGGCAGAAUUUGGGCAUCCGGAACUUGUAUAUUCAAAGUAGUUAGCUUUGACAGCCCCUUCAAUUCAGCAAGACUGGCGUUACUUCCUCCUUCAACCUUAUCCCACUGCGAAAAGCUGUCACCCAUAUAUAGUUCUUCCAAUCGAGAAAAUUUUGAUAUGACAUUUGGUGCUAUCACUACAAGGCUCCUACAAUUGCUCAAAUCUAGCAAUUGUAACCGCGUCAAUUGUCCAAUUUCAAGCGGUAACUGCUUAAUGUCGGAACCUCGAAAGCUAAGAAUCUCUAAUUUCUUUAGCUGUCCAAUUGCCGCUAUAUCUUCUAGUUGGCACCAGUCUAAACACAAUGUUUGAAGGUUAAUGAGGCGACCAAGUGAUGAAGGUAAUGAAGAGAAAGGAAUUCUAGUAAGAGUUAAAACUUUGAGUUCUUCUGUCCCUUCAAAAAAGAGGUCUGAAAUUUGCAUUGAGCUAUAACGCUUUGAAAACAACAAAAGUAACUGGAGACGGGGACAUCCCAACCUUUCGGGAAGCUCUUGAAUAUCUCUCUGGGGUAAUGAAAUGGCAAUUGGAUCUUUCCGUAUUGUCUCUUCCAUCUUUUUCUCCACGUCAUCAACAUUUGGAAUAUUAAACAUGCGCUCCCCUGCAGCAAUUGAUACAGCAACAACAUGAAUGACGUCAUGCAUUUUAACUUCAUCUUCAGCAUCACCGUCCAACAAUAAGCAUGAAGAUUUGAGAUUGUCGAUCAACCGAUGCACUCUACUCCUUGCUUCUUCCAAUGUGUAAACAUUUUCAAACAAACCCCAACCCACGCCAUAUCUCAAUAAGCCAGAAACUUGUAUCGCAUGACCUUCACUGUACAGACCACAAAGACGGAACAGAGGUUUUGCCUCCGCACUUUCCAAAAAGUCGUAACUCAAUUUUAUGGAGGUGUACACAUUUGCUUUCAUGCCAUGAAUUUCUCUUGCAUGCGAUCUUCUUAGCUGAUUCAAUGCAUCUUGCCAAAAGUAACGCUCCUUAUUUUUCAGAGCAUUUGCAACUGUACUCAGUGCAACAGGCAAACCUCCGCAUUUUUCAACGAUCUCAUUUGCUGUACUUUGAAAAUCAGAUAUUUUAGUUGAAUCACCCACUAUCUUCUCAAAUAACUGCAAUGCUUCUUCUUUCGAUAAAGCAUCGAUCCAGAAAAUUUUCUGACAAUUCAUAUCAUUGCACAAUAAAUCUCCACUUCUAGACGUCAAUAUUAUUGUGCAUCUUCUCUGAUCAUCCUCUCUAUCUUUCUCAUCAACAUCCCCAGAAGGAAUUCCAACUUCAUCGAACUUCAGUUCUCUCCAAAUGUUAUCCAAUAUAAUCAGGACCCGCUUCUCUUUCUUCAAUACUCGACGUAGUCGAUUUGCUCUGUCGAAUAUAUUCUCAUUCAACUCAAACUUUAUGCCUAAAUCAGAAGCAAGUUUGUCUUGAAUUUUCUGAUGAUCUGGGUUCUCUGUUAUCUCAGCCAUAGCGACCUUAUCGAACCACUUAUCUUCCAUCACUUGCUUUGCAACUUGCUUUACGAGCGUGGUUUUACCCACGCCGCCCAUCCCGUAGACCCCAAUUAUGUUGAGCUUAUCAUCCCUCAACGCCUCCAUAACAUCUUGAAAUACUUUCAUUCUUGAGUCAAAGGCCUCGAAAUCUUUCACUUGCAUGUGUUCUACCAGCUUUGGAGUAGGACGGUGGGAAACAUUGGAGAAGUUGCCUUUUCCCAUGAGACUAGCUGCAGCUUCUGCGGCCUUUGCUGCUUGUCUACUGAGCUUGUAACGAGAGAUCAAGUUUGGGCACAAUCCUUUGAAACAGAACUUCUUAGCUCUAUCUUCAUCAUCUGUGAUGGAUUUUGCAGCGCCCUGAGUGAAUUCCUUGACGCUAUUAAGCCAGUCUGCAACAUCCUCAUAAAUCUCAUCUCCUUGUUGAGUAGCCUGAUGAACGGGUAUUUCCACCCUUUCUCUUUGAUGUCCCAGCUGCUUCACUUGAACUUUUAGGCCAUCUAUGUAGCUCUGGUACUUGAACACAUAAGAUAUCUGCCGUUUAAGCGGUUUGUACAGUGACUUUGCACCUUCUGAUACAACGCCGGUUAAAAAAGCCAGACACGCUUCUACAGCCAUUGCCUGUUGCUUAACGAUAUAUAUGUAGUUUUUGGCUGUUUAAAAAAAAAAAAUGGAUUCAAAUAAAUUAAAUGAACUAGAGGGGAAGAAAAAGAAAGAAACGACAACAAACAACCUUUUAGAGAAAGGUUUGACGGGCCUGAAUGGAAAACCAACAACUUUUUGAAGAAAGAAAGCUUUGGAAGAUAGAUGCAAAUUAACCGUUGAUAAUACUACAUAAGAACACAGAAGUUAACAAUAAACAGUAACUUAAAACUCAAGAAAAUUAAAUGACGAGAUUAAGACAAACAAGGGAUAGUUUUUGUUGGACAUUAAGAAACAACUGCUAUCAAGAUCAAGGAUUAGAAAUUAUGCUAUUAAAAGAAGUUAUUAAAGGAUUUAGAACAAGUUUACCUCUUUAAUUAUCUAGGAUCAGAGUUUAUGAGCUUCACUAUUGGCCUUGGAUGUAUAAGAAAAACUUUAAUGAGCAAAAGAUCACUCUUAACUGCGGAGGAAUGUGAGUAAAGAGUUUAUGGGAGUAAAGCAAUACAAUUGAAUUGUAAAAGAACCAAGACUUAAGCGUGCGUCCCGUGUUUUGUUUUAUUAUAUAAACAGAACAUAUGUUCAUUUUUAACAAAUUGAUCAAUAACUCUAUUCGCUAUUUAAUUAAUAAUGUAAUCAAUUUUAAGAGAAUAUAAUAAUAAUCCUUCAAUGCAUAAAUUUAGAAUUAGAUUUUUUUUUACUUUUUAUUUAAAUGUAAAUCUCAGUGGAAAAUUAUAAAAAUUUAGAGAUAAAAUUUUUCAAUCACCAAACGGAAAAACAGGGGAAUGAAAACAGAGGAAUCUUGUUUUACUUUUUUUUUCUUUUUAAACCUUAACUCUUGUUCUUAUAUAAAUAAUCUUGUUCUGAUGAUAGUGCUCUUGACUGCAGGAAAAUUUCUAAUGGAAACAACUCAAUUUCGGAAGAUUAGCUCAGUUUUGCAAGCGAUGAAUUUAUUCAAUUGACUCUGUACUUGAACUCGUUGGAUUGGUUGAUUUAUGAUUGACUGAAUUUCAAUUCGGCCUAAAAGAUCUUUAACCAAAGUUUAAUAGCUAUCAUCUACUCCUUAAAAACAAAUAUGUAUCUUUUUUAGAUUUGACUGAAUUUGAACUUGCUGGAUUGGUUUUUUUUUAGAUUAUUAAAAUUUGGAAUAUUUUUUUUUCCUUGCUUUCUUUUGUUGGAGGAUUAGAGAUUUUGGUAUUACCAGAAAGGUUUCAAGGGUCUGAGUAGAAACCUAUAAUCUUUUGAAAAACUUUGUUUUUUUUUUUUUUUAAUUUUUUGGGGAAAAGGAUGCAAAUUAACCAAAUGGAAAUAAUAAGAGCACAGGCUUUAACAAUGAACAAUAACUUAAAACUCAUGCAAAAUAAAUUCAAUAUUAAAACAAACCAGAGAAAUUUUUUUCUUGAAAAGUAGAUGGAAAUUAUGAAAGAACAGAUGUCAAGAUCAAGGAUCAGGGAUUCUACUACCCAAAAAAAAUAAAAAAUAAAAUUAAAGGAUUUAGAAAAUGUGCACCUAGAGUUGGUGAGCUUCUCUCUCUAUUCACUUGAAUAUUUAAGAACAACUUGAAAGAGGAAAAAGAUCACUGGUAACUGCUGAGGAAUGUGUGAGAAAAGAGUUGACGAGAGAAAUAACAAUGACUUGCAGAAGAAAAACCAUUAAUCAAGCACACCUUUUUAUAUCCUGUAUUUGGUUAUUGUUGCCCUCUUGACGCAUGUAUAGAAUAAUUACGUGCAUUUUUUUUAAUCCGCAUGCACUUUAAUGAUUAGUGCUCCUUUCAUAAAGCAGAUACCGGAAACACACAAAUAUCAUUUGAGAGAGAAACUAAACAGCAAAUCAUCAAAGUAAGAUCAAUAAUAUAUGACUUGGUUAAUGCAUAUUCAAGAACAAAAACAAAAACAAAUAAAUAAAUAAAUGGAGAAGGUUUGAUUUUGUACUGCCAACGCUGCUUUUUUGUUAUUUCAUUUGUUCUUUCCACAAAUGAUGCUUGGUUAUAAUUAAGUUCCACAUGGCCGUUACUUACAAACUGUGUUUGUGUUAACAGAAACGUGAAAUUCACAUCACACAAAAUUACACUAUCAAUUCUUAAGAGAACAUAAUAAUAAUCACUCAACGCAUAAGGGUAAAUUUAGAAUUACAUUUUGAAAUUGAUAAAAUGUUUUUUAUGGGAUUUCAGGCAAACCAAAACAAAAAAAAUUUCAAUAAAGAGCUAGUUGUUGAAAUUGAUUUAUCUUGUCUUUCAGGCUAUCUUGUGACGUGACGAUAUAUAAUGUUCGUGAAUGCUAGAAAAUUUCUAAUGCAAACAACUCAAUUUGGGAUGAUAAGCUUAAUUUUGCAAAUGACGAAUGUAAAUAACUUGUUUUGAUUAAUUGAAUUUGUAAUACUCUUACCCUAUUCUAAAAUUUGGAGGUUGCUUGAGAAAAAAAGGGUAUUUCUCACUCAUCUUCAAUCCUCAAGUAAAAUUAGGUAAAAAGCAAAUCUAAAAAAUCACAAACGAAUUAACAAAAAAAGAAAAAAAAAAACAACAUUGAUCUUGAGACAAGUGAUAUUUAAACAGAGAAUUCUUUAUUCUUUUUUACUUGCCCCCCCCCCCCCGGGGCUCGAGGAUUAAAGUCUUUGCUAUUAACAGAGAGGCUUUAAGAGUCUGAAUAAAAACCCGUGCUUUUUUUAAAAAACCACUUUUUUUUUCUUUUUUCUUUUUUUUUGGGAAGAUAUAUUCAAAUUAACCAAAGCUAGUAAUAAGAGCACAGACCUUACAAAUGAACAAUAACUUACAACUCAAGCAACAUAAAUGAUAAGAUUAAAACAAACCGGAGAUAUUUUUCUUGGAAAAUAGACGGAAAUUAAAUAAGAACUGCUGUUAAAAGAAGUUAUUAGAGGAUUUAGGAGCAUGUGUACCUCUUUAAUUAUUUGGGAUCAGAGAGUUGAUGAGCUCUCUAUUCGCCUUGAAUAUUGAGUAAGAACUGGUAUUAAAAGAAAUUAUUAAGAACAAUAUUUUAGUGAGCAAAAGAUCACUGUUAACUGCAGAGGAGUAAAAUGCUGAAAAGAGCAGUAACAAUGAAUUGCAAAAGAAGAAGACUUAACCAAGCACCCCUUUUAUACCCGAUUUUUAAGAUUUAAUUUUGAAGUUCCCAAUCAAGAACAAAGACGAAGCUUUAAUAAAGCAUGCAGUGAGAUACAAGAAAUGGAUCGGGCAAAAUACCUUACGAAGCGUUUCAUAUUUUCUAAUGAAAUAAUUUAGUUGAAUUCUUCGACGAAUAGAUACCUGUUGUGCUAGAAUAAUUUUGGCACACACAUUACUUGUGCCCUGUGAAAUUGAAAAGCACACUCAUUUACAGAGCUUGUUAGUGGGGAAAAGCUUCGUAAGAUGCCUGAUAAAAGAUAAAGCAAAAGCUUGAAUGAAGAAUGGCAUUUUAGAAAGAAACUAAAGUGCAAUCAUCAAAGUAGGAUCAAUAGUGAGUUGAUCAGUUAUGCUUUUUGUUAUUUCAAUUGUUCUCUCUUUUUUCAAUCUCUCUUUAUGUUAUAAUUGAAUAAUUGUAUAGAAAGUGUGACGGUUGCUGCAGCAUUAUGAAGUCAAAAUUGAGAACGACAUUAAAUAAUCAAUCUCUUUAUGUAUUUACUCGAAUGUCUGAUAGUGUUCAGACUUGGAUUUUCAAUAAACACAGAUUCGAAAUCCAAAUAAUUGAAUAAUUGUGUACGUUCAAAUUCAGCAUUUAAUUACUAUAUAAUUAGACAUAAAUGUGUAUAUAAUUUUACUUUCUAAGAAUUAACUUCUACCUUGAUUCUAAAAAAAUAUAUAUAUAUAAUUUUACAAAUAAUUUAGUACGGCGUUUGGUAAAUGAUAACUAUUUGAGAAUAAGUUUUAAAAUGGUUUACUAUACAAAUCUGGAAAAUGAAAAUUAAAAGUGUAAAAUGUUCACAUAAUGAAAAUUAAAAGUGUAACAUGUUCACAUACAAUGACAAAAAUAUAUUUAUUUACUUAUUUGUAAUUUAUUUUGAAUAUUAUUGUUUAAAUCAUUUUUUUACUUACUAGAUUUUUUAAGAGCAUUCUAUUUUCUUUAUUACAUAUUUAAAUAAUUUUUUAUUAACUAUUUUAAUUUGCAAUAAAAUUAACUUCAAUAUUUUUUUAACUGAAAAUUUUGUUAUGUAGUUCGUGAUAUAACAAAUACUAACAUAUUAUUAAAUUGAUUAAUAAAUUACGUGCAAAAAAGAAAAUGCAAAAAUUUAAUCUUUAUAUAAACUUUUAUGUACAAAAACCGUUGUAAUCAAACUAGUUCAUAGAAAUAUAAUAUUUUAUACAUGUGUUUAAGAAAAACAUAUAACUAUAAUAUUAUCCACUCAUUAAACUUGCAGCACUAUUAUUUCUAAUUCUCUCCAUCACUCGACCUACAGGAACAUUACUACCAUAAUUUUCUUCUUGAAUUCAACCUCCAUUUCCACAUCAUCAACAAAGCGAUCAAUUUGCCUUGAUAGCCUUUCAACUCCUCCCACUUUCCUCCCUUUUGCAGACACUCUUUUUCUUUUUCUUUCUUUAAUAGCUUCAAUGGGAACAACCUCAUCUAUCGACAAGUCCAUUCUUCAACUAGAAUAGAGUUGGUAGUAGAUAUUUUAGUACUCUCAAACGAUGCCCAAACCGUGUCACCAGUGAUUGUUGUAUUAAAAAACAUUCCAUGUAAUUUUUCCUCUGACUCUGGGUCGAUACCUUUUAUGCAAAAUCUAUUUACUUCAGGAAUUUUAUACAUAUGUCGAUAUCAUAUUAAAGUGAAUUCAGAUCCUAUAUUAUUGACAUUUAGCCAAAGGUAAAAAAUUUUCCUUUUUGUUUGUCCCCCAACUAUAUAGUCCCAUUUUUGGUUAUAAGCUCGCAAUAUGCAAGGGAAAUGAAGAUCUACUAAAAACUUCCCCAUAAUAUUAAACAUUAAACAAUAUCAACAUUUUGUGCAUAUGGUGCCUCUCCAACAACUUGAUGUACAUUAUGUUGCUCGGUGGAAUAUGACUACUUAUUAAUUAAUUAGCAAGACUUGCGUUGCGAGUCCAUGCUUUUGUUGUUUGGAUGGAGGAUCUGCCAUCCUUAUUGUGAAAUAUGAACUAAAUAUACACUCACGACAUGUCAUAUGUUGAGUCUGUAGUAGCACGACAUGUCAUCUGAUAAGCAUUUGGAACAAAACCGACAUGAGCCAAAAUGUCGUUCUUUGUUUAAGUAGCUCACGUGUUUGGCAUGUGAGCUGAACAAGACUCUUACUCUCAGAAACGACUGAACCAGAAGCCGUUUUGAGCAUGCUUAUUCAAGACACGUUGCAAGCACGUGGCUGAGGCUGAAUCUGUUAUGUUAGCGGGAAAAGCCGCUGAGGAAGGCAUCCAGAAUCAGUUAAUAAAGAACUGGAGUUCUGGGUUUUUCACAACAGGGCCAGAAAACAGAGAGAGAGCAGAGAAAGAGGGAAUGCGAGAGAGAGAGAGUUCUGAAUAGGCUUGUAAUCUCCAUUUGUGUUUGCUCUCUGUAAACUCUUGAACAAGCAAUAAAGUGAAAUCACAGAGUUUGUUUCCAGUGGAUGUAGGCAUCAUUCAUUUGGUGCUGAACCACUUUAAUUCGUGUGUGUUUUGUUCUUGAUCUAUUUGUUAUUCUUGAUUCUUAGUAGGUUGACUUCUUCUUGGUUGAAUCUUGAGUAUAAACCAGUGAGUGAAGUGUUCUUGGGGUGGGUUUAGUCUUGAUAGUUAGGGCUUAAACCAAAACACUUUUAUUUUAGAUGCUUUGUAAGACUUCUGAUUUAAUGAUUGAAUGCAGCCAAUUAACGAAAGCUUACAUAUAGUAUUAUGUAGGUGCUGAGAUGUCUGUUCUUGAUAAAGUAGAUAUAUUUACACCCAAGCCAACGGAAUCAAAGCCUUUUCGUUAAUAAUAUACACGGUAAUUGUUUUUGUUAAAUUGAUUUCUGGCUAACAAGAUCUUUUUUUUUUUUUGAAAGGGCUAAAAAGAUCUUUGAAAGCAUUCAAAGAAGCCGCCGAACUCAUAGGAAAGCCAUGAUUAAAUAUACGGUGAAGCAAGCGAGCUCGUUUGUUAAUCUCUUGAUCACUCAUAAGCUUUUCUAUACGGCUCACGAUAUCAUCCUUUUGAAUCGAUUUUGAUUGAUCAUCGGAUAUCAUGUCCCCACCUUGAGAUGAUUGAUCACCAAUUUGGCAUUGUAAUGUUGAUCACCUCUAAUUGGCCAUGCUAAAAUUGGGAGCCCACAACUAAUUGCUUCCAUAGUUGAAUUCCAUCUACAAUCAAAUAAAAAUCCACCCAUUGAUUGAUGACUUAGUAUCAAUAAUUGUGGCGCCCACCCAUCUAUUAUCAAUCCCCUUUUAACCAAUAAAGUGUUGGCUCCACUGGCAAUGGAGUCCCCUUAAGUGGUUUGACUGGGUUUGCUCCCCAGUUCGAGUCGCAGGGAAGUCGCCUUUGUUGGGAGAACCUGUGCCUCUCGGUUCGAGCGGGGACUUCUAGUCUGGGUUGUGGUACGGGCUUAAAGGUGCCUCCCACAGUUGGGGCCCUCCCCAGGAUACCUCGUGGUCAAAACCAAAAAAAAAAUCAAUCCCCUUUUACCGACUUUACUCUCCAAACCACUGGAAAAAUAACUGCCUUCUACUGGUCUGUCUAAACCGGUUAAAUGACGCGGAGGAUCCAAUCUACCUGCACUAGUUUGAAUUACCCAAAUAAACUGUUGAUUUGAUGCUUCUAAACAUUGGCAAGGCUGAAUACUCCUCUAAGGUGGGACGCACUUUGGUACCAAAUUAUAUGUAUAGCACAGAUCUACGUGAUUUCAAAUCCAACCAUUAAGCGAUCUCAUCUUCAGUCAUGUUAGAACUCUGCUGGUUGGUCUCGUCUCACGAUCAUGAAACGCUGAACCGACCAAUUUGUAAAAUUGUUUAGGUAACAAUGAGCCCACUCCCCACACCGGCUUUCCCAUUUGAUUGGCUAAAUAAUUAAUAAAUGGUCCCUCAAGAUCAUUACAUGUGUUAGAACAUCAACGCCAUCGAUCCCUUCACUUCCUUCAUGCAGUGUGGUUGAUCAUCGGGUUCUAGUGGACCUAUUUUCCCUGAACCGGGUGCACUCUGCAGAAGUGGUGGACCACUAGGAGGGGGCCCACAAGGCCUACGUCUAAGAUUCGAUUCAAAUAAAGCCGUAUCCUCAGGUACCCCAGGAAGUAAAUAGGCCUCCCCUGAUUUGACAUCUUUGAUGCGAGCCUACCACAUGGCACACUCUACAAUUGUUCAACUAAAAUUAAUAAUAUUGUUCUAAUUAAUUACUCGAUAAGCAAAUAGUCAUAGACAAAUCUAUCCCUAAUCCCACAUUUACAAAAUAAAGAAUUGAAAUGAGUUUAUGUGGCUUUGAACCCAAGCCCUCAAGCCUAGUGGCUGGAUCUUGACCACUUUGACAUAAUUAUUAUAACAAUUUUUUUUUUCAUAUUUCACUAAGCAUCUUUUGUUAUAUAAUGAGGAAGAUAAGUUGACGGAGAAGGGUUCUACUUUUACUAGUAGAUGAGAUUUAAAUUAAGAAGGUUAGUUUUAGAUUGUUAAAUUUCCUUAGACGAUUAUUCAUGUGAGAUGUUUAACAUAUACUUGAGUUAGUCGGUGCCUAACAAUUCUUGUGAUACAUGAAACCAACCAAUAUGAAAACCAUAUGAAGUUGGUAGGAUUAGAUUAAUUUAAAUGAAAAUAAAAAUUAGUUUAUGCUAUUUAUUAAUCUUAUACUGUUGAAAAUUGAAAGUUAAUUCUUUAGCCUGUCAAUUGGUUCAUGACAUAAUUAAAAUAUUCAAGUAAAUACAUUUAUCGUUUAACAUUAAUUUUUCAUGCGGUAAAACCAAUACUAAUUAUAGAGUGGAGAGAAUAAUCUGUAGGGUAUACCCCCACCUUUUAUUUCAUUUCAUUUAAAAAAAAAAGAGAGAGAGAGAAAAGUAAAGGCUUGUUCAACAUUCAAGUAAAAUUAACAAAUCUAUGAUAAAAUUACUUCAGAAUAAAAAUUAAAAUGUUUAAAAAAAAAACGGCAACUCGAAAACGACAUACAAAUACCGCAUAGAAGGUUUUCGUCACGAGAUAUUUUUGGGCUGAGACAACACUUGUAUAACUUAGCAUAUAGCUUGGAUGACGGUGAGAAUAAGAAGGAAAACGGCACCGCAGACCGAAAUGCCAGCCCAUGGAGUAUUGAAGUAAUUUUUUUUCACAAUUCAAAGGAGGUUUUGGAACUUACCACAAGGCUGAGUAUUUCAACAGUUAUGGAUGACAUAAUCCAGCUAAGCAGAAGCUGAUCUUGGCGUUUCCACACAGCAUAUUCUGGAUUUUCAUGACCUUCAGAGAUUGACGAAGUGCCUUCAAAUCCAGGUGAAAGAAAUUGAUCAGGACAUAGCUUUGAUCCAUCGAUAUAAGACUCAAGUCCAUUGCCUCGAACUGAAGAGAGCACCUGAUGUUUCCAGAUCGUGUAAUUUGUACGAUCUAAUUUGACUGGUGUAGUGAAGGUGAAAGAAGCUAUGGCACUGGUAUUAGAUUGUGAAUUUGAGUUCGUUAGAGCCAUUGGAUCUAGCUCUGAUACCAAGUUAAAGAAGCUUUUCCUGUUUGUUUACUCAGAAAGUGAAGGAAAAAUACAGAGAAAAUUAUGUAGCUAGAAUGAAUCUAAAACCAUCUUAUUAAUCUAUAUUUGGUUCAAUAUACAACAAUAUUUAUGCUACUCACUGGAACCUUCUAUAUGAAACAAACACGUGAACUCAAUACAAUUCAGCUUAACAAACUUUUAACGGGAAAUAACUAAACAGAGCAACGGCUUGCCAGCGUGGCUGCUGACUCAGCAGCCGACUAAUCAUACUCUGAAAAAAAAUCACCAAACAGAAAAACAGGGGAAUGAAAAGAUAGCCUCCGUUUAUCCUCUGUUCUGUUUUCAUUGUUAUUAAACAAGGGAAUGAGAAAAGAGAGCCCCUGUUUCUUCUCUUUUUUGAUUUUUUUAAUUACUAAACUGGGGAACGCACGGAUCACCUCUUGUUGCAAGCGCAAAUUCUUGUUUCUACUUUAGUACCUUCUAAAUGCUGCAUGCAUUAAAAUUAUUCUUACAUAUGCUAACAUAAUAGCUACUGUACAUGUAAGUUCUUGAUAAAUCCAAAUAACAUAAUAAUUUUAAGAGUUCAAAUUUAGAAUUUAAUUAUAUAUAUUUAUAUAAAUCCAAUGUGCAUAUCGGAUAUUGCAUGCUGCAAUGAUCUCAUAUGUUUCCUCAAUAUGACUUAAAUAUAUAGGCCACAACUUGGUUUUGAAGUUAGUCUAAAGCCUUCCCCUUGAUUCUAACAAAUUCACUAGGGAAGGUUCAUAUGGAUUUUGGGGGAGCUCUAUGGCCAAUUUUAAAAGUUCAGGGGGGAUCAAAUGAAUUUCAAAACUGCAUGGGUUAUCUAUUUCAGUCAGAGGAUAGUGGAAUUCCCUGAAAUUUAUCCUUUUUAUUAAAUUAAUCUUCCUCCUUUCCUCUGUGGACCUUUGCUAUGUGUGUUAUUGGCGUCCAAAUGACGAUGGGAAUUAUGGUAAGGUUCUUGCUUCCCCACUUCUUGAAAUUAAAUAUAUCUUUUCUGGCACUAGAAAUUUCCACAUGCUGUGUUUUGUUAUUGUUUGGGAGAAAUACGUCAACGAGACCAGGCGUGGUGAGCAGAUAUCUGAUAGCAGAGUUCCGCGAACCGGUGUGUUCCGUAAAAGCCUGGUGCGCGGAGGAACAGGAGCAGAAGUAUCCCGCUCGUCCACGAACACGUCAUCCGCGAGGCCAAUUUCCCGUAAGAGGCAUAAGGUCAUUCCGGCUAGAGGUCGAGAGGCGAGGAGACCCGGUCGACGGCAGUUGGCAAGACAUGCUCCCCAGCCCGAGAAUCUAGGCACGACAGCCACGCUUUCCCCAGAACUGUGGCGUAACACGCAAAAUCUCACGGAACCACGACAACCACGCUUUCCCCAGAACCGUGGCGUAACACGCAAGAUCUCACAGAACCACGACAGCCACGCUUUCCCCAGAACCGUGGCGUAACACGCGAGAUCCCACGUUUGCCCAUAACGCAGCAGUCAGAGUCCCAUACCGUCUCGAAAAAAGCGGAAAACUGGGAUUCAGGGGAGGCCUAUAAAAAGGUAGCCAACGAAGGUAAAAGGGUUAGCAUUUUUAAGAUUAGAAAAGAAAUAAAAAAAGCCAUAAGACCUGUGGCAAGCGUUCCCCGAACCUUGAUAUCUGAAUUGAGCGUCGGAGGGUUUGCGCCGGGAAAACAACCGGCGUACUCUGACUUGUCUGUGUGCGCAGGAACCUCUGGAGAAGAAGCCUCACGAGGAGACCUCCUGGUCGUGAAGAAGUUGAUCGGGCAGAGAUCCUGGUCGUAGAACGAGGAGACCCGGAAUCCCGCAUCAACAUUUUGGCGCCGUCUGUGGGGAACAGAGCAAAAAGCUUCUGUUGAUAGCAAGAGGAGGGGCGAAGCAAGUGAAAAGCAAUGGAGACAUGAGGAAGUAGUGGACAAGGGGGUGAUAGGAGGCCUAACGAUUCCGUGACGCUGAGGGAGAUAGUCAGUGAAGCACGGGAAAAAGUCAUGUUCGACCGGAUGGAACGGGUGGAAAAGCAGAUGGAGACCUUGACAACCAUCCUAGAUGAGCUGCGGAGCGAGCGAAGUAUAAUCCAAGAGGGAAGGGGGAGAGGCGGUGGAGUGGCACCAGGUCCCGAUAGUGCGGGGAGAAGUCAAACCACCGGGAGAUUUGGUGGUGAGAGAGGUAACGUACCUCUGCGGGGAGAAUUUCAUAGAGAAAGAGAGCGGUCCCCGGCAAGGCAGACUGGCGACGAGGACGAUGGAGUGGUGAAUGCAGAGGAAACGAAGUUGAGACAACACUUGCAUGAUGUAGAGCAAGAGCGGGAUCAAGUUGCAGCACGUGACCCUGGUCGUGCAGUGCAGCUGGAGGAGGAAGUGCGCAGACUAGCGCAGAUAAUCGACGACAUGCAAGGAAGGAACAGAGCCCCUGGUUGGAGGAUAAUGCUAGACGGAGAAUCACCGCUCGCAGCAGAGAUCAUGAGGGCAGUUAUUCCGAGAGAUUUCCGCCUCCCAGACCUCAGAUACUCGGGAAGAACUGAUCCGUUGGUGCACAUAGAGCGCUUCAACGACAUAACUGGGGUACAAGGAUUAUCUCAAUCCCAAAGGUGCAGAGUGUUCCCACUAUCCCUUGAGGGACGUGCACGAGAAUGGUACAGGAAACUUCCUCGGGGCAACAUUAAAACCUUCGAGCAGAUGUGCCAGGAAUUCGCGGAGCAGUUCAGUGGGGCAAUGGCGCCGGAAGAUGACAUGAUGGAGCUGAAAAGCAUGAAACAGGGGGAGCAAGAAACCCUUCGGGAAUUCAUCAAGAGGUUUCAUCGGGCUGUCCUCGACUUGGGAGCCUUCAACCACCCUCAGGCGUUAAGGGGAUUGAAAGAAGGGGUGAAGAUAGGAAGGCUGUGGUACAAUUUGAGAAGCCCAGCUAUUCAAACGUAUGCAGCCGCAUACGAACAGGCUAAGAGAGACAUCGAGAUUGAAGAGGAGAAGGCUGCACGGAUUAAGACAGACCAGUUACAAGGGUUGGGGAGGAAAGAGAAGAAAGCAUUACCGGGGAAUGGGCCGAUCAGGAGGAGGGACCACCAGGCCUCCGGUAGCGGAGCAGGAGGUCGGGUAGCCGCUUACCAUUCUCAUCAAAGGCCACCACAGUAUCAGCGCAGCAGGGCGCAACCUCCUCGUUCCCCAGUUAGGGAGCCUUGGAGAAGACAUGAGUCGGCAUCUGGUGGUCUCCAUCAACACCCCCACGGUAGCAGAGCGAGCAGACCAGAAGUACUUCCACCGCCCCCAACUCAGAGCGGGGCAAACGGAGAAAGAGUAGUGCACCUGAUCGACCAGAACCCGGACUAUGGGCGGUACACUUCCUUGAAGAUGUCCCUGGAUGAGGUGUACGAGGCCAUAAAGGAUCGAGGGCUGUUGCACCUCCCUACACCAAUAACAAAGCUACCCAACAGGAGGGAUAGAGGGCGUUAUUGUAAGUUCCAUGGCACCCAUGGCCAUACCACAGCAGAGUGUAGAGAUCUCAAGACCCAGGUCGAAGAUUUGGUGAGAAAUCGGUACCUGGACGAGUUUAUGGAUGGGACUUUCCCGAUGGGGGCCGCAACAGGUGAAGGGGAGCAGAGUGGCGGAAACGUGAGGCACGAGCAGCCUGCAGUAAGGGUGAUCGCCGGGGGCCCGACAUUGGCCGGAGAUUCCAACAGAUCGAGAAAAAAUUAUGCUAGGUACGCCAUGACCAGUAAAGAGGUACUCCUCAACACCCCAGCAGCCAAACGAGCAAGGGUCAGGCAAGUGCCAAUCAUGUGGACGGAUGAGGAUGAGGAAGGGAUUCUAUACCCCCACGAGGACGCUUUAGUCAUCAAGGCUACUAUCGCUAGCAAGAAGUUUGACCGGAUACUGAUUGAUACAGGGAGCUCAGUUGAUGUGUUAUUUAAGUCAACCCUGGAAGAGAUGGGAAUAGCCGACCGGAAGUUGGAAUACACCAAUACCUCCUUGAAGGGGUUCGGAGGAGGGAAGCUGGUCCCUCUGGGCGUGGUCGAGCUGCCUAUCACAAUUGGGAGCUCCCCGACAGAAAGAACAAUGAUACUGGACUUUGUCGUAGUGGAUGAGGAAGGUCCUUACCAGAUGAUCUUAGGUCGGCCAUUUUUAAGGAUGAGCAAAGCGGUGUUGUCCAACCAUUAUCUGGCCCUGAAGUACCGGGUGAAUGGGGUAGUAGGAGUGGUACGAGGAGACCAGAGGAUCGCAAGAAGCUGCUACUCCUCGGCAGCAAGGGAAGCAAUGCAGAUAACAUCCCUCGAUACCCGAGUGGAAAGCAGGAAGGGCAGACAAGAACCUGUAGAGGAUCUGGAAACAGUAAGCCUGGGACCAAAGAACCCGGAAAAGACGAUCAGAAUCGGGUCGAGACUUAGGGGAGGGCAAAAGCAGGAGUUGGUGAAAUGCUUACAGGCUCAUGCUGAUGUGUUUGCUUGGACACAUGAAGACAUGCCAGGGAUUGACCCUGAGGUAGCAUGUCAUAAGCUGGCAAUAAAGAAAGGUGCUCGGGCAGUAAGGCAGAAGAGGAGGUGCUUCAACCAGGAGAGGUAUGAGGCUAUAAAUGGCGAGGUGGAGAAGCUCCUGAGAGCAGGGUUCAUUCGGGAAGUCAGUUACCCUGAGUGAAUAUCGAAUGUGGUGUUGGUAAAGAAGGCAAACGGCGAGUGGAGGAUGUGUGUGGAUUUCACAGACCUCAAUAAGGCGUGCCCAAAAGACAGCUUCCCUUUACCAAAGAUCGAUCAGCUGGUAGAUUCAACGGCUGGACAUGAUCUGCUCAGCUUCAUGGACGCGUUCUCGGGAUACAACCAGAUCCCCAUGUACGGGCAGGAUGAGGAGAGCACGGCUUUCAUCACUAACCAAGGUUUGUUCUGUUACAGGGUAAUGCCAUUCGGUCUCAAAAAUGCGGGGGCCACCUAUCAAAGGCUGGUGAACAAAGUCUUUAAGCCGUUGAUUGGGAAAACCAUGGAGGUGUACGUGGAUGACAUGAUCACCAAGUCCAAAAUCCCGGAGGAACAUGUCAGACACCUCGAGGAGACAUUCGAGCUUUUGAGGAAGUAUAAGAUGAAGCUCAACCCGGAGAAGUGUGCUUUUGGGGUCGAGUCAGGGAAAUUCCUUGGAUUCAUGGUGAGCCAUAGGGGGAUUGAAGCAAAUCCCGAGAAAAUCCAGGCGAUUGUGCAAAUGACGUCUCCUCAUAACCUGAAGGAGAUGCAGAGCCUCACGGGGAGGUUGGCGGCGUUGAGCAGAUUCAUAUCCAAGGCUACAGAUAAGUGUCAGCCAUUCUUUCAAGUAAUAAGGAGGGGAAAGAAAACAGAAUGGACCCCAGAAUGCGAGGAAGCCUUGCGGAACUUGAAGCAAUACUUGCAGCAAGCUCCGCUGCUGUCCACACCGAGGGAUGGGGACAUGUUGUAUCUGUAUUUGGCGGUAUCGGAUCGGGCCGUCAGUUCUAUUCUGGUGAGAGAGGAAGAAGGAGUUCAGUAUCCGAUAUACUACACCAGCAAAGCCCUGCUCGACGCUGAGACCAGAUACCCACCGUUGGAAAAAUGGGCACUUGCCCUUGUGGUUGCUGCUCGGAAGUUGAGGCCAUAUUUUCAAGCAUUCCCGGUUUCGGUAGUAACAAACCAGCCAUUGCGUCAAACUCUGCACAAGCCAGAUGCCUCUGGUCGGCUCGUCAAGUGGGCUGUAGAGCUGAGCGAGUUCGACAUAGACUAUAAACCCCGCGCAGCGAUAAAAGCCCAGGCAAUGGCUGAUUUCGUAGCCGAAUUCACAGAGCCCGAAGUAUGCUUAGAUCAACAAGAUGCAGAUAUAGGCAAUGACGAAACUCAAGUAUGGCAGAUGUCUGUGGAUAGGUCAUCAGGGGAGCGGGGUUCAGGAGCAGGGAUUGUCUUGGAAGGCCCAGAGGGGGAGGAGAUCUCUUAUGCUGUAAAGUUGGAGUUUGCAGCCACGAAUAACCAGGCAGAGUAUGAAGCCUUGAUAGCAGGUCUGGAAUUAGCUAAGGCCGUGAAAGCAAACAGAGUUAAGAUCAGAACUGAUUCCUAGCUGGUUGCAAAUCAUGUCAGUGAAAGAUUCCAACCAAGAGAGGAGAAGAUGGAGCAGUACCUGAAGAUAGUCAGGCAGAUGAUGGGGAAGUUUGAAGCAGUGGAGGUAAUACAAAUCCCCAGGGAGCAGAAUAGUCGAGCAGACAUUUUGGCUAGGAUGGCAGCAGUAGCCGACCCAAAAAUGCCAAAGUCGGUUCCUCUGGAGGUGAAGUCCAGCCCAAGUAUUGGUCAGAAUUUGGGGGUGUUGCGGAUAGAACAAAAAUGCUCGUGGAGGGAUCCGAUAGUUUCAUACCUUAGGGACGGGGUAUUACCACCAGAUAAGGUGCGAGCUCGCAAGCUUAGAGCCCAGGCCUCGAGAUACACGAUGAUUGAUGGGGUACUGUAUCGGCGAGGAUAUACACUAUCGAUUACUUCACGAAGUGGAUAGAGGUAGAAGCCCUUAGCAGGAUCACAGAGUCGAGCAGACAUUUUGGCUAGGAUGGCAGCAGUAGCCGACCCAAAAAUGCCAAAGUCGGUUCCUCUGGAGGUGAAGUCCAGCCCAAGUAUUGGUCAGAAUUUGGGGGUGUUGCGGAUAGAACAAAAAUGCUCGUGGAGGGAUCCGAUAGUUUCAUACCUUAGGGACGGGGUAUUACCACCAGAUAAGGUGCGAGCUCGCAAGCUUAGAGCCCAGGCCUCGAGAUACACGAUGAUUGAUGGGGUACUGUAUCGGCGAGGAUAUACACUAUCGAUUACUUCACGAAGUGGAUAGAGGUAGAAGCCCUUAGCAGGAUCACAGAGAAGAAAACAACGGACUUCGUGUGGAGAAACCUGGUCUGUCGAUACGGGAUCCCUUAUGCCUUGGUAACGGAUAAUGGCAGGCAGUUCGAUAAUCACAGCUUCAGGGAUUUCUGCCAGAACCUCGGGAUAGAGCUGAAGUAUUGCUCGCCUGCUCACCCUCAAUCGAACGGACAAGUAGAAGCAGCCAACAAGACCAUCAAGAGGCUUUUGAAAACCAGGCUUGGAGCAAAAAAGGGUGCGUGGGUUGACGAGCUGUCAGGUGUGCUAUGGGCAUACAGAACAACCCACAAAACAGCAACUGGGGAGACACCGUUCGCUUUGGCUUUCGGACAUGAAGCGGUCGUGCCGGCCGAGAUAGGAACGACCACACACCGGACAAAUCAUUUCAAUGAGCAGGAGAACGACGAGCAGAUAUGUUUGAAUCUUGAUCUGCUAACGGAAAGGAGGGAGCAAGCAGCCGAGCGAUCGGUCAUUUACCAACAGAGGGUUGCUCGGUAUUAUAACCAGAAGGUGAACAUACGGCAAUUCAGGGUCGGAGACUGGGUACUGAGAAGAGUGAAUCAGAGCACCAAAGACUCGACUCAAGGAGUGCUGGGACCGAAUUGGGAAGGGCCAUAUAGAGUCAAGCAGAUAGCGGGACCUGGAGCUUACAAGCUGGUACGCACGGACGGCCACGAGGUGAAACGCCCAUGGAACGCAGCACACCUCCGAAAAUACUUCCAGUAAGACUUGUUCACAUGUGAAAACUAUUUUUGCUCAUGUUCAUUACCGUUUAUCUUUCACACUUAUUGUCCAAACAAUCUCAUGUAAGUCGAAUCUUGCCAUUAAUGGAACGUCGAAGAAUUUCUUUCGCUUGAAACCGAGAAAGUUGCCUAAGGCAUGCAAAGGCUCGACAAAGUCUCAAAGCCUGUCUUAUGGCGAGACAGAAGCCAAGCAUGCCAGGAUCUGCUCGGCCACGAGAAGGCGAACAGAAUCCCAAUCCUUGAAGAAAUGCCUAAGGCAUGCAAAGGCUCGACAAAGUCUCAAAGCCUGUCUUAUGGCGAGACAGAAGCCAAGCAUGCCAGGAUCUGCUCGGCCACGAGAAGGCGAGCAGAAUCCCAAUCCUUGAAGAAAUGCCUAAGGCAUGCAAAGGCUCGACAAAGUCUCAAAGCCUGUCUUAUGGCGAGACAGAAGCCAAGCAUGCCAGGAUCUGCUCGGCCACGAGAAGGCGAGCAGAAUCCCAAUCCUUGAAGAAUCCAAGGCAUGCAAAGGCUCGACAAAGUCUCAAAGCCUGUCUUAUGGCGAGACAGAAGCCGAGCGUGCCAGGAUCUGCUCGACCGUGCGAAGGCGAGCCGAAUCCCAGGCAUUGAAGAAUCUCCAAAGGCAUGUGGCGAAACCAUGAGCCAAGCCGGAACCUGCUCGUCUAGACAGACACAAGCAGAUUCUCAACCGAAAAUUAAUUCAUAAUUACAACACAAGAAAGUAAUCAAAAACCAUUUUUAUUAAUUUGUUAAUAAUUAACAGAGGGGACAAUCUCAAUGAACAUUGUUCAUUACAAUACAAGAAAUAUAUCAAGAAGAUGAUGGACCAGUAAGCCCGGCAGCAUCGGUUGGCUGGACCUCCUCAGGUGCUGGAGGGGUAUCACCAGUUGCGUCCGGGGGGGUACUUGCCUCGCCGACAUCAGCAGGGACUGCAUGAGCAGGAGAGUCUUCCUCCUCAAUCACGAUCGGCUCUACCCCAUCAGUAUCUUCCUUAGCCGCCUCCUCGUCCAUGUGUUGAGCAACACCAGCUGCAAGGUCAUCCAUCUUCAGAUCAGGGUGUUGCUUCCCGAGGACGGCCAUGAUGCAACGAUAGGAAUGCCGAAGGCCCUGGUCGUACUGGUUGUCAGCCUCCCUCUCCAAGUUCUCGACCUGAGCUCGGUGGGAGUCGCGGAGAGAUUCGAGCUGAGCCUCAUACGUAGCCUUCUGCCUUUGCAGAUCCUCCUUGACCUUGGUAAGCUCCUCCUCGAGGGAAAUGGCUUUUGCUUGAGCAAGUGAUUCUUGCUCUAUCAGCUUCAGAUUCUCGAGAUUCAGCUCCCCUGCUUUCUUCUCGGCAACGUCAGCCCUGGUCGUCGCCAAUUGAAUAUCCUCCUUCAUCUUCCGGUCGUAGCGGCCAACCUUAGCCUUGUAAUAGGUGGUCAGGCAGCUGAGGUGGAAAGCGUUAUGCUGCAUGGCCCCCACCAGCUCACCCAAGGUGCGGCCGUCAAAGUCCUCCAGGUCCUUCUUGCUCACGAGUUUAGUUAACUCAUUGAGGUAAGGGACCAGAUGUUCUGCUCGGCUGUCAGGUAAGCGAGACCAAGGCCCGACAGGAGGAGAAGAAGAAGCAGGAUCUGUGGCUGCUCCACUAGCUUCCCCGACUUUCACAGAAGCAGGAGGUAAAGUCUUCAAGGGUGGGACCUGCUGCACGAUGUUGGCCCGCUUUGCAGCAGGGGCAUCCUUACUCUGGUCCCUCUUCGUGGUUGGAGGUCGGGAACGUUUUCGGGUCAAAGCCCCAAUCACAGCGUCCUCCAUCCUAUAGCCAGGAAGUAUCAAGCGAGACUCGAGCAAGUUGUAUGUAGUUAACAGUUCUCGGCUCGAGCAGGAAUUGGCUGGUCAGGUUCAAGCGGGAAGUGGACACCCCAAGAAACUACAACACAAACAGACACUUGGUUAGAGACAAGCCAAUAAAGCAAGAACAAUUAUGAACGCAAGACAUCUAGAGCGAGCAGGCAACCUGGGACCGUGAAACGGGGUGGGACGCGACAAUCCUUCCCGUCUAUUUGUGCAAUUUGACCCCAAGGACCCCCAGCAAAAAAGAAUUUCCUCUUCCAAGCCCCACCACCACCGGUUGGAAGAUCGGUUAUGGGUUUCCGGCUCUUGGUGCUAGAUUGGAAGUAGUACCAGCCGGCAUCUUUGGGGCUGCUCUUUAGCUGGUACAAGUGCUUCACCUCAUCAACCGUGGACUCGCUUCCGAAAAAGGACUUUUCUCAUUAAUUUUUGAUCUUCAAGUUAAGUUUGUUUCAUUUCAAAAGGUAUUAAGUUUCAAACUUGUCGUGUUGGGAGGUUGGAUAGUUGUAACGUAAGACAUCUGCAGGCUUCCGGUUCAAAACAUUACAGUAUGGCAUUUUAUUUUGUCACAAGGGAAUUAGUUAUGGGAUCCCUUCUGCAACGAUUUGUUGAUGGCGAUGAUGAACUCCGCAAUAGUAGGCUGAAGCUUAUUCCAUCCGUUCCUAAGAUAUCCAUCUUGGUCUGCAUCUAUUAGGACUUUGUUAACAUGUCGUAACCUUCACUGCAUGGUACACUUCAAUUUGUUCAAAGAAGGCAUACAUUUAGGUAUAAAUGUAUUGAUGGGUUGUACCUUCUAACUUAAUGACCUUUUUUCACUCUGUUGAAUUUGUUUUGCACCUGCUCUUGAUUUUAAGCGCUAAAUCAUGCAGGGGUCAUGGAUCGUGCACCAGAGUGUUGGAAGCACCCCUUGUUUAUUAGGAAAAGCAGUUGAUCGUAAUUUUAUCCGCGGUCCCAAGUUCGUAGAAGUAAACGCUCUUGGAAUUUCUAUAAUACAUGAGAUGUUCCCCUUUCAAAUAGCUCGUCCGAUACCAUUAACAUGGUUUAACAUUGUUCCUCUGUCUUUAGAUUGAUGUUGACAUCGGUUCUUCUAAUAUUGCUCUUCUUUAUCUUACACGUGUCUCUUCUUUAUCUUACUCUUUAGUAUGCAGUCAAACACUACAGAUGAAUUACCAGAACGGCUGAUUGGAACCAGAAACAUCAUGACUGUGGUUUCAUUGCACCUCAACUUUUUUUAAUACCCGAAAAAAAAAAAUCAUUUGUUUUAGGUAUACGCACAUGUAUUUUGAUCCCAUUUUCAUUGUUUUCUUUGGAUGAAAGUCAUUGAUGUUUCCAAAUGAGACUUUUGCAUAAGUAUAGCUAGUAGGAAAUUUUCUGAUUCUUUAUUUACUAUUUUUGGAAUCUGAGUGUAAUAGUUUUAAAAUUGUUUAAUCGGUCUCUAAAUGUCGUACUCACAAGCAAACAAGUGAACUGAUUGAUUCCCAACCGUCACUCAACCGGUUUCCAACUUUUUAAUAUACACAAUAACUGUGUUUGUUGAAUAGCUAAUACUAUUAAAGCUCAACAUUAACAUAGAUACUAAUGGAAAAAUUGAUUUUCCUAUGAUGCUGUGUAAAGAAUAUGGGUUUACCUACUUCCAUAAGAUCGAAAACAUGAUCUUGACUUCACGUGAUUCUUUUAAUUUAGAGAGUGCUGGUUUGAGAAGGUCAGCUUGACGGAUUACUUCCUUUUAAUAAAUGUCAAUACACUAUAUUUGAUAAUACUAUAAAAAUGUAAUAAACAUUGUCUUGUGCUGUUUUCUUCAACUACAGAUCCUCAAUUGAAUCAGUCAAUCAGGUUAGAAAUCAAAUGCUUAAAAUACCAAUUGGAGAAACAAUAUAGAAGUUGAAUAUUGCAUGCAUAUGAAACAUCAAUUCAAGCCCUCACUUAACCAGUGUGCACCAAGCAAAUCCAAAGUGUCUUGCAAUUAUGUAGCAUGACCAAAAUGCUAUAAAUGCAUCUGGGAACAAAUUUUUGAAGUAGAGGAAAACGUGCAAGUUGAAUCAUGUAUAAGAGAUCGGCUUGGGUCGAGAUAGCUUCUUCUUUAUACUUGAAGGGUGGGCUCAAUCUUGUCUUUAGAAUUCUGCAUGUUUGUAAUUAUACAUGUGUAAGCAAGCAUACAUUACCAUAAUAAUAACAAUAAGAAAAAAGAAGCAAAUGUUAUGAUACGACUAUAAACUCCAUCAGACAAACAAUAAUGUAUAAAUUAAUGUGACAUAAUAUGAUUGAUUAAACAAAAACAUCACAUGGACCACUUGAUUUAUUUUUUAUUAUUAUAUAUUUUCAGUCGACCAAUCAUAUUAUACCAUAUCAAUUUCUACAAAAUAAUUUGGUAGUUAGCGCCAAUACUUAGUUAAUUAAUACUGACCAUUUCAUUGAACAAUUUAUGUAUGGUGUCAUUGAGGUUGCCUUCCCAGCAUCCUUCUUAUUUUUCGGUGAGUUUCACUUUAUUUAGCGUUGGCGUGCCUAUGAUUCCUUGAGAGAAAAUCUUCAUCUUUGGGCACUGUCUCACAAGUACUUGUUUCAAGGACGGGAACUCAAGAGUGUAAUUACCUGAAUAAAAGCUUGUUAGGCUUGGCAAACAGUCAAGUCCCAAGUACUCCAAUUUCCCGAAAACAAUGCAAUCUUUCGCUUCUUCAUUUAAUAAUUAUAGAAGAAUAUUGGCUUAUAGAGCAUUUUAGUAGGGAUAAGAUUUGUGGACAGAAUAAAUGAAAUAAUAAAAAGCAUAGCUGAUCAAGUCAUUAUUGAUCUUAUUUUGAUUAUUACAUUGCACAUUAGUUUCUUUUUAAAAAUGCUAUUCUUCAUUCAAGCUUUCGCUUUAUCUUUUAUCAGGCAUCCUACAAAUCUUAUCCCUACUAAUAUGCUCUAUAAGCCAAUAUUCUUCUAAAAUUAUUAAAUUCCAUUCUUCAUUCAAGCCUUCAUGGACACUAUUUACAAAUUGUUCUUGUAUUUGACAGAAAAAUGAAAACUCCUCAUCAUACAAAACUGCAUGAACAAAUCUUCAAUUUAAUUAUGAUAAAAUAAUAAAUUCCAUUAAUAGAUUAUGUUGUAUUUUUUUUUUUUUUGACCACGAGAUAUCCUGAGGAGGGCCCCAAUUGUGGGAGGCACCUUUAAGCUCGUACCACAACCCAUACUAGAAGUCCCCACGGGAACCGGGAGGCACAAUUUCUCCCAACAAAGACGAUUUUCCUGCGACUCGAACUGGGGAGCAAACCCAGUCAAGCCACUUAGAGCCAACACUUUGUUGGUUAUGUUGUAUGUUAAUGUGAGGGAUUUGAUCAGGUGAUCAUAUAAUUUAGUAAACGCUUUAAGAAGAACAAGAAUUAAUAAGUUAAAAAUUAAAAAAAUAAAUAAAUAAAGAGUAGAUGGAAAGAAUGUUAUUUGCAAUCACUAAACCAAAGAACAGGGGAAUGAUAAGAGAGGACGGUUACUGCAACAAUAUGAAGUCAACAAUAUAAAGUGUUUACCAACUUAAAACCAGGGCUAUAAAGUGUUUGAUGAAUUAUUUUUUAAUUAAAAAAAAAAAACUGAUUUAGCGGGAUAAAACAAUGCUCCAUUCCGUUUAGUAUGUGAAGUCCAGAGUAUUACCUACUACUAACUAAAUCCGCUUGAUUCACAAGACUACCAAGAGAUAACUGAAUCAUUAUUUAAUUUUACUAUUAGGAAACCUACUUAUAUAAGGCGCAAACCACAAAUUCUAAAUUAAAUACCUAACCAUAAAUUAAGAUCAACCCUAACAGUCAUCCACCAGGUGCCGUGUAGGCUGCAUCAUAAAUUCUGAUUUAAAUAUUUGCAAUCACCGAACAGAAAAACAGGGGAACGAAAACAGAGGAGCCCUAUUUUUCCAUUUUUUUAACCCUUAACUCUUGCUCUUCUAAUUAUAUUUUUCCUUGGAAUUUCAAGUAUGAGAUGAAUUUGGAGAAAGUAAAUAAAUUUGAAUUACGUGAAAAAUUCUAAUUUUUUUAACCCUUAACAGUUGGUAUAUUUUUUUUAGGUCAUAGAUUAAUAAAUUUCUUUUAAAAAAAUUUAUAAUAUCAAUUAAUAUUAUAACCUAUAGAUUAAUACAGAUAAAAAUAUGAUUGAUUUAUCUCCACCACCUAAGUCUUAGCCAAAUUUAAUUAAAGAUUAAUUUAAUAAAUUACCGAAAAUAAUAAAGUAAACGAAAAAUAAAGCACGCAAUUAAGUAAUCAUGCUUCUAAAGGGCUAAUUAACCAUAAUAGGCAUAGGUAUUAAUUUGACUUCUAUGAAAGUCCCUUCUAGUUUCUCAAAAUUCAAAAAUUACAAUAAAAAGCCAAAGAAAAAGUCAAUGCUUCUAAAGUAGAAAAGUUUGAGUACUAGAUAGGCUGCCCAAAAUACAUUUUCAUUACUCACAUAUCUCUAUAGAAAGUAAUUUUUUUAAUAAAAACAACCUAUUUGGCUAAUAUUCAGUAGUCUUUUUUGUUGAUGGAAUUAUCCUCUUAACAAUAUUUUAAAAAGUUUACAUGAAUAUUCCUUUUUUAAAAAAAAAAAGAAUAAUAACGUGUAUUGUUAGGAUAAAAAUGAUCAUCAAUACGUAUGUAUAUAGGCACAAAUAUAUGAAAAAAAAUCAAGUUUAAGUACAAUGUAUAGGUCAAUGCCUAAGAGUCAAGCCUAAAUUAGGGGUAUAAAAAACUACAAAAUACAAUUUCGUACACUACAAAAUUUUGAUAUCAGCAGUAGGGGUAUAAAAAAAUCAUUGUUGCCAAAAAUCCAAAAGCUAACUAGAGGUUUGGUUUUGUUUCAAAAAUUAAAAAAACAAGUCAAUUCGUAAAAUCAAAAACAGAAAAAGAAAAACAAAAUAUAGAGGAAUUUACAGUUUAAAAAGAAAAACCAAGCCAAAACGAAAUUGAAUCGAAAGUCGAACCAACUCAGUUCAGUUUGAUUUGAAUUUUAUUUUAUAAAAAAAAAUGAUCGGAACCAACUAAACUGUAUUAUGUUAUAAAUUAUUAUAUAACAUAAAUUUUUGAAUACCUUUGUGACGAGCACAAUUUAAAAUUUUAUGAUUUUAAAUUUUAACAUUAAUGGAGAGUUAAUACUCCACCAUUUUCCAAUUUUUACAAUACAUAUUACCAGUUUAGAUAUGCUGUAUAUUAUUGUUAUAAUUUUUCGAGCAAGAUAAUAUUUGUCAAUUGGUGUUAUGACAUCAAAAUACUUGGUAUUAGUUAGUGCUAAGUGCUUCUUUUUCUUAAAAAAAGCGGUUCCUUAGUUUUAAAACAAAAAUCAUUAUCCUGAAAUUCUCCAUUUGCUUUGUUAACAGAUAUAACAAAAUAAAGUGAUAAAAGUUUAAUUUAUAAAACUUCGGCAUUUAUAUCUAUCAGAUUCAACACUUUAGUGUCAUAGAUUUAUUUCGGUGGAGCACGAUGUGGGUUGGGCCAGGCUUAGAAUUUUAAGCACGAGAGCCUUAAAAAUAUGAUAUGAUUAGAGAUGGACUGAGCACAGCACGAUGAAAAUGCCCACAAUAAGCACAUUAUAUUUUUUUAUUGAAAAUAAACUUAAAAUUUUAUGUUUUAUAAAUAACUUGAAGUUGAAUUUUUUAAAUUCAUUUAAUUCUUAGUUUAAAAAAAUAUUAUAAUUAAUUUAUAUUUAUAAUUUAUUAAAUAAAUAAUUGAUAUCAUGAUUUUAAUGAAUAAAAUUAUAAAUAUAAUGAUUUUAUAAAUAUGCAUUAAUAUUAUUGUGAACUAUGAUCUAUGACUCUAUGUAACUCUAAGUUAACAAUUAAGUUAACCCUUAAGAAAAUAUUAUUAUUAUUAUUAUUAUUGUUGUUGUUGUUGAGUAUUAAAAAAAUUAUAAUACUAAGAGGUCAAACUUAGAUCUAUUAAAUAUUACAUUUUCUUACUAUUAUUAGUUUAUUAUUAUUGAAUAUAAACUUGAGUUUUGAUUUUUUGAUUCUAUUAAAUUUGAAUAAAAGUAUAGACCUAAGAAAAAUAUAUAGACUUGAAAAAAAUACGCCAACAGUUUAGUAUGCCCUUUAAAAAUUAAAAAAAAAAAAAAACUUAGUGAGCUUUUUUUCUUAGGCAUAGCACGGCAUGUAUCGGCAUGUGUGUUAGGCCGGACCUAAACAAAAAAAAUAAAAUAAAUCUCGACACGACACAACACAAGCAUAAGCACGCAUGGGCCUUACUUACUGGCCCGACCCAUUGAGCAUCUCUAACUGUAUCUAUCUCCGCCAUAAUAAAUUAAACAUCGGGUAACUACUAGACUAGGCAUUAGCAUAUAAACUAACUAACUAUAGUACCAAAAAGAAUGAUGCGACAUUGUAAAAGAGAUGGGGCAAAGGGCAGAAUGGGAAACGAAUGAACCAAAUAAUAGUAUAUAAUAAUAUGGAUUUGGUAAAAAUAAAAAAUAAAUAAAAUAAAGUGGUGACACGUACCUCCUUUUAUUUCUCGAUCGAGUAGUGCAGAAAGUGGAGUGUGUGUGUGUGUGUUAAUUGUGAAAUGUCAGCCAAUUUUUUCUCUCUCAUUCUGAAACAGCUCAGCAGGAAUAGUGUACACUAGAGACGUCUGUCUGUCAGUCAGAACUGCCAAAAGAGCAAAACGGGUGCACGUACAAAUUAAAUCAGCCAAUCAGCGAUAUAUUUCAGUUACUAAAAGCUAGCACAGAGGGAACAAGCAAUAUGCAGGGCCAAAAGAGAUGAGACCCCUGAACCCGAACCCUCCUGAAUGAUCUGAUCACAUCUGAUUCGAUGUCUCGAGUCAUUAGAUUUAACAUAUUUUAACAAUAUUUCUCAGUUAAUAUGUGAUUUAAUUAAAGGUCAAGUUUACAUCUGAAAAUGAACUUAUUAAAAAUUAAUUUGAAAUAACAUCUAAGAUAUCUAUUUGUUUAUAAUAAAAUUUAAUUGUCAUAUCAGAAUUAUUUUCCGUUAGACUUUACAAUAAGUUAAUCCCAAAUAAAUUGACAAUUUCAAUUUUAAAGUUAGUUUGUAACUUUAAAAUAAUUUUCUAAUAAAAAUUUAAUCUGAAACAUUUGCAAUAAUAUCAAGUAUUUUGAUGUAAUAACACCAAUGUUUCACAUGCACACACAAGUCAUAUAUAAGUUAACAAAAACAUCAUUUGUUAUUAACAAAAUCAUGUUAAUUUUUAAUUCUUAAAUUAACUCCCUAUUAAAUUUUGGCUAAAUGUUAGAGUGCAAUUUAUGCACUAGUUUUGCAUUGUUUACUUCCCUUAAUAUCGAUGUUUUGCACUUAAUAAUAAUGUUUUACUUGUGUUUUACUUUUGUAGGUGCAAUUCUAUUGAUUGAUGAUAAAAUUGAGCUAAAAGAUGAUGUUUAAGGAGGAUUGUUCUCUUGGAGAAAUUAUGAGCGUCAGAAGAACUUUGUUGAUAAGGCGUGGGCGCGUGCUGUCAACUGCGGACCUGCAGUUUUUAGUUUAACGUGUUUUGUAUUUUUGGUUAUUUUUGUAAUUACGAAUUUAAUAUUUCAGAUAUUAGUAUUUUAUUUUAAAUAGAAUUCUAAAAGAGAAGAGAGAGAGAGUAUUUAAGGGAGGAAUCUAUUGUGAAAAAGAGGAUUUGGAUUGGAGAAAAAGAAAGAAACCCUAGAUCUAAUUUUUCUCUUCUCUCUAUGAAGAACUAAACCUAUUUUUCUGGUUGAAGGAUAAUGAAGCUUUGAUUCAUCACUACUGUGAGAUCUUUCUUAUGCUUUAAUUGUUUUAUUACUUUUUGGGUAUUUGUUUAUUCUCUGAAUUAGUUUCAUGAUUAUGUUUGUUAAUUAGGUAAUUGGCCACUAUUUAAUUAUUAACUUAAUCUAUUGUUAAUUAAAGGAUUCAUCGUAUGAAGAAUUUAAUGUUUGUGACAAAUAACAUAGCAGAGAGUUGUGUUGUGAGAAUAAACAAUCUAAUUUAAAUGAAUCAUCAUAUGUGUUGAUUAGGAUUUGGGUCUCUCUAGUUUUUCAGGCUGUCAAUUGAUUAAAUCCUAUGAUCGUAUCUAGGGUUGUCUAUUGAUUAGGGAAAUAUCCAACGGUCGUACCUUGGUUAUCGACUAGUUAAGGAGAGAUUGGCUAUUAGAGGGUCUCAAUAGCUAUAACCGGUCUAUUCAUAAGUAAUGAUAAUCUAUAUUUGAAUCAAUGAUCAGUAGUCGAAUCAAGCUGAGUUAAUUCCUUCAAUCAGAGCUUUCUCCAAUUUGAAUUACAACUUUAAUUUGCAUUCUUGUUACUUUAAUUUGAUUUUUAUUAUUGUCAACAAUUCCCCCAUUUUACGUUUUACGUUUCAAAAUGAUUUAAAUAAUUACCGAUCUCUGUGGACACGACCCUGCUCAAUCACUAUACACAAUUUAUUUAGAGUAGGAAUUUAUUUUUGUUGGCUUCGACACCCAUCACUAAAUCAUUAUUGCAAUUUAUAAAUUAAUAUUUAUAAAAAAUUAUGAAUCAUCCAAAAAGCUGCUUGAUAUAGAUUAAUUUCAUGGUCAUCAAUUUUUUUUUAUUUAUAUACCUUUAAAUUAUCACUUGUAUCAUAUGAAAAGACCAUAUUACCCCUCUAACGUCAUCAUAUUUAAACGGCAACUAAGCUAUGGUGAACGACAUUAUAUUUUGUCAACUUAAGAUGAAUGACUGAUAUACCCUAAAAGUAUUGUAGUAAAUUUGAUAAUAAAGUAUACAAUUGAUAAUUUUCCUAUUUAUAAUUUAUCCCCUUAAUUAUGAGUAAUUUUGUUUUUGUCUUCAUUUGUCCCUUUCCUACAAAACCGUACAAGUUACAUAUAUAAAACAUUCUUCUUUAAUCAAGUUUGGAAUAUUUUCAUCCUUAUGUAAAAUUAUGCAUAUAUCUUUUGAGUUUCUCAAUUGUACUUGAAAAAAAAAAUUACAUUUAAUCACGGUUGGUUAUCCAUAAAAAAUUUUAGGUGGAAAGUUCACGCGUUUUAAAAUUUAAUUGUGGAAUUAUAUUACAUUUAUUAUUUAGUUUCAAUUUAAUCAUGUAUCAAAUUCAUAUUUUAAAACAUGUGGAAAUUUAUAAUAUAUAAUGAUUCUAUGUAAAUAUAUUAUCUCAUUUCUUCAUUCUUUUGUUAUUAGUUCUCCUCCACCACAUUAGAUAUAUUUUGAAGUUUUCUAAUGUAAAUGUUACUAACAAAUACGCAUUGAAUAAUUAUCGGGUAGUUUAUAUUAUAAUUUAAUAAUAGCCACAACAUAAAUGUACAAUUUGGUGAUAGUAAAUGCCAUUACAUGAAAAUGAAAUCAUCAUGUUGCAAACAAGAUGCAACCAAGGGAUUGCAAACAAUGUUAAGUUACUAUUGGGUCACUUGAACUCCUGGGCUCUCUCCUGUGUAAUUUAUAUUAGACUGUCGCGUACAAAACGCAGACAUAUAUAUACAUACAAGUAGUGCUUUGGCAACAGACACAAUAGCCAAGAAGCAGCCCUUGUUUUCAAAUUCAUUCAAAUGCCAGCCUGCAGUUUUGAAUCCUUCAAAUUGUGCUCCACCUUUUGAGGGGACGAUGAAGAGUGAAAGAAGAGACAAAUGGCAGAAAUAUCAUCCAUUGCAAUGCCUCGUUUCUUAUAUUUCCAUGCCCGAACAGCACAUUCCACCAAUCUUUUUGCUGCCUUUUCCCUAUCCACUACUGAAGAAACAAUCUCCACCGCCUCUUGGUUCGAAAUCACAUCCCAAACCUGAAGAACAAUCCAUAAUUGAUCUUUCAAACAUUGACGUUAGUUCAGAUCAAAAGAUAAUUCCAAUAUGUGGAUACGUAUCCCGUCUGAUGCCAGAAUGAUAAAUUGGUCUCGUGUUGUUAUGUUUCUUUGCGUUACAUGGGGCACGGAGAUUAGGCCAUAGUCCUUGACACAGUAAUCACCCAAGGCUCUUGAUAUGGCUAGUCCCGGAGUCUCACCAUUCGGCAUCCAGACUCUGUAUACGCCUGGCUCAUCAUUUAAGCAAAACACAAGCCCUUUGGACUGCGUUAUUCGCUCCGCUUCCUCUGUAUAGGCCAGUGAAGACAAGAACCCGUACGCAGACCUUAAAACACACCCAUAUAUACACCUACACGAGGCAGAAAUAUUUAAGAGACAAUGAGAUAAUUGAGAUCUGAUUGGUAAAAUAUUGUUAAUUAAUAAAAAAUAAUUAAUAUACUUGCUAUUUAAGUAUUUUACUAAUACUUUAAACAUCAGUAUUCAAUGAUGUUAAUAUGUGAUUUUAAUAUUAAAUUUAUGUUCUCAUUUAUAACAGUAUGGUCAUCAGUAUUCACAACACAUCAUAUAUUAAUGUAUGGGUUUAUUAAUAUUAACAAACAUUUAUUUCCAAAUAAAUAUGGUAGCCUUAGUAUUUAAGAAUAUUCUUUAUUGUCUAGUCGUCUGUCCAAGGAAGAACGGGCCAUCAUCAAAUUUAUCAACGGCCUUCUCUAAGUAAUCAAAAGCAGGACCUGUGACAAAUUAAAACUUUUUCCGUGAGUUCAGCACAUAUAUAUACAUAUUCAAAAUGCAUUCCAUUAUAAACAAGUAAGCAAGUUUCAAAUCCUACCAGCUUGUUUUGCUGGGUCUCCUUUGAAUGAAGUAUACACAUCGUUGGUGAAGGUAUCGAUGUGGGAAAACAGUUCAUCAGCAAACUUUCGUUUCUCAGGAUCCUACAAUAUUUUCACAACAUUACUUUACUCAAAGUUGAGAGAGAGAGAGAGAGAGAGAGAGAGAGAGAGAGAAGCUUUUAUUAAAAGCAACAAUGUAAUCAGCAAAAUCUUACAUCAGGUAAAAGUGAAGGCCCUUCAAAAUUGCUGUCAACAUAUUUAAUCAAAUCAAGAGAUUCUCCAAUAACUUUGCCAUUGUGCUCCAGUGCUGGAACCUGUAAAGAACUCUAAUAGGUAAAUAUACUUCAUAACUCCAGCAAUGAUCUCUAAUCUUGCACGAAAGUGUAACAAUCAGUUUAACUCUUUCGUUGUGUUUUCUUGCAAGCAAGCAACUUGCUCAAAUCAGAAUAUGUUAAGAUUUUACUAGGCACACAAAGCACAAAGACACCAUUCCAAUUUUAUUCAGGAACUCCUCCGCACAGAUUACAAGCAUUUCAAUUUCAAAGAUGGGGCAUAAGGACACAGAGUCACAUAAUUAGGCUAUUUGGUAUUGAGGUGCUGUGGUUUUUUUAGCUACAGCUGCCACACGUACCCAAAAAAAAAAAAAAAACUGUAACUAUAAAAUAAAAAUUAAAAAUGCGUAAUAAAUAUGAAUUUUAAAUUAAGAUUUUGACAAAAAUAGUAGAAAUAUUAUAAUUUUACAAAACACUUUAACUCUGUACCUUUUAAUCCAUAGCCGCCCUACCUCAAUACCAAACACAACUAAUCUCUUCCUUUUCUAUAUCUGAAUUGGUCUAUCAACACCUUGAUUAGAAAAAUUCCUAAUUAUUAUUCAGAAACUUUCUAAUACUAUUCAAAAUCUUCCCAGCAGAUUCUAAGCUCCAUGUUAACCAAAAGAAUGCACAUAUUGUUGAUCUAUCAAAUUACUUAAAUGAUCAAUCAAAUAAAAUCAAAUAUUAUUAUUGAUCACACAUCAGCAUCAGCAUCAGCAUCACCUUGUUAACAGGAUAAACCUUCUCCUUGUACCAAGCGGGCCUAUCUUGGAGGUUCAGUGGAACUAACUUAAUCUUGUCUUGUAAUCCCUGCAGCAGCACACCAAAAGUUGUCAAAUUCAAAGAGAGUAUUACGACAAAGGCGAAACGAAUAAACCAUAAAUUACUGUUAUUGUUAUUAUUAUUAUUUUAAUUAAACCUAGAAAGCAGAGACGGGUCAACAGUGAUAAAAAAAAUAUAAUAAAAAUAGUAAAUAAAAAUAAAACCUUGUAGUUCCUGGUGAUCCACACACGCUGAGCAAAUGGGCACGAGUAAGAAAUGUACAACCUGGGAGUUCCAUCGAACAGAGGUGGUAGCUCGGCCUUCGAAUCCAACGGUGGAGGAAGAUUCUCUUGCGCUCUAUCAAAGAUGACACAUGAUCGUUAAAAUAAUGAUCAUAAUUAAUUAUGAAAUUCCAAAAAAAAAAAAAAACCAAAUUCUUGUUGUGGCCAUCGAGGAAGGUAAGACUCUAGAGGUUUCCUGAAUGCUUUUCUUUUGCUUUGAAGAAGAAAGUCAUAUGAUACCGAAAUGUGUCUCUACGCAGAAUGAGUGCGCUUAUAUAUAGAAGCUUUAAAGUAACCUUCUGAAGCCAGCAGUGACGCAAUGCGCACGUGUUAGGGUGUCAUGAUAAUAAUGCAUGUUGCCAAAAAAAAGGGCAAAAUUCUUAUCAGUUUUAGGCAAUUGCCAUGCAUAUUAGUUGGAUUCAAUGGCUGCAAGGGAGAAGCAGUGAGAAUAUCGCUGAUUAAUUAAAUUUGUAUAAUAGAAAAAAUUUGGUAUAUUUUUUUAUGACAUAUUGCUAAAAAUGUGGAGGCUUUGAUAUUAAAAAAGAGUUAUUUAUAAAUAAUGUUAUUAUGUUAUUGUUGAUUAUUAACAAUAAAUUUUUAGGAGAUAUCAUUUGGUUUACAAGUAGUUCAUCAACCGUGUUUAUUAAAAUGUUACAAACAGGAUUACAAAAUAUUAAAUUAUCCUAAACCCAAUUAAUAUCUGCAGGGAUCAGACGACUGUUAGAACAUAUGUUCUAUAAUUUUUCUCUGGAAAAAUAUUAUUUCUUGUACAAACAUAAUAAAUAGCUAUUUAUAACUUAAUAAUUCAAAAAUAGUUAAUUUAUAAAAAGACUAUUCUUGGUGUUAACUAAUGCAGUGGAACUGAUAUAAAUUAACUUAUUGUAAAGAAUUCACUGUAAAGAUAUCAUUUGUUAAUUGUUAAUUAUAAAUAUCCAAUAUUAAAAUUAAUUUCUGAUUUAAUCCAUGAUUGUCAAGCUAUUGUUUUCAUGGUUUACAAUUUUUUAAAAUAGAAGAGGUAAAACAUUAAGUAAAAAGUUUUCAAUCUCGUAUAAAACAAUGUAGAAUGUUUUAACCAAUUCAAAAUUUUUUAUAAUAAAGCAGUUAUUUUCAAAAUUCACAUUAUGUUUCUAUUACUCAUAAAAAAAAAUCCCUUCAAUGAAUGCAGACAUCCUUGAAAGAAACUUCACUACUCUAACAAAAAGGCCAAAAUUUUAGAAAAUGACAGGAAAAGAGAACACCAAUUGUCAACUAGAGUACCCUUUGUGAAAAACACAAUAAUAAAUAGCUGAUAUAUGAUUAGGUUAAUUAAUUGAUUGGAUUGGAAUCAACUUCGGACUGUUUUGCCCUUCCCUGCAGUGCAGCGUAUUAGGUGGCGAAUGAAGUAACUGGCCUCACUAAUUUUAAGUAAAAAGAUUGUUAAUAUUUAACCGCGUCUUAUCAACAUUCUUUGUUUUGAUUAAAAUAUACGACAUCGUUUGCAGAAGAGGCAGCAAGGGCAACAACGUGCCAAGUAUAAUAGACAAAUUUUUUAUCAUAUUAAUUGAGAAGGCUUGAGUUCUGGCCGAUGUUAAUAAAAUUUAAAACACAAAAAAACUGAUAAUGUCACGGCUGGUGAGAUGAUAUAUAAAUAUUAAAAAGAAAAAAAAGAAUUAUCAAUAUUUAAUUUUUGAAGAUUAAACUCAUUAAUUAAAGUGAAUCGUGCAUGCUUUGCUAGCUGAUAUCGCGCGCGCGUGUGUAUGUAUAAAUAUGUUAGAUCAAAUCCAAAGCUAAUUCCAAGUAUUAUAUUAUAUAUAUGUUACUAUUAUUAAUUAGAAUUCCCAAGCUCAAGCUAAUUAAUUGAUGGUAAUCUUUUGGAUGCACUUAAUUGUAAUUAACCGGAUCAAAUUUUGAAACCAAAAUAAUUCACGGGGCAUUCUAGCUUCUAGCUAAUUCAUCCAAAAAAAUAUAAAAUUAUAUAAAAAUAAUAAAAAUACGUGUGAUGUCAGCUUGAUGCGUACAUUCAAAGUUCCAAUUGAAAACAAAUAGAUAUUCAUUUUUCUUGUCAAAUUAUUGAAAGAGACAUCUCUUAAUUUCUUCCAUCACCAGCAACGGUUGAGUGACCUUGUCUUACAUUGUGCAGCAGCCUCCUCGAAGUAAAAAAAAAAAAAAAAUAUAGCCCAUUAUCUUGGCUUUUGGCUGGAUCCAAAUUUUUGUUAAAUACAAAUAAAUAUAAUAUCAAAUUAAAUAUUCCAAUAAACCUUCUAAUAUCUUCUUUGAACAGUUUUAUUUUUAUUUUAUGAGGGAAGAGUAAACCAUUAAAACUAUAAUUCAUCAUAAAUUUAUUGUGCCAAUUUUUUUUUAAAUCCAUAAUUUUGUGAAAUAUAAAUUUUAAGAAUUGAAAAAUAUCAUUAUAGCUUUCAUAUCCAAAGUUAAUUUUGAUAUUUUUGUACAAAUACAUAAUCUUCAAAUGUGGAUAAUGUAAAAGAUGAAAAUUGUCAAAUUAUUAGAUAAUUGUUUUUACAAAAUUUUAACGAUCAGAAAAAUCUUAAUUUAUAUGUCUUAGUUUAAAGAAUUGGUAUUAUCAAAUGUUACUUAAAUGUAAAUAUAAUAUAAAUAUUUUAUGUAUUUAUAUGUUACGUUUAUGAUUUGGUCACUGUUUAUCUAAAUUUUAAUAAAAUCAGACAUAUUUAUGUAAUUUACUCAUUAAAAAAAAAAUCCAUGAUUUAAUUUGCAAUGAUCAAAUUGUUGUAUUUUGUCAUAUCAAAAUACAUAUUUUUGUACAAUUACCCAUUAAGUUUAUGCUACAAUCAAGCUAUUUAUAAUAUAAGUGUGAUUUUUGAAUUUAAUAUUGAUAUUAGUAUUAAAUAUGAUAAUAAAAAAAUAUUUUAUUAGAUAUUAAUUGGGUCAUUUGUGUUAUUGUUUUUAAAAAUUAAUGACCUGCAACAUUAAUUGUCAAUAAUGGGUUUUUUUAAAACAUGCUGGUGCCCGGAUGUAAAUGCCGGUACCUCCCAAGUCAGUAGCCUUAUUAUAAUCCCGUCAGCAUAUUGGCCUGCCCCUGUACCAUUACUCCAAUUGAUGCUGAAAAUAUAACAACAUCAGUGACCGCGUUGUCGUUUCCCGUGAUGUUUAUUCCGAUGCCGGAGAAAUCCUUUUCGCGAUCAUCCCCGCCGAUGUUGAUGUGUUGGCCGAUGAAGGAAUUUCUUAUAUACGUUUCGUGGCCAUCUUGGAUGGAAAUGCCAGCGGUAGUGAAAUGCGAAACGUAACAAUUGUCCACUGUGGUUCUUAUUGAAUUUAUAAUGGCAAUGCCGCCACCCCUAAAAUUGGAGUCCAACAUAAGCUCCUUCAAAGUAAUGUAUUCGUAUAAUGACGAUGAUGAUGACGAUCUUAACUCUAUGAGAUGUCCGUUGCCCGAAAAAUCAUCCGAUGCUCGGAGGGACCCACCGUGUAUCUAUGUAUACAUAUAUAGAUGUUAAAAGUAAGAAUUAAAAGUAAGAAUUAAAUUUUAAAUUAAUAUGUGAUUUGGUAUGAUUCCUGGCAUUUUGUAUUCGGUUUUGUAGUCCUUCAUAAGACUGGCAAAAAUCAUUAUCAAUUAAACAUUAUGUUGUUAUAUUUUUUUAUUAUAUUUUUUUAAUGAUCUUUAUUUUAUUUGCUUUAAACAAUAUCUAUUUUUCAAAAACAAUACUUUUGACAAACAAACCCUAAAGUGAUGAAAGAGAAAGCAUGCAUUUUGCACAUGUUUAUAAAAACAAGAGAGUAUAUUUAAUCUCAAUCUGUAAUUCUGUAUAAUGUAUUAUUCUUAAGUUUGAAUCAAAUUAUUCUUGAUUCCAUCCGCCAAUCCAUCUCGGGCCAUUGAAUUAUGCAUAGCUAUUAUGGUAAUGGUCUCUUUAUUCUCCUCACAAUCAAUUAAUUGUGAUGACCAUACUGUUCUCACGAUUCUCAACCGCAAAAAAUUUAAAUAUUGUAUUGUACAUUUUUAUAAACAAAUUUUAUGUCAUCUCCAUUAUUGUGGAAUUUUAAUAUCCUAAUACAAUAUUAUGAUAGUAAUUGGGUCAAUAUGGGUAUUGGAUCAUAUUAUCGUUAUAAAUAUUAAUUUAUUAUAACUGAGUGUGUAAAGUAUCUUUUUUUAUUGUUGUACCAUAUUUAACUUUUGGCUGCAAAUAUAUAUAUAUUUAGCAUUAUUUAUAUCAAUAAGUUAAUAUAUAUAUCCUUUUCUUUAACAUCAAAUUUAAGUUUUUAAAAAGUUAUGAUAAUUCACUAAUUUGGUAUUUAGGAAAUUAAAUCCAUAUCAAUUUAUUAGAUAUCUUAAACCGUAUGUAAAAAUAGAAUAUUGACCAUUAUUCUAUUAGUAAUAUAUCCAUUAAAGAUUUUGACGUGCUAUGGUCUAAAAAAAUUAACUUGGCGGGAUGUUAUGAUUAUAUUCAAGGUGAUAGGGAAGAAAGUUAUGAGGAGACCCCAUUGAAGCCUAUAUAUUAUAGUAUGCAUAAAGACUCAAAAUGUGCACUUGAAAUAACAGUUGUCACUGACAGGUUAAGAUAAACUACCAAAUUGGCACUUAAAGGAAGAAAUUCUAGUAUUAGUGUCAUAUUUUAUGCCAUAUUAUGUAAUGCAUAUUAGUAAUGAUUUCUUCAUAAUAUCGCAGAUAUAUAAAAGUUCAUCUAGCUAGAUGCAUUGUAGAUUUUGUGAGAAUUAUUUUAUUCCGUCCAAAUGAGUUCACAUUAUUAUCCAAUUUUCCUUUUUUUAAGUUGAUUUAUGAAAGAAAAAAAAAAUGACACCAAUGUUUUCCACGUCGCCGCAAGUCUCAUCGAUAAAAGUCCAUCUACAAAUUAGUUCAUAAUUCUUUUUGUAACUUCGCUAAAAGCUAGUCAAGUCAUUGCUAGCAAGCCUCAAAAGCACGAAGUACGCGAAUCACGGCGAUAACUGAUAAUAACUUGGUUGUCCGGUUUCGCAUACUAAUUAGCUUGAUUGAAAAUCGUGAAGUAUGGGGCACGACUAACGCAACGCAUACGUCUCAUGCAUUAGGCAAAUAUUGUACGCGACCCAUGUUGAGAGCACAAAUCCACUAUCUACAAGUACUAUAUAUAGAGCUGCAAUGCGUGCUUCAAGUAUUCACAACUUACCCCCAGCUGGCUAGCCAGCCUCUAUAAUUUGAAGGGAAAAAAAAAAAAAAAACAACAACCUUGUUCAACUUGCAAAUACCUACCAAUUAUUAUGGAGAAAAGCUUUGAUAUCAUUGCCCUGUCUAUGAUCAUUCUGGUGACUUAUUCAUCUAAAAUGGUGUCGGUCGCCGGCCGGUCGCUGCAUGAACCAUCCAUUGUUGAGAAGCAUGAAAAAUGGAUGGCUGAGCAUGGGCGCACUUACAAGGACGACCUGGAGAAGGAAAAGCGGUUUAAGAUAUUCAAAGAAAACCUUGAAUACAUUGAGAAAGCCAAUGAGGAGGCGAAUCGGACGUACAAGUUAGGCACCAAUGAAUUUUCAGACUUAACUAAUGAGGAGUUUCGUGCUUCAUAUACAGGAUACAGGGUGCCAAGCCAGUCAUCUUCAUCACGGCAAUCCACAACAGCAUCCUUCAAGUAUCAAAACCUGACUGACGUUCCAACUAGCAUGGACUGGAGAGAGAAAGGAGCUGUCACUCCUAUUAAGAACCAAGGUCAAUGUGGUAAGUAAAUCGUAUACUAAAUAUUUAUGAAGUAACUAUAAUAGAUUAUUUAGCCUCCAACCUCUUUCAGAACUCAAACUCAGUUGACCAUCAGCUAAUUAAUAAAAACAGCUUGACAACCGUCUGCCAAACCCCUGCUGGGGCAUGUUUCAUGUAACUUAAUCAAGCCUUUUUUUUUUUUUUCCUUAAUAUGUACGAUGCAGGAGACUGUUGGGCAUUUUCAACUGUGGCGGCGGUGGAAGGGGUGACUGAGAUUAGUAGUGGUAAUCUUAUUCCACUUUCGGAGCAGCAAAUACUAGACUGCUCAAUAGAUGGUAACCGUGGAUGCGGUGGCGGUUGGAUGGACAAUGCCUUUAAAUAUAUUAUAAAAAACCAGGGUAUUGCCUCAGAAGCGGAUUAUCCAUACAAGGAAGUCCAAGGGACUUGUGAAGACGCACAGGUCAAGGCAGCUGCUAAAAUUAGUAACUUUGAAGAUGUAAAACCCAAUGAUGAGCAGGCUUUACUCCAAGCUGUAGCCAUGCAGCCAGUAUCAAUUUGCAUUGAAGGAAGUGGACCAGACUUCCAGAGUUACAAAGGCGGUAUUUUUAACGGAGGAUGUGGAACUCAGUGUUCUCAUGCUGUUGCUAUCGUUGGAUUUGGGGCAACUGAAGAUGGAAUGAAGUAUUGGUUAAUUAAGAAUUCAUGGGGGGAGAGCUGGGGUGAGGCCGGCUACAUGAGGAUUCUCAGAGAUGUUGAAGCACCUGAAGGUCUCUGUGGCAUUGCCACUAAACCUUCCUACCCAGUUGCAUGAGUAGCAGUAUUUUAUAUUAUAAAUAGCCGCCUCUUAAUAAUGAUGUCUUCAAGCCUACACAUGCAUUAGCCUCGAAAGGCUUAUACGAACCGUAUGAAUCGUAUGAUUCUGUGGUUUUACCUAUGUUGAGUAUUUCAUAAGUUGUAAUUGAACGCCAAUAUUUGGUAUUAGUUAAUGUUAAAUCUCUCGUUUAAAUAUAAGUUUGAUCUUUGCAGUAAUUAGUCAUUUACAUUUAAUGCCACGGAUACUCAAUUCGACCAAGAAAUACAUAGUUUAUAUCUUAGUUACUCUGAUAUUUUAUGUGGCAUGUUAUAUGUCGUUCAUUGAUUAAGUUGUAAGAAUAGUAUGUAAAUAAUUAAUAAUAAAUUUAUUUAUUAUCAUUUAUGAGACAAUAAAUGAUUAGUGGAACAUUAAUUAAAAUACAAACUAUUAUUAUUUAUUUAAGAAAUAUAUAUUGGUCAAUGAAAUUAAUGCAAGACAAAAAGUAACUGAAUUUUGAUUACACGCUUGAUGUCUGGAAGUACAAUGAUUAUGAAUUUGUGUUAAAUUAGGUCAAAGUUUUAAGUUAAAAUAAUCAAACCUAUAUACUCACACUAACUUUUAAAGUUUGAGUGGAAUUUGCCCGCUUUAAUUGGGGUCUCAUACAGCAAAAAAAUUUUGGCCAUCUUGAAUUUCUUUUUCUAAUUACUUAUAAAAAUUUAAAGGCUUGGUAAUUUCCCUCCCCCAAAUUCUGUCUUUAUUCCUAAGUAAAUUAGUUAGUCAUUAUUUCAAUAAUUAAAAUUAUUCUAAGUUCUAAAUUUUGGGCGUGGAGGGAAAGUUAAGCGCAAGUAGCCGUGACUGAUUAAUAUUAAACAAUAUAAUUUAAUGCAUUUUUAUUCUUCAUCUAUUUUUUUAAUAUUAGUUUUUGAACAAAAUAGUAGAACGAUAGUUAUAAUUUAUUAAUCAAAUUUUUUUACUUUCAUAUCCAUAUUAUAUUGUCAGUAAUAGUGUCAUGUAAUGAUAAUUAAAAGUAUUAGGAGAUACUUUUAAAAGUCGACCGCCUCAUCAAAAAAUCAGGAUGGCCAAGUGGUCUAAGGCGCCAGACUCAAGUUCUGGUCUUCGAAAGAGGGCGUGGGUUCAAAUCCCACUUCUAAGUAAUUUUUUAUUUUUUAUUCAUUUUUUUACAACGUUACGACUAAACGACGUCAUUUUCAUUAAACGGCAAGUCGUUUCAGUCGUCUUCUUUAACGGAAUAAAAAAUAUCUAAACCGAAGACCAAUGUUUCCAAACCCGCUGUAAACCCUACAGAUAACCCUCAUUGCCACUCGCAUCACUGAGUUCUUAACCUGAGUUAAAAUGGCCGAGUCCGCAUCCGAACUCAGUGAGUUCCGGAUUUUUCCGGCGGACUCACCGCCACCACAACCGAAUUCAACCGGAGUUCCGGUUCAUAAUCUAACACCAGAGGAGCUCGUGGCCAAAGCCAUAGCUCCAGUUAAGAAACAGUUUCUUCGUCAUUAAAUUCCAAAAUAAAUUUUAACAUAAUAAUUAAUUCUUUUAAUAGAUAAAAUUGUCUAUAUGCACGAUUGAAUUCAGCCCCAAAAUGUUAAUUAAAAAACAAUUAUCCAAUAUUCAAGAUAGUUUGAAUCGUCAUUCUCAUAUCGUUAUAAUGUCAUGAAAUAAUUGUACAAAAACAAAUGACCAAUAAAUUCACAAACGUAUAAUAUUGCCUAAUGUAAAUAACUUAUUAAUUAAUAUUGAUAUAUUAUUAAUUACUUAAUGUUUUACCUUUUUAUAAAACAUAAAAUUAUGUUUACUUCCAUUCAAGAUAUCCCAAAAAAAUUAAUCUUUUUGGAUGAUUCAUAAUUUUCAAGAGGAUGUUUUUACACCAUACCAUCGUCAAAUUGAUAAGGGCCAUGUUAUUUUUUAUUUAAUUAAUUUAAAUUUCAACUAGAGAGCUAUUGGAAUCGAUCACUGUAAAAGUUAAGUUGUGAUGUAAUCACACAAUCUUGAGAUCUGCUAUUAGAAAAAUAAUUGAAGAACCAAAUCCCAAUGAAAAUACAUCCAAAAUGAUGUCGUUUUGAAUUUGUUCCAAAAAAAUAAAAUAAAAUCAAACUCACUAAAAAACAACAUGUGUGUUUUUGUUAACCUUUUAUCGAGUUUUAAUUUAAAUAUUUAUCAUGUACUUUUAUAUUCUAUUCAGGACCGGCUCAACCAUAUUUGAGGCCUUAGGCAAAUGGUUUUAAUUAGUUUUUCUUAAAAUUUAAGACAAAAAAUAUGUAUAUUAGUUAUGAGUGAUGAUACAGCCACAAACUCUUGUACAAAUUGACGUGGUAUUAAUUUAUUGGUUGAAUAAAAAUAUAAAAUAAUAAAAACAAAAUCACGUGAGCCAAGUGAUAUUUAAUUCAACCAAUCUUAUCAUGCCACAUCAGUUUAUACAAGAGUUUGUGGUUAUAUCAUUACUCAUAAGUUAUAUAAUAUUUAUUGAAAAUCAAUUCUUCAAACACUCUCUAAAAUGUAAAAUUAUUAAAUAAAAUUAUAUUACACUAUUGUCAAUCCUUGAAAUUUUAAUUCAAUUAUAAUAUUUUUACUUUUUUUUAACUCAAAUUACAUCUUUUAUACUACUUCUUUUCUACAUUAAAUUAAUUUUUUUAUUCUUCUAUUUUCUAAAGUUUUUUUAUAUAGUUAUUUAUUUCACAAUAGAAAAAAAAGCACACAAAAAUAGUAGAUGAAUAAAAGAAUGUAUUAAAAAGAAAUAAGAACACAUAAAUAAUACAAUUAAUUAAGAGAAUAAUAAAAAAUAAAAUCUGAAAUUUGAAAUUUGAGAUGAAAUCAUAAAUUAACUUUAUCUUUAUAUUAAUUAUUUGAAGAUUUGAGUAAUGACUAAUAGCCAUAGAGAAUAGAAAAAAACUAUUAGAUUUUUUCUUUUUUUUCUUGAGUGGAAAGUAGAGGAAGCAAGAUUUUUUUUCCCCUCUCUCUCUUUCUUUCUCUCAAAAACGAAGAACAUAUGGUGUCUUCAUUGUUAGAAGAAAAAUUUAAUGGAUAAGUAAUAAAAUGUGGGGCUUUUAUAGAGGUUUAAAAUGAAUAUAAAACUUUUUAAUUAUAAGUUGUUAAUUCUAACAAUGAAAUAUCAAAUUUAUAGGAUUGAAACUAUUAAUUUAUCGGUUUUGUAGGAAUUAAAACUACUAAGUACUACAUUAAAUAAACUUUAUAGGAACUCGGUAGUUUAUUUGAGAAAAGAUAAUUACAAAAUAAUAAUAAAUUAGAUGCAUAAUAAUGAUUUUUAAAUUCACUUUCCUCUUUUAUAUACAAAAUAAUCAUCUUAUAGGAUCUUCAUGUAAAGUAGGGCCCUAAGCAACCGCCUAAGUUGUCUAGAGAUCGAACCGCUACUGAUUCUAUUACUAAUUUUGAAAUUUUCAGACAUAUUUAAGCUCCACUAUUUUAUUUUUUUAAUCAAAAUAGUAUGUUUAUUAAUAAUGAUUAUAAAAAAAAGAUAAUGAUUCAAUAAUGUUGUUUAUAUAUAUUGAAUCAACUUUAAAAGUCAACAUUUACUUUACACACUCAUAUAAAUGCUAAAAUAACCCUUUAUUUAUUUAUUUUUUUAAGGCUGUAGAAUGUAUUCAUUACAAAGAUAGAGUAAAUUUAAUUUGUGGUAUUCAAAAUUUGAUGAUUACAAUUUUUGAGUUGAUGGUCUUAUGCUUCAUAUUUGCAUUAAUUUUAUGUUUAAUGGUAGAAUUAUCAAGCUCAAUGACAGUGAUUUCAUGUAAAGCUUUAUUUCCUAAUUACAAUUUUAAGUUAAUGGUCCUAGAUUUCAUAUUAACAUUAGUUUCAUAUAUCUUUUAGGUUCAAUAUUAAUGAUUUCAUGUAAUACUCAAUGAUUUCUAGUUUAAUGAUUACAAUUGUAAGUUGAUGGUCAUAUAUUUCAUGCUUAAUAGUAGAAUUAUAUUAAUGGAUGAAGCUGUUGCUAUCAUUUACAUUAAUAUUUAUUUCCUGGAACUCAUUUAUAGCACAUCUCAAUGUCAUUAUUUAAAAAUUUAAAUUGAUGGUUGGUUUUGUAUUCAUUACAUCGGAUGAUUUAUAUUUAAAUAAAUUAUUUCAAUCUCAUAUCGUUUUAUUAUGGGUGAUUUUAUAUCCACAUUAAAAUUUUUAAAGUUGUUAUCAUAACUUUUUAAAAUCAGAGUUGUGUUUAUUUAUCAAUUUAAAACGUCAAUAAUCUACUAUUGGCUUAACAAUUGAUAUUCUCAUUUGGGAAUCAUCAAGAUUUUAAAAUUUUUCAAAGCCCCCAUGCUCAAUUUAUACGCAAAAAAGAGGGGGGGGGGGGUGGGUGGUAAGAUGCAUGAUCAGAAAUGAAUUUGGCAAGUAUUUGAUUGAGUUGAGAGGUCACUAAUCUCACUUAAUUUGCGAAUCACAAUAUGAUUGUUUUCAAUCGGCACCAAAACGAAGGGCUGGUUUUGGUUAUUAUAGUGCCUUGUUCUAUGAAGGAUUUUGGUUACCCACAUAUGGGAUUGAUCUUUGCUUCUACUCAGUAUAAAUUCUUGAAUUAUACUAUAUAUGGGAUUGAGACUUUCGUUAAAUUUUAAUUUAUAAUAUUUUUCCGGAGAAAAGUAAUUAGCAUGAAACACAACAGCGGUGAAUCAUCUCAUUUUUCAAGAAAUAAUAUUUGUCAGAGCUUUUUUUUUAUAUUAGUUUAUAAUUAACUUUUUUUUUUAUAUUAAUCACGAGGUAUCCUGGGGAGGGCCCCAACUGUGGGAGGCACCUUUAAGCCCGUACCACAACCCAGACUAGAAGUCCCCGCUCGAACCGGGAGGCACAGGUUCUCCCAACAAAGGCGACUUCCCUGCGACUCGAACUGGGGAGCAAACCCAGUCAAGCCACUUAAGGGGACUCCAUUGCCAGUGGAGCCAACACUUUGUUGGUUGUUUAUAAUUAACUUUAAUAUGUAAUAAUAUAGCAUAUUCUGGGAAACCUGUUGGGAUAAUUGUUUUUAAUAUUAUUAUGAUAUUACGCAUGAUUGGCAGUCGCAACUCAUCAUCAUCAUCAUCUGAAACCAUAUUAACAAACAUUUAUUUAACAAUAUUCUUUAUGUAAACAGGAUUACCCUAAACCCAAUUAAUAUCUGCAGGGAUCAGAUGACUGUUAGAACAUAUGUUAAAUUUGUAUAAUAUAUGAUUUAAAAAUUUAAAAAAUAAAUUUUUCUUUUUUGGAGAUAACAGUUGGUAUAUUUAUGAUUAGUAAAACUAAAAGUUUUAUUUUUAUUCUAUGUGCUCCAUCAUGGCAGUAGUUAUUUUUUUUGCGAUUAAACAUACUAUUUUGAUUUAAAUGGAUUACAAAAUGGCACAUUUUUUUAACCCUUAACAGUUGGUAUUUUUUUUUAAUAAGAUUAUUAAUGCAUCAAGUAAUCUUGUUUUGAUGAUUGUAACUCGUGACUGCGGGACAAUUUCUAAUGGAAACAACUCAAUUUCGGAAGAAAACUUAAUUUUGCAAGUGAUGAAUUUGAACUCGUUGGAUUGGUUGAUUUAUGAUCGACUGAAUUUCACUUUUCCUCAUAAGAUCUUUAACCAAAGUUUAAUAGCUAUCAUGUACUCCUUAAAAGCAAUUUUUUUUUAGAUUUGACUGAAUUUGAACUUGUUGGAUUGGUUGCUUUUAGAUUAUUAAUAUGAGAUAUUACAACGUAAAUAUUUUCAUGUGGUUGAGCCCUAUUCUAAAAUCUGUAUAGUUAGCUUUAGAAAGAGGGCUUUUCCUGCUGAUCUGUAAUCUUGAAAUAAACUUAGAUAUAAAUAAUGAAAUAAAAGACAACAAACAAGCAAUACUGAUACAAAGCCAACAGAUCAGAGUUUUUGGUACAAAUCCAAUAAAAGACAAUAAACUUAGGACCUUUUUUUCUUGCUUUCUUUUGUUGAAGGAUUAGAGUUUUUGGUAUUAUCAGUAAAGGUUUCAAGGAGUAAAGCCUAUAAACUUUUUUUUUGGGGGGGGCGCCGCCGCGGGGAUUUUACACCAUACCAUCGUCAAAUUGAUAAGGGCCAUGUUAUUUUUUAUUUAAUUAAUUUAAAUUUCAACUAGAGAGCUAUUGGAAUCGAUCACUGUAAAAGUUAAGUUGUGAGGUAAUCACACAAUCUUGAGAUNNNNNNNNNNNNNNNNNNNNNNNNNNNNNNNNNNNNNNNNNNNNNNNNNNNNNNNNNNNNNNNNNNNNNNNNNNNNNNNNNNNNNNNNNNNNNNNNNNNNGAAAAAUUAAGUUUUCAUAGAAUAAAAUGGUACGAUUUUUAAUUGAACAAUUGAGUGCAAUCAGUAACAAAGGCUUUACAUAUGCAAGUAAAAUUUGUAGGUUGCUUCAGAAAAAAAGGGCAUUUCUCACUCAUCUUUAAUCUGCAAGUAAAAUUAGCUACAAAGCAAAUCUAAUAAAAUGACAAACAAAAGAACAAAACAAAGAAAAGACAGGAGGCAAACAACAUUGAUCUUAAGCCAACUGAUAAUUAAACAGAGAAUUCUUUUUUUUUUUUUUUUUAACCUGUUGCUCAAGGAUUAGAGUUUUUAUAUUAACAGAAAGGUUUAAGGGGUCUGAAUAAAAGCCCACAAUUUCUCUAUUUUAUUUUUAUUUUUAUUUUUUGAAAGGAGCUUCACUAUUGGCCUUGAAUAUAAAAGAAUGAGCAAAAGAUCAAUGUCAACUGCCGAGGAAUGUGAGUAAAGAUUUCAUCAGAGUAAGUAAUACAAAUGAAUUGUAAAAGAACAAGACUUAAGCGUGCACCCCGUGUUUUGUUUUAUUGUACGUAUAAACAUAACAUGUUCAUUUUUAACAAAGUGGUCAAUAACUCUUUUUUUUUGGUACAAAGACGUGCCUAGCAUAGACUAGGGCAAAACAAAACGGGGGUGUGAAACCCCAAUACAAUCAUGACGAAUCCAAAACCCAGCCCCUAAAGGAAGAGAAUUGAAAAGGUGCAAUUCAACAGGUAGUGAAAGAGCAGAGUUUGCAGGAAAGUCAGCUGCAAAAUUUGAUUCUCUGUAAACAUGCUUGACCUGCACUUGCCAGGUUCUGUUAAGCAAUUCCUUAAUACCCCUGACAAGAGAAGCAUGUGCAUUUGGCCUAAUCUCGUCAUCCGCCACCAAACGAGUAACACAAAGGCUGUCAACCUCCACCUGAAGCUGCCGAAUUCCAUUAUCCCAAGCCAUACAUAACCCUUGAUAAAGGCCCCAUAACUCAGCACCAAUGAUGGUAACCACACCAACAUUCAUUCCAAAACCAAUUAUCCACUCUCCAUAACAGUUUCUAAUCAAGCCACCCGUACUAGACAGACCAGAACUUUUACGAGCUCCAUCUGUGUUGAGUUUAAAACAAGGCCAAGUAGGUGCCACCCAUCCAAAAUAUUUCUAAAUCUUCAUGGCAGCAGGAACCAAACAACUCUGAUUAACCUUUUGAAUUUCUUCUGUACGGAUCUUAAUAUCCAUUACAACAGUACUCUUGCUGGUAAAAACACCAUUAUGCAGAUUUUGGUAACGCCAAAACCAAAGCCUCCAAACUGUGACCCCAAAAAGACACGGCCAGUCAAACAUACCAUCAUACUUCCACAAGUUCCUCAAAUUAUAUAACGCCCAAUCUCGGAGAUUCAAACUAAAAAAUUGAUGACUAAUCCCAUGGGGUAUCAAUGACGACCAUACAUGCUUAGCACUGGGGCAAUCCCGCAGCACAUUAAGAGUAUUUUCAACAACACAGCCACACCUUGCACAACUCAUAUCAUCAACAAUAUGUCUCCGGAAAAGUUCUGCUUUAGUUUUAAGUCUAUUUUGACCCACCACCCACAGAAAGGUUUUGAUAUGUUGGGGACCUCUCCACUGCCAAAGAAUGCGCCAAAAGGAUUCUUCAUUGUGAACCUCCAUUUUUGACAAAGCCCUAUAUGCUGAAUUAGUAGUGAAAUCUUCUGACUUAGAAUAUGCCCAGUACAUGUAAUCAUCCUCAUCAUUUACACUGGGAGGCUUGGUGGCUGCAAUUUUGAGAAGUAAAUGAUGGGGAAAUAAAUUCUCAAAAAGCCGCCAAUUCCAAGUACCCUCAACAGUGAUAAACCUCGCCACACACUCCUCAAGCUGCUGUAAACGUAUCGGCUGCAAAGCGAAAGUAUACAAAGGGUAUUCCUCUGUUACCCAAUUAUCCCACCAAAAUCUAACUCGGUUGCCAUUUCCAAUGUCCCAUUUGAUCCCUUUUAAAACCUCAUGCCAAAUGCCUCCCACAGCCUUCCACAUGUAAGAGCCAUAUUUCGUAGGUAAUGUGCCGGGGAGGGCUUUAGGAGCCAGCCCAUACUUAGACAAGAGAACCUUCACCCAUAAACUAUUUGGAGAAGCAAUUAAAACCCACCCAAUCUUCAUGAGCAGAGCAUCAUUCAUUAAAUUAAGCUGCUUAAGACCAAGGCCUCCGCUAGGUUUCAGUUGACAUAUUGUAUCCCAUUUCACCAAACUGAUUUUCUUCUUGUCUGCUGCCCCGCUCCAAAUAAACCUCCUACAAGCCUGAUCAAUUUUCUCCCGAAUACCAAACGGAAUCUUCGUGGUCUGCAUUGCAUAAAUAGGAAUUGCCUGGAUUACCGAUUGAGUGAGAGUGAUCCUACCCGCCAAGGACAAAUGUAUCGCAUUCCACCCCGACAAACGUUGGUUCACUUUGUCCAAAAUUCCCUGAUAAGUCAGCUUAUUAACCCGUGAAUGAAUAAUUGGCAUUCCUCAAUAUUUCCCUAGGUUUUUUGUGACAGAAAAACCCAAGGAAUCACCAAUUUCCUUAGCCUCAGCAGACUUUAUGUUGUGGGAGAAAAAAACUUGUGUCUUUGUUUUACUAACUUUCUCUCUAGAGCUCAUACAACAAACAUUCAACACUUCAUUAUAACCAUUGCUUGCCUACAGGAAGCCUCUGCAAGCAAGAUAAGAUCGUCAGCAAAAAAUAAGUGAGAUAAAGAGGUACCUCCACGAGACAGUUUAAUAGGUUUCCAGUGCCCUCUCUUCACAGCGUCAUUUAUUCCAUGGCUUAACCUUUCUAUACAUAACACAAAGAUAUAUGGGGAAAUGGGGUCUCCCUGUCUAAUACCCCUAGAAGGGGUAAAAAUCUCUGUAAUUUCUCCAUUCCAUAGAAGUUGCAUAGUCGCCGUUGUAAUACAUUCCAUAAUAAGCCGAACCAAAAUAGUAGGCAAUCCAAACUCCCUCAAGGUUUCAUAAAUAAAAUCCCAGCUUAAACGAUCAUACGCCUUUUCCAAAUCCACCUUAAUGGCCAUCUGCCCAAUCCUCCCUUUCUUACGUCUCAUCAAAUGAAUAACUUCCUGAGCAACCACUAUGUUUUCCGUUAUGUGUCUCCCCCGGAUAAAACUAGUCUGGGUAGGUCCAAUGAGGUCAGGCAAGAUAGAUUUCAGCCGGUUAGCUAAUAACUUAGUGAUAGUUUUAUAGAUAACCGGGCAAAGACUAAUCGGACGAAAAAGCUUAAGGCUAAUAGGAUUAUCCGACUUAGGAACCAACACAAUCAGAGUUUUGUUCAACUCCUUAGGGAUCUCGUUGCCAUUAAAAAUACCUUUUAUAAGACUACAGACAGAUUUUCCCACUACAUGCCACUGGGUCUGGUAAAAGAGAGCAUGCAACCCGCCUAUUCCAGGGGCUUUCAAAGCCUUCAUGCCGAAGAUCACAUUCUUAAUUUCCUCAUCCUCCACUGCUUGUCCCAAAGCUUGCAUUCGACUUUCCUCAAGGACUGGGAAGGCGUUAACAACAUGGUAUGGAUGAUAGAUUGCAUCCUCUUUGGAAUAGAGCUUUGAAAAGAAGGACACAGCAUAAUCUCUAAUCUCAUCAUUAUUCAACAACCAAUAACUCUAUUCGUUAUGAAAUUGAUAUUGUACCCAAUUUUAAGAGAGCAUAAUAAUAACCAUUCAAUGCAUAAAUUUAGAAUUAGGAUUUUUUUGUAAUUCUUUAUUUAAAUAUAAGCUUCAAUGGAAAAUUAUAAAAAUUUAGAUAUAAAAUUUUAAAUCACCAGACCAAAAAAAAAAAAAAAAAAAAAUAGGGGAACGGAAAUAGAGGAAUCUUGCUUUACCUUUUUUCCCUUUAACUCUUGUUCUUAUAUAAAUAAUUUUGUUUUGAUGAUUGUAACUCGUGACUGCGGGAAAAUUUCUAAUGGAAACAACUCAAAUUCGGAAGAUAAGCUUAAUUAUGCAAGUGAUGAAUUUGUUCAAUUGACUCUGUACUUGAACUAGUUGGAUUGAUUGAUUGAUGAUUGACUAAAUUUGAAUUAAGUUUAAUUGCUUAGCUAUCAUUUACUCCUUAAACGCAAACGUAAAUAUUUUCUUGUGGUUGAGCCCUAUUCUCAAAUCAGUAGGUUGCCUUUGAAAAAGGGCUUUUCUCACUGAUCUUUUUUUUUUUUCUUUAAUUCACACGCACUUGAUUAUUGAAUUCUUUCAUGAAGAAAUAAACUUGUAAUGACUUAAAGAUUUAAUUUCAAGUUAGAAUCAAUACCAAAAGACGGAGGUUUAACAAAGCCGUUUAGUGUGAUAAAAGUACUUUAAAAAAUGUUGUUCGACCCAAUUAAGUUGAAGAAAUAAUAAAGUUUUCAUGGAAUAAAUACCGGUUGUGCCUUAAUGAUUUUGGCAUAGACGUUGCUUGUGUACUGUGAAAUUGAAAUGAAUAUUAAGUGACUGCGCGAUGUAUAUGCCUAAUAAAAGAUCAGCAAAAGCUUGGAUGAAUGUUUGAGGACCAAAACUUUUAUAAAAGCAUUUUUGAGAGAAACUAAACACCAAAUUAUCAAAGUAAGAUCAACAGUAUAUGAUUUGAUUUAUACAUAUUCAAAAACAAAAUAAUGAUUAAUAAUAAAGUUUGAUUUUGUAUUGCCAACGAUGCUUUUUUGUUGUUUCAUUUGUUCGACGUGGCCUUAUUUACAAAUUGGUUUAUGUUAACAGAAACAUGAAAUUCACAUUACACAAAAUUGCAAGAACAAAUAUUAAGAGAACGUAAUAAUAAUUACUCAAUGCGUAAGGAUAAAUUUAGAAUUACAUAUUCUUUUUUAUUUAAUAAAGUCCCAACGGGAAAUCAUAAAAAUUUAUAUAUAAAAGCUUUCAACCACCAAACAAAAAACAGGGGGAAUGAAAACACAGGAACUUGUUUUAACUUUUUUUCAUCUAACUCUUGUUCUUAUAUAAUAUUUUCCCUAGUAUUUCAGGCAAAAAAAAAAAAAAAAAAAUCAAUAAAGAGCAAGUUGCUCAAAUUGAUUUAUCUUGUUUUUCAGGCAAUCUUGUGAUAUGAUGAUAAAGCUCAUGAAUGCUAGAAAACUUCUAAUGCAAACAACUCUAUUUGGGAUGAUAAGCUUAAUUUUACAAGCGAUAAAUAUAAAUAACUUUUUGUGGUUAAUUGAAUUUGUAAUUACUCUUAGCCCUAUUCUAAAAUUUGUAGGCUGCCUCAAAAAAGAAUAAAAAAAAAUUUCUUACUCAUCUUUAAUCUUCAAGUAAAAAAAAAAUCUAAUAAAAUGAAAAACAAACAAACAAGUAAAAGACAGCAAACAAACAACAUUUAACCAACUGAUAUUUAAACAGGGAAUUCUUUCUUCUUCUUCCCCCCCCCCCCCCCCCCCCCCGGGCUCAUGGAUUAGAGUUUUUGCUAUUAACUGAAAGGUUUCAAGGGUCUGAAUAAAAUCCCAGACUUUUUUUUUUUAAUUAACCAAAGCCAUAUAAUAAGAUCACAGACUUUUAACAAUGAACAAUAAUUUGAAACUCAAGCAAAACCAAUGACAAGAUUAAAACAAACCAGAGAAAUUUUUUCUUGGAAAGUAGAUGAAAACUAAGUAAGAACUGCUAUUAAAGGAUAUUAUUAAAGGAUUUAGAACAUGUAUACCUCUUUAUUUAUAUGGGAUCAGAGAGUCGAUGACCUCCUCUAUUCGCUUCGGAUAUUAAGUAAGAAUUGCUAUCAAAAGAAUGAAUUGAUGAGAGUAAUAACAAUGAAUUGCAAAAGAGGAAGACUUAAUCACGUACCCCUAUUAUACCCGAUUUUUAAGAUUUAAUUUUGAAGUCCAGAAUCAAGACAAAAGACGAAGCCUUAACAAAUAUGCAGUGAGAAUAAUUAAGUUGAAGAAAGCACUAGUUUAUGGCUCAGUGUUAAGUUGAAGUUUAUGAAAUAAUUAACUAGUUUAUUAUGCUCAAGUCAGUUUUUGGGCCUUUGCCAAAAAACUUGUGCCACCACUCAUAUGGCUUAAUAAACAUUGUCUUAAAAACCAAAAGCUUUUUGAGUAAUUUGCAGAAAAAUGAAAUAGAGUGUAAAAGAAAGGAUUUUCCAUGAGAAGAAGAGAGAAAAAGAUGCCUUGCAGACCCCGAAAAAAUAAAUAAAUCCUCCUUUUAAGGUCACGCCCCACUCUCCUCUUUUCCCCUUUGUUCUCCUCCACUUACGGGAGUUAAGGAUGAGAUAAAAGUAAUGCCUCCACUCUCCAUUUUUUUCUCCUUUUUCCGUUACCAAACAUCAGUCCCCCAGUUUCUAGUGUUGAGAGUUUUAACGAAUCAAGACUGGAAACUAUAUGAAUUUUAAAGUGACAUCGAUGUGGUUGGCAUAAAUCGGCUCGGGAUUGCUAAAAUUAACCUUACUAUUAGCAAAAAAUUUCAAGUUUUAAACUUUUACUUGCCUUUAAAUAUACCAUUUUCCUACUCGCAUAAUCAUGUAAAGCAGGUUUCAUAAGUUCACGUAUUUAUCUCACCUGAAGUAAGUUUUGAGACUUAGUCAUUUAUCUGCUUUAGAAUAUUUUUCACUCAUAUAACUCUUGCUCGCCUAAUCUUGGUCGGGCAAGAGCAGGCAAACUUUGACUUCGUCUCACUACGAGGAGGUUUAGAGACUGUAAGCCUUUCACUUGAAGUACCCUUUUUUUUUUUUUUUUACUUUCUGCUUGCCUUCACAUGGUUGAGCAGAUUCUGGCAAGCUUGACUUCUUGUCUCGCCAUCGAGCAAACUUUGAGACUUUGAAGUCUUUUAUGUGCCUUAGAAACUUUCUUGGGAUUUUUGUUCUCUGCUCGCCUUUACAUGGUCGAGUAGAUUCUGGCGAGCUUGGCUUCCUAUCUCGCCAUCAAGGAGGCUUUGAGACUUUGGAGCCUUUGCUUGCCUUAGAAACUUUUUUGGAACUUUUGUGGUUUGCUCGCCUUCGCUUGGUCCAGCAGAUCCUGGCAUACUUGGCUUUCUGUCUCGCCAUAAAUAGGCUUUGAGACUUUGGAGCCUUUGCUUGCCUUAGAAACUUUUUUGGAAUUCUCAUUGUUUGUUCGCCUUCACAUGGUCGAGCAGCUUCUAGAGAGCUUGGCUUCCUGUCUCGCCAUCGAGGAGGCUUUGAGACUUUGGAGCCUUUGCUUGCCUUAGAAACUUUUUUGGAACUUUUGUGGUCUGCUCGCCUUCGCUUGAUCCAGCAGAUCCUGGCAUGCUUGGCUUCCUGUCUUGCUAUAAAAUAAGCUUUGAGACUUUGGAGCCUUUGCUUGCCUUAGAAGCUUUUUUGGAACUUUUGUGGUCUGCUCGCCUUCGCUUGGUCGAGCAGAUCCUGGCUCCUGUCUCACCAUAAAAUAGGCUUUGAGACUUUGGAGCCUUUGCGUGCCUUAGAAGAUUUUUGAAACUUUUUUGGUCUGCUCGCCUUCGCUUGGUCGAGCAGAUCCUGGCAUGCUUGGCUUCCUGUCUCACCAUAAAACAGGCUUGGAGACUUUGGAGCCUUUGCGUGCCUUAGAAGAUUUUUGAAACUUUUUUUGUCUGCUUGCCUUCGCUUGGUCGAGCAGAUCCUGGCAUGUUUGGCUUCUUGUCUCGCCAUAAAACAGGCUUUGAGACUUUAGAGCCUUUGCGUGCCUUCAAUGUGCUCUUAUUUGAGGUUUUUGCUUUAAAUCCUAAAAUAUGGACAACCAUCAAAAAUUUAAUUUCGGACUUGUAACUUAUAACUUGUCCAGAAAAUAGCUCACAUUUACAACUUGCGCUUUAGCUAUUUAUAUAUGUUUGGGCCUUUGAUGGAUAAACAUCCUUGGUGUUUUUAUUACCAUCUAUAAUAUUUGGUUAGCAAUAUUAUUAAAGACCUUUGCUAAAGGUGCGGAGCACCAUUUCCCAACACUAAAGAUAUUAAAAUUUAUAUAUAAAAUAAAUCAUAUUAUAUAAAAUAUGUAAUCAACAAAUAAAUGGUACCAUAAAAGUUUAAGCAAAGUCAUAUCACUGUAUCAAGGAAAUACGAUCUCAUGCUAACCCAAGUUCCAUCAAUCCUUCGGUCAAGCAUGUUGUGUGCUAAUAUAUGACUAUGCUAUAUAUUCUAUAAUAUGUAAUCCUUCGGUCAAGCAUGUUGUGUGCUAAUAUAUGACUAUGCUAUAUAUUCUAUAAUAUGUAAUCUUAACUAUUUUCUAUUAACGACUUAAUAAGUCAAAACCUCAUCCAUCAGAUUUUUGAAGUCAGGUAGUGGAUUUAAAGGAUAAAUAUAAAACUGGGGUUUUAGAACAAGUGCACCUGAGAUUGUGCUCUGCAUUAUUUCAUUAGUACUUCAUCAAACAAAUCCCGAGCUUGACUCUGCUUUGCUCCCUUCUUAGAAUUAUUCUUGCAAUAUUUUAACACGGGCACAAAAUGAAUAAAAUAUGAAGGAAACAAAAAUCCAACUUCAUCAAUUCUUUGAAGCUUGAAGACAUGCCUAUCAAUUCUCAUCAUCAAUAAAAAUUUGUUUUGUUUUAAAACCAUUAUUAAGGUUAGCCAAAAUACCAAUACUCGGCCUCAUCCAGAUUAUGCUAAUUAUACUUCUUCCAACACUCAUUAACGAUUAUGAGAAUUUGUGCAAUGUGGAUGACAGGUACUAUCAAAAGACAGCGAAUAUAUGCAUAAUUUCUAAUGUUCUCUUUGCGAAAAUAUAAUAAAGCUAUGGUUAAGAAUAACUCAUGCUCUCAAUCAGUUUGAUACUUAUAUUAAAUAAACUGAAACAGAACCUGGGUUUAGAUCUUGGCUCCUGGGCAACAUUCUCUCAAGCAUAUAUGUAGUGUAUGUAGUGUAAUCAGCAACAAACUCACUUUUGAACUUUCAUAUCCCUUGAGGCGAUUUAACGAACAGCUCCUGAUUUGAAUUUUAACAAUUCUGCCUCAACUUGUAAUGAACCGAGUUUUAUACCAGAAUUGUCUAUAUACUUUCCCUGCAUAGUCUUCACAUGAAAACUAGCUGCAUGAUUGAUUGAUGGGGUGUAAAACCAGUAGGAAAUAUCUUGAAGAAACCAAAGAUCCGUGGAUUUUUAUGCUUACCACCAAAUGAAUUUAACAAUUUGUGUAAUCUUUAUUUUAAGAAAUUGAACAUUGAUAAUACCGCAAAUCGAUUGCUCUUUUGAACAGACUUUAUAUCUUGAGUUCGAUGAAAAGAGAACAAUCAAUCAAGAAAUAUAAAUACAUCAGCAAAAUAAUGAUGGUAGUAGCAUUACACAUCUAAUUAGCCAUAACGAAGCCGAAUAAUUAGCCAUAAUAAAUCUGAACUGUUAACAUUAUGUCAAGCAUGUUGUUGGAAAAUAUUAAAUUAAUUCAUUUGCAAGUAUAAUAGCAUGUAAUCUUGAAUUAUGAAUGAAGCCCAUUCUAACAAGCUAAUUUUGUAAAGGAACAUUAUCAACGAAUUCCAAGGGAUAAUAUUCAAUUUCAGCAAAUAUAUCAUGCACGGUAUUGAAACAUGCAUGUUAUUAAAGAAUUUCCAAGCAUCUCUCAUUUGAUAAAUCAAUAAUCAUAGCAAUUGGAAAUUGAAUUUUAAUGACAAUAUACUUAAAGCAAUAAAUAAGCCAAAACCUUUACAGGUAAGCAUUCCAUCCAGCCUUGAUUGGCUUCCGUGUUUGAGCCAGCUUAUCAAUUUGUGCAUGAUAAUAUUCUGCCUUUGGCUUGGCCGGAUGAAAAAUUGGUAGAGACAAGAAGUUGGCUUUUUGUACCGAUUCCCCACAGACAGUGCCAAAUGUUGAUGCCCAAAUCUGAUCUAGUCUAUUAGCGACUUAAUAUCAAACUUCUACACCAGCAUUAGAUUUAUUUGGUAGAGAAUCGAUUGGUCAAUCGUCAAGAUGUCCUGCAACCACUAGCGAUUAACUUGCGAAUACUUAAAAUCAUAGAAGACGGUCAGAGGCGCUGAAAGUUUUUCCGACGUGAACCCUCCGACACUCAAGUCAGUUUCUGGGCCUUUGCCAAAAAACUUGUGCCACCACUCAUAUGGCUUAAUAAACAUUGCCUUAAAAACCAAAAGCUUUUUGAGUAAUUUGCAGAAAACUGAAAGAGUAUAAAAGAAAGGAUUUUCCAUGAGUGGAAGAGAGAAAAAGAUGCCCUGCAGACCCCGAAAACAUAAAUAAAUCCUCCUUUUAAGGUCAUGCCCCACUCCCCUCUUUUCCCCUUUGUUCUCCUCCACUUACGGAAGUUAAGGAUGAGAUAAAAGUAAUGCCUCCACUCUCCAUUUUUUUUUCUCCUUUUUCCGUUACCAAACACCUACAAAUCUUAUCCCUACUAAUAUGCUCUAUAAGCCAUUAUUCUUCUAAAAUUAUUAAAUGCCAUUCUUCAUUCAAGCUUUCAUGGACAUUAUUUACAAAUUGUUCUUGUAUUUGACAGAAAAAUGAAAACUCCUCGUCAUACAAAACUGCAUGAACAAAUCUUCUGUUUAAUUAUGAUAAAAUAAUAAAUUCCAUUAACAGAUUCUGCUGUAUGUUAAUGUGAGGGAUUUGAUCAGAUGAUCAUAUAAUUUACUACACGCUUUAAGAAGAACAAAAAUUGAUGACUUAAAAAUUAAAAAAUAAACAUAUAAAGAGUAGAUACAAAGAAUGUUAUUUGCAAUCAACAAACUGAAGAACAGGGGAAUGAUAACAGAGGACGGUUGCUGCAACAUUAUGAAGUCAAAAUUAAGAAAGGCAUUUUUUUCUUUUUUUUUUACAUUAUUCUAUUUAAUCUUAAAUUUUUACAAUCACCAAAUGGAAAAACAGGGGACUGAAAACAAAGAAGCCCUGUUUGCAGAAACAGGGGAGUUUCCGGGUUUCUGGAAACAAACUCAGAAACGAAUGAACUGGCUGCCGGCGGUACUUUCUAGAUAAAUCUCUUGGUGUAUAUAAGCUUUCAUGAUCUGGUUUUAGUCUGGUUAGGUUCAGCCACUGUGACUGUUAGGGAUUCUCGUAAACUGAAUUUAAAGUUGCGGCUUAAAGUGUUUACCAACUUAAAACCAGAGCUAUAAAGUGUUUGAUGAAUUAUUUUUUAAUUUAAAAAAAUAAAAAACUGAUUUAGCGGGAUAAAAUAAUGCUCCAUUCUGUUUAGUAUGUGAAGUCCAGAGUAUUACAAAGAGAUAACUGAAUCUUCAAUGUAAUAAAAUAAUGAUCAGCCUCAGAGGAUACAUAAAAAGCUCAUUUAUCACAACCAUAUCCUAGUGCAUCAUAAACUUGAUUAUUUAAUUUUACUAUUAGGAAACCUACUUAUAUAAGGCGCACACCACAAAUUCUAAAUUAAAUUUCUAACUAAGAAUAAAAGGUAAAGCCUAGCAAUUUUCCACCAGGUGCCGUGUAGCCUGCAUCAUAAAUUUUGAUUUAAAUCUUUGUAAUCACCGAACAGAAAAACCGGGGAAUGAAAACAGAGGAGCCCUAUUUUUCCAUUUUUUUAACCCUUAACUCUUGUUCUUCUAAUUAUAUUUUUGCUUGGAAUUUCAAGCAAACGAAAAAAAAAAAAGUGACAACUAUUUAGAGAGAGCAGGUGGAUGAUAGCAAAAAUAUUUUUAAUUAAUAUGCAUGAUUAACUCUUGUUCUUCUAAUGUAGUGGCUUGAUUAAUAUUUUUAAUCAAGCCACUACAUUAUUGGUAGUCUCUGUGGGCUCAUUUCGUCUCCAGACCUGAUAUUGUAUAUCUCUUUUUGAAUAUGUUUAAUUAAUAUGCAUGCUGCUGAAUAAAGACGAUGAUUUCCAAAUUUUUGUUGCUUUUUUUUUUUCUUUUUCUGCUUUGGUACAUGAAGAAUGUGGAAAUAGAAAUAGCUUUCGAAGUUUAAUGGCUUGCUUCAUUAGUAAAGAAAGACUAGGAUAUCUGUCCCUUUUUGUUACUGAAUUAUUGAUCAAUUGACGGUUGAAGUGUCAAAUGUGUUCUUUCCUUACAAUUGUAUAUGCUAUUAUUAAUAGAAAUUAUUAAAGGAUUUAGAACAAGUUCGCCUUUUUAAUUAUCUGGGAUGAUGAGUUUCUUUAUUCACCUUGAAUAUGUAAUAACAAUUUUAGUGAGCAAAAGAUCACUGGUAACUGCAGAGGAAUGUGUGAGUUAAGAGCUUAUUAGAGUAAGCAAUACAAAUGAAUUUUCAAAUUAUGUACUUGGUCACUGUUGUCCUACUGUCGCACGUAUUUUUUCAUGAAUAAUUGCCAGAUCAGAAAAGAAUAAAUUCGGUUGGCUGAAGUAAGUAAAACAAUCUUCAUAUCGAACAUGAUUCCAAUUAAAUUAAGCUUUUUGUAAGAUGACUAAUAAAAGAUAAAAGUAGAAGCUUUGAUGAAUGAACGAGGACCAAAACUUUUGUAAAAGCGGAUGCCGAUAAAAUAAACAAAAGGCACUUUAAAAAGAAACUAAAGUGCGAUCAUCAAAGUAAGAUCACUAAUGAUGCUUCGCUAUUACAAGGUCCGCAUGGACAUUAUUGAGUUCUGCUAUUUGAACUACGCGAAGACAAAACAAAGACAGAAAAAUUGACACUGUUACUUCAACGGCUGUUUAUUACUUUUUGAAUUUAAAAAAUAAAAUAAUCAAAAGAAAAAGGAAAAGGAAAAGUAACGAAAAAAAAGAAAUAAAAUAAUCAAAAGAAAAAAAAAAGAUUACUUUUUGAGUUAAUCUUUCUCCAUCUCUCAUCUCUGCUAUCUGCGUUCACGCACAAAGAAAAAACUCUUCAUCUCACCAUUUUCAUCUCUUUGCAUCUCACCAGUUCCGCAUCUCAGUUACCAUAAGGAAGAAGUUAGAUCUAGAUCUAUAAACAGAGAUUUUGAUAAAAUUAGUACUGAUUAAUUAGUAAGUUAGUGACUCUCACUAUAUUCAAAUAAAAUUUUUAUUGUGUUCUAUAUAUUUAAAUGAUUAGAAUAUUUAAUUUAAAUUGUAAAAAUUCGUAAAUUUUUAUUUUUUAUAUAUUUAAAUUGUUAUGAAUUGUUAUGAUUUUUUUAAUUUAAAUGGUUGUUAAAUAAUGGAAUAGAUUAUAACAAUUUCUGAAUGUGUUUUAUGAACUUUAAAUUUUUAAAAUUAUGUUAGAUUUGACUUUAAAUCUUUGAAAUUGUAGUGAUGGAAUAAUAUUUUGUGUUAAAUUAAAUUUUUAAUUUUUGAAAUUAUGUUAGAUUUGUUUAAUUUUGUCCGCUUGCAAUUUAUUUGUUCACGCUAUCAUGAAGUGAUAUUAUAUAGGCAUCGAUGGUUUUUUAAUUAUUACAAAAUAUUAUUUUUUAAUUAUUUAACAAAAAUUGAUACAAAAUAUUAAUUUUGUAUGACUGAGAGAUACAUAGGGUUAAACAGGACGAGUAGAGAAAGGAACGAAUGAAAAAUAAGUGGAAUGAACAAAGUAAUUAACGAGAAUGAAUAGAGGGGACAAAGUGGAGAACGAGUAGUUGAGGAUGAGAAUAAGUGGAUCAGAUUUUAAAUAAUAAAGAUAUUUAAAAAAUUUUCAUUUUUUAUUAUAAUAUUUGUUGUUGGUCCCACCAAAAAAUUGGAUGAGAGCAGGCGUGAAAGAGCAUUUUUUUUCAUUUUUAUUCUUUAUUUUAAUAAUUGUUAUCGGUCCCACAAAAAAAGAAAAUUGAAUGAGGAAAGGCGUGAAACGGCAGCCAAUUUCUGUCGUCCCAUCGUCGUGCUUUCGUCUAUUUACCAUUUCUCGACAUUAUUUACAAAUUGUUCUUAUGUUUCACAGAAAAAUGAAACACUGUUCAUCAUACAAAAUUGCAUGACCGAAUCUUCAAUUUUUAUAAUUAUAAAAUAAUGGAUUAUGUGUAUGUUAAUGUUACGGAUAUGAUCAGAUCAUCAUAUAAGUUACUAGACGCAUUAACAAGAACAAGAUCUAAUGAGCUAAAAGUUUUUUUUUUAAAUUAAAUAAAUAAAGAGUAAAAGUAAAAAAAAAUGUUAUUUGCAAUCACUAAAAUGAAAACAGAGGAGCCCUGUUUUUCCUCUCGUUUCUCUUUCUCUCUUUUUCAAGUAGUAGAAAAUGAUAACAGAGUUUGAGAGCUCACUGCUUUCAUUAGUUGGAAAGUGUCGCCUAAAACACUUCCUCUGCUAGGUGGAAUUGUUGGCUUGAAGAGAAGAGUUCUUGUUACAAGCACAAAUUUUAGCUGUACAUUAUUUCCUUUUAAAUGCACCAUUGUUGCACAGAUUUGAACCCUAUGAUCAUUAGUUUUUUGUUUUGAUUUGGUUAGUUCGUGAUGACAAAUAAAUUAUUUUCAUCACAUUAUGGUAAAAAGUUGCCCUCUUUGUUACUUCCACAGCUAUUUAGUUUAAUAUUUUGUAAUAAGAUCACAAAGUGCAUGGGACCUAUUGUUCGGGUACUUAGCCUAAAAUGAAGAUCUAUUAAAAAUUUCCCUGAUGUCAUGAUAUAAAACAAUAAAAGGUACCAACUUCAGCUUAAAUUCAUAUAAAAUUAAACCUUACCACAUACUGUAUUGAAACAAAUUACUCAUCUUUAUUGGUAACAUCAUCACCUUCAUAAAAUAUAUGGUAUCGUACAAAGUUCUUGCGCUGGGUUCGGGCAUCUAACAACGAGGACACAGCAACCUAUUCGCUAGGUUAGAGACCAAAGAGCCAACAGCAAAUGUGCACGACGCAUGUCACUAUCAUGAAAACAACAUUCUUUUUCUUUUUUUUUUCUCCUCAAUAAUUUCAGAUAUAAUAUUUUAACUAAGUUUGUAACACUGUUGAUUGAAAUUAUCAAGUACGAAUGUGUGUAGAUUUUAACAUGUGCACUCAUAAUUAUUAUUGUGCAGUUUUAGACUUAGUUGGGUAUUGAGGUGCUAAAACUUUUGCCGUAAGAAAAAAAAGUUUUAAGUAUAAAAUAAAAUUUAAUAGUAUCUAAUAAAUUUAGUUUUUUAAUAAUAUGUUGAGUACAUAAAAGCCCCAGGUCGGCCAUGCUACUAUUUUCACCCCGGCAUGGAUCACCUUAGCCAAAUGGUAUGAGCAGAACGCAGGAUAAACACGAGCCAACCAGAGACGAGUACCGGCCAGGGUAAUGUACCGACCAGAAUCAUAUACCGAGCCGACACCAAUUCCCCAAAAAAGCGGGAACACGAUCCCACAGAAUCACGGUAGUUGCGCUUUUCCCAGAACCGUUGUGGGAGAUGCGAGAUCCCACGUUUGCCCACAAUGUAGCAGUUAAAAUCCCAUGAGAGGCUACCACUACCCGAGAAAGGGGGGGAUGAAGGGUGAGUGAAAACGUGGGACAGCGGCUAUAAAAGAAGAAGAAACCGAUUAAGAAGGGGAGAGAAAAAUUGAGAGAGGGAAAACGCUGCCAAAUUGCAAUCAUGCCAUUUUCUGACAAGACUCCGAAUAAUUUAGAAACCAUUUUUAGAUCUAAAUUGCACUGUUUUCCCGUAAACACCUUGAGCUAACUUAGGCAUUGGAGGGUUUUCGCCGGCAAAACCACCGGCGACUCUGAUCCGUUUUUGGUGAACGCAGGUCUAGUAAGAGAAAGGAGGGUGAUUCCAACCUCAGAGGUUCGAGCAACAGUCGAUAACGUAAACGUUGGUGAAAGAAUCUGGUCGGUCAAAAGGCGAGCAGAUUUAAGCAUCAACAUUUUGGCGCCGUCUGUGGGGAGCUGGAUAAAAAGCUACCACCGAAUUAGUAGUUACCGGAGAAACAACGAACGAUUAGACAUGGAUUUGCCAAGGAAGGACGCUUUGAGGGAGGAUAACGAAUCGGGGGAGACAAGCACCCUUCGGGAAAUUGCAAAUGAAGCCCGAGAGAGGGUGAUGCAAGAUCGAUUGGAAUAGAUGGAGAAGCAAAUGGAGACUCUCGCUACCAUACUGAAUGAGCUGAGAGAUGAGCGGAGAAGGGAUUGCGAAAUCCCCGUGGGGAGAGAUGAUGUGGGAGCAGAACCCAACCUCCGGAGGCGUAGAGUCGAGGAGAUCCCUCCGCCGGUGGACCAACCUUAUGGGGUGCAUCCCCACAGAAGCACUGGUUGAGUUCCUGGAGAACAAAUAGAUGAAGGGAGGAACUAACCUCGCCCCAGGCGAGCACUGGAAGCUGAUGGCCGAGGAGCCAGUGCUGAUGAAGGAGAGUUAAGACAGCGGUUGCAGAAUGUCGAGCAGGAGCGAGAUCAGAUAGCUGCACGUGAUCCUGACCGUGAUGUAGAAUUGGAGGGAGAGGUGCGCAGAUUAGCGCAAGUGAUAAAGGAGAUACAGGGUAAGAGGAAGCCCCCGAGCUGGAGGAUAAUGCUAGAUGAAGAAUCUCCACUAUCAACUGAGAUCGUGGGUACCAUAAUCCCAAGAGAUUUCCGCUUCCCCGACCUCAAAUACUCCGAGCGAAGUGACCCGCUGGUGCACAUUGAGCGUUUCAACGACAUGAUAGGUGUGCAGGGGCUGACACCAGCUCAGAGGUGCAGGGUGUUCCCGUUGACAUUAGAGGGACGAGCCCGAGAAUGGUACCGCAAGCUGCCCCGAGGAAGUAUAAAGGGGUAUGAGCAGAUGUGCCAGGAGUUGGCCGAGUAGUUCCGAGGGGCAGUGGCCCCAGAGGACGACAUGAUGGAACUGAUGAGGAUGAAACAGGAGGAGCAUGAAUCCCUUCGAGAUUUUGUAAAACGAUAUCACCGAGCCGUGCUAGAUCUGGGGGCUUUUAAUCACCCGCAGGCGUUGAGGGGAUUAAAAGAAGGUGUAAGAAUCGGCCGACUGUGGUAUAACUUAAGAAGCCCCCUUGUACAGAAUUACUCGUCGGGGUAUGAGCAGGCGAGGCGAGAUAUAGAAAUCGAAGAGGAGAAAUCAGCAAGAAUAAAAAGUGAACAGCUGGACGAGCUGAGGCGAAAGGAACGGAGAGCCCCAACAGGGAGCGGGUCGGGAAAACGAGCUGGAGAAUCUUCAGUGAUGGGCGGAAUAUCGGCUCGGUCCCGCCCUUACCCCAUAGCUCCGAGAUCGCAGCAGUUCCAGCACAACCGGGCUCAACCUCCGCGUCCCCCAUUUCCGGAUCGGCAACGAGAAUUCCGGCAGAUGGCUGCCCACCCCUAUCACAACACUCCCAGAGCAUUACAUGCAACCAAUUCCAGGGCUAGUCGACCAGAUCAGUUAGCAACUGGGCCAGCCUGAGGUGACAUUCAUGAUAGCCGAGCAGUUCAGCUGGUAGACCAGAGCUUGGCGUAUAGACAGUACACUCCAUUAAAGAUCUCCAUGGAGGAAUUGUAUGAGAGGAUCGAGGGACGAGGCUUGUUAUACCCUCCAGCCCCUAUAACAAAACCGGCUCACCGACGGGAUAAGAGCAAAUUCUGCAAAUUCCACGACACUCAUGGUCACACUAUCAGCCAAUGUCGUGACCUGAAAAUUCAGGUGGAAGAUUUGGUGAGAAACCGUUAUUUGGACGAAUAUGUAGAUGGAAUGUCCCCCGUCACUGAAUCACAGUACACGCGGGAUGAAGGAGCUGAGAUGGGCCUGGAACGUGAACAGCCGACUAUCCGUAUAAUAGCAGGGGGGCCAACAUUGGCUGGGGAUUCGAACAGGGCACGGGAGAACUAUGGGAGAUAUGCCCUGACUAGCAAAGAAGUGCUUUUCAAUUUUCCGGCAACCAAGAAGGCAAAAGUGCGGCAAGUUCCCAUUAUGUGGACAGAUGACGAUGAAGAGGGUAUCUUAUAUCCGCAUGAGGAUGCAUUGGUGAUCAAGGCAAUGGUGGCUGGUACAGAAUUGCGACGAAUACUAAUAGACACAGGCAGCUCGGUUGACAUCCUGUUUAAGUCGGCUCUAGAUGAUAUGGGGAUUGCAGACUUGAAAUUGGAGCGGACAAAUACAUCCUUAAAGGGAUUUGGAGGGGGAUGGUUAACUCCCAUGGGGAUCACCGAACUCCCAAUUACUAUGGGGACAAAGCCAUUUGAAAGAACAAUGAUGCUGGAUUUUGUCGUGGUAGAGAAAAGAAGCCCUUACCAGAUGAUACUGGAGAGACCGUUCAUGAGGAUAAGCCAAUGUGUUGUAUCCACGCAUUACUUGGCACUGAAAUACAGAGUAAAUGGGGUGGUUGGCGUAGUAAAAAGCGACCAGAGGAUGGCAAGGAGUUGUUAUGCUACAGCAGCCAAGGAGACACUGCAGGUUACUUCUCUAGAUAAUCGAGGAAAGUCUAAAAAGGGCCGCCAAGAGCCUGUUGAGAAGCUGGAGGAAGUUGCGGUAAGCAAAAGCAACCCGAGCAGAGUAGUGAAGAUCGGGUCAGGAUUGGUUGGGGCAGUAAAAGGCGAGCUGAUAAAUUACCUACAGUCUCAUGCGGAUAUAUUCGCCUGGUCUCAUGAAGAUAUGCCCGGAAUUGAUCGCGGGGUAGCUUGCCACAAGUUGGCAAUCAAGAAGGGGGUAAGGCCGGUGAGACAGAAGAGGAGAUGCUUCAACCAGGAAAGGUACGAGGCCAUAAACGCCGAGGUGGAGAAGCUGUUGAAAGCAGGAUUUAUAAGGGAAGCCAAGUACCCAGAAUGGAUUUCAAAUGUCGUCCUGGUAAAAAAGGCCAACGGGAAGUGGAGAAUGUGUGUGGACUUCACGGACCUCAAUAAGGCAUGCCCAAAGGACAACUUUCCCCUACCCAAAAUAGAUCAGCUGGUGGACUCAACAGCAGGUCACAGUCUGCUCAGUUUCAUUGAUGCCUUUUUCUGGAUACAACCAGAUACCCAUGGACGAGCAGGAUGAGGAGAGCACUGCCUUUAUAACUAACAUGGGUUUGUUUUGCUACAGGGUAAUGCCUUUCGGCCUAAAAAAUGCAGGAGCCACCUAUCAAAGGUUGGUAAACAAGAUCUUCAAACCGUUGAUUGGACACACUAUGGAGGUAUAUGUGGAUGAUAUGAUUACGAAGUCCAAAGAGCCGAGGGAUCAUGUGAAGCAUCUAGAAGAGACCUUUGAAUUGCUGAGGAAGUAUGAGAUGAAACUAAACCCGGAGAAAUGCGCAUUUGGGGUAAGCUCGGGCAAAUUUCUGGGAUUCCUGGUAAGCCACCAAGGGAUUAAGGCCAACCCCGAAAAAAUACGAGCGGUUACAGAUAUGAGAUCUCCGCGGACAGUUAAAGAGGUGCAGAGCCUUACAGAGAAGUUGGCAGCAUUGAACCGAUUCAUCUCGCGGGCCACAGAUAAAUGCCACCCUUUCUUCCAAAUCAUAAAGAAAGGGAGAAAGAUGGAAUGGACAUUAGAGUGCGAGGAAGCAUUUGGGCAACUGAAGGAAUAUCUGGCCCGUGCACCGUUACUGUCAACUCCGAGAGAGGGUGACCAGCUGUUUUUGUACUUGGCAAUCUCCAAGCAAGCUACCAGCUCAGUCUUAGUCAGGGAAGAAGAAGGGAAGCAACACCCGGUAUACUACACGAGCAAGGCCCUGGUGGACGCAGAAACCAGAUAUCCACUAAUGGAGAAGUGGGCGCUGGCUCUGAUAACGGCAGCACGCAAACUCCGACCAUAUUUCCAAGCCCACCAGAUCGUUGUGAUGACUGACCAGCCCCUUCGGCAAGUGCUUCAAAAACCAGAUGCGUCUGGUCGGUUAGUAAAAUGGUCAGUGGAGCUGAGCGAAUUUGACCUGACCUACAGGCCCCGAGGAGCAAUCAAGGCCCAAGCCCUGGUAGAAUUUAUGGUAGACCGAGCUGAGCCAGGGGAAGGAGAUCGGGAGUAGCAACCGUUAGAGCAGGAGAAAACAGAGGGGAUGUGGUUGGUAAUGGUUGACGGAUCAUGUAGUGAGCAAGGAUCCGGAGCAGGAGUUGUAAUACGGAGCCUAGAAGGAUCCGAAAUAACGUAUGCAGUAAAGUUUGAAUUUCAGCUCGCAAACAACCAAGCUGAAUAUGAAGCCUUUAUCACCGGGCUCGGACUCGCACAUGCCUUAAAAGCAAAAAGGGUAAAAAUUCGAGCAGAUUCCCAAUUGGUAUGUAAUCAGCUCAAUGAUCAGUUCCAAGCAAGGGGAGAGAAGAUGGGCCUUUAUUUGAAGAAGGCGAAGUAGAUGGUCGGGCUUUUCCAAGAGGUGGAGGUGAAGCAGAUAUCUCGGAAUGAGAAUUACCGAGCAGAUAUUUUGGCUAGGAUGGCUGCAGUUGCAGAUCCGAAAUUACCUAAGUCGGUUCCACUAGAGGUAAGGACCUCGCCAAGUAUAGGAGAGGAGGUAGAGGUGAUGAGAGUAUGCAUUGGAGAAUCAUGGAUGGACCCGAUUCGCGCAUAUAUCCGGGAUGGAAUCUUACCAGAGGACAAACAGCAAGCCAGGAGAUUAAAAUGCCGAGCAGCGAGGUACACUCUACUAGAUGGAGUGCUGUAUCGCCGAGGGUUCACCUUACCCCUUUUGAGAUGUGUGGAUGAUGAGGAGGCAGAUUAUGUACUGAGGGAGAUUCAUGAAGGAAUAUACGGCAAUCACUCGGGAGCAAGAACUUUAGCCUUCAAGGCACUCCGGCAAGGAUACUUUUGGCCAACUAUGCACCAGGAUGCGAAAAGGAUGGCAAAGAACUGUAAAACCUGCCAAAGCUUCUCUAAGGUUCCUGCACAACCCCCAGAGAAGCUGACCACUAUGACAUCCCCGUGGCCUUUCGCUCAAUGGGGAAUCGACUUGAUUGGUCCGUUACCUAAGGGCCGAGGAGCGGCGACACAUGCAAUUGUGGCAAUAGACUACUUCACCAAGUGGGUAGAAGCGGGAGUCCUCAGCCAAAUCACCGAGAGGAAGACAACAGAUUUUAUUUGGAGAAAUAUCAUUUGCAGAUACGGGAUCCCCUAUGCCAUCAUUACAGAUAAUGGGAGACAAUUUGACAACAGCAACUUCAGGGAAUUUUGCCGAAAUUUGGGGGUGGACCUGAAGUUCUGCACCCUCGCACACCCCCAGGCAAACGGACAAGUGGAAGCAGCCAACAAAGUAAUAAAAAAGCUUUUGAAAACUAGAUUGGGAGAGAAGAAGGGAGCCUGGGUUGACGAACUACCAGGAGUAUUAUGGGCCUACCGGACAACUCACAAAACCGCCACAGGGGAAACCCCGUUCGCUUUAGCCUUUGGUCAUGAGGCGGUAAUCCCAGCAGAAAUCGGAGUAGGAACACAUCGAACAGAAUAUUUCGCUGAGGAGAAAAACGACGAGCAGAUCUGCUUAAACCUGGACCUGCUGGAGGAGAAAAGGGAAGGGGCCUCGCAGAGAGUGGCCCAGUGUCAGCAACGGGUCAUGCGCUAUUACAACAAGAACGUACGCGUGAGGCAGUUCCGAGCAGGAGAUUGGGUACUUAGGAAGGUGAACCAAAACACCAGGAAUCCUAACCAUGGCGCUCUUGGCCCAAAGUGGGAAGGCCCGUAUAGGGUGGUACGAGCCACUGGACCAGGAGCUUAUAAGUUAGCGUACCUAGAUGGACGAGACGUGAGGAGGUCAUGGAACGCCGAGCACUUGAAGAAGUAUUUCCAGUAAGCAAAGUGCUCUACCAAAUCUUCAUUUUGACAAAUUGUUUGUGUUAACUGCAUGAUGGCUUGAUGCAUAUGUAUGUAUUCAGUAUUUUUGUAACACAUUCAUGUUUCAAAUAAAGAUGAAUUCAGCAUGAAAUCCCCCUACUAGCAAAGCCAAAUAAAAAUUCUACGAAGGCAAGCAAAUGCCUACUUCUGCUUGGUCAACGAAAGACCAGCAGCUAAUUUUACGAGAAAUUCACUAAGGAAAGUGAGUGCCUGUUUCUGCUCGGUCAACGAAAGACCAGCAGCUAAUUCCGCAAAAAUUCUAUUAAGGCAAAUAAGUGCCUAUUUCUGCUCGGACAACGAUAGACCAGCAGCUAAUCUACGAAAAUUCUACUAAGGCAAGUAAAUGUCUGAUUCUGCUCGAUCAAUGAAAGACCAGCAGCUAAUCUACGAAAAUUCUACUAAGGCAAGUAAAUGCCUGAUUCUGCUCGGUCAAUGAAAGACCAGCGGCUAAUCUACGAAAAUUCUACUAAGGCAAGAAAAUGCCUGCCUCUGCUCGGUCAACGAAAGACCAGCAGCUAAUCUACUAAGGCAAGUAAAUGCCUGCCUCUGCUCGGUCAAACGAAAGACCAGCAGCUAAUCUACUAAGGCAAGAAAGUGCCUGCCUCUGCUCGGUCAGCGAAAGACCAGCAGCUAAUCUACGAAGGCAAGUGAGUGCCUGCUUCUGCUCGGUCAACAAAAGACCAGCAACUAAUCCUACGAAAAUCCUACUAAGGCAUGAAAGUGUCUACUUCUGCUCGGUCAACGAAGGACCAGCAGCUAAAUUUAUGAGACUUUUACUAAGGCAAAUAUGUGUCUGCUCCUGCUCAGUCACCGAAGACCAGCAGGCGAUUUUGCGAAAAUUUUUACCAAGGCAAACGGAUGCCUAUUCCUGUUCGAUGCACUAAAGAACCAACAGGCGAAACCAGACAAAAAAGCCAAUAGAGAGCAUUUAAAAAAUUUUAUAAACGUUCAAAUGUUUACAAAGCAAAUGAAAAACUAGAGUCUUUACAAAAAUAGACCUAAGGAUUAGGAGGAUCAACGGCCUCAGCAGGUGAAGGGUCAGCUAUCUCGGGAGGUGGAAGGUCAGCAAUAUCGGGAGGAGGAGGCACGGACCCCUGCCCCACUUCAAAAACACGCUGCCCAGCUUCUCCCUCCUGCACCCCAUUCAAAGGAACCUCCACCUGCUCCUGCUCAUCCUGCUCCUUAUCUCCUUGGCCGGCCCCAGCCAUAUACCUCUCCACCCCAGAUUCCAGCUUGCUCAUGUCGAGCUCGGGGUAUUCUUCCUUGAGUACAGACAUGAUGCACUUAUAGCUGAAAGCAACCCCGGAGUUAUACUCAGCAUCCAACCGAUCAUCCACAUCAGCGGAUUUGCCUUUCUCUUCAGCCAGCUGGUCACUCAGGGAUUUGAUCUCUCCCUCAAGGGCGGUCCUCAGAGUAUCUCUUUCACUUUGAGUAGCCUGAAGAUCGGACUUCAGAUCACCCAGCUCACCCUCAAGCUUGGAGGAAGUAGACUCAGCAACCGCAACUUUCUCCUCAAGCUCCGUAAGCUGCUUGUUCAGCUCGGCCAGCUUCUCUUUGGACCGAUCAGCAGAUUCGGCUUUCUUUUUCAACUCCUGGUUAUCAGCUUGAAGCUUCCUCUCAUGACGCGCGGACCCGGUCUUGUAGCACGAGACCAUUGUGGCCAGCCUGAAAGAGACUCUUUGAACAGAAGCAGCUAACUCGGAGAGGUCCAUGCUCUCGAUGUCCUUCACCAUCUUGGGCCCAACCGAUUUUUUGUAAUCUUUCUGGUAUAGGCUCAGGUAGUCACCUUGAUCCCGAGAUGGAAGAGGAGCAGAUCGGUCCCCAGACUGCAAGCUGACCUCAGGACUCUUGUCGGAGGUUUUCUCCCCACCACUCUUACAGGGUGGGGGAGGGGGCAGAGCAGGGACAGGAGCCUUGGAGGGGCCGACACUAUUCUUCUUUGGAGGAGGAGGAAGGUUGCUGGAGCUGCUUGGAGCCCGACCACGCUUCCUGCUCAUUGCGCUGAGGAUCUUGUUAUCCAUUCCAGCGGCUAUGUCCACUAGGCCCGAACCGACCAGGUUUGUUGGUGACAGGAGGUCUUGGCAGGUAGACGCGUUCACCAGAGCAGUUUCCACCUGAAGCAAAGGCCGAUCUUCAAGCCCCUUUAUCAAACCCCACGACUCUGAAAGAACAAACAAGGUUAAAGAACCCAAUAAGUAACAAGUCGAGAAAGAGUAUAGGCAAAAAAUAAACGACCUGGGGUGACAAAAUGUGUUGGAAGGUAAAUAUCACCACCCAACGAAUGAGCUGCUGGACACUAAGCUCCUCCAGCAAAGAAGAAUUUGUUCUUCCAAUUUUUGCACGAGGAGGGGAAGCCGGUGAUUGGUUUCCUCUUCGCAGAGCUUGACAUGAAGUAAUACCAGCUUGCUUCCUUCGGGCUACUCCUCAGCUGGUAUAGAUGCUUCACUUCAACGAGGGAGGGCUCCUCUGAUCCACACCUCUUCCACAACACAUAUAUAGCCGAGAGAACCCUCCACCCAUUGGGAUAUAGCUGACCUAGGGCCAGAUGCAUACCACCCAAUAUCUUAGCGAAAUAACGUUAAAGGGGCAGCCGAGCUCCUAAUUUGAAGCUCUCCAGGUGCAUCGUCACAUACCCCCGCGGAGGCCGACUAGGGACGUCACCUUUUCCUGGAACUACCAGGAGAAUCUCCGCAGGAAUGUCGUAAAGGUUCCUCAGCUUGAACAGAUCAGUUUGGGUGGUGACACAAGCUGUGUAGUCAAUAGGGUAAAAAUCCGCCUCUACCCUAUGACCAAGGUGCCUUCUCUGAGGAGGUCCGCUCGGUCCAGAGCUGCUCCCCUCACCAUCACCAACUCCUUCAAGGAUCCCAACCCCAUCAAAGCUGUGCUUCUCACCAGAGCCCGACGCAGGUCCACCUCUAUUCCCUACAAGCUCUAGUUCGGGGGAGGGAGAGACAACCAAAGGGCGUGGGUACUCAAGGGUAUCCCUGCCAUGGGAAGGACCUACACUACUGGAGGGACCUAAGAAAUCGGUGGGUAUUGGCACGUUGAGGCCCGAAUCCCCUGAUUCUUCCUCGCCCUCAUCAACAAUUAACUUUCUUUUCCGGUUUGACAUAUCGGAAUCCCAAAAGAAAGCAAAGAAAACUCGAAUGUACGGAUACAAAAGGGGGCAACACGGAACCCAAUCAACAACAACAAGAGAAGAGAUUAAAAGCAGUACCUGAGAUUAACUGGCCCUGAUAGCGCUGCCGUGACAGAGAAAAAACCAGCAAGUAGAAACUCCGGACGCAGGAAGUGUGAGUAAAGUUCAGAGAGGGGGCUGGUUAACGGUGGAGAAACGGAUAAACAAAGCAAUGAGGAUUUCAACCUAGGGAUUUGAAGUGAAAAGGGGAAAGAUAGAAGCAUUUAAGUGAUGAGGAUGCCAGCUCACUCACCACAUAUCGAGGGUGGAUAGCCCGUCGUUUCAAAUUUCAAAUACGAAGAGUCUGGUGAUGCCACGUCACUAACCGUUACAAGAGGCCAGGAUAGAUGUAAGCCCAGAUAUGCAAUGGACAUGUUCACUUAGGCCCAUGCUCAGGUCGGAGUCUCCCCAGAAGAAAAAUGGUACAUCAGGUCAGGCCCAUCCCAAUAAACAGAGGACCAGAUGAGAAGCUCCCCGGGUUGGUGAGAUUUGACCAUCAGUUUCUACUCUUAACUCAUUUCACUCGCCAGACCAGAAACUGGGGGACUGGUGUUGAGUACAUAAAAGCCCCAGGUCGGCCAUGCUACUAUUUCCACCCCGGCAUGGAUCACCUCAGCCAAAUGGUAUAAGCAGAACGCGGGAUAAACACGAGCCAACCAGAGACGAGUACCGGCCAGGGUAAUGUACCGACCAGAAUCAUAUACCGAGCCGACACCAAUUCCCCAAAAAAGCGGGAACAUGAUCCCACAGAAUCACUGUAGUUGCGCUUUUCCCAGAACCGUUGUGGGAGAUGCGAGAUCCCACGUUUGCCCACAAUGUAGCAGUUAAAAUCCCAUGAGAGGCUACCACUACCCGAGAAAGGGGGGGAUGAAGGGUGAGUGAAAACGUGGGACAGCGGCUAUAAAAGAAGAAGAAACCGAUUAAGAAGGGGAGAGAAAAAUUGAGAGAGGGAAAACGCUGCCAAAUUGCAAUCAGGCCAUUUUCUGACAAGACUCCGAAUAAUUUAGAAACCAUUUUUAGAUCUAAAUUGCACUGUUUUCCCGUAAACACCUUGAGCUAACUUAGGCAUCGGAGGGUUUUCGCCGGAAAAACCACCGUCGACUCUGAUCCGUUUUUGGUGAACGCAGGUUUAGUAAGAGAAAGGAGGGUGAUUCCAACCUCAGAGGUUCGAGCAACAGUCGAUAACGUAAACGUUGGUGAAAGAAUCUGGUCGGUCAAAAGGCGAGCAGAUUUAAGCAUCAACAUAAUAAUUUUGAUAAAAUUAGAAAAGAUAUAAUAAUUUUUUUAUUAUAUAAGUGUAAAAUCAAAUCAUCUUAACUUCUAAACUACAACAACUAUAACAUUUGAACUAUUCAAUCUCAAUUCCUAAUAGACUCUUAAUUUAUAAUUAGAUUGUCACUAAAAGAUUUUAAGUAUGUAUUUUAGAAUUUAACGAAUACACUUUUAAACUACCUUUGCCGGAUGAAAUGUUGGGAAAUUUUUAUUAAGAUCCAAAAGUAUUUGAAAUAAAUUUAUGUUUUUAUGAUGCCAAAAAAAAUAAAAAAUUAUGAACAUUUUUGUGAAGCUUAGGCGAAAAUUUUUGUUAGGCUCUAUUGGGCUAGAUGAGCAGCUCGGGCAGUUAAUUGUCGCCCAAGAAGCCCAACCCAGAUUACAACAAGCUGGGAUUUAGUUAGCUCGUUGACGGCCAUUUGGGUAUGCAUGAAUUGGGUGGAUGAUUAAUAAAUACGUUUUAUUAAUUAUUUCGCCGAUUGGGAUAUUCUCCUAAUUUAAUCUUUUCUAAUAUUAUAAUAAAGAGAUUUUGACAUGUGUAAUACAUGUGUUAUUUUAAUAAUCCAAUAGAUAAUAUCUACUUUAUUUUUAUCUUUCGUUAUUAAAUACAAAAACACUAAUAAAAAAAAAAUGACUUAACUCUUUUUAUAUUUUUAAUUUUUAUUUAUUUCCUUUUAUUGCUUUCCUAGCAAUGUUCAUCUUUUUACUAUACAACAUCCAUAACCUUAACUUUGGAAAUAAAAGAGAAUAUGUGAAAGUAUAAGUAGGAGAAAGACUUCAUUGAAAUCAAACAAAUUGGGCAACGUUAGAUUUUUCUUUAAAAUUCUCAUGAGAUAUUAAUUAGUAGUAUUAUCACUGCUGCCUGCCUAUUUCUAACCUCAACCAAUAUAUGAUCAAUGCUUGAUUUGGUCAAUCUAAAUAAUUAUGAUCGAUGAUUGGAUAUUGUUGAAGGGCGGCCCUAAGGAUGAGAGAGGGGAAUGCGUGUGCAAGCCACAUGUGUGAAGAAAAAGAAAAAGGCAAGAGUGAAGAUGACGACGAUUAAAAUCUUGUUUGAUUUCUUUUUCUGAUAAUUUUGUUAAUCUGCUGUUGUUAGUUCCAAAAUUUUAGUUAGCAACAAAAUGACAUGUUUUUGUGUUUAAUAAGGAAAAAGUAAAUAAUAUAUUUUCUAUAGGAUUCUUAGAAUGGAUUAGAUUAGACUACGGAGAGAAAUAUAUUUGAGAAUAUUAGUGUUGAGUUAUUCUAAUGUCUUUAAUAGUAAAUUCAAUUAAGACUAUUUUAGUAAUAUAUUUUUUUUAUUGAAAUUAGAGUGUUCAAAGUUAUAAAUAAAAAAUUCAAUAAUUUUUUAUUGAAUUUAUAUAACUCUGGAUUCUUUUUUUUUUUUUCCAACACUGAUAUGGUUCUGUUCUGUGUAUUUAUAUACAAUUUAAUGUUUACAUACAAAUUAAAUAAGAUCAAUUUAAUGUUUAUAUACAAUCCUUCAAGUCGUAACUCAAUUUUAUGGAGGUUUAUACAUCUGCACGCAUUCCUUGAAUUUCUCCUAGAUUGGAACUUCUUAAUUGAUCCAAUGCAUUUUUCCAACAGUCAAGAUCCUUAGUUGUCAGAGCAUUUGCAAUCGUACUCAGUGCACCAGGCAAACCUCCGCAUCUUUCAACGAUCGAGGAGUAUUUUUGUUGAAUCACCGACUAUAUUCUCAAAUAACUGCAAUGCUUCUUUUUUUGAUAACGCAUCGAUCGAGGAAUUUUUCUGAGAUUUCAUAUCAUUGCACAAUAAUAAAUCUCGACUUCUAGACGUCAAUAUUAUUUUGCAUUGUCUCUGAUCGUCAACAUCCCCGGAAGUUAAUGAACGGAAUUCUUUUAUCCUUUCUAUCUUUCUCAUCAACAUCCCCGGAAGUAACCACAUCGAACAACUUAUCUUCCCUCACUUGCUUUGCAACAUCUUGGAAUACUUUCAUUCUGGAAUCAAAGGCUACGUAAUCUUUCACUUGCACGUACUCUGUACUCUCUGGAGCAGGACGGUAGGAAACAUGAUUACAGAUGUUAAAUUCGCCUUUUUUCACAAGUUUAUCAGCUUCGUUUGCGGCCUCUGCUGCUUGUUUACCAAGCUUGUAACGAGAAAUCAAAUUUGGGCACAACCCUUUGAAGCAGAACAUCUUAGCUCUAUCUUUAUCAUCAAUCAUGGAUUUUGCAACCCCUUCACUGAAUUCAGCAACUCUAUUUAGCCAGUCUCAGACACCCUUAUAAAUCUCAUCUCCUUGUAGAGUAGCCUCUCUAACCAGCGUUUUCACCCUUUCUCUUAUAUAUUCCAGCUCCUUCACUCAAUCUUUUAGCCCAUCUAUGUAGCUUUGGUAUUCGAACACAUAAGAUAUGUGCCGCAUAAUCGGUUCGAAUAAUGCUUUUGAACCUUGUGAUACAAUGCUGGAAAAAGCAGGGAGACACCCUUCAACAGCCAUUGCCUGUUGCUUAACAAUAUAUAUAUAUAAAUACAAGUGUCAAAGAAAGGAAUGCAAAUAAAUUAAAAUGAACUAGAGGGAAAGAUAGAGAAUGAAAAGAUCACAAACAAUAUGGCUAUAUUGAUCUUGAACCAACUAAUAACUAAAUAGAGAAUUUCUUUUUCUUUCUUAAGGAUAAGAGGUUUUACUAUUAACAAAAAGUUAUUUUGAGGGUCUGAAUAAAAAACCAACCAUAAAUUAUCAAAAGCUAGUAAAAACACAGACAUAAAUAAUGAACAAUUACUUAAGCAAAACAAACUAUGAAACAAAGAAAAUCUAAUAAAAUGACAAAGAAAGAAAGAAAGAAAAUACAACAAAAAGUAUUGAAGUAUUGAUCAUGAGCCAACUGAUAUUUAAACAGAUUUUUUUUUUAAUUUUUAGUCUUUUGCUAAAGGAUUAGAGUUUUUGCUAUUAACAGAAAUGUUUCAAAAAUCUAACACUACUAGAAAAGUAUUAAAUAAUGACAGAAAUUUGAUGACAUAUAUCGUUGUGUCACGAAUGUGUCAUAAAAAUAUGAUAGAUUCAUAAUAUAUAUUCAUAUGUCCAGAAUAUAUGACAUAUUCAUGACUUAUAAUUUAACCGUCCUAGAUAAAUGAUACAUAUAAGUCAUGCUUAGGUUUUGUGAACUUAUAAGAUUGUAAAACAGUGUUGUUUAAAUUAACGACACCGUUCUGUAUAACUUAAAACACAUCAACACUUACAGCCAAAUUUUGGCUAAGCGUUGAAUGAAUCCCUCUCUCUCCACUGGCCACUGCAACCUAAAAUGAAUGUUUAAAUUAACGACACCGUUGAAUUAAAGCCUAGCUCAAAUUCCUUUUUUCAAUCGAAAUAAAACGUAGCCACAAAACCCUAAUUCACCACACCAAAUUAUCUCUGCUCGGUAUUCAUUUAAACCCUACCUCGCGGUUCAAUGUCAUUCAAUACGAUUGCAGAUGCCGUUUCAACUUGUCAUUUAGUUAGCGCCAUCCAGUUCCCUAUGGUAAGCCUUAACCCUAACGCUAGUAAGAUUUGCUAAAAAUUUCAUAUUUUGUAUUGUUCCAGUUGAAUUUCAUGUUAAUUUAAUUCUUCUUUGCCUUCUUUUUUCUUCUUCUUUAUAGUCACGCUCUGGCUUUGGUGCUAUGCUUAGUGCAGUUUGUGGUUUCAAGAUUAAGUCAUGUUUAUUUGAUGGCAUCGAUUCCAUCGUUGAGGAUUGGAUUGUUGAUCAAAUGCACCUAGUAAGCUCUUCUUAUUUUAUCUCAGUUUCAAUUUUCUUUUAUUAUCUGCCUCUACCUAAAAAUGGACGUGUUUUACUAGUAAGCAUAGACUUUGUUUAUUUAAUUGAUAUUUUAAUUUUAUGUAUAAGAAUGGAGGUUUAUUUUGAAAAAAAAAAAAGGAAAUUAAAAAAUAGAUUCUGUUGAAGCUAAUUAGUACUGAAUUUUUUUGGUGGUGCGACCAGAGGUGGAAACAGGGUAUGAAAAUGUGUUACUGGUGAGGUUGCUGCUUAAGAUGAGAAUGCAUUCUUUUCAAAAAUCCUUGGUAGGUGUUAUCUAAUUAUCUUUGAUGGAAUAUCAAAUGGCUAAAAAUCUGUCAUACGUUCAAACUUUGUUUGUGUUUAGAAGAAUGGUGUUGACUGUAUAUUCGUUUGGAAGAAUGGUGUUGAUUGUAUAUUCAUUUGCUUAGCCUUUUGACAGAUGGAUUGUAUAAUUGUGUUUGCCUCACUGUUUUUUUUUUAUGAGAUCUAUAAUUGAUCUGGGGAUAUUACUUUCUAGUUCUCAUGCAAGCAAGUUACUACCUUCCCACUGCAUCUCGUCCUUUAUCUGCUAUUCAAGAGAUGCGUGCCAUAAUCUGGUGUUACCUCUGCAAGAUUGUGAAUGAAUAUAAUGCCUCUAAAUUUAUUUUAUACAUAAUGCUGAUGCUGAAUAAUAUAUUGUAGCUCCUGUCAUAUUCUACUUUGACUUUUUAUAUUCUGUUUCAUAUAAAAAUCUUAUUCAACUUUAGUUGUUCAUGAGCAAAUGUCGCAUGUAUAAGCCCAAAUGAUGUUUAAAGGUAGCGCGGCUACCUUUAGUUUGAGCUUACAAUGGAUGAAAAAGAAAUUGAAACUGUUUUUCUGAUUUUUCAAAGUAUUUUAGAUCCUGACUUUUGUUUGGACUUGAUGGUUAUAGAUUGUGUCUAGAUUUGUUAAGUUGUUUCCAACACCUCGUGCCAAAUGAAAGCACAAUCUUUCUGAUUCAGAUGUUUGGUUAAUUAUGCUUCAUUUUUUUGUUAAAGAUUGGAUGGUUGCAUGGAUUGAUGGAGUUGGAGUUCAACCAAUAAUUCUAAUUUUUUGGACUUAAAAUGCCUUUUUCUUCUGUAUAAAAACUUUAGUAAGUGCUAUUGAGUUGACAGAAGUUGAAUACUUACAGGUUGUUUCACACUUUUUAAUAGUUUUACAUAUAUGAAUUUCUGUUUUUUGAAUUGCAGAAAGGAGGUGGAACUAUUGAUUUGGAGCCUUAUCUUACUCACUCAUCGACAACGGAGCCUACCCUCGCUCCCAUGGCAGUGGAACGGACAACGACUACUAGGGCUGCAACAUCAGUUGGUUUGGGUCUGUUUUGAGUUUAUUUUCAUUUAUUUGGCUAUGUUUUGAUAGCGAAUUUUGAUAUGUCAAUAUAAUGUGUAAUUGUUUUGGGUUGAGCUGGUAUUUAUGCUGGAUUAGAUUGGUUUGGUUUUGGUGCUUCUCUGAUGGAACACUGCUUCUUUUAGAAAUUUUGAAUGUAAUAUGAGACUACAUUUAGUUUAAUUGAACACUGCAUCUAGUCUAAUUACUAGAAGUGUGGCAUUUGGUUUGGUUUAUCCGAUAUUCUCCAGAAUUUCACUUGCAUCUGGUUUUGUUGCAUAUGUUUGCUUGCAUUUGAUGGCAGUAGCAGACUGUUUGGUUUUGUGACAUUUGACGGCAGUUUGGUCUGUUCUUGGUGUUGAUUUAAGAUUGUUCCUGUUGUGCUGAUGUUAAUUGCAGGUGCUGGAAUCAGCUAGGGUUGCUGGUUUAUUCAGAUAGUUGACUCAGGCGUUGUUACUGGUUAAUUCAGGUGGCUGACUCAAGUUGUUCAUUUAAUGUUAGGAAGCAAAUUAAGAAUUAAUGAAGUAUUCAUUUAACUAUAAUUAUUGUAGUUAUUUUAUUUCAUAACUGAAUUAUAAUCUAUGGUACUUGUGAACAAAUUAGAGAAUUUUUAUAUAUGAAUUAUAUAUAUGUGUGUGUAUGUACAUUUUGCUAUUUAUGUAAUAAUUUAAAGAAUAUAUUUCAAUUCCCACAAAAAAAAUGGCUCCAAUUUCAAUAAUUCCCGCCAAAUAAUUAAUUUUUUUUUAAUUUACCACUAAAAUAUAUCUUAAAGAAAUUUUAGUUAUUCUUGCUAGAUUUAACAAAAAUAAUUUGUAGGAUUAACAUUUAAUUAAAAUAAUUAAAAAAUUUUAUUAUUCCAAUUAAAAAUGUCAUGUUUAUACGAUAGACAAUAUUCAUGAAUGGGAAGUAUUAGUUACAUAUUUUUCCUUGGGAUUUCAGGCAAAUGAAAAAAAGAUUGAGAAUGAUUUCAAGAGGACAGGUGGAUGAUAAGUAUUCAUUUUUGUAUAUUUGGCUAGUGGAUUUUUAUGGUAUUGAUCUUUUUUUAAAAAAAAAAAAAAAUUUCAAUUAGUUGCAGCCCUAGAGGAAGAGCAGGCUGAUCAAAUUGAUUUGUCUUGUUUUUCGGGCAAUCUACGACACGAUGACUGUGAUAAUGCUCGUGACUGCUGGAAACUUUCUGAUGGAAAUAACUUUAGAGUUCGUAGCAAGCAUUUUUGUUAUGACAAAACAAAGGUUCCCCCAUAUUUUGUUUGUUUGUUAUGGUAUUUAUAUAUCCUGCAUAGGCUAGGUAGACAGGUUAUGAUGUAGUUUGGUUGGCUCUUCUUGUGCUUGUGCAAUUUGUAACUGCAGAUACCUGCGGGAAAACAUUUAAUGGAUCUUGUUGCUGUUGAUUGGUUCAAAGACACAAAGAGAAUGGACCAUGUAGCUAGGCGUCAAGGCUGUGCUGCACAAGUAACUAUUCUUUUCUUUUUAUUUUUCCUUUUCCAUUGAUGCAUUAGGAGAAAAUACUGCCUGUGAGAUACUACAAUGUAAAUAACUUCUCAUGGUUCAUUGAAUCUAUAACACACUGACCCUCUUCUAAAAAAUGUAGGUUGCUUCUGAAAAAGGGCUUUUCUCACUGAUCUUUAAUCUUCAAGUAAGUUUGUUUCAUUUCAGAAGGUAUUAAGUUUCAAACUUAUUGUAUUGGGAGGUUGUAUAGUUGUAACCUAAGCAUCUGCAGGUUCCUGGAUCAACACAUUAUAGUAUGGUAUUUUAAUUAGUCGCAAGGCAAUUGGUUGUGGGAUCACUUUUGCAACGGUUUGUUGAUGGCGAUGAUGAGUUUCGCAAUAGUAGGUUGAAAUUUAUUCCAUCUGUUCCUAAGGUAUCCAUCUUGGCCUUCAUGUAUUAGGACUAUAUUAACGUAUACUAACCCUUUACUGCAUGGUACACUUCAAUUUGUCCAAAGAAGGCAUGCAUUUAGGUGUAAAUGUAUUGAUGGGUUGUACCUUCAAACUUCGUGUCCAUUUUUACCCUCUUGAAUUUGUUUUGCACUUGUUCUUGAUUUUAAGCACUGAAUCAUGCAGGGGUCAUGGAUGGUGCGCCAAGAGUGUUGGAAGCACCCCUUGUUCAUUAGUGAAAGUGGUUGAUUGUAACUACAGAUGAAUUGUUCCCCUUUCAAAUAGCGUCCGAUACCAUUAACAUGGUUUAACAUUGUUCAUCUUUCUGUAGAUUAAUGUUGACAUCGGUUCUUCUACUGUUGCUAAUGGAGUUUUGGGCCUUGUAAUUGGUGUAAUUGCGACAUUGGUGGUUGACAUGGCUUUCCUUGUACAGGUAUGUAUGAUUGUUUUUUUCCCCCACUUCUAAAUGGACACAAGGGAAAAGACAUGAUUUUGAGAUAUUGCACUGCAAUUUGCAUUUUUGCAUACUUGAAUGUUCUCAGAAUGGUAUAAUGCUUCGUGUGUGUCUUCUUUAUCUUGCUCUUCUGUAUGCAGGCAAAUACUACAGAUGAAUUACCGGAGCGGCUGAUUGGUGCUGUACGUGUUUCUCAUAUAGAACUCAAGUCUGCUGUUGUCCCAAAGUUGGAACCAGAGAUAUCAUGACUCUGGUUUCAUUUCACCUCAACUGUGUUUUUUUUUUAAUUAAAAAAAUCAUUUGUUUUAGGUAUACAUACAUGUAUUUUGAUUCUAUUUUCAUUGUAAUUUCUCAUUUACUUUGAAUGAAAGUCAUUGGUGUUUUCGAAUGGGAAUUUUGCAUUAAAAAAUGAAGAAUAGUGAUUUUUGGAGUGUAAUUAGUAGUAAAGUUGGUUUCUACUCGCAAACAAGUGAACUGCUCGAUUCCCGAGUGGUAUCAACCAGUUUCCAACUUUUUAAUAUACACUAAUUGUUAUUGUUUAAUAGCUACUACUAUUAAAACUCGACAGCUAACAAAAAUACUUAAAAAAAACGAUUUUUCUUAUGAUGCUGUGAAAAAAAUUACGGGUUUACUUCUUUCCACGAGAUCUAUAACAUGGUCUUGACUUCACGAAAUUCUUUUAAUUUAAAGCGUGCUGGUGUGAGAAGGUCAGUUUGACUGAUUAAUUCUUUUUAACAGUGGUCGAGAUAAUUUUACUAUACUCAAAAAUAUUCUUAUUCUGAUAAUGCCACAAAUGUUAUGUUGUUUUCUUAGGCUAAGGAUCUUCUAUCAGGAGAGGUUAGAAAUUAAAUGCUUAAAAGAGAAUAAUACAGAAAUUUAGACAGAAUCUAAUCGAAUAUUGCAUGAAACAUGAAACAUCAAUUCAAGUCCUUUCUUUAAACAGAGAAUGCAUCAAACAAAAUCCAAAGUGUCUUGCACGUCUGUAGCAUGAGCAAAAAAUUGUAAAUAUGUAGAACCAAAUUAUUCAAGUAUAGAAGAACGAGCAAGCUAAAUCAUGUAUAAGAGAUUGGCCUGGUUCGAGAUAGCUUCUUCACUGUACCUGAAGGGUUGGCUCAAUAUCUUCUUUAGAAUUCUGCACAUUUUGUAAUUACUCGUGUAAGCAAGCAUACAUUGCCACCAUAAGAAUAAUAAAGCUAGAGUAAUGAUAGGACCACCACCUCUUGUGCACAAACAAUAUUGUAUAAACUAAUGCGAGAUAAUAUGAUUGGUUAAAUAAAAACAUUAUAUGGUCCUCAUAAUUUAUUUAUUUAUUUAUUAUUAUUAUUAUUAUUAUUAUUAUUAUUAUUAUUAUUAUUAUUAUUAUUAUUAUUAUAUAUUUUCAGUCAACCAAUCAUAUUAUAUCACAUUAGUUUCUAUAAAAUAAUUUACUAAAUAGCACCAAAACUUAAUUGAUACUCACCAUUUCAUUGAACAAUUUUUUUAUGGUGUCAUUGAGGUUGCCUUCCCAACAUGCUUCAUCAUCAUCAUCUUCUUCAUCCUGAUCAUCCUUUUCUUCUUCGGUGACGUUCACUUUGUUUAGCAUUGGUGUGUCUAAGACUCCUUGAGAGAAGAUCUUCAUUUUUGGACACUGUCUCACAACUACUUGUUUCAAGGACGGGAAUUCAAGAGCGUAAUUACCCAAACUAAAGCUUGUUAGGCUUGGCAAACAAUCAAGUGUCAAGUACUCCAAUUCCCUGAAAACAAUGCAGUCUUUCGCUUCUUCUCCAACCUGCGAUUGUAUGAUUUCUUCUAUCAUUUUGCAAUCAGCUAUCUUCAUUCUUUGAAGAUUCACUAGACUUUCAGAUGUCGAGAAUGUCAACACAUUUAUCAACCCGUGACAUUUUGAUACUUUCAAAGCCUCAAGAUUUUCCAAAUGCCACGAAGGUGGUACUAAUUUUUGCAACUUACUACAUUCCGAUAUUUUUAGACUUUCCAAAUUUGCAAAUACUUUGUUGGAUUCGGCAUUUUCCUUCCAGAGAUGCUGCACUUUGUGUAAUCUAGACAGCCUUAACUUCCUCAAUUUAGGGAAUGCAACCUGAAAAUCAACAAAAUUAAGUUGUAAAUGAAAAUAUGUAUCCAAUCUCUGGAGUCUUCCCCUGCAUAUUUUAUGGACAAGAUUAAUCACGGCAUUUUAUAUUUUAUCUCCAAAUUAGUAUGCUUUGUAGUAGGAUCCCAAAUAUAAGUAUCAAAUCGAUUACCCUUUGAAACACAUAAAUGAAAUCUGAUGCUAAAUCCAAUAUGAAUUAGCUAGGAAAACAGAGAUGUUACACACAUAAUUAAUAUAGUUCAUCACCUCGUGUUACUAGGCAUCCAAUUAAUUUCAGACAUUUUUAUAAUUCAUACUAUAAAGAUAGUUAAUAACUGCGGUUAUAUUGUUAAAUCAGAUAUAAAUUAAGAUGACAUGCAAAAAGAUGAGUCAUUAAAUUUGACUUGAUUCUAAUGAAAUUACAUCUAUGCGAACGAAAGUGAAGGGAAAAAUAAUAAUAAUAAUAAUAAUAAUAAUAAUCACCUUUUCAUCAAAGAGGGGUUGUACUUGAUGAGCCAGCAAGAAGUUCUCUUCUGAUGUUAAUUUUUCAGGUUUCUUGUUAUCUGUUGUCACGUGCACUACAGAGUUGGAUAUGAAUGUUUCCAUAUCAGGGCAAUUCUCAAUAGUUAGAUUCUCCAACUUAGGCGGUUCAAUUAUAUUCCCAGUGAAGUUGCAGAAUCUUUUGAGUUUUGGAAGAUCAAUGAGCCUUAGCUCGGAAAGCUUAGGAAACGGGGGGCCUAUAUGUUCUUUGUCAGCAUUUAGCUCUUCGAAAUGAAACACCUCUUCUAUUGAAUCACAAUUCCUCACUUCCAGCCAUUCCAAAUUGUUCAAGCACCGUAGCAGAUUGGCAGGAAUAGCACUCGACAUAUUCGUGCAGUCAUCCACCACCAGCUGUGCUAAAUUGUUGAAGAAGCUGACAGGCAGUGCUUGGCCAUGCCAUAUUUCUUGCAAGCGUGGAAAAUGCGAGAGUUGCAAACGGUUUAUAUCAAGGAAUCCAAUCUGCACAAACCAAAACAAUUUUGUUUUUGAAAGGCAUUAUAUAUACACACAUUAAACUUACAUGUUUUGUGUUUUAACUUCUAAAAAUAUAUAUACAAGGGAGGUGUAUAUGCUUAAAUGUGCAAGUGCAGGGGAGAUGCAUGAACAAUUUGGUUGAAUCGAUUAACACAUACCAUUUCGUCAUAGCACUUUUGUAUAGUGGAACUAAGGUUAUUGCCUUCCCAAUGGUGCAGUUCACCCUCUUCCUUUUCAGUCACUUGUACUUUGCAUGGCUUUGGAAUGGAUAAGAUUCCGUGAGAAAAAUUCUUCAUGUUCGGACAAUGUGUCAUAGAAACUCGUUCCAGUGAUGGGAAUUCAAGAGUGUAAUUCUCCAAACAAAAGCUGGUAAGCCUUGGUAAAUCAUCAAGUAUCAAAACUUUUAAUUUGCUGAAAGCAAUACGAUUCUCCUUCACUUCUUGUCCAACAUGUCCUACGAUUUCUUCUAAUUUUGGGCAACCCGAUACUUUAAGAUUCACCAGGCUACUAGGAAUUCCAACCUAAAAAUAAGCAAAAGUGUGUGUACGUUAAAAAAGUAAAAAUGUAAGAAUAUCAUUCAACUAGGUUCAAAGUAUGUUUAAUCAUACAAUUAUACAUUUUAUGAACAUAACAAAUUAUGAAAUGUCUACUAGAUAUUUUUUGUUAAACAAAAAUAGAACAAGAUAAAUAAAUAAAUAAAAGCCAGAUAAAAAAAGAUAAUAAAAAUGCAUUUACACUAUUUAGUAUUAGAAACGUAGAAAGAAUUUAAGGCAAUUUCUAAAUAUUUUAGACUUCUUUUGCAUCUUGAUAUCAGUUUUUAAGCAUAAAUUUGCAAAUUUCAACUAUUCCUUUUUUUUUAAAAAAAAAAACUCAACCAUUUUUCCCUUUUCCUUGGUUCCUUUUUUUAAUGUAUAUUUAAAAAUGGAAAAAAAAUUGGAAAAGAUUUCCCAAUACUGUCAACAAGGGACUACUGUAAAGUGGAUCUUUAUUAAGUACUUCCAAACUCGAGGAAAUUUCUUUACAAUCAAGGGUCAGUUGUAAAUAAUCAUGAAUUUGUGGUUAAUUAAUGGCAUAAUCAAUUCGUAACUAAACUAGAGAUAUUAAUUAAAUUUGAAGACUUUUAUUUUUUUUUCCAAUCGAAACGUGAAGAAUUAAGGAAAAGAGAAAUAUAUAGAUGAAUUUGUGAACCUAUAAGAUGAGAGACGAUCCUUUAAUUUUUGAAAAUCGUACUUUUAAGAUAUGAGCAAAAACAAUUAAAUUGAAAACCGGACUUAAAACGUAGAUUUCAGAGUAGUGGUUAAUUUGAAGUACAAUACAAAAAUGGUUAAAAAAUGGUUGAAUUUUAUCUGGGAAAAAAGAUUCGAAAUGAAUACAGCAACCUUACCAAUGGAGGAAAAAUAUUUCUUAGGUUAUCACACCACCAUAUGUCCAAAUUCUUCAAUUUGCUGAAAGACUCCGAAGCAAGCUGGUGGUGCCAUAUUCUUCUCAAAUUAUCCAUCAUCUCCAUAAGUAAUACCUCCACCCUAGGAAGUCGUACCUGGCAGUUAAAGAUUAAAUAACUAAUUAAUCAAUUAAUGGCAUAAUCAAUUGAUAACUAAAUUAGAGGUGGAUAUUAACUAAAUUUGAAGACUCAAGGAAAAGAAAAAUUAAGUAUUGUGACUAAAAUUAAUUUUUUUAUUAAAAAAAAAAACCUUUUCGUCAAAAAGAGGAGGAGGUUGCAUUUCAGAAUGAAUGGUGUCUUCUGGUGAGCUCGUAGAGAUGAAUCUUAACAUAUUACUGCAACCACUAAUCCGGAGUUCUAGCAAAGAAGGGAAUUCAACAACUAAAUCUGAAUGAAUAUGUCCCGUAUUGGCGAAGCUUGUUAGUUCUGGAAGACAAUGGAGCUCGAGGGAGUGUAGUUUAGGGAAAUGAAUAUGUCCUUCAUCUCUUUCUGAC
rnacentral:lncRNA from 1 species